rnacentral:lncRNA from 1 species
AAGCAACAAUUCUUUACUCAUUUCUUUCUUUUAUCUUUCUCAUCAUUUGUUUAAACUUGUUCUUUCAAUCAAGAAAACAACCCAAAAACCUCCCUCCAAGCCCACCAUCACUACCAAUAAUUGGCCACCUUCACCUCCUAAAACCCCCCAUCCAUCGUUUGUACCAUAGGCUUUCACAAAAAUAUGGUCCGAUCUUCUCCCUUCGCCUCGGUUCUCGGCUUCUUGUUGUAGUAUCAUCUUCAACCGCAGCCGAGGAAUGCUUCAGCAAGAACGAUAUAGUUUUUGCCAAUCGCCCCAAGUUUAUCAUAGGGAAACACUUAGGCUACAACUAUACCACAGUUUCAACAUCGUCUUAUGGUGAUCAUUGGCGCAACUUACGUAGAAUUGGUGCCAUUGAAAUCUUCUCAUCAAGUCGUCUAAACGCCUCCGUGACUGUUCGAAAAGACGAAAUCAGGCGCUUGUUAUUAAAACUGUCGUGUGAUUCGCGUCAAGAGUUUGCGAAAGUGGAGCUGAAAUCUAUCCUUAAUGACAUGACCUUUAAUAACAUAAUGAGGAUGGUGGCAGGGAAGCGGUACUAUGGAGAUGAAGUGACGAAUGAAGAAGAAGCAAGAGAAUUUAGGGAACUUAUGGCAGAGGCAUUCAAGAAUGGUGGAACAGAAAAUCAAGAAGAUUACUUUUCUAUAUUGAACUGGUUUGGUGAAGGGUAUGAAAAGAAGGUGAAGAAGCUUGGAAAAAGGAUGGACAGGUUCUUGCAAACUUUGAUUGACAAUCACCGAAGUAAGAGGCAGGAAAAUAAUAGUAUGAUUGAUCACCUUCUUUCCUUGCAAGAAUCUGAGCCUCGUUACUAUACUGACGAAAUUAUCAAAGGGUUCAUAUUGGUAAUUAGUUGAAUCUUUUUCUUUUUUUCUUUUUACUUUUCAAUAUUUUACUGUUGAAAGAUUUUCGGUUUUAAAUUUUGAGCUUAACUUAAUUGAUUCAUGCACUUAUUUUUAGAAGAUGACAUUCAAAUCUGAAAUGUCCUAAACUAACAAAUUAACAUUGUUCUGUAGGUGAUAAUACUUGCAGGAACUGAUACAUCAGCAGUGACAAUAGAGUGGGCAAUGUCCAAUUUGCUAAAUCACCCAGAAGUAUUGAAGAAGGCUAGAGCUGAACUAGACAAUCAAAUUGGUCAAGAAAACCUGAUUGAUGAGCAAGAUGUUUCCAAGCUACAUUACCUUCAAAGUAUUAUAUUGGAGACACUUCGAUUAUACCCUGCAGCUCCUCUUCUGCUUCCACACAUGCCAUCUAGUGAUUGUACCUUAGGUGGAUACAACGUGCCAUGUGGUGCCAUCGUAUUGGUGAAUGCUUGGGCCAUUCAUAGGGAUCCAAACCUAUGGGAUGAUCCAACAAGUUUUAAGCCAGAGAGAUUUGAUAAUGGUGGGAAAUCAGGAGAAUAUUCUCACAAGCUAAUGCCAUUUGGGUUAGGAAGGAGAGCAUGUCCAGGAGCAAGCCUGGCUCAGCGAAUGGUGGGAUUAACUUUAGGAUCUUUGAUUCAGUGCUUUGAGUGGGAAAGGAUUGAUGACAAGGAAAUUGACAUGAUUGAAGGAAAGGGAGUCACCAUGCCUAAAGUUCAGCCAUUAGUUGCUAUGUGCAAAGCUCGUCCCAUCGUGAAUAAGGUUUUUUAUAAAUAAAUUUGAUUAAUAUCAUAAGUUGGGUGAUUAUAGUAGAAAAAUAGGCUUUGAUUACCUAUCUAGUAAAGAUUUUAUUGUAGUAGGACACAGUUAGUGUGUUCUAUUUUUUUUUCUUUUUUUUUUAAUGAUUGGAUUAGUCCAUAUAAAAAAAAGUAGGUUGAAUUAUGUAAUAAAUAUCUGUAUUUUAGUUAAAUGAUAAAAUUAAUCCUUUUAUCUUAAUGUGUUUAAAUUGGAUCUUUAUACUUUCUUUAAUUAUCAAAUUUAGUUAAAUUGUUAACGGUUCAAACUUUUUCAAUUAAAAUUGAUGAUAUGUCAUUUUGACUUUUCUAGCAUGGCAUUUUUGUUUACAUGAUAGUUUACUUUAUUGACGUUUAAGGUCAACAUAAUCAAAGAUAACAACAUGACAAAAUUUUUAAUACAUCAUCAUUUUUUCAAUUUAACUUUUCUCAAAUUGUACAGAUCAUCCUUAUAUUUUUAUUAAAUGAUAGAAUUAGUUAUUCUAUCUUAAUGUGUGUUAAAAUCUUAUCUUUGUAUAUCAAUUAAUUAUUAAAUUUAAGAUUUGAUACUCAUUGCAUUCAAAUUUUAUUCUUAAAUUAUUUAUAAUCAAUGCUUUACAAGAUGGAACAAUGAUAAUAGGAAAUCUAAGUUCAACUUGAUUCUAAUGAAUUUUGAAACUUCAAAGACAUAAUUAAAAGACCUCAAUACUCAAAAUAGAUCUUUUAAUGAAGACAUGAAAAUCUUAUGUAGAAUAAGACUAGCCAAAAGCUCCCUCUAUAAGUUAAGAGACUUAACAAAGUCUUGGUAAAAGACAACACAUAAAAGGACCCCAUGAAUAUAAAUCAUGCUUGACUAAAACAAACCAUCCGAUGCAUUGAGAGCCCUUUUAAUCUAAUCUAGACUCCCAAAUGAACUCAAAGUUUUUUACUUCCUAAGAUGUCAACAUCUUUGAAAGUGACUUUUUUUGGAACAACUUAACUUAUAAAUCUCAAUUUUUUUAUAUGACACCAUUUGAGAAUAAGGGUGGUUAAAAGAAUCAAUUUUAAGCUUUUUGUAUGGUUUACUAUUAUUAUUAUAUACAUCAACAUUAAAGUUUUAAAAUUCUAUAAAAUGAAUCCUUUUGUUAUUUAUUAAUUUUUAAGAAAAAUUAUCAAAUAUAUUAAGAAAAUGAAAAUUUUUAAUUUUACAAAUUAAAUAUAUUUUUAGUAUAUAUUUUAAAAAAAUAAAAAAUUAAUUUUAAAAAAAGUGAGACAUGCACCAUCUCAUUAACUUCACUUAUAAAAUUAAAAAAUUUUGUUAACAAUAUAUUAAACAAUUUUUUUAAAAAAAUAUAAUUUAACUAGCUAUCAAUCCACGUUCACUUUGAAUAUCUGUUUUUGUGUGUGUAAUCAAGAAAAUCAGCAUAAAUUGGUGUUUUAAAUAAUUAUCAUAAUGAUUUUGGAACAGCUCGAUGAAUUUGGAAAUGAAAUAAAAAAAAUGGAGUCACCACCAAUAUUUUUUGGCUAGGUGCAAUUGGUUACCUAUUAAAACAUAUCAUUUUAAUAAAAUUUUAAAAUUAAUUAAAAUUUAUUAAAAAGAUAAUUUUAGGGUAGGUUGGGUAGGGAGUUAGUUACUUGUGGGGGCACCCCUACAAGUCCCGUUUAAAACAGUAUUAAUUAAUUACAUAUUAUCCUUUAAUUCUGACAAAAAUAAUUUUAGUUUCAGUAUUUGAAACAUAAUUUUCUCGAUUUUUUUUGUUUUUUGAAAAUUUAUUUUUAUUUAUUAUUAUUAUUAUUAUCAUUGUUCUGUUUUAUUCGAGAAAAAUAAAUUAGAAUAUUUUAUUGAAAUAAUUUUAAAAAUGUUUCAGUACAUUGGAAAUAUUAUAAGAACUCUUUCUUACCUAGAGAUUUCUUAAGUAUUGCUUCUCAGAAUACCUUAGAAUCCCAUCUUCAGAGGUUUGGAUUUAUUUUUCAAAAACACUAUUAUGCAUGCAAUACAAAUGAUAAUAUAUUGAUGUACACAUUUUAUUUUCCUUUUAGAAAUUUAUUUUUUUAUAUUAUUAUUGUUGUUGUUUUGAAGAAAUUUUUAUCACAUUGAAAAUUUUUUAUAAAUACUUCAAUAUAUUGGCAAUAUUUAAAAAAUUUUCCUCACCUAUAGAUUUUUAAGGUAUUACUACUUGAAAUAUCUUAAAAUCCUAUCAUCAGGUAAAUAUUUCUUUUCCCUUAUUUUUUUAUUAUUUUAUUUUUAACAAAUUAGUUAAUUUUUAUUUACUAUUUUAUAGCAAAAAAAAAUUUAUUGCAUUAAAAACUUUUUAUAAAUACUCCAAUACGCUGGUAGUAUUUAAAAAAAUAUUCUAACCUAAGGAUUUUGUAGGUAUCAUUACUUGGAGUACCUUUAAUCUUAUUUUCGAAUAAAAAUUUCAUUUUCUUACAUUUUUACUAAAUUUUUUUAAUUUUUUAAUUUUUAUUCAUUAAUUUUUUGGUUAUUUUUCCUAUUUUUUAAUCUUAAAAAAAUAUCAAAUGUUAGAAACCAUUUUUUUAUUAUUAUUGGUAUCAUAAUCAUCAAUUAUUAAUUAUUAUUAUUUUUAUAAGAUUUAUCCUAAGUUUUAAUAAAAAUUAUAAAAAAUUUUAACUAUAUUUUUCAUUAUUUAAUUUAAUUUAUCUAUUUUCUUUUGUUUUCAUUUUUACUAGUUAAAAAAAAAUAUUCUAACAAAAUUUAAACAUUUUAACAUAUAUAAAUAUUAAUGAUAAAAUUCAUAAUAACAAAAAUAAUAUAAAAAAUAAAUCAAAAAAUAAAAAACUAAAUCGAACCGGUUAAUGGUUCGAUCUGGGUCAGUUCAAUUGGACUGAUUAGCAAUCAAAAGGGGGAACCAAGUCAUGAGUCAAGCACGUGGAUUUUCGAUCAACCCAUUGGUGUGCACAUAGAUCUUGGAUGAAACGACGUUGUUUUAAAGCUUAGUCUUUUAUAUAAAAACAAAAAUUUUUUGUUUCAACUCAUUUCUCCUUGGUUUCUAAAAAAAAAAAAAAAUUAGAAUUCUCUAAAACAAAGAAGGGAGUCGGUCGGUCGUCGGCCGUCACACAAGCCGCCAUUGGCCUCGCCAUCGAUCACUGUUUCUAGUGGCCAAAAAACAAAGAAAACAUAAAAAAAAACUCUUAUUUACCCCUUAAGCUCAAAUUUGGUCUCCCUUUUGCCAGGAACAACCUUAAUCGGCAUAGAAUAGGCUUCAAAGCUUCAAUUUCCCUCUUUUUUAUAUUUUCAGUAAUUUUGAUUUAUUAUUAUUUUUAUUUUCUAAUGAUACUGACUUUUCUCUUUUCCUUUAGGCACAUCGCACAAACUAGGUUCACCAAUAGGGGAUUGUUAGGGGCAUGCUACAUAGGUCUAAGGGGAUUUGGGCGUGGAAGGCAGUGGGCUGCACAAGGGCGCAGGGAUAGGUGGCUAGUGGUGCCAUGCACGGCACCUACUGGCAUCAACCUCCUGCCUUUUUUUUUUGCUUUUUUAAAAAUAUUUUUGUAUUAAUGUUUAAUUAAUUAUUAUUUAUUAUAUUAUGAUAUAAAUAAUAAAAUUAAAAUUAAAAAUUAAAUAGUGGGCCCAUGCUCAGAAAAAAUGGGUUUUGGCUCAUUAACUCAUUAGAAUCGAGAAAUUUAAAUUGAAACCUAGAUAAAUUUGAUGUUUACAAUUGCCUCUCUUUACGCAUUGCUGAGAAUCAAGAAUAGGGUAAAAACAAAGACAAUAAUUUUGUCUGGAGUCCAAAGAGAUUUUUUUUUUCUAAUUGAUCCAAACUAGUUAAAAAGCUUAUCUCAUUAAAGACCAAAAAGCUUUAAAAAUCAAAUUGAAAUGCUCCUCUUACUUAAGGCUUGACAACUUUUGAAAACUUAAAACGACACCUUUAAGCAGAGACUUAACAACUUUAAAAUUGGCAUAUGAAAAAAGCCUUAUCUAGGUAGAGGCUUAACAACUUAAAAAGAAUUUUCAUAUUUUCUCGAAACCAAUUUCUUAUCUUUAAGUAAGUCAAUUUCUUUCUUUUAAAAUCUCUUUUUUGAUUAUUAUCUUUGCUUGAUGAUCGAAAUCUUAUUUUCCAUUAUGGAAUUGAAAGUCUUUGUCCUUGUUAUAACUGCUCAUGGAUGCAUGUACUGAGUGCUCUAGAUGCAAUGCAUGUAAUGUAAUCAAAAUCAUUCAUUUUCAAUUGUGGUAAAAGGCUCUUGAAAUCUCUCUCUUUUUUACUUAUUUUAUCAAAAUUCUCAACAAUUGCCAUAUGACCAAUUUGUUCUUAACAUCUGACCAUUGUAUUCAUUCUUAACAAUAUUUUUCUUUUUAAAAACUCUACAACAUCAAUGUCUUGUCAUGCUUUUCUUGUCAUUUUUCAUCUACCUUUAUUGACUUUUAAAAAGUAAUGCCGAGAUAUUCUCUAUUAUUUUUUUAUCAUUUUAAGUUCAAGAUAAAUAAAAUACAAUCACACAUUCCCCUAAUUCAUUUGUAAGGUGAACAAAUAUGACAAAUUGAGAUAAAAGAAUGGAUAGGCAUUAUUCCUAAAGGAAAUAAGCAUAUUUCAUUAAACUGAUAAUAAGUGCAUGGCAACAAAAGUGUUUAGGUAGAAACAAAUGUACCCAAGUAUUGAUUACAAGAUAAUCAUGAACAAAAUAUUCCUAGUUUCUUUCUCCAAAACUUAACCAGAUGACUUCCUUGAUUCUUUAGAAUUCGUCACACUAUAUUUACCCUUGUGUUGUGAGGUCAUCUCUUAAUGAUGCUUUUUCUUUACAUCUAAGUCACUUUUUCAGGUUUUUAAUUUAGAUAUGUCAUUCUUUUCUUACUUUUUUUUCUUUUUCAAAUGAAGUAUCUUUUCAUAGUAUCUGAGUUUAUUCAAGUAGGCAUCAUUUUCGUCCACUUUUACCAAAAUUAAUGCCCCAUCGAAAAAGAUUUUUUUCACCACAUACAGAUCUUCUUAAUUUGGUGUCCAUUUUUUUGACUAUCAUGUUGAUUUGGAAGUAUCUUUUUCAAUACUAAGUCUUAUUCUUGAAAGCUACGAAGGUGAAUUUUUUUAUUAUGUGUUCUCAUUAUCUUUUUUUGAUACAAUUGCCCAUGGUAAAGUGCUGUAAGCCUUUUUUCUUCAAUGAGAUUUAACUGCUUAUAGCGAUUUCGAACCCCUUUUACUUUUUCUAACUUGACUUCCAUCAAAACUCUCAAUGAGAAAAUUUUUACUUCAACUGAUGAUACAGCUUCCAUCCUAUAAACUAAAAAGAAUGAGGUGGUCCUAGUAAAUGUUCAGAAUAAUGUUCUACAAGUAUGCAAGGCAAAAUGUAACUUCUCAUGCUAGUCUUUAUAAGUAUCAAUCAUUUUCUCUAAGAUCUUUUUGAUAUUUUUGUUUACGGCUUCUACUGUCCGAUUCAUUUUUGGACGCUACGGUGUCGAAUUACGUUAAUGGAUCUUGAACUAAGUGCAUACUUUAUUCAUUAUUUUACUAUUUAAGUUUUUAGCAUUAUUAAAAAUAAUCAUCUUUAAAAGCUCAUAUCUACAUAGUAUCUCUUUUUUUAUGAAAUUGGAUGCCACAAAUUGUGUCACACUAGCAUACAAUAUAGCUUUUACCUAUUUCGUAAAUAAUCAAUCAUUAUAAAGAUGAAUCUAUGUUUAUUUGAAGCUUUUAUAGUGAUGGGAUCGAUGACAUCCAUGCCCUACAUAGAGAUUGGCCAUAGAAGAGCCAAAACAUGCAAUGCUAUUUAAGGAGCAUGAAUUUUAUCAGCAAAAAUCUGACACUUCUGACAUUUUUUUGCAUAAUCUAUAUAGUCACUCUCCAUUGUCAACCAAAAAUAGGCAACCCUCAUAAUUUGUCUAGCCAUUAUAUGACCACCAUUAUAUACCUCACAAACCCCGCCAUGUAUUUUUUAAUAAUUCUUUUUGCUUUAGCUAUAUUCACACACCUUAAGAGCACUUGAUCUCGAUUUUCUAUAAAAGAUAUCUCCAUCAAAGAAGAAACCCAUAGCCAGCCUUUUGAUAGUCUUUUUAUCAUUUUCUGUUGCAUGUUCCAAAUAUUACUGACUUUUAAUGCAUUGCAUAAUGUCAUGAUACCAUGGCUUCCUAUCAAUUUUUUUUUCGACACUUGAGUAAUGUGCUAGUGCAACCUUUACAUCCAAUUUGAUAGGUUGACUCUUGGUAUUAUAUAUAUUAUGAUCAUUAGGAGCCAUUGUAUUAGUAAUCUGGUUCUCCUCUCUAGGUAGAUGUUCAAAUUAAACUUUUUCAAAUUUUUUGAUCAACAUAGAAAUGUAUCUAUGGUACCUGAUUAAUUUGGAAUCUCUCAUUUCUUAUUCACCUCAUAACUAAUAGAUGACCAGAGCUGAAUCUCUAAACACAUCCAAUACUUUGAUCUUUUUUAAUCUUGAAUUGGACUCAUAACCUAUUGUUUUCUUGGUGUAGAUCUUUUAAAUCAAUGUUGGCCACAUCUCAUUUUUUUAUGACCUUUUUAAUUUGCUCUAUUGUACUUUUACUUCAUAUUUUAAGUAUCCUAUCUUUUCAUAAAGUUUCAAAUUUUCUCUUCUUAUUUCUUUUUUUUUAGCUUCAAAUUUCUUUCUAACAAGCUCAACUUUUGAUAAUUACAUUUUUAUGGAAAGGUUAGCUGAUUGAUAUGAGUCAUCAUCACGAGAGAACACCAUACUUUUGAGUCACUUCACUUUUCAAAUCUGGUAAUUAGGAGUGAUUUUGUUGAGAAGAGGCCUUAAUCUCAUCUUUUAUGUUUUCUUCUAUGCUUGGAUUAAUUGCUCCAAGAUUUUUGGUGGAUUGGAUUCCCCGUAAGUGAAUUUUACUUGAACUAGGCCAUGAGUGACACGAACAAACUACUUUACAUCGAAUUAUCACAGUACCAUCAAUAGAGCGUAACUUACCAUACCCCUUAGUACUAACAACAAUAUCCAUGGUUCAUUUUCUCUUUGAUACAACAUGGGCACACAAGGCAUCUAUGGCGCCAUCCAUUUUAUUUCAUCCCUAGUGAGUCUUCGUAAAAAUAGAACCCAUUCUUCCUUAGUCUUCAAUGUUGGCCAUUAGAUUUUGCAAAACUCUUCGAUUGGUGCCUUAUUUCAAAGAUACGACUCUGAGAAUGCACUCUUUCCAUACUUGAAAUGUCUCCAAACCCACAGAUAUAAUAGUAGUGCACACCUUAUAAAUGCUUUUCUUUAUUUCAUUAAUAGAAAUUCAAUGACUUAAUUGAGAUAUUCACUUUUAGCCUUUGCGAAUGAAUCUAUGGUUUUCACUUUAACCUCUAUAAGCUUUGUCAACUUUUUACGAUAACCUGAUUUUAGCUUUCGAAUAAACACUUUAUCCAGACACUGUAGUUUUAUCAUGAGAAAAACUAAAUACUCCUCAAUAGUUGGCAUUAAAUAUUCUUGAUUAAAAGUGAAACAUAUAUAGGAUGGGUCCCAAAAUUGUAUGGUUGCCCUGACUAACUGCUCUUCAAUCACUAUUGGAAUGAGAGAUAUAAUCUACCCAUACUUCUUGCAAAAGUUUUCUUUUCUUUUUUCACUUAAUUGACCCCAGAUGAUAGCUAAAUUUUUUUAAAUUAUUUUGUGUAAGAUCUAAUUGGCUUAUCUUCAUGUUCUAUUACUUUUAAUAAAUUAGAAGGUAGUGUGUAAUUAUCAAAAUCUUCUUCAUUAUCAAGUUUGUUAACAUGAAUUAGGUUUUCAAAAUUAAAUAUGAGAUUAUUGUCAUAAUUAUCUUCGUGUUCAUUAUUUAGGAACCUACAAAUGGGUGAGAUGAAGAGAAUAUUGACACCUAAAAAUGAAAUGGUAAGAAAAUGAAAAGAGAAAUGGAUCGAAUGAAUGAAUGUGAAAACAAAUAAAAGAAAUGCAAACAUAUUUUUUAAAACUUUUAUUAAAACGAAAAACAUAAACACUCCACAAAAGAUCUCUUAAUGCUCAUAGAGAGCAAUUAGAGAUUUAUAAUUUCAUAGUACAUUACUUUUUAGAAGUUUUAAAAACAACAAGCAACUCUAUGACAUUUCAAUUAUUUAGCUCGAAGUUUGAAAAGCAAGGAUGCACGAAUAAUUUUUCAUCUUAGCUCUUUUUUUCUUUCUCAUCUACCACCUGAAUGGUUAGCUUAGAAAAAUCUUCCACCUAUUUUGCAUUUAGGGCUUCAAAUGAAUCUGGAUAAAUAUAUCCUCCCAAACAGAAAGAAUCAUAAAGGGAUGGAAUGACCAUUAGCUCCAAUUCUGACUUAUAUCUCUUAAAAUUAGCCAUUCUCUUUUCUUUCUUUUCGUUCAUCAUUUUCUUUUAUCUUCUCUUGUUGGUUUAUAACCUAAACCAAAUCUAUCAUUCUUAUCAUAUAUUACUGGUGGCUUUGUGAUUCCUUACAGAUUCUUUUCUAGUUCAGCUUCAAGUUACCAUCCCAUCUUGGUAAGCUACUUGAUGACCAUUUUAAUAGUCAUAGAUAGAUGCUGUGAAUAUAGUUUAGAUCCUUCAACCACAUGUGUUGUGUUGGCAAUUUCAAAAGAUCUAUAAAAGCACUCUAGGGCUUUAUCUACCAUUUUUACAUAAAAAAUAUUUUAUCGAUUGGGUUACAAGUAAAUUUUCUUCUCUUGUCACACAUGUAAGCUUUCCAUCAAUAAUGAAUUUGACUUUCAGGUGUAAUGAGAAUGGAAUAAUAUUUUUCAUAUAAAUCUAUGGCCUACCCGAUAAGUAACUGUAUAAGAAAGAGAUAUCCAUAACUUGAAAUUUUACAUUGAAAGUAUAAGGGUCAAACUCUAAUAGCAUUUUUAUAUCUUUUAACACCUCUCUUUGGGUCCCAUCGGAGGCUCAAACUACCAUAUGACUAAACUUCAUGUAAGAUCCAUCAAUAGGUAGUUUUGCUAAAGUAGUUAUAGGCAUAACAUUGAUUGAUGAGCCAAUGUCGAUCAAAACCUUAGCAAUUAUAUGAAUUUUGUAAUUUAUAGUAAUGUAAAGAGCCUUGGUACUUUCUUGACCCUCAGGAGAAAUCUCUUCGUCACUGAAAGAAAUGCAAUUUGAGGUUGCUAAAUUGCUAACAAGUUGUUUCACAUAUUCAAUAAAGACAUUGUAAGACAUAUAUGCUUGAUUUAGUACCUUUAGUAAAGUAUUAUAAUGUGACUUUGAGCUUAGCAAUAAUAACAAUAGCAAAAUUCUAACUGACAUCUUAUUCAACUAUUCUAUCAUGUUAUACUAGCUAUGUUUUAUUAGUUUUCAAAAAUUCACAAGUUUCAUUAUUAAAGAUUACCUUUUAACAUUCUUUAUUAGGGAUUACCACAAGAUUACUAUGAUUUUCUUUUCUUCUUCGACCUUUGUUUUUUUUUUCUUCGCUUUUUCUAGUGUUUUUAAAGUGUAACAUCUCUCACUCUGACUCAUAUUGCCUAUUAUGUUUACAGUAUCUGCAUUGACUAUAACACCACAAUCAUAUUUUUAUGGUACUAUUUUAUCAUUCUAGUAUGAAAAAAGGCGAAGGGCUUUAAUUGUCACUAUUGGUUAGGAGAUAGGCUUUUUUAGCUUCAGGGUUGGCUUUUCAUCAUAAAAGUAAUUACUAAUUUAUGCACAAACUUAUUCCUUAAAUCAAUGGUAGACACUUUAGCCUUUAUCAAAUCUUCUCUUUCAUUGUAAAACUCUAUCUGACCCAUAUCUAUCAAUUUCUGCACCUCUUGAUAAAAUUGGUUACAACUUUUGACUGAAUGCCCCAAAACAUCUUUGUGAUAGUCUUAGCUCUCAGUUGAGUUAAUCAUUCCAGAGUAAUUUUGAGGCUCUAUUGACUUCAAUAUAUCAACCUUGACUAAGGCUUUAAACACCUAGCCAUUAGAGUUUUAACUUCAUAUUUUUUUUUUCAUGUAGCUAGCUUGCCCACCAAUCAAAGUAUUUAUUGAUGGUCUAGUAUGGUUUGGUAGAGGGUUUCCAUUAACAUUUUGAAUCCUUUACUGGCUAGUAUCAAAGUUUAACAUCCUUUCAUUGAUUAAUUAUUGCACUUUAUGCUUUAAAGUAGUGUAAAUUUUCAUAAAAUGGCUCAAGUUUCCAUAAUGAUAAUCACAAUAUGCAUUAGGAUCAUAACAUUUGGGAAAUAAAGGUUUCAAAGAUUCAAUAAUAACAAGGGCUAGUAAACUUAACGAGUCGAGGGUACAAAUCUAUUUAUGUCAUGAGAAUAGGGUCAAAAGUGAUUUUUUCUUGGAUAUUUGAGCUUUUAGAUCAUUACUUAGAUUGGGUAUCCAUUCUGGUCUAGUAGGUGCAGCAAAAUGAUUGUAUAAAUAGGUAGGUAUAAAAAAAGAUAGCUGAAAAUAGGGUAUAUAAGCUGGUUAUCAUAAUAACUGAUUCGACUGUUAUGGAUGAUAGAUGAAUGUAACAUUGUUUAUAGAAGGAUAAUAGGUUUGGUAUACUGGUGUAGGGUAUGUGAUGAAGUCUUUGAACUAUUGCCCCAUAUAGUUCACUGCUUGGGCUUCAUUUUUUUCUUCUUGAAAGCUCUACCUUUCUUUACUCUGCUUAUCUCUCUUGCAUCGAGCUUGUCAUUCUUUAUGGCAUUUUUAAUAAUCUCACAUGAUAUCAUCAUAUUUGUAAAGUUUUUAGUUGCAUUUACCUAUUAAUCUUUCGUAGUAAGGUAUUUUUAGAGUAUUCAUAAAUAUAACAAUUGUCUCUUUCUCAAAGAGGGAGAGUUAUACUUGUAUAACCACAUCUCAUCAUCUCUGUGCAUACUUUUUAAAAUUUUUUGUUAUUUUUUUUUCAUGCCUUGCAGAGAUGGAUGAUUUAGAGCUAGAUCUAUAACAUGUUGAUAUUGUUUUAAAAAUGCCCUCAUAAGCUCCUUCUAAAAAUGAAUAUGAGUCCUGUCUAGUUGAACAUAUCAUCUAGCUAUAAAACCCAUAAAGCUAUCCUAAAAUAUGUGCAUUAGUAGCUUCUCUUCAUGAGCAUACUUUGCUAUUUUACAGCAAUACAUGGUGACACAAGUCAUUAGGCAUUUUGUGUCAUUAUAUUUUUCAAAUUUAAGGAUCUUGAAUUUAGGUGGAAUGACCACAUAUGCGACUAAACAAAGCUUAGCUGCGUCCAUGGAGCCAUAAAAAUUCAUUUUCUUAUGGCCCUAAGUCUUUCUUCUACUAAUUUCAUCUUCUGCGAAACAUUAGUAUCUUUCACUUUCUUAGAUAUCUUUAUCCCUAGCUUUUCUCUCUCUUUAGGAUAAUCCAAGUAGAAAAUCAAGAUUGGCUUAAAUGACUUUUCUACUAUGACAAGAUUAGUAAAAUUUUGAAAUUGUCUCGAAGCAGGUGUGAAUGCCAUUCUUGGAUAAGGAUAGGAAUAUCCUCCGAAACUAAAAAUUUAUACUUUGGUUCCUUGAAAGGUUGGGUUAGUCAUGGCUCAAACACUAGAGGGUAUAUAGGAUCCACCAUGUUUAGUGUUUGCUCUUGAAAAUUAGGGUUUCCUUCUAUUGCUUUUCUUUUGUUAAGAUCUUAAGGAUGUCCAUUAUCUUAUUAAGAUCCCUUUUUAGUUCCUAUUGAGCCUUCCCAAUCCUUUCAAAUCGAUUGGCCUGUUCUUGUUCCAUGAUUCUUGUUUGAGUUCUGAAGUUGUAUGAUUAACGAGUAGGUUGAGUCAAGGUUGAGUCAAAAUUUUUAGUGGACAAGCUAUUUGUGAACCUUUAUUACAACAAAUUUUUAAAAAAAAUUAGAAUGCUAUGCAUUGGAAAUUUUAUUUUUUAAAACUUUUUUUAUGAUUUUUUAAAAAAGAAUAUGAUUAAAAAUGGUGUAUAUGAUGCAUGAAUGCAAGUGAGAGAUAUUUGCUAUUAGAUGAAUUUCAACACUAGAAAUUUUUAUUGAUUUCGUACAACUUUUGUUACAUGAGAUUUAUCAUCCUAGAAUUAUAUCUAUAGAAACAUUUGACUUACUUAUAAUGAUCCUUAACCUCGUCCAGAAAGUUCACUAAACACUGUCCAUAUUUUCUUACAAGAUUGACUUCUCUUCUUAAUGCCUUUACCUUUUCAACCAUCUUUCAUGCCUUCUUGACUACCUUGCGAACUUGACUGGUUAGGUGCUCUAUGUAUUGUUGCCUCCCUAAACUUUUUGCUUUUUAUUUUAUAAAGGCAUCUCUUUUUGAAUCACAUGUGAAGAUCCAAUCCUUUUUUUUCUUUACCACUCAUAUAUUAUUGCUGAAAUAUGGUUCUUGUGGUCUUAUAAUUGUAGCUCUAACCCUUGGAUCACCUAAUGAAGUGAUUUUUUUUCAUUUAGUACUUCAAGGUACUUUUUUCUCUAUUUUACGAGCAUAGUCUUCAACCUUUCCUUUUCUUUCUAGCAUUCAACCAAUUUUGCUAAAGUUGUAGAGUAUAAUCCCUCCCAAUGCUAGCAUUCUUGAAAAAUUCUAAUGACCUCUUCUUUUUUUAUUGAGCUUUGCCUUUUCAUUAGUUUAUUUCUGCUUAGAGCUCGUCCAUUUCACGUUGAUGACUAAGGUCAAACUUGGUAGCUUUUUCAGUCUUGAAUUGGACUCAUAACAUCUUGUUUUCUUGGUGUAAAUAUUUCAAAUUAUUGUUGGCCAUAUUUCAUUUUUUUAUGACCAUCUCCAAUUUGUUCCUUUUAUACUUUUGCUUCGUAUUUCAACUAUCCUAUCUUUUUGUAAAGUCUUAAACUUUUUCUUUUUAUUUCUUCCUUUUCAGCUUCCAAUUCCUUCUUAACAAUUUGACUCCUAAUAAUAUACUUUUAUCAAAAGGUUAAUUGAUUGAUAUGAGUUGUCAUCAGGAGGGAGCACCAUGUCUUUGAGUCACUUCACUUUCCAAAUCUAAUAAUUAGGAGUGACUUUAACGAUGAAAAGCCCUAGUAUUAUCCUUCACAUUUUUUUUAUGCUUGGAUUAACUGCUCUGAUGUUUUUGGUGGAUUAGAUUCCCCAUAAGUGGAUUCUACUUAAACUAGGACAUGAGUGGCAUGAACAAACUGAUUUACACUGAAUUGCCUAAAUACCAUCAACUAAGUGUAACUUACCAUACGUUAUAAUCCUAACAGCAAUAUCCAUGAUUCAUUUUCUCUUUGAUACAACAUGGGCAUGCAGGGCAUCUAUGGUGCCAUCCAUUCUAUUUUAUCCUCGAUGAGUCUUCGUAAGAAUAGAACCGAUUCUUCUUAGUCUUUAAUGUCAGCCAUUAGCUUUUGUAAAACUCUUCAAUUGGUGCAUUAUUUCAAAGAUACAGCUUUAAGAAUGCACUAUUCCCAUACUUAAAAUGACUUUGGACCUACAUAUAUAAUAGCAGUGCAGACCCUAUAAACGUCUUUUUCCAUUUCAUUGACAAAAAUUCAAUGACUUGAUGAUUUAGCUAGGACUGCUGGUCUAGGAUUAAUUACCUAGGCUUUCAAUUUGCUUAAAAAAGUUCACCACAAUUAUCUUGAUGUAACCCAAAGUCUUCGAGAAGAUCACCAUGCCAUAUAAUGCCAAAGCAAAUACAAUCAUGCCUUGAUCAUCAUUUAAAUGCCCUUGAAUAAAAUUUCAAAAAAAGUUCUAAUAGAUAUUGAGAUGUUCACCUUUAGGCUUUGUGAAGGAAUCUAUGAUUUCUACUUUAACCCUCAUAAGCUUGGCCAACUUUUUAUGAUAACUUGAUUUUGGCUUUCAGGUAAAUACUUUAUCUGGACAUUAUAGUUCUAUCCUGAACAAAAUUGAAUACUCCUCAAUAGUUGACACCAAUUUUUCUUGAUUAAAACUGAAGCAUUUAUAGAACGGCUCACUACCGAAAUGAGAGAUACAAUCUGCCCAUACUUUUUAUAAAAGUUUUUUUUUCUUCACUUAACUGACCCUAGAUGAUAGUUAAAUCUUUUAAAUUAUUUUGUGUAAGAUCCAAAUAAUUCUUUUGCUGAGCUUUAUUUGACCAAACAUAUAUUUCAUUUUAUGGUUCACAUGAGACAUUGAUAAAGAAUAAGUAAAUUUGUAGUUCUAUGAGAUCCAUGAAGAACUUUUUGGAAAAAAGAUGUCAUAGAGUAAAUACCUUGAUGCAAAACUGUAUGAUAUGAUUUAUAUAAAAAGAAAAAAGAAUAAAACAAAAUCAAGUUAGUGUGAGGAUGUGAUUUGAAAUUAAGAAAAAAUAUAUUUUUUAAUUUUUAAUUGUUUUUUUUUAAUUUUAUUUUUUAUUACACACGACUUUUAUUCCUACACGUUUUGGAUUUAGGCAUUUUCUACAACAGGGCGGGUGAGGCUUUACCUAAGGUUAGCUUUUUAGGCUUAUUACAUGCUUGGUUCGAAUUGACACGCGUCUAGAGGUUCCUAAAUUUUUCCUCACUAUUGUCCACGUUGGACUAGUAAGGCACCCUGAUCCUUAUCCAUUAUACGCUACGAAUGAAAAAUGUUCAAUUUGAGUGAAAAUAUUUUGCUUGUCAUUACAGAGGUUAUCACUUCAUGAGGGCAUAGGUACUUUACUUCCUUUUAUAAAGGAUAGAGCUCGGGUAUAAAACUCAUGCAUGUCAUGUAACGUAUCAUCAUGUGUGUAAAUGUCCUAAUUUAUUGAGAAAAAUAAAAUAAGAAAUGAACAAAAAGCAUAAAAAAUAUGCUUGAAAUCCUUUUUUUUUGUUUUUGAUUGUUUAAUUGGUUUUUGAUUGGUUUUUGUUUUUUUAUUGAAAAGGAAUCAAAAUCAAGGAACUUAAAGUUAAAUAUCGAUUAAGACUGUUUAAAGCAAAAGUGAGGAUAACACAGUUAAUUUUAGCUUGACUCUCGAAAAAAUUGGCUUCCCUAGUGGAAUCGUAAAACUGUCAUUAUGAUUUUGGAACCACUUGACGAAUUUGAAAAUGAAAUGAAAAACAAUAAAAAAUAAAAUCACCACCAAUCUUUUUUGGCUAGGUGCAAUUGGUCACCUAUUAAAACAUAUCAUUUUAAUAAAACUUUAAAAUUAAUUAAAAUUUAUUAAAAAGAUAGUUUUAGGGUCUGUAAAACAGGUCAGAUUCAAGAGUUGAUUAUGUAUGGGAAAUGAUUAGCACUCUUACAGUAUCUGUUUAAAACGAUAUUAAUUAAUUACAUGUUAUCUUUCAAUUCUAAUAAAAAAUGAUUUUAGUUUCAGUAUUUGAAACAUAAUUUCCUUGACUUCUUUUGUUUAGUAAAAUUUUAUUGUUGUUAUUAUUAUUUAUUAUUAUUAUUAUUAUUAUUAUUAUCUUUGUUCCGUUUUGUUUGAAAAAAAUACAUUAGAACCUUUUUAUUCAAAUAAUUCUUAAAAUAUUUUAGUGUAUUAGUAAUAUUAGAAGAACUCUUUCUCACCUAAAAAUUUCUUAGGCAUUGCUUAACGGAAUACCUUAGAAUCCCAUCCUCGGAGGCCCGAACUUAUUUUUCAAGAAAACUAUGUCAUGUAUACAAUGUAAAUGAUAAUAUAUUGAUGCAAACAUUUUAUUUUCCUUUUAGAAAUUUUAUUUUUUAUUAUUAUUGUUAUUGUUUUGAAGAAAAGAGAAAUUUUUAUCAUAUUGAAAAAUUUUUAAUAAUACUUCAAUCCAUUGGUAGUAUUUAAAAAAAUUUCCUCACCUAGAUAUUUUUAAGGUAUCACUAUUCGAAAUACCUUAAAAUCCUUUUAUCGGGUAAAGAUUUCUUUUCUUUUCUUUUUUAUUAUUUCAUUUUUAACAAAUCAGUUACUUUUUAUAUAAUAUUUUAUAGCAAAAGAAAAUGAAACUUUUUUAUUGUGUUAAAAACUUUUUAUAAAUACUUCAAUACGUUGGUAGUAUUUAAAAAACUCUUCUCACUUAGAGAUUUCAUAUGUAUUACUACUAGGAAUACCUUUUAAUCUUAUCAUUGGAUAAAAAUUUUCCUUUCUUACAUUUUUAAUAAUUUUUUAUUGAUUUUAUUAAUUAACUUUUUGGUUAUUUUUCUUAUUUUUUAAUUUUAAAAAAAUUAUCAAAAGUUAGAAACCAUUUUUUUAUUAUUAUUGGUAACCAUUUUUUUUAUUAUUAUUGGUAUCAUAAUCAUUAAUUAUUAAUUAUUAUUAUUUUUUAUAAUAUUUAUCCUAAAUUUUAAUAAAAAUUAUAAACAAUUUUAACUAUGUUUUUCAUUAUUUCAAUUUUAUUUAUCUAUUUUUUUUUUGUUUUCAUUUUUACUAAUUAAAAACAAUAAAAUUUUACUCUAAAAAAAUUUAAAUAUUUAAACAUGCCUAAAUAUUAAUGACAAAAUUCGAAAUAAAAAAUAAAAAAAAAAUUGAACCGAAUUGGUUAACAGUUCAGUCAAUGUUGGUUUAAAUCGGUCAACAUCGACAUGUGUCGAUUUAGCUAAACCGAUCAGCGAUCAAAAAAGGAAGUCAGAUCGUGGGUCGGGGGCACGAAUCUUGAGUCGAUCCACUGGUGCGCAUGUGGAUCCUGGACGAAACAACAUCGUUUUGAGGCUUAGUCUUCUAUAUAAAAACCAAUUUUUUUUUGUUUCAGUUCAUUUCUCCUUGGUUUCCAAAAAAAUUUUCAAAAUUCUCUCAAAUAAACAUUGGAAACAGCCAGUCGUCGGUCACUGGUCAUUGGUCGUCACACAAGUCGCUGUUGACUACCGCUUUCGAUGGUCGAAAAACUAAGAAAAUAUCAAAAGACAACCUUUUGCCCCCUAAGCUCAGAUCUAGUCUCUCUUUCAUCGGGAACAACCUCAAUUGGUGUAGAUCGAGCUUCAAAGCUUCAAAUUUUCUUUUAUAUAUAUUUUUGUUGAUUUUGAUUUAUUAUUUUUAUUUUUUAUGAUACCGACUUCUCUAUUUUCCUUUAGGCACACUGCACAAAGCCAUGUUCACUAUUAGGGGACUUUUUUUUAAGGGUUUUGAUUUAAUUUUUUUCUUGGGUUUGUGGUGGUGGUGAUUGGAAGCAAAAGGGCCUUGUGGAAGUUGGCUUUUGGUUUCUGGGUGUUAUGAGGGUGUAGAGGUGCUCUUGUAGGGAGCAUGUGCUGGUAGGAUGCCUGACGGUGCUUUGGGGUUUAGUUUCAGAGGCUCGGGCUAAUGGCUAAAUGAGGUCAUCACUAGGGCUCUUGGGCCAUAACUGGUGUGAAAGGGCUUUGAGCUCAUGAAAAGGGGAAGUUCUGGUAGAGUCUGACAUUGGGUACGUGUGGAUGAAGGUUAAUGUUUAUGGCUUUAGGAGAAAAAAAGGGAGCUAGGGUUAAGGGCUAAGGUUACAUGGCAUGGGUAAGGGUUUAUAUAGGGUUUGGGUUUGGUUAGAGAGGUCUGGUGGGUGGCUUGUACGAGUUUUGGUGAAGAGGGUAGUUUUUUGGUAUGCAUCCAGAGGUGUGGUGUGGGUGUUAGUGCUUAGGGGCCAUUGGGUCAUUUUUUUUUUUAGGUGUGUUUCAUUAGCCUAGCCAAUUUCGUGGCUGGUGUUUUAUAGAACGGCUUGGAGGAGUAGGUGGUGAAUAGAUGGUUAGGUUACAAGGUAUGAGUAAGUGAUUGUUAAGGGCAUGGUGCACGGGUCUCAGAGGAUUUGGCUGUGGGAAGCAGUGGGUUGUACAAGGGCAUAGGGAUGGGUGGCUAGUAGUGCCAUGCAUAACACUCACUGGCACCAGCACCCUGACUUUUGUUCUUUUUUUUGUAUUUUUAAUUAAUGUUUAAUUAACUAUUAUUUAUUGCAUUAUGAUAUAAAUAAUAAAAUUAAAAUUAAAAAUUAAAUAGUGAACCUGGGUCCAAAAAAAGAAAUCAAGCUUUGACUCACAAACUCAUUAGAACCAAAAAAUUUAAAUCGAAAUUUGAACAAAUUUCAUAUCUACAGUAAUAAAAAAAAAUUGUCAAUCCAAUAUUAUUACACCUGAACUUGAUUUUUUAUGAGAAACAAAAAAUCCCAUACAUUAUAAAUCUCUUAAAGCAAAGUGUAAGGAAUACUUGAAAAAAUCCCCUUUCACCACCAUCUUAUAUCACAGAACUUGGAUAUAAAACCAUCAAUCUUAACCUAAAAUUUUGUCAAACCCAUAAUUAAUAUUUGCAAAUUUCAAGAAAAAACACAAAUUUAACAUCAAUCAUAUCUAUCAUCUCACAAUCAACCAAUGAAAUUAAAUACAAAAGAAUUUCAGUAAAAUAAUAUUGAAAAACAAAAAUUUGCUAAUAAUCAUAAUGUUCUUAUACUUGAAAAUUUUGAAUUACAUGACUCAAAUAGAAUGAUUGGAACCUUAAAGGGAUGGUAUUGUACCCUUGAUAACCUAUCUCUUGUAUAAAGAGAGAGAGAGAGAGAGAGAGAGAGAGAGAGAGAGAAAUUUUUUUGAUAAGAUAAAAAAGAAGUCAAAGCUGAUAUAAGGUUAAAUGAUGUCAUUCACCAAAAUGUAUUUUCAUCAUGGCCAUAUUUUUAAUAUCUUUUACAUCUUGAUUUUAAUUGAGUUUGUCUAUUAGAAAUGCAUUUGCUUGAUCUUUAAAAUAUGUAAAUCAAGAAAUGGUGAUAAAUUCCAGACAAUGGUGGCUAAUUAACACAAUUAAGACGAAUAAUAGCAUAAGCAAAAUUUGCUUUGAGAAUUCACAUUAGCAUGAGGAUAACUUUUAUAAAAUACAAUAUAAAACUUGUCAAAGAAUAUAUCUUGAGUUAUGAAUGCAAACAUAAUAGCACAGAACUUGAAAUAUUCAAGCAUAGAAACAUAUAUAACACAUGAAACCAACAAUUUUGAAAUAGUCAAAUUUAACGGCCAGCAUUCUUACAAUUAAAAGAACUAAAUUAGAAGUGACCUGCAAAAAGAUUGAUACAUCAAAAUGAAACUUAGACUUACAUCAAAUAGCAAUGCAAUGCUUUUUAAAAUCAAAUAUUGAUUCUACCAUUCAUUAAGAAAAAGAUUGAAGAAUCAAGAAAAACUCAUAAUUUUGUUUUUGAUAAAUCUUAUAUUUUCCUUAUUUUCAUAUGAACCAUAAAAUAAAAAUUAAAGAAAUGAGAAAACCCACAAUAGUUGAAUAAAAAAAAAUCAUCAUUGUUAUUACAUUGCAAUUUUCCUCCUUUCCCUUUCUCUCCAGCGUUUCCAAUAAUGAAGUGUUAAUCUCUAUGAAACCACGAACGUCAACAUAAGACCACCACAUGGCAUUCCAUUUGUUCAUGUAUGAAAGUCAAUUAAUAUGUCAUUACAAUGAAUCAUACGUGAUUUGUUCAACAUGUGUUGAUGUGUAGAUAUCUUAAUGCUAUAUCGUCCAAUUGCUUCAUUUCAGCUUUCGAUGGCUUGCGAUAUGUUGAUACCCUUGAAGAUGUGAAAGGUUUGUAUGAAAAUUGUUUAAAACUUUUUUAUUUCGUUGUUGUUAAAAUAUGGAAUUUCUUUUCUUUCACUUUCAUUUUUAUUAAGUUAAAAAAAUUCAUUUUUACUUUAAAUUAAAUUUAAAAAUUCAAACCAAUUGAUAAAGCAAAUUGUAAACUAAAUAAUCUCUCAUAGUAUUAUUUUCAAUAUAUUAUAAACAAAAAUCUUAUCUCUUUAUAGUCUUAUUUACCAAUAAAAAAAAAACAAAUGUUCAUAUUUAUCUCUUAACAAAUUUAAUUUAAAAAUAAAAAACAAUAAAACUUAUCUCUUACAAUUUAUUUGGCUUAAUCAUGCAAAACUAAUUUAAAAAUUAAAAAAAAUUAUCAAUUUUAAAGAUUAAUCAAUUGAAAAAAUCUCCAUCUAAAAUAUCAAAAUUUUGCAUUUACCUUUUUUCUUUUUCCUUGAUUUUUCUUCUUUUCACAACUGUUUGUCCCGUACCUUUAUCCAGUGAGAAGAACUAUUUUUUUCACGUUUGUAUUUUUUUUCUUCAUUUUCUUCUUCCCUCAUUUUCCUGUGCUGCAUCCUCUCAAUCCUUUUUUCUCUCAUCUCUCUUUCUUGUAAAUUUCUCUUUCCAUCUUUUUUCCUAUUCUGCCAUCCUCACCUAAUUCUUUUUGCUGUCAUCUCUCUUUCUUAUAAAAGAAAAAGUUGCUCUCAUCUCUUUUUCUUGCAAAAGAAAAGGAAAAGUAAACCAAAAUAUAACAAAAAACACACCAUUUAAAUAUAAAGAAAAAGUCCACAUGUCACGUUAAGAAGAGUCUGGCAGACAAACUUUACUACUAUAAGAAAUUGGCACCAUAAACUCAGCCAUUUUCAUAAGUAACAUGCAUGCACUCUAUGCAAGUGGGGCAAUUUUGUAUUUGUAACCUGAAGCUUAAUGGCAGAUGUUAGCUAACCUAUCAGACAAUGAAGUGCAUAAUUGUGUUUAUUGUAAUAUAUAUAUAUAUAUAUAUAACUUUGAGUUCAAUAGUGGACAUAAAGGCCAUCAAAAUGUGCAAAAAGACAUGAUAAAUAAAAUUAACUAUUGAACCUGACUAAAUUUAUACAAAUAAAAUGAGCAAUCAAGUACAUACACAAUCCAAAUUUAUCAUUCAAAACCUGUGAUAGAAUACCAAUUGAGAACAUAGUAGUAACUCCAUCUCUAGCACCAAAUUUUAUAAUGGGCAACAUUUAGGCAAGAUUUAUGGGUUAUGUCCUUUUUCUUAGGUACCGGAAUGAUAUAGACCAUGUUUUUAAAAUUGUUGACUUGAAAAACUAAAAUUGGCAUGAGUUUUAGGUGCAAGUAAUUUUAAUCUUUAGACUUAUUCGUUGUGAAACUUUAGGAAAAGAAAACUCGUAACUAAGUUCUAUCCAUAACACAUAUCGUAGUUAGAUUAUGAUUUAAAUUACAAGCUUUUCUUUCUCUAUUUUCAAAGCAUAUUGUAGUUGGAGUUAGAAAAAUUUAUUAAAAAAAUGAACUGCAAUGAAAAAAAAUUCUUUUUUUUUCUCUAUCUUUUACCUUUCAUAGUCCCAAACGAUGAUGGGCAACACUGGCUUAAGGGCAUACAACUCUUGUCCUUCAUAUGGCCUCCCUUUUUGUCAAUUAUCUUGUAAAAAAAAAAAACUCAGGAAAAAAACUCAUCUAACAACCUACAAAAUAAUACUAAUCAAAAUUUUUUCUUUUCUUUUUUCAUUUUGUUUUUUCUUCUCUUUCCAUUCACUUUCUUUCAUCGUUAGCUAGCCAGGAAUUUACCUGACCCUUGUGAUCCCAUGUCUAGACAGAAAAGUUGAUUAUUGCUAUUAAGGUUAGACGAAUCAAGAGGGUAGAUCAAAUCUUAAUGGAGAGGGUGACAUGUUGACCUAUGCCCUCUCAUAAUUUUACCUUAUGAAACCUUUCCAUUCUACUAUCGUUGUAUGGACUUAUGAACUCAGAUCUAUGUUUUCCAAAAUUUAUCAUAGAAUCUUGAAGUAACUUUUAAUAAUUACAGAUGAAUAUCAAGUUUGUAAUAUCAAAACUUUACUAAUGUUAAAUGUUGUUAAUUAAUUUAAUCUUUACACAUGGCCAUUAAAAUAAUUGAUCAAAAAUUUUCUUUCUAAGUACAAUAAAAUUAAAAAAUUACUAUAUAAUGACAACUCAACUACAAAAAUAAGAUGAAGUAAAUGUUGCUCAAGAAACAAACUUCAUAAAAAAAUAGACAACUUGGGAUAAAGAGAGUGGGCAAAAAAAAAAAAAAGCAGUUGAUUGAUAUAUUCAUAUUUUAACCAUCGUUAAGAUAAAAGUAACGGCCUUAUUUUACAAUUGUUUGAGUUAUUCAUCAAUUACCAUUUCUCAUUUCAUGCUAUUCGUAUUUUCCUCAACUUAAGAUAAAAUCUAAAAGUUUCAGAUUUUCCAAAGAAGCCAAAUUCAAUUUAAGAAAAAAAAAGGUAAUAGAACACGUUACACAUUCAUAUAUACCUAAUAUUUCUCUUUCCAUUUCUUCAACAACUACCGAGCAUUGAUAUGCAAAUCAUUUGCUUAUACAUAUAAUAUUAUUUAAAAUUCUCUCUUACAUAAUAAAUAAAAAAAAGAAUAAUUAAAAGCAAUAAACAACUAUAUCAUUUUUCUAACAAGUAUAAAGAUCAACAUCAUCGAAUCAGCAAAAAAGAAAAGAAAAUUGAAACUUCUAGAUCAGAAUAAUACCAAAGUGUUUUAAGGAAUUAAGAUUGGAGAGAUUGUUGGGCUUUUUGUUAAACUGGACACUAGCAGUUCCUCUUCCAAACUGCUUUACCAAAAAACAAUGAUUUUUCUUCACCACCUUCCAAAUAAACUAUUCUACAACUAUCACCAUCUUAUUUUUUUUCCUACAACUCACUACACCAUAUGUGUGAUAGAUUGCUUACAUAUAAACCUAUUUAAGGGCUGGAUUACUUAUUUGAACUUGAAAGUACACUUAAAAUUUUAAAAAGCUUGAAUAUAAAUAUUAGAUCUGUUAAAUGGGUUUGGACAAGUAAAUAAAGCCUAACAAAAAAUUGAGCCGGGCUAUGGUUUCAUUAUUUUAGGCUAGGGCUCUACCCAACCAGUUUCAAUAUUUAAAUAAAUUGAAUUAGUCUUCUCAUAAUGGGACAAAGUAUUUAUUUUAUUUUUUAUAAUGGACAAAACCCUUUUAUUUUAUUAUUUACAACAAAAAAAAGUUAUUUACUUUAUUUUUUAUCAUGAAUAAGACCCAUCUUAUAAUUUAUAACAAAAAAGAACCUAGCCAUUUACGUCUUUGCUUUCUUUUUCCCCUUUCUUAAUUUCCUUUUCUUUUUUGUUCUAGGAUUAGCCACUUAUUUCACUAAAACUUUCUCUUUUAUUCACUCUAAAAUUAGCUUGUCUCUAAAUCUCAGUAAUUUCAAAUUCUUUUAAGAUUGUCUUCUCCAAAUUGACUUCUCUUUUUUAGAUCGACAUUAUCUCCUUUGUGUUCUCUAACUCGCAAGUUAAUCACUUCAAAGUAAAUUUUUUUUCACUCUUGUCUUUAUAAUUUUUAGUUUAUUUUCGUUUUCUUUCAUAUUUUUAGAUAUCAAAUUUGGUUCUUGAACUAAAAUUUUCUUUUUUUUUUUUGAAUAAUUUGGGGUAUUGGUUCAUAAACGUUAGUAUUUAUUAUGUAUUUAUUGAUAGCUUGCACAACUCAUUAAACUAUAUGACAGUGUCUUGGGCAAACAUUGACUCUCUUAUUAUAUGUAAGAAUGGACUUGGGCAAAAAAUAAGAUUCGAAGAGUCAGGUCAGGUCAAGCCUAGACUUGUUUAUAAUUUUUCAUAUGCUACUUAAGUCUAACCCGAAUUCGGUUUGACCCAACCCAUGAAUAGGUCUACUCACAUGUACAUUUUUUGCAUGAGGUUUAGUAAUAUCUUGAUUUACAACACUUAUAAGAUUUACCAAAUUAAUUUUUAUACUUGUUUUAAACUUUAUAUUUGAUACAAAAUUAUGUUACUGUAAAAUCUGAAAUAAAAUAGUUUUAAAAUUUAAGUACAAGUAUUAAAAUUUAAACAAUUAUUUUAAAUUUAUUGAAAAAAGGUUUCAAUUAGAAUGAGUCAAUUCUCAUUCAUAGGAUUUUAUAAUAAAUUUAAAAGGUAAAAAAAUUUGCUUUUUAUUUUUACUAUUUAAGUUUCGCUUCCAACAAUAAUAAUAAUAUUAUAAAAAUUAAAUUAUAAAAACUUAAUUUUAAAUAAAUAAACAUGAUUUUAGUUUUAUAUAAAACAAUUAUAUUAUAGUUAGUACUGUAUUUUAGUCAUUUGCUUUUAUUUAUAAAUUUUUUUUUUUUAAAAAAAGCAUAACAAAAUCAACAAUUAAAAAUAAGCCUAUACAAUCUUUUCUAAAUAAAAUAAAAAAACCAACAAACAAUGUCUAAACAAUUAAAUUAAUAUUUUUUACCUUAAUUGUCAGAAUAUCUUAGAAAAUUCAUUAUUGUACUAAACCGAUCUUCUUUCUCCACUCCAAUAUUCGUGAAUUGUGAAAGAAUUUUUAUAAAAUCCAUGCAUACACUUUGAAACAAAUAAAAUAUUUAAAGUUUUUAUAAAAAUUUCAAAAACAAAAAAAAGCAUUGAUUUUAAUUUUUUUAAUAUGUGGAUGAACAAAUUAUAAAAAUAUAAUAAAACUUUUGUGCAUCCCACAAGUUAAAAAACCAUUUCUUUGCAAGCAUAAAGGUUAAAAAAAAUAGAGAAAUAGAAGUAACAUUGAGAAUAUCGUUAAAGAAUAAAUUAUCUUCUAAUGUAUGUAAUAUUUUGUCUUUUUGAAUUUAAAAAUUAUCAAAUAAUAAAAUAUUAUUAUGAAAUCUCUAAAAAUAAAAAUUAUAUUUUAAUUAAAAUUUCAAAAUUAAAAUGACAUAUUUAAAUUACUAAGAAAUCCAUUUUAUAGUAUCACUACAUUUGAGAUUUUUGGAUUUAAAAAGAUAUAUAUUUAUAUUAUUAGAAAACCUAUUUUAAAAGAUAGUAUAUCACUAUAUUUGAAAGUUUUAAAUGGAAAAAGAUAUAUAUCUAUAUAUAUGUAUAGAUUAUUUAGAAAUGCAUUUUUGAAAAAAUAUAUAUAUUUAAAUUAGAUUUUGUUGUUAGCAACUUAAAAAUAAUUGAAUUGGUCUUCUACUUAAAUUUGAAAGUUUUAGAUAAUUAAGUAAUUUUUAAAUAUAUAUUUUUGGAUAAAUAGCUUAAAAUUAGGAAAUAUCUUACAAGUUACUAUAAAGAGAAAUUUAAAAAAUUUUCUAUGUGUCAAAAAAACAAACUAUCCACCUAAACAUCUACAUAAAUAAAUUUUAUCAGAUUUCUAUUUAUGUUAUAAUAUAAUAUUAUAUAUGAUAAUUAAGGAGUUAAUUAUGACACUUGCAACUAAUACAAAAAGAUAACAACAAAAAUUUAAUUGUAAUAUAUUAAAUAUAAAUUUAUUUUAUUUUUUAUAUCUUAAUAUAUUUGUAAUAUUUUGUAUGCAAAUUAACAUUUUCAUUAUUUUUAUAUUAAAAUAAUUAUAACUAUGUGUAAUAAAAUAUUAAUGAAAAGCAAAAUUAUUUCAAAUAAAUAUAAAAAUAAUUAUAACUCUAUUCACACAUUCUAAUAUUUUAGCAUCAAUUAAUAAAUAAAUCAGCUUAAUUAACACUCGGGAUGUCAAUUGAUAAGGUCUGAGAUGAGUAGAGCAUUCCUUAUUCCCAUUCUUAGUUUUUUUAUCUUAUAAUUAUCUUUUAACUCAUAUCCAACGGGUAUUUUAAAUUCAUUCACAUCUUUAUCUUUGUGAAUAUUUAAUGGGUAUCACUAAUCCUCAUAUCCAUGACUUUUUAAAAAAAAAUAAAAAAUAAGUUUUAUUUUUUAAAAUUUUUUAUCUUGCAUAUUUAAGUAAUUUUUUUUUAUAAAUAUAUAUUUUUUAAAUACAAAUAUAUUAGAUAUAAUACAUCUAAAAUAAAAUUAUAUUAUUAAAUAAAAAUUAAUUUGUUAAAUAUAUAAAAUAUAUAGAAUAUGGGUAUGGAACUAUAUUACUUAUUAUCGUACCCAUAUUCUAUAAAAAAAUAUAAAAUCAUACUCAUUCUCAUUUUUAUUAUCAAAAUUUAAUAUCCAUUUUUAUUUUAAUUAAAAUAAAAAUUAAAUUCUUUAUUAAAUUUGAAUAAAAUUAACAUUCCUAAUUAACAUAAAAAAUAGUAGGGAUGAAUACUAGUAUCCUUUUGGAAAAGAGUGACUUGAUGUAAAAGGUGGUGGCAACUUAUUCUUGUUCAUUUGAUAUUAAAAUCAUGCAAUUAUUUGUGUUGAAAAGUGAUAACUCAAACCGGUUAGGCGAAGUUCGAGGGCAUUUGGUUAAGCUUGAGCCUUUAUUUUUCUUUAUAUUUUUCUUUACUUGCGAGGCCCGCAAGAAUAACUCACUUGGACUAAAUUAUAAUUUAAGUUUGAUCCGCCCUAUCUUAAAGCUAUUCGAUUAUAUUACAUAAAUAAUUUAUUUUAGGUAAUUUUUAUUGUAAAAUAUAUUUUAAAACAUUAAUAUAAAUUUUUUUUAUGUAUUAUAAUAAUAUAAUAUAAGUGAAUGGAUCAAUUUAAAUUAAAUUGAUACUCAAGCUUCUAUUUUUAAAGUAUCAAUAUCAUUUCUAAUUGUGAACAAGUUAAAAAAAUUUUUUUCUUUAUUUUUGUAUCUAUUAAUUUUAAUAUGUUUAUAAUUAUUAUUCAUAUGUAUGCGAUUGGAUUAUUAAUUAUGGAUCCUAUAAACAUAAAUCAAAAUAAAAACAUUGACAACAAAUCAAAAUGAUAUUUGGUGUGAACCAUUUUAUGUAGGUUGGACAUGGCAAAAAAUCUCGUCUUCCCCUCCAUGCAGUUUGGUUUGAACCAUGCAUAAAUAGUAUAUGUAGCAAAUGAUAAAGAUAACUAGGGGUCCCUCUUCCAAAAGCCCAAGCCAUCACAUUCACGUAUGCGCUCAAAAGCCCGAGCCAUCACAUUCACGUAUGCGCUGACGCUAUUGAUCAGAUCACUAGCCUAGUGGUUGAGAAAAAGACGUACAACCAUUCCUGAAUUGGAAAAUGCCAAACUCCCAAAUUAGUUCUCCCCCAAGAAGAAUAACCCAUCUUUUAUUUUUUUCGUAAAAAAUGAAAAGAAUUAGUAUUGGAUUCAAGUUUUUUUCAAAAAUGUAUAUUUAUAAUAUAUAUUUUUGAUAGAUUUAAUAAUUUUAUUAAUAAAAUAUAUUCAAAAUAAUUUUAAAGAAUCCAAAAUUCUCUUAUUUUUUUUAUUUGUCAAUAUUCAAGAUAUUUAAAAACAUCCUGUCAAUCCAUUGCAUCCGCCAGAAAGGAACAUCUUAUAAUUUUCAUAUCAAAACAAAGACAAGGGUCAGUGGAAAAGGACCAUUCAACGGAUUAAGAAGUUUUGUCAAAUAGGUCCUCCUAAAAUACUGACAAGAUAAAUUGAUGAUCAAAUUGAAACAAUUGAUUUAGCCUUUUUAAAAUAAUUAUUUAUAUUUGAUAUAUUAUUAAUAUAUAAAAUUUAUAUAUUAUUAAUGAAUUAAAUAAAAUUUAUUAAUAAAAAUUUAACAAAAAAAUAAGUUUUUUUGUAUUUAUCUUUAAGGGUUAAUAAAAUUUUUUAUUUAAUCAUUGAUAAAGUAAUAUCAUUUGAUUUACUAUCAAUAUAUAAAAUUUAUAUAUUAAUAAUAUAUUAAAUAUAGACUCUAUUUAUUAUGAAGGUAAUCAAACAUGAUAGCUUGUUUCAUUUUCUUUUGAUGAUUGUCAUUAAAAUUUUGUUUUUGAAUAAAUUUCUUUUUUAAAACAUUUCGAUUUAAUUAGUUAAUUUGUAGAUAAAGUUUUCUUUUAUAAAAAAGUUUAAAAACUAUUAGAAAGUUAUUUUGCAAAUGUUUAAUUUUACUUUUGGUAAUUAAAAAAAUUUUUUGAUUGUUUAUAUUUAGAUCUACUAAUGGGUAGGGUCGAGUCGAGUUUGACUAAGAUUUAGCAUGAUAUUCCAACAUUUUAAGUAAGUUUAGGGUCGAUCUGAUUUUUUGAACUUGAGUUUGGGUCUAAUUUAAUUUUGUUAAAUAUAAUUUAAAAUUUGAUUAUUGUUUUAUACAAAGAAUAAAUAGGUUUUAUCCUAUUAUAAGUAAUAAAGAAAAUGUAUCUUGUCCAUUAUAAAAAAUAAAAUAACCAGAUCUUAUCUCAUUAUGAUAAAACUAUUUUUUAAUUUUCGAGCUUGAUUGGACCAAACCUGAGCCUUAAAUGGUGAAACAUAAUUUCAACCUCAUUUUUUUAUUUGACUUCAUUUAUUUAUUUAGAUCUAUUUAACGGACUUAAUAUUCAUAUUUAAUUCCUUCAAAAUUUCGAGUCGAGCUUUCAAGUUUGGACAAAUUGCCUGGCCUAUAAUCAGGUCUAGUUAUAUUACAUUUGUACGUAGUGUGAGGCUACUUAUUUGUCACCAUGUCACCCUAUCACCCUAAGUUAUUCUUAGAAAUAAUUUCAUUUUUUACCAUUAUAUUGUACAUGAAAAAUGUAUCUGAUAUAUGAGAUUAUGAUAGAAUAAGAUAAAAUAAUAUUAUAAAUAUGAUUAAAUUAAAUAGUAUUAUCCUAUCUUAUAUUUGAUAUGUGUAAAAAUUAAGAUAGGAUAAUUUAUUUAUUAACCAAAAUUAUCCUUUCUCAAAAUUUAUAUAAUUUAAAUUAUUAAUAUAAUUUUUAAAGAUAUAAUAAGAUAUGUAAAUUUAAUUUUAUAGAUUAAAAUAAUCAAUUUUACUUUGGGAGGAUAAAACUAUCUUAUACCAAGAGAAUGAUAAAUAUUCUUUGUAAUCAUAUUCUUUUUUUAAAUACAAAUUAAAAAUAUUAUAAGAUAAUUAUUGUUUUAUUCUAUCUAUUAUCUUGUACACUAAAUAUGAACAAAAAUAUUUUAUAAUAUAGAUAUAAAGAUAAUAUUUAUUAUUUUAAUAAUAAAAUAACAAUUAAAUUAGACAAUCAAAAUGAAUUCAACUUUUUCCUUUAUAAUUUAAUAAGCCAAUCCAACCCAUAAACUAAGUUUGGUUUAAGAUAUUUUGUAUCAUGCAAUAGCAAAAUCCAGAAUAACAAAACAAAAAGAAACUAAAUUUGUAAUAAUAUGGUGAAAAGUCGUAUAAUCUAUUACUAGCAACCCACGUGCAAAAGCCCAACCUUGUUAGAAGAACACGAUAGCUAUGAAUAUGUAAGCGGCCAUGUAAGCUAUGGAUGUCAGCAGUCGUCUCUUGAAAAAUGUCAAAACUUCUUUUUUUUUUUUCCUUGAAUAUCUCAUACGACGGUGUCACAAGAUAUCAAUUAACGUCUCCAUCUCCAUUCAGACAACAUGAAUAUGAUAUCGUAACGGUAAAAUUAAUUUUAAUUAAAUUAAAAAUAAAAAUAAUAAAAAUAAUUAUUUUAAUAAUAAAAUUAAAUGUGUAAUUAAAAUUAAUGAUAUAAUAUAUAUUUAAGUAUAAAUAUAGUGACGACGAUAAAAUAAAAUGUAAUAAAAAAUUGAUUAUUAAAAAUAUUAAAUUUAAUUUAAUAUAUAAUAAAAUUUAUAGUAUAUAUUUGAAAAGUGAAUAAAUAAUUAUAAAUUAUUAAAGUUAUUUAUAUAUAUCAAAUUAAAAUUUUUACCUAAUAAAAUUUAUUGUAUAUUUGAUUUUUUUAACAGUUAAUAAAUAAUUAAAAAUUACUAACAAAAAUGAUAGCUUUAUAUAAUAUAUUUUUAAAUAAUUUACUUUAGUACGCAAGCGAUAAGAAUAUUAAAAGCUUUUUCUAAACAUUGAUCAAAGAAAAAUAAAUAAAUAAUAAAAAAUUAAAAAUAAAAUAAAAAUAAUAUAAAUAAAGAUUGGACGCAAAAUAAAAUACGUGGACUCUCACAUACUCUUUAUAAGGUUUCUUGAAUUUAAGGCUUUUAAAAUUGAAUUGAAAAAUGUUGAAUUGAGUUAUAUGUAAGGUUAUUUUAAGGGUUUUUGUCUUCAAUCGCAGAUUACAAAUUUUCACUGAUCUCUUUAGCUCCAGUGACGAUUGAGGGGUGUGGUGCAGUUGAAAGAUUCCAAUCGUGCAUCCAAACAUGUUUCUAUGGUGCAAAAUAAUCCUUAAGUGCAUCCAAAUGGGCCCUAAGUUUCCAAGAUGACAAUAUCUCCUACGCAAGAAGUCUCUAAGAUGACACUAUCUCCUACGCAAAUAUACAAAAAGACAGUUGAUCUGAGUGGGAAAUUAAAAUAUGCUCUGAAAGCACAUGAUUGUGAUUCAUGUUAAAAGUACUCUAACUUGGAAAUUUCUAUGGGCGGGUCCAAAUUUUUUAGCAAUACUACGCCCCUCUAUAAAAGCAAAUACAUUUUAAUUCUAUACAUCACAAAAUAAAAAUCAAAUCAAAUCAAACAAACACAGAGCUACCAGUAGCAAAUCAAACAAUGGAAGAAGCAACAAUUCUUUACUCAUUUCUUUCUUUUAUCUUUCUCAUCGUUUGUUUAAACUUGUUCUUUCAAUCAAGAAAACAACCCAAAAACCUCCCUCCAAGCCCACCAUCACUACCCAUAAUUGGCCACCUUCACCUCCUAAAACCCCCCAUCCAUCGUUUGUACCAUAGCCUUUCACAAAAAUAUGGUCCAAUCUUCUCCCUUCGCCUCGGUUCUCGGCUUCUUGUUGUAGUAUCAUCUUCAACCGCAGCCGAGGAAUGCUUCAGCAAGAACGAUAUAGUUUUUGCCAAUCGCCCCAAGUUUAUCAUAGGGAAACACUUAGGCUACAACUAUACCACAGUUUCAACAUCGUCUUAUGGUGAUCAUUGGCGCAACUUACGUAGAAUUGGUGCCAUUGAAAUCUUCUCAUCAAGUCGUCUAAACGCCUCCGUGACUGUUCGAAAAGACGAAAUCAGGCGCUUGUUAUUAAAACUGUCGUGUGAUUCGCGUCAAGAGUUUGCGAAAGUGGAGCUGAAAUCUAUCCUUAAUGACAUGACCUUUAAUAACAUAAUGAGGAUGGUGGCAGGGAAGCGGUACUAUGGAGAUGAAGUGACGAAUGAAGAAGAAGCAAGAGAAUUUAAGGAACUUAUGGCAGAGGCAUUCAAGAAUGGUGGAACAGCAAAUCAAGAAGAUUACUUUUCUGUAUUGAACUGGUUUGGUGAAGGGUAUGAAAAGAAGGUGAAGAAGCUUGGAAAAAGGAUGGACAGGUUCUUGCAAACUUUGAUUGACAAUCACCGAAGUAAGAGGCAGGAAAAUAAUAGUAUGAUUGAUCACCUUCUUUCCUUGCAAGAAUCUGAGCCUCGUUACUAUACUGACGAAAUUAUCAAAGGGUUCAUAUUGGUAAUUAGUUGAAUCUUUUUCUUUUUUUCUUUUUACUUUUCAAUAUUUUAUUGUUGAAAGAUUUUCGGUUUUAAAUUUUGAGCUUAACUUAAUUGAUUCAUGCACUUAUUUUUAGAAGAUGACAUUCAAAUCUGAAAUGUCCUAAACUAACAAAUUAACAUUGUUCUGUAGGUGAUAAUACUUGCAGGAACAGAUACAUCAGCAGUCACAAUAGAGUGGGCAAUGUCCAAUUUGCUAAAUCACCCAGAAGUAUUGAAGAAGGCUAGAGCUGAACUAGACAAUCAAAUUGGUCAAGACAACCUGAUUGAUGAACAAGAUGUUUCCAAGCUACAUUACCUUCAAAGUAUUAUAUUGGAGACACUUCGAUUAUACCCUGCAGCUCCUCUUCUGCUUCCGCACAUGCCAUCUAGUGAUUGUACCUUAGGUGGAUACAACGUGCCACGUGGUGCCAUCGUACUGGUGAAUGCUUGGGCCAUUCAUAGGGAUUCAAACCUAUGGGAUGAUCCAACAAGUUUUAAGCCAGAGAGAUUUGAAAAUGGUAGGAAAUUAGGAGAAUAUUCUCACAAGCUAAUGCCAUUUGGGUUAGGAAGGAGAGCAUGUCCAGGAGCAAGCCUGGCUCAGCGAAUGGUGGGAUUAACUUUAGGAUCUUUGAUUCAGUGCUUUGAGUGGGAAAGGAUUGAUGACAAGGAAAUUGACAUGACUGAAGGAAAGGGAAUCACCAUGCCUAAAGUUCAGCCAUUAGUUGCUAUGUGCAAAGCUCGUCCCAUCGUGAAUAAGGUUUUUUAUAAAUAAAUUUGAUUAAUAUCAUAAGUUGGGUGAUUAUAGUAGAAAAAUAGGUUUUGAUUACCUAUCUAGUAAAGAUUUUAUUGGAGUAGGACACAGUUAGUGUGUUCUAUUUUUUUUUUUCUUUUGUUUUAAUGAUUGGAUUAGUCCAUAUCAAAAAACGUAGGCCAAAUUAUGUAAUAAAUAUAUGUAUUUUAGUUAAAUAAUAAAAUUAGUCUUUUUAUCUUAAUGUGUUUAAAUUGGAUCUUUAUACUUUCUUUAAUUAUCGAAUUUUUGUUAACGGUUCAAAUUUUUUCAAUUAAAAUUGAUGACAUGAUAUUUUGACUUUUUUGACGUGACAUUUUUGUUCAUAUGAUCGUUGACUUUAUUGACUUUUAAGGUCAACAUGAUCAAAGAUAAUAACAUGACGAAAUUUUUUAAUACAUCAUUAUUUUUUCACUUCAGCUUUUCUCAAAUUGUACAAAUAAUCCUUAUACUUUUAUUAAAUGAUAAAAUUAAUCCUUCUAUCUUAAUGUGUGUUCAAUCUUAUCCUUGUAUAUUAAUUAAUUAUUAAAUUUAAGAUUUGACACUCAUUGCAUUCAAAUUUUAUUCUUAAAUUAUUUAUAAUCAAUGCUUUACAAGAUGGAACACUGAUAAUAGAAAAUCUAAGUUCAACUUGAUUCUAAUGAAUUUUGAAACUUCAAAGACAUAAUUAAAAGAGCUCAAUACUCAAAACAGAUCUUUUAAUGAAGACAAGAAUAUCUUACUUAGAAUAAGACUAGCUAAAAGCUCCCUCCAUAAGUUAAGAGACUUAACAAAGUCUUGGUGAAAGACAACACAUAAAGGACCCCAUGAAUAUAAAUCAUGCUUGACUAAAACAAACCAUCCAAUGCAUUGAGAGCCUUCUAAUUUAAUCUAGACUCCCAAAUGAACUUAAAGUUUUUUACUUCCUAAGAUGUCAACAUCUUUGAAAGUGACUUUUUUUUGAUCAACUUAACUUAUAAAUCUCAAUUUUUUAUAUGACACCAUUUGAGAAUAAGGAUGGUUAAAAGAAUCAAUUUUAAGCUUUUUGUAUGGUUGACUAUUAUUAUUAUAUACAUCAACAUUAGAGUUUUUAAAUUCUAUAAAAUGAAUCCUCUUGUUUAUUUAUUAAUUUUUAAGAAAAUUAUCAAAUAUAUUAAGAAAAUGAAAAUUUUUAAUUUUACAAACUAAAUAUAUUUUUAGUAUAUAUUUUUAAAAAUUAAAAAAUUAAUUUUAAAAAAAGUGAGACAUGCACCAUCUUAUUAACUUCAUUUAUAAAAUUAUAAAAUUUCCUUAACAAUAGAUUAAACAAUUUUUUUUUUAAAAAAUACAAUUUAACUAGAUAUCAAUCCUUGUUUCACUUUGAAUAUCUAUUUUUGUAUGUGUAAUCAAGAAAAUCAGCAUAAAUUGGUGUUUUGAAUAGUUAUCAUAACAAUUUUGGAGUAGUUUGAUGAAUUUGAAAACGAAAUAAAAAAAACAAACGGAGUCAUCACAAAUAUUUUUUGGCUAGGUAAAAUUGGCUACCUAUUAAAACAUAUUCUUUUAAUAAAAUUUUAAAAUUAAUUAAAAUUUAAUAAAAAGAUAAUUUUAAGGUCUACAAAAUAGGUUGGGUCAGGGAGUUAGUUACUUGUAGGAAAAAAUUAGCACUUUUAUAGCUCCCGUUUAAAACGGUACAAAUUAAUUAUAUAUUAUCCUUUAAUUCUGACAAAAAUAAUUUUAUUUUUAUUUAUUUAUUUUAUUAUUAUUAUUAUUAUUAUUAUUAUUAUUAUUGUUCUAUUUUAUUUGAGAAAAAUAAAUUAAAAUUUUUUUAUUGAAAUAAUUUUUAAAAUGUUUCAGUACAUUGAAAAUAUUAGAAGAACUUUCUCACUUAAAGAUUUCUUAAAUAUCGUUUCUCAAAAUACUUUAAAAUCCCAUCUUCAGAGGUGUGGAUUUAUUUUUCAAAAAUACUAUUAUACAUGCAAUACAAAUGAUAAUAUAUUAAUUUACACAUUUUAUUUUCCUUUUAGAAAAUCUAUUUUUUAUAUUAUUAUUGUUAUUGUUUUGAAGAAAUUUUUAUCACAUUAAAAAAUUUUUAUAAAUACUUCAAUAUACUGGCAAUAUUUAAAAAAAUUUCCUCACCUAUAGAUUUUUAAAGCAUCACUACUUGGAAUAUCUUAAAAUCCUAUCAUUAGGUAAAGAUUUCUUUUCCCUUAUUUUUUAUUAUUUUAUUUUUAACAAAUUAGUUAAUUUUUAUUUACUAUUUUAUAGCAAAAAAAAAGAAAAUUUUUUAUUGUAUUGAAAACUUUUUAUAAAUACUCCAAUACGUUGGUAAUAUUUAAGAAAAUCUUCUAACCUAAGGAUUUCAUAGGUAUCACUACUUGGAGUACCUUUGAAUCUUAUAUUCGAAUAAAAAUUUUAUUUUCUUACAUUUUUACUAAUUUUUUAUUAUUUUUAUUAAUUUUAUUCAUUAAUUUUUUGGUUAUUUUUCCUAUUUUUUAAUCUUAAAAAAAUUAUCAAAGUUUAGAAACCAUUUUUUUAUUAUUAUUGGUAUCAUAAUAAUCAAUUAUUAAUUAUUAUUAUUUUUAUAAGAUUUAUCCUAAGUUUUAAUAAAAAUUAUAAAAAAAUUUUAACUAUAUUUUCCAUUUUUUAAUUUAAUUUAUUUUUUUCAUUUUUACUAGUUAAAAAAAAUUAUUCUAACAAAAUUUAAACAUUUUAACAUGCAUAAAUAUUAAUGAUAAAAUUCAUAAUAACAAAAAUAAUAUAAAAAAAUAAAUCAAAAAAUAAAAAAAAACUAAAUCGAACCGGUCAACGUUUCGGUCUGUAUCAAUAUAGCUAGACUGAUUGGCCGUCAAAAGGGGGAACUGGUCCACGAGUCAAGCACGCGGAUCUUUGAUCAACCCAUUGGUAUGCACAUAGAUCUUGGAUGAAACAUUGUUGUUUUAAGGUUUAGUCUUCUAUAUAAAAACCAAAAUUUUUUUUGUUUUAACUCAUUUCUCCUUGGUAUCUAAAAAAAAAAUAAAAUAAAAUUCUUUCAAACAAAGUAAGGAGCCGACCAGUCAUCAGCUGUCAUACAAGCCGCCAUUGGCCUUGCCAUCGAUCACCGUUUUCGGUGCCUGAAAAACAAAGAAAACAUCAAAAGACUCCCUUUUACCUUUUAAGCUCAGAUUUGGUCUCCUUUUUGCCAGGAACAACCUUGAUCAGCAUUGAAUAGGCUUCAAAGCUUUAGUUUCCCUCUUUUUUAUAUUUUCAUUAAUUUUAAUUUAUUAUUAUUAUUUUUUAAUGAUUACUAACUUUUCUCUUUUCCUUUAGGCACAUCGUACAGAGCUAGGUUCCCCAAUAAGGGAUUUUUAGGGGCAUGUUGUAUAGGUCUAAGGGGAUUUGGGCAUGGAAGGCAGUGGGUUGCACAAGGGCACAGGGAUAAGUGGCUAGUAGUGCCGUGCAUGGCACCUACUGGCAUUAGCCUUCUACCCUUUGUUCUUUUGCCUUUUAUAAAUAUUUUUGUAUUAAUGUUUAAUUAAUUAUUAUUUAUUAUAUUUUGAUAUAAAUAAUAAAAUUAAAAUUAAAAAUUAAACAAUGGGCCAAGGCUUAGAAAAAAUUAGGCUUUAGCCUAUUAACUCAUUAGAAUUAAGAAAUUUAAAUUGAAACUUAGAUAAAUUUGAUGUUUACAAUUGCCUCUCUUUAUGCAUUGCUGAGAAUCAAGAAUAGGGUAAAAAUAAAGACAAUAAUUUUAUCUGGAGUCCAAAGCAAUUUUUUUUUCUAAUUGAUCCAAACUGAUUAAAAAGUUUAUCUCAUUAAAACUAAAAAGCUUUAAAGAUCAAAUCAAAAUGCUCCUUUUACUCGAGGCUUGACAACUUUUGAAAACUUAAAAUGGCACCUCUAAGUAGAGACUCAAUAGUUUUAAAAUUGGCAUAUGAAAAAAAGCUCAUCUGAAUAGAGGCUCAACAACUUAAAAAAGUUCUUUAUCUUUUUUCGAAACCGAGUUCUUAUCUUUGAGCAAGUAAAUUUCUUUCUUUUAAAAUCUCUUCUUUAAUUAUUAUCUUUGCCUGACGAUUAAAUUAUUAUUUUUCAUUAUGGAAUUGAAAGUCUUUGUCCUUGUUAUAGCUGCUCAUUGAUGCAUGUACUGAGUACUCUAAAUGCAAUGCAUGUAAUGCAAUCAAAAUCAUUCAUUUCCAAUUGUGGUAAAAGGCUCUUAAAAUCUCUUAACUUUUUAUUUAUUUUAUCAAAAUUCUCAACAAUUGCCAUAUGACCAAUUUGUUCUUAAUGUCUGACCAUUGUAUUCUUUCUUAACAAUAUUUUUAUUUUUCAAAACUCUACAACAUCAAUGUCUUGUCAUGCUUUUCUUGUCAUUUUUCAUCUGCCUUUAUUGACUUUUAAAAAGUAAUGCCGAGAUAUUCCAUGUUAUUUUUUUAUCAUUUUAAGUUCAAGAUAAAUAAAAUACAAUCACACAUUACUCUAAUUCAUUUGUAAGGUGAACAAAUAUGACGAAUUGAGAUAAAAGAGUGGAUAGGCAUUAUUCCCAAAGGAAAGAAAACAUAUUUCAUUAAACUGAUAAUAAGUGCAUGGCAACAAAAGUGUUUAGAUAGAAAUAAAUGUACCUAAGUAAUGAUUACAAGAUAAUCAUAAACAAAAUAUUCCUAGUUUCUUUCUCCAAAACUUAACCAGAUGACUUCCUUGAUUCUUUAGAAUUUGUCAAACUAUAUUUACCUUUGUGUUGUGAGGUCAUUUCUUAAUGAUGCUUCUCUUUUACAUCCAAGUCAUAUUUUCAAGUUUUUAACUUAGAUGCCAUUCUUUUUCUUGCUUUUUUUCUUUUUCAAACGAAGUAUCUUUUCAUAGUAUCUAAGUUUAUCGGAGUAGGUAAACCAUUUUUGUCCACUUCUACCAAAAUUAAUGCCCUAUCGAAAAAGAUUUUUUUCACCACAUAUAGAUCUUCUUAAUUUAGUGUCUAUUUUUUUUUUUACUAUCAUGUUGAUUUGGAAGGAUCAUUUUUAACACUAAGUCUCCUUCUUAAAAGCUACGAAGCUGAAUUUUCUUAUUAUGUGCUCUUAUUAUCCUCAUUUGAUACAAUUGACCAUGGUAAAGUAUUGUAAGUAUUUUUUCAUCAAUGAAGUUCAACUGCUCAUAGCAAUUUUGGACCCAUUUUACUUUUUCUAACUUGACUUCCAUUAGAACUCUUAAUGAGAGAAUUUUUACUUCAACUGACAACACAACUUCCAUCUCAUAAACCAAAGAGAAUGAUGUGGUCCUAGUAAAUGCUCGAACUAAUGUUCUACAAGUAUACAAGGCAAAAGGUAACUUCUCAUGCUAGUCUUUAUAAGUAUUAGUCAUUUUCUCUAAGAUCAUUUUUGUAUUCUUGUUUAUAGCUUCUACUGUCAUGUUCAUUUUUAAAUGAUACAGUGUCAAAUUACAAUAAUGGAUCUUGAACAAAGUGCAUACUUCAUUUAUUAUUUUACUGUUCAAGUUUUUAGCAUUAUAAAAAAUAAUCAUCUCUAAAAGCCCAUAUCUGCAUAUUAUCUCUUUUUUAUGAAAUUAGAUACCACCAAUUGUGUCACACUAGCAUAUGAUACAACUUUUACCUAUUUCGUAAAAUAAUCAAUCAUCACAAAGAUAAAUCUAUGUUUAUUUGAAGCUUUUGGAGUGAUAGGAUCGAUGACAUCCAUGCCCCACAUAGAUAUUGGCCAUGGAAGAGCCAAAACAUGCAAUGUUAUUGAAGGAGUAUGAAUUUUAUCAGCAAAAAUCUAACACUUUUGACAUUUUCUUGCAUAAUCAAUAUAGUCACUCUCCAUUAUCAACCAAUAAUAGUCAGCCCUCAUAAUUUGUCUAGCCAUCAUAUGAGCACCAUUAUAUGCCUCACAAACCCUGUCAUGUACUUUUUAAUAAUCUUUUUUGCUUUAACUGUAUUCACAUACCUUAAGAGCACCUGAUCUCGAUUUCUUUUAUAAAAAACAUCUCUAUCAAAGAAGAAACCCAUAGCCAGCCUUUUGAUAGUCUUUUUAUCAUUUUCUGUUGCAUGUUUUAGAUAUUGUUGACUUUUAAUGUAUUGCAUAAUGUCAUGAUACCAUGGCUUCCCAUCAAUUUUUUUUGACACUUGAGCAAUGUGCUAGUGCAUCUUUCACAUCUAAUUUGAUGGGUUGAAUCUUGGUAUUUGUAUCUAUUCUGAUCAUUGUAUUCAAAGUUGCCAUUGUAUUAGUAAUCUGGUUUUCCUUUCUAGGCAGAUGCUCAAAAUAAACUUCUUUAAAAUUUUGGACUAACUUAGAAAUGUAUUUAUGGUACUUGAUUAAUUUGAAAUCUUUUAUUUCUUAUUCACCUCGUAACUAAUAGAUGACCAAAGUUGAAUCUCCAAACACAUCUAAUACUUUGAUCUUCUUUUCAAUUGUUGCUUACAGACCUAUAUCACAAGCCUCGUAUUCAACCAUAAUGUAUGUGCAAUUGAAAUUCAAUCUGGCCAUGAUGGGAUAAUAGUGUCUAUUGAGAGAUAUUAAAAUUGCCCUAAUAUUAUGGCCUAGCAUUAGUAGCUCCAUCAAAAUAUAUUUUCCAAGACUUUUCAAUAAGUUCAUUCUUUUCAAUGGCUAUCACAUCUUCAUAAAAAAAAUCUAGUUUCAUUAGCUCAUAACCUUCGAUCGCAUGAUCGACUAAAAACUUAGCUGUUGCAUUCCUUUUAAUAGCCUUUUGAGUUACAUAAACAAAUAUCAUAUUCUAAAAGCAUAACUUGCCACCACACUAUUCUUCUUGUUAAUAAAGGCUUUUCAAAGAUAUACUUAAUAUGAUUCAAAUAUGCUAUGAGCCAAAUAGUGUGAUAAAGCAUGUAUUGUCUAAGCCAUGUAUGUAAGCUUUUCAUCAACAAUGAAUUUGACUUUUUGGUACAAAGAGGAUAGAACAACACUUGCCAUAUGAUCUAUAGCUUACCCAAUAAGUAACUAUAUGAGAGAGAGAUAUCCAUAACUUAAAAUUUUACAUUGAAAAUGCAAGGGUCAAUCUGUAAUGACAUUUUUAUAUCUCCUAACACCUUUCUUCAGGUCUCAUUGAAGGUUCAAACUACCAUAUAACUAGGCUUCCUAUAAACUCCAUCAAUAGAUAGUUUUACCAAAGUAAUCAUAGGCAUAACAUUGAUUAAUGAGCCAUUAUUGAUUAAAACUUUAGUCAUUAUAUGACUCUUGUAUUUUACAGUAAUGUAAAGAGUCCUAGUAUUUCUUUGACACUCAAGAAGAAUCUUUUCACCACAAAAAAAGAUGUAGUUUGAAAUUGCUAGAUUGCCAAUAAGCUGUUUCACGUAUUCAACAAAGAUAUUGUAAGACACAUAUGCUAGAUUUAGUACAUUUAGUAAAGUAUUACGAUAUGACUUUGAGCUUAGCAAUAAUGACAAUAGCAAAAUUUUAGCUAGCAUUUUAUUCAACUGUUCUAUCACGCUAUACUCGUUAUGUUUUAUUAGUUUUAAAAAUUUACAAGCUUUAUUCUUAGAGAAUGACUAUUGACAUUCUUUAUUAAUGAUUGUCACAAUAUUACUUUAACUUUAUUUUAUUUUUUUUGACAUUUGCUUUUUCUUUUCUAACGUUAUCUAGUGUUUUUAAAGUGUAACAUCUAUCAUUUUGGGUCAUACCUCAUACGUUUGCUAUGUUUACAAUAUCUGAAUUGACUAUAACAUCAUAAUCAUUCUUUUACAGUAUUGUUUUGUCAUUCUUAUAUAAAAAAGGGCUAGGGACUUUAAUCAUCACUAUUGGUCAGGAGAUAAGCUUUUUUGACCUUAGGAUUGGCUUAUCAUCAUAAUAGAUAGUUAUUGAUUUAUGCAUAAACUUAUUCUUUGAAUCAAUGGUAGACAACUUAGCUUUCGUUAAAUUUUUUUUUCUUCGUAAAACUCUAUCCGAUCCAUAUCCAUCAACUUCUGCACCUCUUGAUGAAAUUGGUCACAACUCUUAAUAGAAUGCCAUAAAGUAUCUUUGUGAUAGUUGUAGCUCUCGAUUGAGUUAAUCACUCCUUAGCAAUUCUGAGACUCUAUGGACUUCAACAUAUCAGCCUUGACUAAGAUUUCAAACAUAUUAGCCAUUGAAGUUUUGACUUCAUCUAUCCCUCUCUUAACAUAACUUGCUUGUCCAUCAAUCAAAGCAUUUAUUAAUGGUUUAGUAUGGUUUGGUAAAAGGUUCUCAUUAACAUUUUUAGUCCCUCAUUGGCUAGUAUCAAAGUUUAACACCUUUUUAUUAAUUAAUAAUUGCACUUUAUGCUUUUAAAGUAGUAUAGUUUUUUGUAGAAAAGCCCAAGUUUCCAUAAUUAUAAUCAUAAUACGCAUUGGGAUCAUACCAUUUGAGAAAUGAAAGUUUUAAAAGUUCAACAAUAACAAAGGCUAGUAAAUAUAUUUCAACGAUUUGAGGGUGCAAAUCUAUGUAUGUCAUAGGGAUACGAUCGAAAAUGGCUUUUUUUAGGCAUUUUUUAAGGCUUUCAAACCAUUACUUAGAUUGGAUCUCCAUUCUGGUUUGGUAGGUGUAGUAAGACAGUUAUAUGAAUAGGUAGGUAUCUAAAAGGAUUAUUGAGAAUAAAGUAAAUAAGCUGAUUAUUAUAGCGGUUGAUACAACUGAUAUGGAUAAGGGAUGGAUGUAACAUUAUUUAUGGGUGGAUAAUGGGUUUCGUAUACUAGUGUGGGAUAUGAAGUGAAGCCUCUGAACUGUUGCCCCACAUAGUUAACUGUUUAGGCUUUAUUUUUUUUCUUCUUGAAAGCUUCGCCUUUUUUUGCUUUACAUGUCUUUUUUGUAUCGAGCUUGCCAUUUUUUAUGGCAUUUUCAAUAAUCUCACUUGAUAUUACCAUAUUUAUAAAGUUUUUGGUUGCAUUGCCCAUCAAUCUUUUAUAGUAAGGUACUUUUAAAGUGUUCAUAAAUAGAAUAGUUGUCUCAUUUUUAGUGAAGGAAGGUUGUACUUGUAUGAUCACAUCUUUUCAUCUCUAUGCGUACUCUUUAAAGUUUUUUGUUGUUUUCUUUUCUAUGCUCUACAGAGACAGAUAAUUUGGAGCUAGAUCUAUAACAUGCUGAUAUUAUGCAAAGAAUGCCCUCAUGAGCUUUUUUCAAGAAUGAAUAGGAGUCCUGUCUAGUUGAACAUACUAUUUGGUUAUAGAACCUAUAAGGUUAUCCUAAAAUACGUGUAUUAAUAGCUUCUCGCCAUGAGCAUACGUCACUAUCUUACGAUAAUACAGGGUGACAAAGUUAUUAGGCAUUUUGUGUCAUCAUAUUUUUUAAAUUAAAAGACCUUGAAUUUAGGUGGAAUGAUCACAUCUAAAACUAAACAAAGCUUAGUUGCAUCUAUGGAGCCAUAAAAAUCUAUUCUCUUUACGAUUUUAAGUUUUUAUUUUAAUAAUUUCAUUUUCUGCUGAGCACUGGUAUCUUUCACUUUUUAAAAUGUUUUCAUCCCUAGCUUUUUUCUCUUAUUGAGAUCAUCCAAGUCAAGAAUCAAGAUUAGCUCAAAUGGUUUUUCUACUAUGAUAGGAUUAGCAAAAUUUUAGAACUAUCUUGGAGUAGGUCUGGAUGUCAUUCCUGGAUAAGGAUAAAAAUAUCUUCUGGGAGUAAAAAUUUGCAUUUUGGCUCCUUGAGAAGGUUGGAUUGGUUAUGGCUUAAACCAUAAAAGGUAUAUAGGAUCCACUAUGUUUGGCAUUUGCUCUUAAAAACUGAGGUUUCUUUCUACUAUUUUUUUUUGUCAAAAUUCUUAAGCAUGUCUAUUAUCUUAUUAAGAUCCCCUUUUAAUUUCUCUUAAGCCUUCUCAAUCCUUUAAAAUCGACUAGCUUAUUCUUGUUUCAUGAUUUUUGUUUGAGCUCUGGAGUUAUAUGAAUGGUUAGUAAAUUGAAUUAAAAUUUUUGGUGGAUGAACUAUUCUUAAACCUUUAUUACCACAAAAAAAAUUUUUUUUAAAUCAAAAUGCUAUGUGUUAGAAAUUUUAUUUUUUAACCUUUUUUUUGUGAUUUUUUUAAAAAUAUCGUUAAAAAUAGUGCACAUGAUGCAUAAAUGCAAGUGAGAGAUAUUUACUCUUUGACGAAUUUCAACACUAGAAAAUUUCAUUGAUUUCAACUUUUGUUAUAUAAGAUUUGUCAUCCUAGAAUUAUAUUCAUAAAAAUGUUUGACUUGCUCAUAAUGAUCUUUGGUCUUAUCCAAAAAGUUCACUUGACGCUGGUUAUAUUCUUUUAUAGGAUUGACUUAUCUUUUUAAUGCCUUUACCUUUUUAACCAUCUUUCAUGCCUUCUUUACUGCCUUGUAAACUUGACUGGUUAAAUGCUUUAUGUACUAUUGCCUUCUUAAGUUUUUUGCUUUUUAUUUCAUGCAAGCAUCACUUUUCGAAUUACAUGUGAAGAUCCAAUCCUUUUUUCUUAUCUACCACUCAUCUAUUAUUGUUGAAAUAUAGUUCUUGUAAUUUGAUAGUUACAGCUCUAACUUUUGGAUCACCUAGUGAAGUGAUUCUUUUUCGUUUAGUGCUUUAAGGUGCUUUAUUUUUUUUUUUACGAGCAUAGCUUUCAACCUUUCCUUUUCUUUCUAGCAUUCAACCAAUUUUGCCAAAGCUGUAAGGUAUAAUCCCUCAUAAUUCUCGAUUUCUUGAGAAAUUUUGAUGACUUCUUUUUGUAUUUCUUAAGCUUUGCUUUUUCAUUAGUUCAUUUCCUCUCAGAGCUCAUUCAUUUCAUAUUGCCAACUAAGGUUAGACUUAGUAAAUUUUUUAGUCUUGAAUUGGACUCAUAACCUUUUGUUUUCUUGGUACAGAUCUUUCAAAUUAAUGUUGGCCACUUCUCGUUCUUUUAUGACCUUCUCCAAUCUACUUCUUUGUACUUUUACUUUUUAUUUUAACUAUCUUAUCUUUUCAUAAAGUCUCAAAUUUUCUCUUCUUAUUUUUUUUUUUAGCUUUCAAUUUCUUCUUAACAAGCUUAACUUUUGAUAUUGCACUUUUGUUGAAAGGUUAGCUGAUUGAUAUGAGUCAUCAUCAGGAAGGAACACCAUGUCUUUGAGUCACUUCACUUUCCAAAUCUGGUAAUUAUGAGUGAUUUUGUCAAGAAGAGGCCCUAAUAUAAUCUUUCGUGUUUUUUCUAUGCUUGGAUUAACUGCUCCAAGAUUUUUAGUGGAUUAGAUUCUUCAUAAGUGAAUUCUACUUGAACUAGGUCAUGAGUGGCAUGAACAAACUACUUUGCAUCGAAUUGUCACAGUACCAUUAAUAGAGCGUAACUUACCAUACUCUUUAGUAUUAAUAGCGGUAUCUAUGGUUCAUUUUCUCUUUGAUACAACAUGAGCACGCAAGGCAUCCAUGGCGCCAUCCAUUUUAUUUCAUCCCUGAUGAGUCUUCGUAAAAAUAAAACCCAUUUUUCUUUAGUCUUCAAUGUUGGCCAUUAGCUUUUGCAAAACUUUUUGAUUGGUGCUUAUUUAAAAAAUACAGCUCUGAAAAUGCACUAUUUUCACACUUGAAAUGACUUAUGACCCACAUAUAUAAUAGCAGUGCAUACCCUAUAAAUGUCUUUUUUCAUUUCGUUGACAAAAAUUCAAUAAUCUGAUUGGUUCGACUAAGAUUGCUGGUGUAAGAUUAAUUGCUUGGGUUUUAAUUUACUCAAAAAAGUCCACCAUAAUUAUUUCAAUGUAACACAAAAUCUUCAGGAAGAUCACCACGCCAUACAAUGCCAAAGCAAACAUAACCAUGCCUUGAUCAUCAUUCAAAUGCCCUUGAAUAAAAUUUUGGAUAAAGUCCCAAUGGAUAUUAAGAUGUUCACCUUUAGGCUUUACGAAUGAAUCUAUGGUUUCCACUUUAACCCCUAUAAGCUUUGUCAACCUUUUAUGAUAACCUGAUUUUAACUUUCAAAUAAACAUUUUAUUUGGACAUUGUAGUUCUAUCAUGAGUAAAACUAAGUACUCCUCAAUAGUUGGCAUCAAAUAUUCCUGAUUAAAAGUGAAACAUCUAUAGGAUGAGUCCCAAAACUGUAUGGUUGCCUUGACUAACUGCUCCUCAAUCACUAUUGGAAUGAGAGAUAUAAUCUACCUAUACUUCUUGUAAAAGUUUUCUUUUCUUUUUUCACUUAAAUGACCCCAGAUGACUGCUAAAUUUUUUAAAUUAUUUUGUGUAAGAUCCGAUUGGUUUAUCUUCAUGUUUUAUUACUUUUAACAAAUCAGAAGGUAGUGUGUAAUUAUCAAAAUAUUUUUCAUUAUCAAGUUCGUCAACAUGAAUUAGGUUUUCAAAAUUAAAUAUAAGAUUAUUGUCAUAAAUAUCUUUAUGUUUAUUAUUUAGGAACCUAUAAAUGGGUGAGAUGGAGAGAAUAUUGGCACCCAAAAAUGGAAUGGUAAGAAAAUGAAAAGAGAAAUGGAUCGAACGAAUGAAAGUGAAAACAAAUAAAAGAAAUGCAAACAUAUUUUCUAAAACUUUUAUUAAAAUGAAAAACAUAAACACUCCACAAAAGAUUUUUGAAUGCUCAUAGAGAGCAAUUAAAGAUUUAUAGUUUUAUAGUACAUUACUUUUCAGAAGUUUUGAAAACAACAAGUAACUCUAUGACAUUCCAAUUAUUUAGCUCGAAGUUCGAAUGGCAAUGAUGCAUAAACAAUUUUUCAUCUUAGCUCUUUUUUUCUUCCUCAUCCACCACCUAAAUGGUCAGCUCAAAAAAAUCUUCCACCAAUUUUGUAUUUAAGGCUUCAAACGAAUCUGGAUAAAUAUAUCCUUCCAAAUAGAAACAAUCAUAAAGGGAUGGAAAACCAUUGGCUCCAACUCCGGCUUAUAUCUCCCGAGAUUAGCCAUUCUCUUUUCUUUCUUCUUAUUCACCAUUUUCAUUCUGUCUCCUCUUGUUGGUUUAUAACCUAAGCCAAAUCUAUCAUUCUUAUCAUAUAUUAUCGAUGGCUUUGUGAUUCAUUGUAGAUUUUUCUCUAGUUCAGCUUCAAGUUUUCAUCCCAUCUUGGUAAGCUACUUGAUAACCAUUUUAAUUGUCAUAGAUAGAUGCUAUGAAUAUAGUUUAGAUCCUUCAAUCAUAUGUGUUGUGUUGGCAAUCUCAAAAGAUCUAUAAAAGCACUCUAGGGCUUUAUCUACCAUUUUUACAUAAGAAGUAUUUUAUCGAUUGGGUUAGAAGUAAAUUUUCUUCUUUUGUCACACAUGUAAGCUUUUCAUUAACAAUGAAUUUGACUUUCAAGUGUAAUGAGGAUAGAACAACACUUGCCAUAUAAAUCUAUGGCCUACACAAUAAGUAACUAUAUAAGGGAAAGAUAUCUAUAACUUGAAAUUUUACAUUGAAAGUGUAAGGGUCAAACUGUAAUAGCAUUUCUAUAUCUCCUAACACCUCGCUUUGGGUCUUAUCAGAGGCUUGAACUACCAUAUGACUAGACUUCAUGUAAGAUCCAUCAAUAGGUAGUUUUGCUAAAGUAGUCAUAGGCAUAACAUUGAUUGAUGGGCCAUUGUCGAUCAAAACCUUAGCCAUUAUAUGACUUUUAUAAUUUAUAGUAAUGUAAAGAGCCUUGGUAACCCUUAAGAGGAAUCUCUUCAUCAUUGAAAGAAAUGUAAUUUGAGCCAACAAGUUGUUCCACAUAUUCAAUAAAGAUAACGUAAGACAUAUAUGCUUGAUUUAGUACCUUUAGUAAAGUAUUAUAAUGUGACUUUGAGCUUAGCAAUAAUGAAAAUAGCGAAAUUCUAGCUAGCAUCUUAUUCAACUAUUCUAUCAUGCUAUACUUGCUAUGUUUUAUUAGUUUUCAAAAAUUCACAAGCUUCAUUCUCAAAUAUUAGCUUCUGACAUUCUUUAUUAGGGAUUACUGUAGGAUUACUAUGACUUUCUUUUCUUCUUUGACCUUUGUUUUUUCUUUCCUAACUUUUUUUACUCUUUUUAGAGUGUAACAUCUCUCACUUCAACUCAUACUGCCCAUUAUGUUUAUAGUAUCUGCAUUGACUAUAACAUCAUAAUCAUACUUUUAUGGUACUAUUUUAUCAUUCUUGUAUGAAAAAGGGCUAGAGACUUUAAUUGUCACUAUUGGUUAGGAGAUAGGCUUUUCUAGCCUUAGGGUUGGCUUCUCAUCAUAAAAGUAAUUACUAAUUUAUGCAUAAACUUAUUCUUUGAAUCUAUGGUAGACACUUUAGCUUUCAUCAAAUCUUCUCUUUCUUUGUAAAACUCUAUCCAACCAAUAUCCAUCAACUUGUGCACCUUUUAACGAAAUUGGUUACAACUCUUGAUUGAAUGCCCCAAAACAUCUUUGUGAUAGUCUUAGCACUCAGUUGAGUUAAUCACUUCAGAGCAUUUCUAAAGCUCUAUUGACUUCAAUAUAUCAACCUUGACUAAGGCUUUAAACACCUUAGCGAUCGGAGUUUUAACUUUAUCUAUCCUUUUUUUCACAUAGCUAGCUUGCCCAUCAAUCAAAGUAUUUAUUGAUCGUCUAAUAUGGUUUGGUAGAAGGUUUCCAUUAACAUUUUGAGUCUCUCAUUGGCUGGUAUCAAAGUUUAACACCCUUUCAUUGAUUAACUAUUGCACUUUACACUUUAAAGUAGUGUAAUUUUUUGUAGAAUGGCUCGAGUUUCCAUAAUGAUAAUCAUAAUACGCAUUAGGAUCAUAACAUUUAGGAAAUAAAGAUUUCAAGAUUCAAUAAUAACAGGAACUAGUAAAUGUUUCUCAACGAGUCGAGGGUACAAAUCUAUGUAUGUCAUGGUAAUAGGGUCAAAAAUGGUUUUUUCUUGAAUAUUUCUUAGGGCUCUGAAAUCAUUACUUAGAUUAAGUCUCCAUUCUAGUUUGGUAGGUGCAGUAGAACGGUUGUAUAAAUAGGUGGGUAUCCAAAAAGAUGGUUGAAAAUGAGGUAAAUAAGCUGAUUAUUGUAACAACUGAUACGGUUGAUAUGGAUGAGGGAUGGAUGUAACAAUGUUUAUGGAAGGAUAAUAGGUUUGGUAUACUAGUACGGGGUAUGGAAUGAAGUCUCUGAACUAUUGCCCCAUAUAAUUCACUACUUGGGCUUCAUUUUCUUUCUUCUUAGAAGCGUUGCCUUUUUUUGCUCCACUUAUCUCUCUUGCAUAGAGCUUGUCAUUUUUUAUGAUAUUUUCAAUAAUCUCACAUGAUAUCAUCAUAUUUGCAAAGUUUAUAGUUGCAUUUACCUAUCAAUCUUUCAUAGUAAGGUAUUUUCAGAGUAUUCAUAAAUAGGAUGGUUGUCUCUUUCUUAAAGAGGGAAGGUUGUACUUGUAUGACCACAUUUCUUUAUCUCUAUGCGUGCACUUUAAAAUUUUUUGUUAUCUUUUUUUUUUGCCUUGCAGAGAUAGACGAUCUAAAGCUAGAUCUAUAAUAUGUCGAUAUUAUUUUAAAAAUGCCCUUGUAAGCUUCUUCUAAGAAUGAAUAUGAGUCAUAUCUAGUUGAACAUAUCAUCUAGCUAUAGAACCCAUAAAGUUAUCCUGAAAUAUGUGCAUCAAUAGCUUCUUAUUAUAAGCAUACUCUGUUAUUUUACAGCAAUACAUGGUGACACGAGUCAUUAGGCAUUGUGUGUCAUCAUAUUUUUUAAAUUCAAAGACCUUGAAUUUAGGUGAAAUGACCACAUCUAGGACCAAACAAAGCUCAGCUGCGUCCGUGGAGCCAUAAGAAUCCAUUUUAUUUAUGGCCCUAAGUCUUUUUUCUACUAAUUUUAUAUUCUGCUGAGCAUUGGUAUCUUUCACUUUCUUAGAUAUCUUCAUCCUUAGCUUUUUUCUCUCUUUGGGAUCAUCCAAGUAAAAAAUCAAGAUUGGCUUAAAUGAAUUUUCUACUAUGAUGGGAUUAGUAAAAUUUUGAAAUUGUCUCGAAGCAGGUGUGAAUGCCAUUCUUGGAUAAGGAUAGAAAUAUCCUCUGAGAGUAAAAAUUUACACUUUGAUUCCUUGAGCAGGUUGGGUUAAUCGUAGCUCAAACACUGGAGGGUAUAUAGGAUCCACCAUAUUUAGUGCUUGCUUUUGAAACUGGGGUUUUCUUCUUUGCUUUUCUUUUGUCAAGAUCUUAAGCAUGUCCAUUAUCUUAUUAAGAUCCCUUUUAGUUCCUUUUAAGCCUUCUCAAUCCUUUCAAAUCAACUGGCCUAUUCUUGUUCCAUAAUUCUUGUUUGAGUUCUAAAAUUGUAUGAUUGGCUAGUAGGUUAAGUCAAAAUUUUUAGUGGACCAACUAUUUUUAAACCUUUACUACCACAAAAUUUUUUAAAAAAUCAGAAUGCUAUGCAUUUAUUUUUUAAAACUCUUUUUUAUGAUUUUUUUAAAAAAAUAUGAUUAAAAAUGGUGUACAUGAUGCAUGAAUGCAAGUAAGAGAUAUUUGCUAUUGGAUGAAUUUCAACACUAGAAAUUUUUAUUGAUUUCAUACAACUUUUGUUACAUGAGAUUUAUCAUCCUAGAAUUAUAUCUAUAAAAACGUUUGACUUGCUUAUAAUGAUCCUUGGCCUCAUUCAAAAAGUUCACUAAACACUGUCUAUAUUUUCCUACAGAAUUGACUUCUCUUUUUAACACUUUUACCUUUUCAACCAUCUUCUAUGCCUUCUUUACUACCUUACAAACUUGACUGGUUAGAUGUUCUAUGCACUGUUGCCUCCCUAAGCUUUUUGCUCUCAUUUUAUGAAAGCAUCUCUUUUCGAAUCACAUGUGAAGAUCUAAUCUUUUUCCUUUCUCUACCACUCAUAUAUUAUUGUUGAGAUAUGGUUCUUGUGGUCUUGCAGUUGUAGCUCUAACCCUUGGAUCACCUAAUGAAGUGAUUUUUUUUUGUUUAGUACUUUAAGGUACUUUCUUCUCUCUUUUACGAGCAUAGCCUUCAACCUUUUUUUUUUUUCUAGCAUUCAUCCAAUUUUGCUGAAGCUAUAAAGUAUAAUCCCUCUCAAUUCUAGCAUUCUUGAGAAAUUCUAAUAACCUUUUCUUCUUUUUCUUGAGCUUUGCCUUUUCAUUAGUUCAUUUCCUCUUGGAGCUCAUCCAUUUCAUGUUGAUGACUAAUGUCAAACUUGGUAACUUUUUUAGUCUUGAAUUGGACUCAUAACCUCUUGUUUCUUGGUGUAAAUAUUUCAAAUCAUUAUUGGCCAUAUCUCGUUCUUUUAUGACCAUCUCCAAUCUGCUCUCUUAUACUUUUGCUUCGUAUUUCAACUAUCUUAUCUUUUCGUAAAGUCUUAAAUUUUUUUUUAUUUACUCAUUUUCCACUUCCAAUUCUUUCUUAACAAAUUUGACUUCUAAGAAUUGUACUUUUAUCGAAAGGUUAAUUGAUUGAUAUGAGUUGUCAUCAGGAGAGAGCACCAUGUCUUUGAGUCACUUCGCUUUUAAAAUCUGAUAAUUAAGAGUGACUUUAUCAAUGAGAGGCCUUAAUCUUAUCUUUCACAUUUUCUUUUAUGCUUGGAUUAACUACUUUGAUGUUUUUAGUGGAUUGGAUUCCCCAUAAGUGAAUUCUACUUAAACUAGGCCAUGAGUGGCAUGAACAAACUGAUUUGCAUUGAAUUGCCUAAGUACCAUACCCUAUAGUCCUAACAGCAGUAUCCAUGGUUCAUUUUCUUUUUGAUACAACAUGGGCAUGUAGGGCAUCUAUGGCACCAUCCAUUCUAUUUCAUCCUCAGUGAGCCUUCGUAAGAAUAAAAUCGAUUCUUUCUUAGUCUUCAAUGGCAGCCAUUAAUUUUUGUAAAACUCUUCGAUUAGUGCUUUAUUUUGAAGAUACAGCUUUUAAAAUGCAUUUUUCCCACAUUUAAAAUAACUUCUGACCCACAUAUAUAACAGUAGUGCACACCCUAUGAAUAUCCUUUUUCAUUUCAUUGAUAAAAAUUCAAUGAAUUGAUGAUUUUAGCUAGGACUGCUGGUCCAGGAUUAAUUACAUGGGUUUCAAUUUGCUUAAAAAAGUCCACCACAAUUAUCUUGAUGUAACUUAAAGUCUUCGGGAAGAUCACCAUGCCAUAUAAUGCCAAAGCAAAUAAAGUGAUGCCUUGAUCAUCAUCUAAAUGCCCUUGAAUAAAAUUUCAAAGAAAGUCUUAACGGAUAUUAAGAUGUUCACAUUUAGGCUUUGCAAAGGAAUCUAUGAUUUCUACUUUAACCCUCAUAUGCUUGGCUAACUUUUUAUGAUAACUUGGUUUCGGCUUUCGGGUAAAUACUUUAUUUGGACACUGUAGUUCUAUCCUGAGCAAAACUGAAUACUUCUCAAUAGUUGACACAAAUUUUUUUUUAUUAAAACUGAAGCAUCUAUAAGACAGAUCACUACCGAAAUAAAAGAUGUAAUUUGCCCAUACUUUUUACAAAAGUUUUCUUUUCUUUCUUCACUUAACUGACUCUAGAUGACAGCUAAAUCUUCUAAAUUAUUCUGUGUAAGAUCCAAAUAAUUCUUUUGCUAAGCUUUCUUCAACCAAACAUAUACUUCAUUCUAUAGCUCACAUGGGACAUUAAUGGAGAAUGAGCAAAUCUGUAGUUCUAUGAGAUCUAUAAAGAACUUUGUGGAAGAAAGAUAUCCUAGAGCAAAUACCUUGAUGCAAAACUAUAUGAUAUGAUUUAUAUAAAAAGAAAAAAAGAACAAAACAAAAUCAAGUUAGUGUGAGGAUGCGAUUUGAGAUUAAGAAAAAAUAUUUUUAUUUAUUUUUUUAUGAAAUUUUUCUUUUUUUCUUUUUGUUUUGUUUUUUUAUUACACAUGACUUUUAUUCCUACACAUUUUGGAUUUAGGCAUUUUCUACAACAGGGCGGGUGAGGCUCUACCUAAGGUUAGCUUCCUAGGUUUAUUACAUGCUUGGUGCGAAUUGACACGCGUUUAGAGGUUCCUAAAUUGUUCAUCACUGUUGUCCACACUGGACUAGUAAGGCACCCUGAUCUUUACCCAUUAUAAGCUACAAAUGGAAAAGGUUCAAUUUGAGUAGAAAUAUUUUGCUUGCCAUUCGAAGGUUAUCACCUUACGAGGGCAUAGGUACUCUACUUCCUCUUAUAAGAGACGGAGCCCAGGUAUAAAACUUAUGCAUGUGGUGAAACGUAUCAUCAUGUGUGCAAAUAUCUCUUAAUUUAUUGAGAAAAAUAAAACAAGAAAUGAAUAGAAAGCAUAAAAAAAAUGUGCCUAAAAUCCUCUUCUUUGUUUUUGAUUUUUGAGUUUUUAAUUGGUUUUUGAUUGGUUUUGUUUCUUUAUUGAAAAAGAAUAAAAAUCUAGGAACUUAAAGUUAAAUACUGAUUAAUAUUGUUUAAAGCAAAAAUGAGGAUAACACAGUUAAUUUUAGUCUGACUCUAAAAAAAAAUUACUUCCCCAGUGAAGUCAUAAAACUGUCGUAAUGAUUUUAGAACUACUUGACAAAUUUGAAAGCGAAAUGAAAGAAAAACAAAAAAUAAAAUCACCAAUCUUUUUUGACUAGGUGCGAUUGGUCACCUAUUAAAACAUAUCCUUUUAAUAAAAUUUUAAAAUUAAUUAAAAUUUAUUAAAAAGAUAAUUUUAAGGUAUGCAAAACAGGUUGGGUUCGAGAGUUGAUUACGUAUGGGAAAUGAUUAGCACUCUUAUAGUAUCCAUUUAAAAUGUUAUUAAUUAUUUGCAUGUUAUCUUUUAAUUCCAAUAAAAAAUGGUUUUAGUUUCAGUAUUUGAAACAUAAUUUCCUUGACUUUUUUUGUUUAGUAAAAUUUUAUUUACUUAUUUAUUUAUUUAUUUAUUAUUAUUAUUAUUAUCUUUGUUCCCUUUUGUUUGAAAAAAAAAAUACAUUAGAACCCUUUAUUGAAAUAAUUUUUAAAAUAUUCCAGUACAUUAGUAAUAUUAGAAGAACUCUUUCUCACUUAAAAAUUUCUUAGGCAUUGCUUCAUGGAAUAUCUUAGAAUUUUAACUUCGGAGGCUCAAAUUUAUUUUUCAAAAAAAUUAUGUUAUGCAUGUAAUGCAAAUGAUAAUAUAUUGAUGUAAACAUUUUAUUUUCCUUUUACAAAUUUUAUUUUUUUAUUAUUAUUGUUAUUGUUUUGAAGAAAGAGAAAUUUUUAUCAUAUUGAAAAAUUUUUAAUAAUAAUUCAAUACACUGAUAGUAUUUAAAAAUAUUUUUUCACCUAGAUAUUUUUAAGGCAUCAAUACUCGAAAUACCUUAAAAUCCCAUCAUCGGGUAAAAAUUUCUUUUUCCUUAUUUUUUAUUAUUUCAUUUUUAACAAAUUAGUUAAUUUUUAUAUACUAUUUUAUAGCAAAAGAAAAUGAAACUUUUUUAUUGUAUUACAAACUUUUUAUAAAUACUCCAAUACAUUAGUAGUAUUUAAAAUUUUUUUUUCACUUAUAGAUUUCGUAUGUAUCACUAUUAGGAAUACCUUUUAAUCUUAUCAUUGGAUAAAAAUUUCUUUUUAAUACAUUUUUACUAAUUUUUUAUUAAUUUUAUUAAUUAAUUUUUUGGUUAUUUUUCCUAUUUUUUAAUCUUAAAAAAAUAUCAAAAGUUGGAAACCAUUUUUUUAUUAUUAUUGGUAUCAUAAUCAUUAGUUAUUAAUUCUUAUUAUUUUUUAUAAUAUUUAUCCUAAAUUUUAAUAAAAAUUAUAAAAAAUUUUAACUAUAUUUUUCAUUAUUUAAUUUUAUUUAUCUAUUUUAUUUUGUUUUCAUUUUUACUAAUUAAAAAAAAAACAAAAUUUUAUUCUAAAAAAAUUUAAACAUUUUAAUAUGCAUAAAUAUUAAUGGCAAAAUUCAAAAUAAAAAAUAAUAAACAAAAAAAUAAAUAAAUAAUUCAAAAAAAAUUGAACCAGAUUAGUCAACAGUGUAGUCAACGUUGGUUUAAACCGGUCAAAAUCGGUGUGUGCCGAUUCAGCUAAACUGGUCAACGAUCAAAGAGGAAGUCGGAUCGCGAGUUGGAGGCACGGAUCUUAAGUCAAUCUACUAGUGCGCAUGUGGAUCCUGGACGAAACGACAUCAUUUUCAGGCUUAGUUUUCUAUAUAAAAGCCAAAAAUUUUUAUUUCAGCUCAUUUCUCAUUGGUUUCUAAAAAAAAGUUUAAAAUUCUCUCAAAUAAACAUUGGAAUUAGUGGUCGUCGAUCGCUGGUCAUUGUCGUCACACAAGCUACUGUCGACUGUCACUUUCGAUGGCUGAAAAACUAAAAAAAUGUCAAAAGACUCAUCUUUGCCCAUUGAGCUCAAAUCUGGUCUCCCUUUCGUCAGGAACAACCUCGAUCGACAUAGAUCGAGCUUCAAAGCUUCUAUUUUUCUUUUUUUAUAUAUUUUAUUGAUUUUGAUUUAUUAUUUUUUUAUUUUUUAUGAUACUGACUUCUCUAUUUUCCUUUAGGCACACUGCACAAAGCUAUGUUCCCCACCAAGGGAUUAUUUUUUUUUAAGGGUUUUGAUUUGAUUUUUUCUUGAGUUUGUGGUGGUGGUCGGUUGGAAGCAGAAGGGCCUUGGGGAAGCAAGUUUUUGUUUACUGGGUGUUAUAAGGGCGUAAAGGUGCUCUUGUAUGGUGUAUGUGCUGGUAAGAUGCCUAGCGGUGCUUUAAGGUUUGGUUUCAAAGGCUCGGGGUAAUGGCUAAAUGGGGUAAUCACUUGGGCUCUUGGGCCAUAGCUGGUGUGAAAGAGGCUUUGAGCUCAUGAAAAGGGGAAGUUCUGGUGGUGUCUGACAUUGGGUGCGUGUGGAUAAAGGUUAAGGUCUAAGGCUCUAAGAGAAAAAAAAAUGGUACUAGGGUUAAUGGCUAAGGUUGUGUGGCAUGGGUAAAGGUCCAUGUAGGGUUUGGGUUUGGUUGGAGAGGUAUGGUGGGUGGCUUUGUACGGGUUUUGGUGAAGGGGGUAGUUUUUGGUAAGUGUCUAGAAGUGCAGUGUGGGUGUUAGUGCCUAGGGGCCACUGGGUCAUUUUUUUUUAGGUGUCUCUCGCCAGCCUGGACGACUUCUUGGCUGGUGUUUUUAUAGAACGGCUUGAGAAAGUAGAUGGUGAAUAGGUGGUUAGGUUGCAAGUUAUGGGUAGGGGAUUGUUAGGGGCAUGGUGCAUGGGUCUCAAGGGAUUUGGCUGUGGGAAGCAGUGGGUUGCACCAAGGCACAGUGAUGGGUGGCUAGUGGUGCCGUGCACGACACUCACUGGCUCCAGUACCCUACCUUUUGUGUCUUUUUUUUUUGUAUUUUUAAUUAAUGUUUAAUUAACUAUUAUUUAUUGUAUUAUGAUAUAAAUAAUAAAAUUAAAAUUAAAAAUUAAACAAUAAAAAAGAAAUCAAGCUUCGACUCGUGAACUCAUUAGAAUCAAAAAAUUUAAAUUGAAACUUGAACAAAUUUGAUAUCUACAAUAAUAAAAAAAAUUGUCAAUCCAAUAUUAUUACACCUAAACUUGAUUUUUUAUGAGAAACAAAAAAUCUCAUACAUUAUAAAUCUCCCUAAAGCAAAGUGUAAGGAAUACCUAAGAAAAUCCCCUUUCACCACCAUGUUAUAUCACAGAACUUAGAUAUAAAACCAUCAAUCUUAACUUAAAAUUUUGUCAAACCCAUAAUUAAUAUUUGCAAAUUUCAAGAAAAAACACAAAUUUAACAUCAAUCAUAUCUAUCAUCUCACAAUCAACCAUGAAAUAAUAUACAAAAGAAUUUCAGUAAAAUAUCUAAAAAGCAAAAUUUUGUUGCAAUCAUAAUUUCUCUAUACUUGGAAAUUUUUUAAUUACAUGACUCAAAUAGAAGGAUUGGAACCUAAUGAUAAAGGGGUGGUAUUGUUACCCUUGAUAACCUAUCUCUUGUAUAAAAAAGAAAGAGAGAGAGAGAGAGAGAGAGAGAGAGAGAGAGAGAAAGAGAAAGAGAGAGAGAGAGAGAGAAAAAGAGAGAUGAGAGAGAAAGAAAAAGAGAAAUUUUUGAUAAGAUAAAAAAAGAGUCAAAGUUGAUAUAAGGUCAAAUGAAGUCAUUCACCAAAACGUAUAUUCAUCAUGGCCAUAUUUUUAAUAUCUUUUACAUUUUGAUUUUAAUUGAGUUUGUCUAUUAGAAUGCAUUUGCUUGAUCUUUAAAAUAUGUAAAUCAAGAAAUGGUGAUAAAUUCCAAACAAUGGUGGCUAAUUAAUACAAUUAAGACAAAUAAUAGCAUAAGCAAAAUUUGCUUUGAGAAUUCACUUUCGCAUGAGGAUAACUUUUAUAAAAUACAAUAUAAAGCUUAUAUCCCAAGUUAUAAAUACAAACAUAACAGCACAGAACUUGAAAUAUUCAAGCAUAGAAACAUAUAUAACACAUAUGAAACCAACAAUUUUGAAAUAGUCAAAUUUAAUGGCCACCAUUCUUGCAAUUCAAAGAACUAAAUUAGAAGUGACCAGCAAAAAGAUUGAUACAUCAAAAUGAAACUUAUACUUACAUCAAACAACAGUGCAACACUUUUUAAAAUCAAAUAUUGAUUCUGCCAUUCAUUAAGAAAAAGAUUGAAGAAUUAAAAAAAACUUAUAAUUUUGUUUCUGACAAAUCUCAUAUUUUCAUUAUUUUCAUAUGAAUCAUACAAUAAAAACUAAAAAAAUGACAAAACCCACAAUAGUUGAAUAAAAAAAAUCAUCAUUGUUAUUACCUUACAAUUUUCCUCUUUUCUUUUUCUCUCUAGCAUUUCCAAUAAUGAAGUGUUGAUCUUUAUGAAACCACGAUUGCCAACAUAAGACCACCACAUGGCCUUCCAUUUGUUCAUGUAUGAAAGUCAAUUAAUAUGUCAUUACAAUGAAUCAUAAGUGAUUUGUCCAACAUGUGUUGAUGUGUAGAUAUCUUAAUGCUACGUCGUCCAAUUGCUUCAUUUCAGUCUUUGAUGGCUUGCAAUAUGCUGAUUUCCUUGAAGAUGUGAAAGGCUUGUAUGAAAAUUUUUUAAAAUUUUUUUAUUGGGUUGUUGUUAAAAUGUGGAAUUUCUUUUCUUUCACUUUCAUUUUUAUUAAGUUUAAAAAUUCAUUUUUACUUUAAAUUAAAUUAAAAAAUUCAAACCAAUUGAUAAAGCCAAGUGUAAACUAAACAAUCUCUCAUAGUAUUAUUUUCAAUAUAUUAUAAACAAAAAUCUUAUCUCUUUAUAAUCUUAUUUACAAAUAAAAAUAAACAUAUGUCAUUAUUUAUCUCUUAACAAAUUUAAUUUAAAAAUAAAAAAGAAUAAAACUUAUCUCUUACAAUUUAUUUGGCUUAAUCAUGCAAAACUACUUUAAAAAUUAAAAAAAAAAUUAUCAAUUCUAAAAAUCAAUCAAUUGAAAAAAUCUCCAUCUAAAAUAUUCAGAUUUUGCAUUUACCUUUUUUCUUUUUCCUCGAUUUUUCUUUUUUUCACAACUGUUUGUCCUAUACCUUAUCCAACGAGAAUAACCAUUUUUUCAUGUUUGUUUUUCUUUAUUUUCUUCUUCCCUCAUUUUCUUGUUCUAUAUCCUCUCAAUCCUUUUUUUCUCUCAUUUCUCUUUCUUGUAAAUUUCUCUUUCCAUCAUUUUUCCUAUUCUGCCAUCCUUAGCUAAUUCCUUUUGUUGUCGUCUCUCUUUCCUAUAAAAGAAAGUUGCUCUCAUCUCUUUUUCUUGCAAAAGAAAAAGAAAAGUAAGCCAAAAUAUAACCAAAAACACACCACUUAAAUAUAAAGAAAAAGUCCACAUGUCAUGUUAAGAAGAGUCUGGAGGCAAAGUUAUAUAUAUGUUAGAUUUUGUGGUAGGCAAACUUCACUACUAUAAGAAAUUGGCACCAUAAACUUAGCCAUUGUCAUAAGUAACAUGCCUGCAUUCUGUGCAAGUAGGGCAGCUUUGUAUUUGUAACCUGAAGCUUAAUGGCAGAUGUUAGCUAACCUAUCAGACAAUGAAGUGCAUAAUUGUGUUUGCUGCAAAAUCAAUAUAUAUAUAUAGCUUUGAGUUCAAUAGUGGACAUAAAAGCCAUCAAAAUGUGCAAAAGGACACGAUAAAUAAAAUUAACUAUUGAACUUGACUAAAUUUAUACAAAUAAAAUCAGCAAUCAAUUACAUACAUAAUCCAAAUAUAUCAUUAAAAACCUGUGAUAGAAUACCAACUGAGAACAUAGUAGUAACUCCAUCUCUAGACACCAAAUUGCAUAAUGGGCAACACUUAGGCAAGAUUUAUGGGUUAUGUCCUUUUUCUUAGGUAUCAGAAUGAUAUAUACUAUGUUUUUAAAAUUGUUGACUUGAAAAACUAAAAUUGGAAUGAGUUUUAGGUGUAAGUAAUUUUAAUCUUUAGACUUAUUCAUUGUGAAACUUUAGGAAAAGAAAACUCAUAACUAAGUUCUGUCCAUAAUGCAUAUCCUAGUUAGAUUAUGAUUUAAAUUGCAAGCUUUUCUUUUUCUAUUUUUAAAGCAUAUUGUUGUUGGAGUCCAAAAAAUUUAUUAAAAAAAAUGAAGUACAAUGAAAAAGAAUUUUUUUCGUUCUCUAUCUUUUAUCUUUCAUAGUCCCAAACGAUGAUGGGCAACGCUAGCUCAAGGGCAUACAACUCUUGUCCUCUAUACAACCUCCCUUUUUGUCAAUUAUCUUGCAAAAAAAAAAAAAAAAAAACUCAAGAAAAAAACUCAUCUAACAACCUACAAAAUAAUACUAAUCAAAAUUUUUGCUUCAUUUUUUCAUUUUGUUUUUUCUCUCUUUCCAUUCACUUUCUUUCAUCGUUAGCUAGCCAAGAAUUUACCUGACCCUUGUGGUCCCAUGUCUAGAUAGAAAAAUCAAUUAUUGCUAUUAAGGUUGAACGAACCAAUAGGGCAGAUCGAAUCUUAAUGGUGAAGGUGACAUGUUGACUUAUGCCCUCUAAUCAAAAGCUCAACGACUUAGAAAAAUAAACAAAGCUCCUUUAAUAAGAGGCUCAAUGACUUUGAAAAAAUAAACAAGGCUCCUCGACAAUCAUGUCCAAAAGAGUCAAAGAUCGUGUUUGAAGAAAUUUUAAGAGAUUAUGCCUGAGGGUCUUACAAAUCGAUCAUAAUACUGAGAGAUAUCCUUUUCUAAAGAUUAGAAUCUUACCUCACAAACUUCUCAAAUGAGAAUUUAAAACUUUUACAUUAAAAGGUAUUUAUAUCUGUCUUCUUCUGUAAUACCCCUACUUCUUGAAUUUAUGCACUAAUCAGGAGCUCAACGACUUGGAAAAAUAAACAAAGCUCCUUUAAUCAGAGGUUCAAUGACUUUGAAAAAAUAAACAAGGCUCCUUGACAAUCAUGUCCAAAGGAGUCAAAGAUCGUGUUUGAAGAAAUUUUAGGAGAUUAUGUCCGAAGGUCUUACAAAUCGAUCAUAAUACUGGGAGAUAUCUUUUUCUAAAGAUUAGAAUCUUACCUCACAAACUUCUUCUCAAAUGAGAAUUUAAAACUUUUGCAUUAAAAGGUCUUUAUAUCUAUCUUCUUCUGUAAUACCCUUGCUUUUUGAAUUUAUGCACUAAUCAGGAGCUCAACGAGUUGAAAAAAAUAAAUAAAGCUCUUUUAAUUAGAGGCUCAAUGAAUUUGAAAAAAUAAACAAGGCUCCUCGACAAUCAUGUCCAAAAGAGUCAAAAAUCGUGUUUGAAAAAAAUUUAGGAGAUUAUGCCCGAAGGUCUUACAAAUCGAUCAUAAUACUGAGAAAUAUCCUUUUCUAAAGAUUAGAAUCUUACCUCACAAACUUCUUCUCAAAUGAGAAUUUAAAACUUUUACAUUAAAAGUCUUCAUAUCUGUCUUCUUCUGUAAUACCCCUACUUCUUGAAUUUAUGCACUAGACUUUCUUAAAUGCAGUUUAUGCUAUGUGAAAUGCAAUGUGUGCUAUGCAAAUGCUGGUUAAUUAAUUCUCAUAUAAUUAUGGUACUCAAGUUUCUCAAGCUCUUUUUUUAGGCCUCGAACCUUUUAUUCUUCAAAGACCAAGUCAACGUUCUCUCAAUCAUCUCUCUCAUUUAAUUCUCAUAUUCUUUCUACUAGAAAUCUCUUUUCAAAUCCAAUAUCCUUAUCAAGAGCUGAACAUCUCAAAUUUUCCCUUAUCACUCUCGACCUUUCCAAUGUAAUGUAGAAAUCUUUCAUGCUACUAUCCAUUUAUCAAUCAUUAUUUCAACUUCAAAAAGUAAGAAUGCAUUCACACAUUUCUUCCAUUGUAAGGUAUUAAAGAGAAAAGAAUAAUGGUUAGGAAAUAAUCAACACAAAAAAUAAAAAUAAAAAGAAUGAAGUGAAAUGUCCUUUAUUAGCAAAAAUGAUGGCAAACUUUGGCCAAUGGGAAAAGAAAGAAUUACAAGAAUGAGUAUGGGGAGACAAUGUCCAAAAAUAAACAAUCGAACAAUCAUGAUAACACAUCUCGAAGUCUUUCUAAAAACUCAACCACUUGAUGCACUUAACAACUUAGAGCUCCUCGAAAUAUGCUAGUCUUCAUGCCAAUGAAUUUUUAGAUUUAGUGCUGUGUUCUCCUUAUCUAGGUUGCCUUAUCAUGUUUUUAACUUAGAUAAACCUCCUAUGACUUGAACUGCCAUCUUGGAUUUUUGCCUUGAGUACUCUUUUUUUAUUUUUCUUUUUUUUUAAGCAUAGUAUUUUUCAUAGCAUUAGAAUUAAUAGGAUGAGGUAAAUCAUUUCCAUCCAUCUCAACUAAUAUCAAUACUCCACUUGAGAAAGCUUGUUUCACGACAUAUGACCAUUCUCAAUUCGGAGUCUACUUUCCUCUAUUAUCGUGCUAGCUUGGGAGAAUUAUUUUCAAGACCAACUCUCCUUCUUGAAAAUAAUGAGGUUAAACCUUUUUAUCAUGAGCUCUUAUCAUUCUUCUUUGAUAUAGCUAACCAUGGCACAACGCUGCCAAUCUCUUUUUCUCAAUGAGAUUCAAUUAUUCAUAGCUCUCUCGAAUCCAUUCAGCCUCUUCCAAGUCAACUUCCUUCAGAAUCUUUAAGGAUGGGAUCUUUACUUCUACUAGCAAUACAGCUUCAAUCCUAUAAACCAAAAAAAAUAGAGUUGCCCCAGUAAAGGUGCGCACUAACAUUCGAUAUGCAUGCAGUACAAAUGACAACUUCUCAUGCCAAUCUUUAUAGGUCUUGGUCAUUUUCUCAAUAAUUCUGUUUAUAUUUUUGUUAGCUACCUCAACUGCCCUAUUCAUUUUUGGAUGGUAUGGCAUCGAAUUAUAAUGCUUGAUCUUGUAUUAGGCACAUAUUUCUUACUUCACUUGUUAUUUAAAUUCUUGGCAUUGUCUGAAAUAAGUCUCUUUGAAAGUUUAUAUCUGUAAAUUAUCUCUCUUUUUAUGAACUUGUAGACCACAGAUCAUGUUACAUUUGUAAAUGAUGCUGCCUCUACCUAUUUUGUGAAGUAAUCUAUCAUCACGAAUAUAAACCUAUGCCCAUUAGAAGCUUUUGGGGUAAUAGGACUAAUGACACCCAUGCCUUACUUCGAGAAUGGCCAAGGUGGUGCCAAAACAUGUAAAACAGAUGACGGAGCAUGGAUCUUAUCAGUAUAUAUAUGGCAUUUAUGAUAUUUUUGAGCGUAAUCAAUGCAAUCACUCUCCAUUAUCAACCAAUACUACCAUGCUCUUAUGAUCUGUCUUACCAUCAUAUGUCCAUUGGCAUGUGCCUCACAUAUUCCAUCAUGCACCUUUUUAAUGAUUUUUCUUACCUCAAACUUAUUUAUGCAUCUCAGUAAUACUUGAUCAUGGCUCUUUUUGUACAAGUCAUCCUCGUCUAAGAAAAAGCUUAUAGCUAAUUUUCGGAUGACCCUUUUAUCGUUCUCCAUUAUUUGGAUUAGGUAUUGCUGGUUCUUAAUUUACUGUAAUAUAUCAUAAAACCCGGGCUUCCCAUCCUCCUCUUCUUCUAUAUUGGAGCAAUGAGCUGGCAUAUCCUUAACAUCUAAUUUGAUAGCCAAAGUAGCCAAGGCAUUGACAAUCAGAUUCUCCUCUCAAGGUAAAUGAUCAAACUAGACAUCUUCAAACUACUUUAUCAACUCCAAAAUAUACUUAUGAUAUAAAACAAGUUUUGAAUCUCUCGUCUCUCAUUUUCUUUUCAAUUGAUAUAUAACUAGAGCUGAGUCCCUAAACACUUUUAAUGCUUUAACUUUUCUAUUAUAACAGCUUGUAAACCUAUGACACAUACCGCAUAUUCAGUGAUGUUGUUUAUGCAAUUAAAAUUUAACUUUGCUGUUAUAGGAUAGUAUUGUUUUUCUAAAAAAAUCAGAAUUACCCCAAUUCCAUAUCCCAAGGCAUUAGCAGCUCCAUCAAAAUAUAUCUUUCAACACUUUCCUUUAUGCUCCCCCUUCUCUAAUUGCAAAACAAUAAUUAGAUCUUCAAUGGGAAACUCCAAUCUCAUUGGUUCAUAUUCUUCAGUAGCACAAUCUGUAAGAAACUUAGCUAUAGCACUCUUUUUUAUUACCUUUUAGCUUACAUAUAUGAUAUCAUAUUUCGAGAGUAUUAUUUGCCACCUAGCAAUUCUUUCAGACAAAAAAGGUUUCUUGAAGAUGUAUUUAAUUGGAUCCAAUUUUGCUAUAAGCCAAGUGGUGUGAUAGAACAUAUAUUGUCUGAGUCUUUUAGCAGUCUAAGCUAAUGCACAACGUAUUUUUUUCAAAGAAGAAUACUUGGACUCAUAUUCUGUGAAUUUUUUACUCAGAUAAUAAAUAGGUCUCUUUUUUCGACCAUAUUCAUCUUAUUGCCCCAACACACAUCCCAUUGAAUUCCCGCACACCGUUAGGUAUAAAAUUAAGGGUUUUCCUGGAAUAGGUGGCACCAACACUAGAGGAUUUGAUAAGUAUUGCUUAAUUUUAUCAAAAUUCAUUUAGCAUUUCUCGUUCCAUUCUCUAGGGUUAUUCUUACGAUAAAGCUUAAAAAUGGGAUCACAUUUAUAAGUAAGCUGAGAUAUGUAUCGCAAAAUGUAGUUCAAUCUUCAUAGAAAACUUUGAACUUCUUUUGGUGUACUCGAAGGUGACAAAUUUUGAAUGGCCUGUAUUUUUUCUGGAUCGAUUUUAAUCCCUCUUUCACUGAUCAUAAAGCCUAGCAACUUUCCUAACUUUAUCUCGAAGGUGCACUUGGCUAGGUUCAACUUGAGUUGGAAUUUUUUCAGCCUCUCAAAUAAAUUUUUGAGGUUGGUGACAUGAUCUUCAUUUUCAUAAGAUUUUACAAUCGUAUCUUCUAUAUACACCUCAAUCUCUUUUUGCAUUAUGUCAUGAAAAAAUGUCACCAUGGCUCUUUGGUAUGUUACUCUAGUAUUUUUUAACCCAAAAGACAUGACUUUGUAGCAAAAGAUCCCUCAUAUGGUCACGAAAGUGGUUUUUUCCAUAUCAUUUGUAGCCAUUUUUAUCUGAUUAUACCCUGAGAACCUAUCCAUAAAAGAAAACAUUAAAUGCUAAGCCAUGUUAUCUACCAGUGUGUUAAUAUGAGGUAAAGAAAAGUUAUUCUUUGGGCUAGCCCUAUUCAAAUCAUGAUUGUCUACACACAUUCAUACCUUUUUAUUUUUUAAAAAAAUUGAUACUAUAUUGGCUACCCACUUUGGAUACUUAGCCACUUGCAAAAAACUUACAUCAAGCUGCUUUUUCACCUCUUCUUUGAUUUUUAGUAGCAUUUCAGGCUUCAUUCACCUUAGUUUUUGCUGGACUGACUUACAUUCUAGCUUCAAAGGUAAUCCAUGCUUUAUUAUCUCCGUACUCAGCCUUGACAUAUCCUGGUAAGACCAAGCAAACACAUCUACGAAUUCUAGAAGUAGAUCUUUCAAACGUUACCUAUCUCCUGAUAAAAGUGAAGUGCCAAUUUUGACAUCUUUCUUAUUCUCUUUAUCUCUUAGAUUUACAAAGUCAGUUAUCUUCUGAUGAGGCUCAAUUGGCUUACUUUCUUAUUCAAUCAAUCUCAUUAAGUCCCGAAAUAUAACAUACUCUUCAAAAUCAUAUUCAUUAUCAAGUUUAUCAGUGUUAAUUAAAUUCUUAAAAUUAGCCUCUUAAUCAUUAUCAUAAUUAUCUUUUUGUUCAUUUAAAGACCUGAAAUUAAAUGAAAUGAGAUAUGUUGGCAAGAUAUGUUUAGAAAAAUUAUAAAAAUGAGGGCACAAGAAAAAAUGAAUGAAAAUGCAUCCUUUCUAAUCUUUAUUAAAAUAAUAAAAGAUAUAUGGCCCAAACAAGAAAGAUCACCCCAAUGCCUUGGGUAAUAGCUAUUGGGAUGUACAAUUACAUUGAAUUAGUCUCAAAGGUAAAAGGCAUUUCAAUGGUACUCAAAUUGUUUACUUAUAAUUUGACAAAUAAAGACAGACCCACCCUUCUUGUUCAAGCUUCGUUUUAUCUUCAAUAGCAUGGAUGGUCAACUGGACGAAUGCCUCUUCCAUACUUCAUUCAUAAUCUUCUUUACGUUUUGGGUACAUGAAUCCUUCAGGCCUGAAAGUCUCAUGUAAGUGUGCGAAGAUCAUUAAUCUUACUGUUUUACCUAUAGAUCUUCUUUUAAUCUUUCAUUCUUCUAUUUCAUAGCCUAGGUCUAGCCUUUCACUAUUGUCUACCACUAUUAGAGGCCUUCUUAUUCCCUGUAAGUUCUUACCCAGCCCUACUACAAGAUAUCAACCUUUAUUGAUGGCUUGGCACAUCACUCUCUUUGAAAAAGAUUGAUUUUUAGGUCUUUCACCUAUAGAGUUAACUAACUCGAAGGAUCGAUAAGAGCAUUCCAUUAUUUUUUCAACAGCUUCCACAUAUGAAGCAUUCAAUGGCUGAGUUACUAACAUGUCUUUUUCUUUAAACACUACCACUAACUGGCCUUCCACAUUGAACUUAACUUUUUGGUGCUGGGUAAAAAGAACAGCCCCUGUCAUGUGAAUCCAUGGCCUUUCUAAGCUGUAAGAUGGAGAGAUAUCCAUCACUUAAAACUUCACAUUAAAAGUGCAUUACUUAAUUUACAAAGGCAUCUCUAUAUCUCUUAGAACUUUUUGUUUGGUCUUAUCAAAAGCUCGCAUAACCAUUUGACUAUCCUUCAUAUAGGCGUAGUCGAUAGGUAGCUUUGCCAAAAUUGACAUAGGCAUGACGUUGAUAGCGAAACCAUUAUCAAUAAGGAUUUUAGCCAUGAUAUGGCUCUUACACUUGAUCGUGAUAUGCAGAGUCUUGGCACUUUUCCUUUUUUUUGAGGAGAAUCUCGUCAUCACUGAAUGAAAUAUAGUUUGACAUGACUAGGGUUCCAACUAAAUGGUUCACAUAUUUAACAGUCACAUUAUGUGCCAUAUAUAUGGUUCAACACUUUUAAUAGGGCAUUCUAAUAUGAUUUCGAUUUCAAUAACAAUGAUAAUAAUGAGAUUCGUACUGGCAUUUUAUUUAACUAUUCAACAAUAGAAUAUUCACUGUGUUUUAUCAAUUUUAGGAAUUCAUAAGCUUUCUUUUCUGACACUGGCUUCGGACGAUCCUUUUCAGGUUCCACUUUGAGGUUAUUUCACUCUUCACCUACCUUGGCUUUUUUUUUCCUAGCUUUCUUUAGCAUUUUUUGAGUGUAGCAUCUUUCACUUCGGGUGAUGCCCCCUACACCUAUUAUGUUCGCAACAUCAGACUUAGAAGCACUUUUCUUUUGCUCUUGAACUACCAUAUCACGUCAUAUUUUUAAGGUACAGCUUUAUCAUCCUUAUGCGAGAAUGAAGCUGAGACUUUAAAAGUUACUGGCUUAGGAAUAAGUUUGUCUAUAUCUGACUUUGGCUUAUUCCCAUAGUGAAUUUUCAUCGACUUUGGAAAUAGUUUUACUGGCUUGUCGAUCAUAUAUACCUCAGCACUCUUUAAGACCUCUCUUUUUUCAUAAAGUUCCAUUUGAUACAAAUUCAUGAGCUUCAUACCUCUUGACGAAACUAUUCAUAAAUUUUGAUAGAGUGACUAAUUACCCCACUAUGAUAUUUACAACUAGUGCCUGCUACAUAUGCUUCAUAAUAACCAUACAGACUUACUGGCUGUAUCAUAUCAACUUUUCAUAAAAUAUCAAAUAACAGACUGAGAGAUGUCUUAAUAUCUGUCAUUUUUCGUUUCAAAUAAUGCUCAUGUUACUUACUUAGAGCAUUCAUAUUAUGAUUAGGCAAAGGAUUGCCACUGAUAUUUGGUGCAGUUACCCCUCUUGUAUCGAAGUGAAUCAUUAUAUUCUUGAUCAACCAUUGCACUUUAUGUUUCAAUGUAGAGUAAUUUUUAAUGGAAUGACCAACAAUCCCCAUAGUGAUAGUCACAAUAAGUUGUGGGAUCAUACCAUUUAGGGUAAGGUGGCUUGAGUGGCUUUAAUUUUCUAUGAGCUUUAAUUUUCUAUGAGUAAUCAGAUGACUGUUGUAAAGCUCACGAUAUAACUCUGUAUAGGUCAUGGGAAUUGGAUCGAACACAGACUUUUCAUGAGUAGUUCGUUGCUCUCAUAAACCACCCAUUGGGCUAGCUAGACGAGUCUGAGGUCUUGGGGUAGGUUGAGUGUUAGAACUAUAUAUGAUAUUUUAAGGUCUAAAAGAAUGUUGAUAUGUUUGGAGGUAAAAUAACUGUAGGAUUGGUUGGUAUGGGUAAAGAGAAACAUUAUUCAUAGCAGGAUAAUAAAGAGGAUAUCCUUAUGGUAGGUAAGGUUGAUAACCCCUGAAUUUUUACCUAUCAAAGCUCACAACUUGAGCUUUAGUCUCUUUUUUCUUUAAGGCUCUUUUACUUGAUGUCUCUCAUUCUUUUAACUUGCCAUUCUUGUUGGCAAUAAUUUCUCCUGAAAUCACCAUAUCGAUGAAAUUCUUGAUUGCAUUCCCUAUCAUCUUUUCAUAAUCGAUGAAAUUCUUGAUUACACUUGAGAAGCUACAUUCUUUCACCUCUGGACGUAUUUCUUAAAAGACUCAUUUACUUUUUUUCUCAUGUUCUGUAAAGAUAAAUGAUCAGAAGCCAAAUCUAUAAUAUAUCGAUAUUGACUAAUAAAGUCAUAGGACAUAUCGCUCUAAGAAUAUAUGUGAGUUCUGUCCAACUGGAUAUACCAUUUAACAGCAGAGCCCGUAAGGUUAUCUUGAAAAAUAUGCAUUAAUAGUUUUUCAUUAUAAGCAUGGGCUACCAUCUUCUGACAGUACAUGGUAAUAUGAGUCUUUGGGCACUUCAUACCAUUAUAUUUCUCAAAUUUUAGUACUUUGAACUUUGAAAGAAUGACUACAUCCGGGACUAUGUAAAACUCAAUAGCAUCGACAGAACCAUAAAACCUAAUUUUUUUCACAACCUGUAACUUUGUUCAAGCAUACUAAUGUUCAAAUCUUCUUGAGAUUCCACAACUUUUGCCUUUUUUUUCUUUUUUUUCUUUCAAGUCAUCCAGAUUAGGAACUUAGAUGGAUUCUACUACCUUUUCAGUAAAGACAGGAUUCAUAUAGCUAUGGUAAUACCUUGAGUUUAAAGUUGAUAGCAUUUCAAGGUAUACAGGAUAUGUGAACUGCUGUGGUGUUAUAUCUUGUAUGGACCAAGCUUAUUGUAAACCAAAAUCGAGAGGAUAUAGAAGAUCAACCACUUCUUGUGAUGGAUGGCCUUGUAGGCUUGUAUUCUCUUUUAUCUAUUUUCUCUUAUUUAACUUGUUGAGAGCAUCCAAAAUCUUACUCAACUCAUUUUCAAGCUUUUCCUAUGCUUUUUCUAUUUUUUCAAGUCGAUAAGAGUUUUCUUGCUUCAUUUGUCUAGCUCUGACUCUUGUGUUAUAUCGAUGGGCAGGGUUCUUACUGGAUGGAGCUAUCAUUGAACCUUGAAUGCCAUAUCUUAGAAUUAGAAAGUUUAUACGACUAUCUCAUAUUUACUUUGUUAAAUGUACUAAAUGAGAAUGCAAUAAAUGAAAAUGCAUGCAUGAAAAGAAUAUUUACCUUAAGACAGUGUUCAACCAAAAGAUUUCAUUUAUUUUGAAGAACUUUUGUUUACAUAGAAUUUAUCAUCCUAGAGUUAUAACCAUAAAAUCAUUUGAUUUGCUCAUACUGGUCUUUUGUUUCCUCGAUGAAAUUCAACAGGCGUUGUCUAUGUUUCCCUACUCAGGCCACCACUUGUUUUAAUGCUUCUGCCUCUUCGACCAUUUCUCUUGUCUUACAUGCCUCUUUGUAAAUUUGGGUUGUUAAGUGCUCAAUAUACUUCUAUCUUCCUAAGUUUUCUCUUUUAUCACACCAUACUUGGUAUGAUAACUCUCUGUGCUGUCUAACCAAUACAGCAAUAUAAUCUUCUUGUUCAUUUAACAUUUGUCUUAACCUACUUAGGUAGCUGUUCAACAUGUUAUUCUCUGUCUGUACCUGGGUACUUUUUUCUUCUAAUUCAGCAUAUUCUUACUUCAAUUGCUCAUUUUCAUCGAUCAGCUCAAUGAUUGUUAUCUCUUUAGCUUUUACCUUCACACACAACCUCUUAUAUUCAUGGUGUAGCUUCGCUAGGUUUUUGAUAGUUGUAUCACAUUCUCUAGCAAUUUUGUAAACUUUGACUUCAUAUUUUUUAGCCCUAUCUUUCCAUUGAUCUCUUUCUUCUCAAAGUUUUUGAAUCUUUUACCUUAGCCUAUUUUUUUCGAUCUUGAACUCUUUUGUCGUAAACUCCAAUUCUGAUGGUGUCUCUUUAAACUUUCUUUUUGUUGGCGAUUAAAAGCUUUCAUAAAUGAAUAUCACUUCUUAUCCUCAUCUUGCUUUCCAAACUAAGUACCCAUGAGUGACCUUAUCAGUGAAUGGUCCAAGACUCACCAUAUGGGGGUUUUUUCAUGCUUUAAUCACCUCAUUCAUUCUUUGAAAUACUUUGGCUCACUGUAAGAAAAAUUUGACUGAUGAAGCUUAUGCGUCAUGGGAAUGAAUUAUUUUACCCCAAACUACCUUCUUACUAGAAGUGAUGUAUAACUUGUUGCUCUCCAUAAACCCAGAAGUGGGACCACAGUAUUAUCUCCACACUAAUAUAGCAUAAGUUCACGAUUCAUCUAUGAGAUCAACCAUCUUACUUCGGUACUUGUUAGCUUUUGUAAGAAAGCUAUCCAUUCUUUUUUAGACUUUUGUUUUGGCCACUCACUUUCAUAAAAUUCCUUGAUUGAACCUUGAUUAUAGACAUAAAGCUUCGAGAAAGCACUUUUUUUACACUCGAAGUGGCUUUUCAUUUAUAAGUACAAUAAUUGUAUGCAACCUAUAAAACGCCUUCCAUUCUUGUAACAGUAACUCAAGGAUUUGACAGUCUCUACUAAUAUUAUCGUUGAAGAGUUGUAGCCAUUGUCACACUUUUGAAAAAGUCAAUCACUGCUAUUUCAAUAUAACCCAAGACCUUCGAAAAAAUCACCAUUUCAUAUAUGGCUAAGGCAAACACGUCUAAGCCCCAUUAUUCGUCGGCAUGUUGUAUUAGAAAAUCAUAAAAGAACUUUCAAGGUAGACAAACCUGCUUUUAUUUUUUCUUUGCAUGAGAAUCCACAAUCUCUUUGUUUAUCCCUAUAAGAUGGGUCAGAUUCUUAUAAAAUCAUGCUUUAUGUUUUUUUACAUAUAUCUUGUUUAGAGCCUGGAGGUGCAGACCUAACAAAGUUAAAUAUUUUUCAAUGGCUAGUGUCAUAUCAACUUCAUUGAAGAUGAAAUAUUUAUAUAAAAAAAUCCUAGAAUUAUACUACAGCUCUAAUUAGUUGAUUCUCAACAUUCACUACAAUGAGGUGUACUAUAUGUCCAUGCUUCUGGCAAAACUCCUCUUGUCUUAAUGGACUCAUCUUCUUCCAUAUAUCAAGAAAAUCCUCUAAAUUAUUUUGUUUGAAGAGGAUGGAUGUUUCUUGAAACAAGGUGGAAGCAUAGUCGAUUGGUAAACAAUCUUUUUUCUUUAGUUGAAUCCUUUCUAACUGGACCUUUACUUCGUUGAGUGACUCACAAAGAACUAAUACAGACAAAGAGCAAACUAGUUGUCUUGUGGGGUCCAUGAAGAACUUUUGUUGGAGACCAUCUUUCAAGCAAAUGUUCUUUAUGCAACUUUAUGAUAUAAGCAUGAAUCAAUGCAGAAAUGAAUAAGAGAAAACGUUAGUAUACCAAAUAAGGAGAAAUAAAUAAAUAACUAAAUAAAUUAAAACAUUACACAGAAUAAGAGGAAUGAAUCCUAUGCUUUUGGUUAAUUUUAAAAGAAAUAAGAUCGUUCUAUCUAUAGGUUAGGCACUUCUAAGGUUCACUAUAUGUGGUUCAAGGUUAAAGCCUAAAGGUUCCCAAAUUGCUCCUUACAUUAUUGUCCAUCAUAGACUAGUAAGGCACCUCAAUCCUCACUCAUUACAGGCUGCAAGCAAAAAAAGUUUAAUUUGAGUGGGAGUAUUUCGCUAGCCACUGCGAACGUAUUAAAACCUCACGAAAGCAUAGCUACUUUACUCCUUCCUAGAAGGACGGAGUUCGGGUAUAGAACUUAUGUCAUGCACAUGCAUAUGAAUGACAUAAUUAUCAAACAAAUAAAUAAAAUGAAUGCAUAAAAAAUCUUUACAAAAAAUUCAAUUUUAUUAGGCUUUUGGAUAACACAAAUUUAUUUACUAGCUUAACUCUCGACACCUCCCCAACGGAGUCGCCAAGUUGUCAUACGUUUAGAUCCGUAAACCUAUCGCUAGACAUUGACUUGAAGAGUCGCCACCAGCUUUUUUUGUUUAGGUGCGAUUGGCCACCUAACUGAAUCUAUCCCUUUUAGAGAGGGAUCUUAAGUUCGACUUAGGUAUCUCUAAAAGGUUAAUUCAAUGUUUGUGAAACCAGAACUAGGUUCGAGAGUACGAUUACGUGUGAGAAAGGUUAUAGCACCCUCAUAAUGCCCAUCGAAAGAUGAUACUAGCUCAAUUUCGUAUUAUCCAAUAAGCCUUAAAAAUUUAUCAAGUAAUUAAUUAUUGAAAAUUAUUCUUAAUUGACUCCAAUACUUUUGAUAGAAAAAUUAAAAAAAUUCACUCACCUCAAGAAUAUAUAAGAAAACUAUUGUUUCUCUUGCAAAGGCUCCGUCGUCGGAUUAUUUAACAUUUAAAAAUUAUCCAAAGAAAGAAAAAGGAAAAAAAAUAAUGAUUUGACUUUUGAUAUAAAAGUUUUUUGUUGUUUUAUAAGGAAAAAAAAAACUCAUUACUUUUAUAUAAGAAAAAUUGAUACUUUCAACUUUUCCUUAAAAAUGAUUUUUUUUUUUAUAAUUUUUACUUUUAAGGAAAAUUGGUGCUUUCAACUUUUCUUAAAAUAUUUUUUUCUAAAAUUUUAAUUUCAAAAAAAAUUGAUACUUUCAACUUUUCCUAAAAAAUAUUUUUUAAAAAAAUUUUUGUUGUCAAGGAAAAUUGAUAUUUUUAACUGUUCUUCAAAAAUAUUUUUAAAAAAAAACUUUAUUUUCAAGAAAAAUUGAUACUUUCAACUUUCUCCAAAAAUAUUUUUUUUAAAAAUUUUUUAUUUUUAAAGAAAAUCAUUGACAAAAAAUUAAAAAAAAUUAAGGAAUAUCAAAUAAUUCUAAUUUAAUCAAUAAGCAAAAAAAAUAAUAAUAAAUAAAUAAAUAAACCUUGACAUGGCUCGACUCAGCUGUUGAAAUGGCUCGGCUUAAGGCAUAAAAGUAGCUAAAAGGAACGGCUCAGGCAGUUCGGCUCAGCUCGACUCAGCUCGACUGAAAGUUUGGCUGGAACGCGGAUCGACCAAAAGCAAGGUUGUGUCCAGGGCAAGUUGGAUCGAAUAAAAAUGCGAGGAUCCUAGGGUCUCUUAAUGCCAAAAAUGACGUCGUUUUACAAUAGUAUAAAAGGAUAAAUUUUAUCUUUUUUCAUCGAUUUCUCUUUUCUAUUCUCUCUCUUCUCCUUCUUUCCUCUCCCUUUCUCUCUAGGAUUCAAGAACACCGGUUGAAUCCUUCGUUGGAUUCUGGGAUUUUCAUCAGAAUCUGGGUAGGGUCGCCAAAAUCUUGCCGGAAGUUCAUCGAUUUCUAAAAAAUGGUUGCUGAAAAUUGAAAGCUUCGCCGGAACUUUGAAUUUUGUUAGAAAGUCAUUGGAAAAUUCAAAUCUCGUUGGAAAAUUGCUCGAAAUCUGGAAAUUUUUCAAAAAUUUCAAAAAAAAAAAAGGGCCAAAAAUUUCAAAAAAAUUUCCUAAAAAUUUUAGAAUUGCCUCUACUUUUCUAAACACUAUUUUUGCUUUUGUUUUCUCCCUGUUUCCUUUUUUUUCUUCUGCUUCUGGUUAAUAGGUAUUUAUAGGGACCAAUUCACAGAGUUUCUGAUUAAUCCGAAUUUCUUCUUUGAUUAGCUUUUUGGAUUAUCAAAUUAAUCAUUGAAUUUAUCCUAUACUGGUUUAAUCCAACUAUAAUUCUCUACUGGCCUUAUUCACAACAGAAUUCAUUCUCAUUUUUAUUAUUUUUAAUUAUUUUAAUUAUUAUCUCCUAAACAAUAAUUAACCUGAAAAAGAAAAGAAAGAAGAAGAAAAACAAAUCCAUAAAUCAAUAAAUUACAUAAAAAAAUAAUUAAGCCCAAAUCUUUGGGUUUGACUGGCCCUAUUGGACCAGGCCCAAUUGAUUCAAGCUUGGACCAAAUUGGGUUUCUACAUCUUGAUUUUUAACACUUAUAAGAUUUACCAAAUUAAUUUUUAUACUUGUUUUAAACUUUAUAUUUAAUACAAAGUUAUGUUACUGUAAAAUCUGAAAUAAAAUAGUUUUAAAUUUUAAGUACAAGUAUUAAAUUUUAAAGAAUUAUUUUAAAAAUUUAUUGAAAAAAGGUUUCAAUUAGAAUGAGUCAAUUCUCAUUCAUAGGAUUUUAUAAUAAAUUUAAAAGGUAAAAAAAUUUGCUUUUUAUUUUUACUAUUUAAGUUUUGCUUCCAACAAUAAUAAUAAUAUUAUAAAAAUUAAAUUAUAAAAACUUAAUUUUAAAUAAAUAAACAUGAUUUUACUUUUAUAUAAAACAAUUAUAUUAUAAUUAGUACUGUAUUUUAGUCAUUCGCUUUUAUUUAUAAAUUAAAAAAAAAAAAAGAAAAGCAUAACAAAAUCAACAAUUGAAAAUAAGCUUAUACAAUCUUUUCUAGAUAAAUAAAUAAAAAACAAUGUCUAAACAAUUAAAUCAAUAUUUUUUACCUUAAUUGUCAGAAUAUUUUAGAAAAAUCAUUAUUGUACUAAACCGAUCUUCUUUCUCUACUCCAAUAUUCGUGAAUUGUCAAAGAAUUUCUAUAAGAUCCAUGCAUACACUUUGAAACAAAUAAAAUAUUUAAAGUUUUUAUAAAAAUUUUUUUAAAAAAAAGCAUUGAUUUUUAUUUUUUUAAUAUGUGGAUGAACAAAUUACAAAAAUAUAAUAAAAAUUUUGUGCAUCUCACAAGUUAAAAAACCAUUUCUUUGCAAGCAUAAAGGUUAAAAAAUAGAGAAAUAGAAGUAACAUUGAGAAUAUCGUUAAAGAAUAAAUUAUCUUCUAAUGUAUGUAAUAUUUUGUCUUUUUGAAUUUAAAAAUUAUCAAAUAAUAAAAUAUUAUUAUGAAAUCUCUAAAAGUAAAAAAUUUAUUUUAAUUAAAAUUUCAAAAUUAAAAUGACGUAUUUAAAUUACUAAGAAAUCCAUUUUAUAGUAUCACUACAUUUGAGAUUUUUAGAUUUAAAAAGAUAUAUAUUUAUAUUAUUAGAAAACCUAUUUUAAAAGAUAAUAUAUCACUAUAUUUGAAAGUUUUAAAUGGAAAAAGAUAUAUAUAUAUAUAUAUCUAUAUAUAUGUAUAGAUUAUUUAGAAAUGCAUUUUUUAAAAAAAAUAUAUAUUUAAAUUAGAUUUUGUUGUUAGCAACUUAAAAAUAAUUGAAUUGGUCUUCUACUUAACUUUGAAAGUUUUAGAUAAUUAUGUAAUUUUAAAUAUAUAUUUUUUUAUAAAUAACUUAAAAUUAGGAAAUAUCUUACAAGUUAUUAUAAAGAGAAAUUUUAAAAAUUUUUCUAUGUGUUGAAAAAACAAACUAUCCACCUAAACAUUCACAUAAGUAAAUUUUAUCAUAUUUCUAUUUAUGUUAUAAUAUAAUAUUAUAUAUGAUAAUUAAGGAGUUAAUUAUGACACUUGCAAAUGAUACAGAAAGAUAACAACAAAAAUUUAAUUGUAAUAUAUUAAAUAUAAAUUUAUUUUAUUUUUUAUAUCUUAAUAUAUUUGUAAUAUUUUGUAUGCAAAUUAAUAUUUUUAUUAUUUUUAUAUUAAAAUAAUUAUAAAUAUGUGUAAUAAAAUAUUAAUGAAAAGCAAAAUUAUUUCAAAUAAAUACAAAAAUAAUUAUAACUCUAUUCACACAUUCUAAUAUUUUAGCAUCAAUUACUUAAUAAAUAAAUCAACUUAAUUAACACUCGAGAUAUCAAUUGAUAAGGUAUGGGAUGAGUAGAGCAUUCCCUAUACCCAUUCUUAGUUUUUUAUCUUAUAAUUAUCUUUUUACUCAUAUCUAACAGGUAUUUUAAAUUCAUUCACAUCUUUUAUCUCUGUGGAUAUUUAAUGGGUAUUACUAAUCCUUGUAUCCAUGACUUUUUAAUAAAAAAUAAAAAAUAAGUUUUAUUUUUAAAAAUUUUUUAUCUUGCAUAUUUAAGUAAUUUUUUUUAUAAAUAUAUAUUUUUUAAAUACAAAUAUAUUAGAUAUAAUACAUCUAAAAUAAAAUUAUAUUACUAAAUAAAAAUUAAUUUAUUAAAUAUAUAAAAAUAUAUAGAAUAUGGGUACGAAACUAUAUUACUUAUUAUCUUUCCCAUAUUCUAUAAAAAAAUAUAAAAUCAUACUCAUUCUCAUUUUUAUUAUCAAAAUUUAAUAUCCAUUUUUAUCUUAAUUAAAAUAAAAAUUAAAUUCUUUGUUAAAUUUGAAUAAAAUUAACAUUCCUAAUUAACAUAAAAAAUAGGAGGGAUGAAUACUACUAUCCUUUUGAAAAAGAGUGACUUGAUGUAAAAGGUGGUGGCAACUUAUUCUUGUUUAUUUGAUAUUAAAAUCAUGCAAUUAUUUGUGUUGAAAAGUGAUAGCCCAAACCGGUUAGGCCAAGUUCGAGGGCAUUUGGUGAAGCUUGAGCCUUUAUUUUUCUUUAUAUUUUCUUUACAUGCUAGGCCCACAAGAAUAACUCACUUGGACUGAAUUAUAAUUUACGUUUGAUCCGCCCUGUCUUAAAGUUAUUAGAUUAUAUUACAUAAAUAAUUUAUUUUAUAUAAUUUUUAUUGUAAAAUAUAUUUUAAAACUUUAAUAUAAAAAAUUUUCAUGUAUUAUAAUAAAUAUAAUAUAAAUGAAUGGAUCAAUUUAAAUUAAAUUGAUACUCAAGCUUCUAUUUUUAAAGUAUCAAUAUCAUUUCUAAUUGUGAACAAGUUAAAAAAAAUUUUUCUUUAUUUUUGUGUCUAUUAAUUUCAAUAUGUUUAUAAUUAUUAUUCAUAUGUAUGCGAUUGGAUUAUUAAUUAUGGAUCCCAUAAACAUAAAUCAAAAUAACAAAAAACAUUGAAAACAAAUCAAAAUGAUAUUUGGUGUGAACCAUAUAAUUUGAUGUAGGUUGGACAUGGCAAAAAAUCUCGUCUUCCCCUCCAUACAGUUUGGUUUGAACCAUGCAUAAAUAAUAUAUGUAGCAAAUGAUAGAGGCAUCUAGGGGUCCCUCGUCCAAAAGCCCAAGCCAUCACAUUCACGUAUGCGCUGACGCCAUUGAUCAGAUCACUAGCCUAGUAGUUGAGAAAAAGACGUACAACCAAUCCUGAAUUGGACAAUGUCAAACUUCCAAAUUAGUUUUCCCGCAAGAAGACUAACCCAUCUUUUAUUUUUUUCAUAAAAAAUAAAAAGAAUUACUAUUGGAUUCAAGUUUUUUAAAAAAAUGUAUAUUUAUAAUAUAUAUUUUUGAUAGAUUUAAUAAUUUUAUUAAUAAAAAUAUAUUCAAAAUAAUUUUGAAGUAUCCAAAAUUUUCUUAUUUUUUUAUUUGUCAAUAUUCGACAUAUUUAAAAACAUUCUGUCAAUCCAUUGCAUCCGCCAGAAAGGAACAUCUUAUAAUUUUCAUAUCAAAACAAAGUCAAGGGUCAGUGGAAAAGGACCAUUGAACGGAUUAAGAAGUCUUGUCAAAUAGGUCCUCCUAAAAUAUUGACAAGAUAAAUUGAUGAUCAAAUUGAAACAAUUGAUUUAGCUUUUUAAAAUAAUUAUUUAUAUUUGAUAUAUUAUUAAUAUAUAAAUUUUAUAUAUUAUUAAUAAAUUAAAUAAUAUUUAUUUAUUAAUAAAAAUUUAACAAAAAAAUAAGUUUUUUUGUAUUUAUCUUUAAGGGUUAAUAAAAUUUUUUAUUUGAUCAUUAAUAAAGUGAUAUCAUUUUAUUUACUAUCAAUAUAUAAAAUUUAUAUAUUAAUAAUUAUUAAAUAUAGACUCUAUUUAUUAUGAAGGUGAUCAAACAUGAUAGCUUGUUUCAUUUUCUUUUGAUGAUUGUCAUUAAAAUUUUGUUUCUAAAUAAAUUUCUUUUUUAAAACAUUUCGAUUUAAUUAAUUAUUUUUGUAGAUAAAGUUUUCUUUUAUAACAAAGUUUAAAAACAAUCAAUUUUAAAAACUAUUAGAAAGUUAUUUUGCAAUUGUUUAAUUUUACUUUUGGUAAUUAAAAAAAAAAUUGAUUGGUUAUAUUUAGAUCUACUAAUGGGUAGGGUCGAGUUGAGUUUGGCCCAGAUUUAGCAUGAUAUUUCAACAUUUUAAGUAAAUUCAAGGUCGAUCUUAUUUUUCGAACUUGAGUUUGGAUUUAAUUUAAUUUUGUUAAAUAUAAUUUAAAAUUUGAUUAUUGUUUUAUACAAAGAAUAAAUAGGUUUUAUCCUAUUAUAAGUAAUAGAGAAAAUGAAUCUUGUCCAUUAUAAAAAAUAAAACAAAUAGGUCUUAUCUUAUUAUGAUAAAAAUAUUUUUUUUAAUUUUUGAGCUUGAUCAAGCCAAAUCUGAGCCUUAAAUGGUGAAACACAAUUUCAACCUCAUUUUUUAAUCUGACUUCAUUUAUUUAUUUAGGUCUAUUUAACAGACUUAAUAUUUAUAUUUAAGUCCUUCAAAAUUUCGAAACGAGCUUUCAAAUUUGGACAAACUGUCUAGCUUAUAAUUAGGUCUAGUUAUACUUAUUUGUCACCCUAUCACCCUAAGUUAUUCUUAGAAAUAAUUUCUUUUGUUACCAUUAUAUUGUACAUGAAAAAUGUAUUUAAUACAUGAGAUUAUGAUGAAAUAAGAUAAAAUGAUAUUAUAAAUAGGAUUAAUUAAAUAGUAUUAUCUUAUCUUAUAUUUGAUAUGUGUAAAAAUUAGAAUAGGAUAAUUUAUUUAUUAGUCAAAAUUAUUUUUUUUCAAAAUUAAUAUAAUUUAAAUUAUUAAUAUAAUUUUUAAAAAUAUAACAAGACAUAUAAGUUUAAUUUUAUAGAUUAAAAUAAUCAUUUUCACUUUGAGAGGAUAAAAGUAUCUUAUACCAAGAGAAUGAUAAAUAUUCUUUGUAAUCAUUUUUUUUUAAAUACAAAUUAAAUAUAAUUUAAAAUAAUUAUUAUUUUAUUCUAUCCAUCAUGUUAUACACUAAAUAUGAAUAAAAAAUAUUUUAUAAUAUAGAUAUAAAGAUAAUAUUUAUUAUUUUAAUAAUAAAAUAACAAUUAAAUUAGAUAAUCAAAAUGAAUUCAACUUUUUCCUUUAUAAUUUAAUAAGCCAAUCCAACCCAUAAACUAAGUUUGGUUUAAGAUAUUUUGUAUCAUGCAACAGCAAAAUUCAGAAUAACAAAACAAAGAGAAACUAAAUUUGUAAUAAUAAGUUGAAAAGUCUUAUAAUCUAUUACUGGCAACUUACGUGCAAAAGCCCAACCUUGUUAGAGGUACACGAUAGCUAUGAAUUUGUAAGCGGCCAUGUAAGCUAUGGAUGUCAGCAAUCGUCUCUAAAAAUGUCAAACUCCAUUUUUUUUUCCUUAAAUAUCUCAUACGACGGUGUCACAGGAUAUCAAUCAACGUCUCCAUCUCCAUUCAGACAACAUAAAAUUAAUUUUCAUUAAAUUAAAAAUAAUAAUAAAAAAAUUAAUUAUUUUAAUAAUAAAAUAAAAUGUGUAAUUAAAAUUAAUGAUAUAAUAUAUGUUUAAAUAUAAAUAGAGUGACGACGAUAAAAUAAAAUGUAACAAAAAAUUGAUUAUUAAAAAUAUUAAAUUAAAUUUAAUAUAUAAUAAAUUUAUAGUAUAUAUUUGAAAAAUUAUUAAAUAAUUAUAAAUUAUUAAAUUUAUUUAUAUAUAUCAAAUUAAAAUUUUUAUAUAAUAAAAUUUAUUGUAUAUUUGAUUUUUUUAAAGUUAAUAAAUAAUUAAAAAUUACUAACAAAUGUUAGCUUUAUAUAAUUUAUUUUUUAAAUAAUUUACUUUAGUACGCAAGUGAUAAAAAUAUUAAAAGCUUUUUCUAAACAUUAAUCAAAGAAAAAUAAAUAAAUAAUAAAAGAAAAAAUUAAAAAUAAUAUAAAUAAAGAUUGGACGCAAAAUAAAAUACGUGAACUCUCCCAUACUCUUUAUUAGGUUUCUUGAAUUCAAGGCUUUUAAAAUUGAAUUGAAAAAUGUUGAAUUGAGUUAUAUGUAAGGGUAUUUAAGGGUUUUUGUCUUCAAUCGCAGAUUACAAAUUUUCACUGAUCUCUUUAGCUCCAAUGACGAUUGAGGGUUGUGGUGCAGUUGAAAGAUUCCAAUCGUGCAUCCAAACAUGCUUCUAUGGUGCAAAAUUAUGCUUUAUUGCACCGCACUGGUGCUAAAAGCGAAACCAAAUUAAUGGGCCCAAGUCUCCCAGAUGACAAUAUCUCCUACGCAGGAAGUCUCUAAGAUGACGAUAUCUCCUACGCAAGUAAACAAAAAGACAGUUGAUCUGAGUGGGAAAUUAAAAUAAGCUAUGAAAGCAACAUGAUGGUGAUGAUUAUUAAAAGUAGUCAAACUUGGAAAUUUCGCCCAUUGAAAGAUGGGUGGGUCCAAAUUUUUUAGCAAUACUCAUAUUACGCCCCUGUAUAAAAGCAAACACAUUUUAAUUCUAUACACCACGAAAAAAACCAAAUCGAAUCAAACAAACACACAGCUACCAGAAGCAAAUCAAACAAUGGAAGAAGCAACAAUUCUUUACUCAUUUCUUUCUUUUAUCUUUCUCAUCGUUUGUUUAAACUUGUUCUUUCAAUCAAGAAAACAACCCAAAAACCUCCCUCCAAGCCCACCAUCACUACCCAUAAUUGGCCACCUUCACCUCCUAAAACCCCCCAUCCAUCGUUUGUACCAUAGCCUUUCACAAAAAUAUGGUCCAAUCUUCUCCCUUCGCCUCGGUUCUCGGCUUCUUGUUGUAGUAUCAUCUUCAACCGCAGCCGAGGAAUGCUUCAGCAAGAACGAUAUAGUUUUUGCCAAUCGCCCCAAGUUUAUCAUAGGGAAACACUUAGGCUACAACUAUACCACAGUUUCAACAUCGUCUUAUGGUGAUCAUUGGCGCAACUUACGUAGAAUUGGUGCCAUUGAAAUCUUCUCAUCAAGUCGUCUAAACGCCUCCGUGACUGUUCGAAAAGACGAAAUCAGGCGCUUGUUAUUAAAACUGUCGUGUGAUUCGCGUCAAGAGUUUGCGAAAGUGGAGCUGAAAUCUAUGCUUAAUGACAUGACCUUUAAUAACAUAAUGAGGAUGGUGGCAGGGAAGCGGUACUAUGGAGAUGAAGUGACGAAUGAAGAAGAAGCAAGAGAAUUUAGGGAACUUAUGGCAGAGGCAUUCAAGAAUGGUGGAACAGCAAAUCAAGAAGAUUACUUUUCUAUAUCGAACUGGUUUGGUGAAGGGUAUGAAAAGAAGGUGAAGAAGCUUGGAAAAAGGAUGGACAGGUUCUUGCAAACUUUGAUUGACAAUCACCGAAGUAAGAGGCAGGAAAAUAAUAGUAUGAUUGAUCACCUUCUUUCCUUGCAAGAAUCUGAGCCUCGUUACUAUACUGACGAAAUUAUCAAAGGGUUCAUAUUGGUAAUUAGUUGAAUCUUUUUCUUUUUUUCUUUUUACUUUUCAAUAUUUUAUUGUUGAAAGAUUUUCGGUUUUAAAUUUUGAGCUUAACUUAAUUGGUUCAUGCACUUAUUUUUAGAAGAUGACAUUCAAAUCUGAAAUGUCCUAAACUAACAAAUUAACAUUGUUCUGUAGGUGAUAAUACUUGCAGGAACUGAUACAUCAGCAGUGACAAUAGAGUGGGCAAUGUCCAAUUUGCUAAAUCACCCAGAAGUAUUGAAGAAGGCUAGAGCUGAACUAGACAAUCAAAUUGGUCAAGAGAACCUGAUUGAUGAGCAAGAUGUUUCCAAGCUACAUUACCUUCAAAGUAUUAUGUUGGAGACACUUCGAUUAUACCCUGCAGCUCCUCUUCUGCUUCCACACAUGCCAUCUAGUGAUUGUACCUUAGGUGGAUACAACGUGCCACGUGGUGCCAUCGUAUUGGUGAAUGCUUGGGCCAUUCAUAGGGAUCCAAACCUAUGGGAUGAUCCAACAAGUUUUAAGCCAGAGAGAUUUGAAAAUGGUGGGAAAUUGGGAGAAUAUUCUCACAAGCUAAUGCCAUUUGGGUUAGGAAGGAGAGCAUGUCCAGGAGCAAGCCUGGCUCAGCGAAUGGUGGGAUUAACUUUAGGAUCUCUGAUUCAGUGCUUUGAGUGGGAAAGGAUUGAUGACAAGGAAAUUGACAUGACUGAAGGAAAGGGAAUCACCAUGCCUAAAGUUCAGCCAUUAGUUGCUAUGUGCAAAGCUCGUCCCAUCGUGAAUAAGGUUUUUUAUGAAUAAAUUUGAUUAAUAUCAUAAGUUGGGUGAUUAUAGUAGAAAAAUAGGCUUUGAUUACCUAUCUAGUAAAAAUUUUAUUGUAGUAGGACACAGUUAGUGUGUUCUAUUUUUUUUUCUUUUUUUUUUAAUGAUUGGAUUAGUCCAUAUAAAAAAAGUAGGUCGAAUUAUGUAAUAAAUAUCUGUAUUUUAGUUAAAUGAUAAAAUUAAUCUUUUUAUCUUAAUGUGUUUAAAUUGGAUCUUUAUACUUUCUUUAAUUAUCAAAUUUAGUUAAAUUAUUAACGGUUCAAACUUUUUCAAUUAAAAUUGAUGAUAUAAUAUUUUGACUUUUCUAACGUGACAUUUUUGUUUAUAUGAUAGUUGACUUUAUUGACGUUUAAGGUCAACAUAAUCAAAGAUAACAACAUGACAAAAUUUUUUAAUGCAUCAUCAUCUUUUCACUUCAACUUUUCUCAAAUUGUACAUAUCAUCCUUAUAUUUUUAUUAAAUGAUAGAAUUAGUCUUUCUAUCUUAAUGUAUGUUCAAAUCUUAUCCUUGCAUAUUAAUUAAUUAUUAAAUUGAAGAUUUGACACUCAUUGUAUUCAAAUUUUAUUCUUAAAUUAUUUAUAAUCAAUGCUUUACAAGAUGGAACACUGAUAAUAGAAAAUCUAAGUUCAACUUGAUUCUAAUGAAUUUUGAAACUUCAAAGACAUAAUUAAAAGAGCUCAAUACUCAAAAUAGAUCUUUUAAUAAAGACAUGAAAAUCUUACUUAGAAUAAAAUUAGCCAAAAGCUCCCUCUAUAAGUUAAGAGACUUAACAAAGUCUUGGUGAAAGACAACACAUAAAAGGACCCCAUGAAUAUAAAUCAUGCUUGACUAAAACAAACCAUCCAAUGCAUUAAGAGCCCUCUAAUCUAAUCUAGACUCCCAAAUGAACUCAAAGUUUUUUACUUCCUAAGAUGUCAACAUCUUUGAAAGUGACUUUUUUGGAACAACUUAACUUAUAAAUCUCAAUGUUUUAUAUGACACCAUUUGAGAAUAAGGAUGGUUAAAAUAAUCAAUUUUAAGCUUUUUAUAUGGUUGACUAUUAUUAUUAUAUACAUCAACAUUAAAGUUUUUAAAUUCUAUAAAAUGAAUCCUUUUGUUUAUUUAUUAAUUUUUAAGAAAAAUUAUCAAAUAUAUUAAGAAAAUGAAAUUUUUUAAUUUUACAAAUUAAAUAUAUUUUUAGUAUAUAUUUUAAAAAAAUAAAAAAUUAAUUUUAAAAACAUAAGACAUGCACUGUCUCAUUAACUUCACUUAUAAAAUUAAAAAAUUUCAUUAACAAUAUAUUAAACAAUUUUUAAAAAAAAAUAUAAUUUAACUAGCUACCAAUCCCUGUUUCACUUUGAAUAUCUGUUUUUGUAUGUGUAAUCAAGAAAAUCAGCAUAAAUUGGUGUUUUGAAUAGUUAUCAUAAUGAUUUUGGAGCAACCCGAUGAAUUUGGAAAUGAAAUAAAAAAAAUAAAGUCACCACUAAUUUGUUUUGGCUAGGUGCAAUUGGCUACCUAUUAAAACAUAUCCUUUUAAUAAAAUUUUAAAACUAAUUAAAAUUUAUUAAAAAAAUAAUUUUAGGGUAUGCAAAACAGGUUGGGUCAGAGAGUUAGUUACUUGUGGGGGCACCCCUACAAGCUCCCGUUUAAAAUGGUAUCAAUUAAUUACAUAUUAUCCUUUAAUUCUGACAAAAACAAUUUUAGUUUCAGUAUUUGAAACAUAAUUUUCUCAAUUUUUUUUUGUUUUUUAAAAUUUAUUUUAUUAUUAUUAUUAUUAUUAUUAUUAUUAUUAUUAUCAUUGUUCUGUUUUAUUUGAGAAAAAUAAAUUAGAACUCUUUUAUUGAAAUAAUUUUUAAAAUAUUUCAGUACAUUGAAAAUAUUAUAAAAAUUCUUUCUCACCUAAAGAUUUCUUAAGUAUUACUUCUCAGAAUAUCUUAGAAUCCCAUCUUCAGAGGUUUGGAUUUAUUUUUCAAAAACACUAUUAUGCAUGCAAUACAAAUGAUAAUACAUUGAUGUACACAUUUUAGUUUCCCUUUAGAAAUUUUAUUUUUUUAUAUUAUUAUUGUUGUUGUUUUGAAGAAAUUUUUAUCACAUUGAAAAUUUUUUAUAAAUACUUCAAUAUAUUGGCAAUAUUUAAAAAAAUUUCCUCACCUAUAGAUUUUUAAGGUAUCACUACUCCAAAUAUCUUAAAAUCCUAUCAUCAGGUAAAUAUUUCUUUUCCCUUAUUUUUUUAUUAUUUUAUUUUUAACAAAUUAGUUAAUUUUUAUUUACUAUUUUAUAGCAAAAUUUUUUUUAUUGUAUUAAAAACAUUUUAUAAAUACUCCAAUAUAUUGGUAGUAUUUAAGAAACUUUUCUAACAUAAGGAUUUCGUAGGUAUCACUACUCGGAGUACCUUUGAAUCUUAUCUUCGAAUAAAAUUUUCAUUUUCUUACAUUUUUACUAUUUUUUUAUUAAUUUUAUUCAUUAAUUUUUUGGUUAUUUUUCCUAUUUUUUAAUCUUAAAAAAAUUAUCAAAGGUUAAAAACCAUUUUUUUAUUAUUAUUGGUAUCAUAAUCAUCAAUUAUUAAUUAUUUUUAUUUUUAUAAGAUUUAUCCUAAGUUUUAAUAAAAAUUAUAAAAAAUUUUAACUAUAUUUUUUAUUAUUUAAUUUAAUUUAUCUAUUUUCUUUUGUUUUCAUUUUUACUAGUUAAAAAAAAUAUUCUAACAAAAUUUAAACAUUUUAACAUGCAUAAAUAUUAAUGAUAAAAUUCAUAAUAACAAAAAUAAUAUAAAAAAAUAAAUCAAAAAAUAAAAAAACUAAACCGAACUGGUUAAUGGUUCGAUCUGGGUUAGUUCAACUAGACUGAUUAGCAGUCAAAAGGGGGAACUGGGUCACGAGUCAAGCACACGAAUCUUUGAUCGACCCAUUGGUGUGCACAUAGAUCUUGGAUGAAACGACGUUGUUUUAAAGCUUAGUCUUUUAUAUAAAAACCAAACUUGUUUUGUUUCAACUCAUUUCUCCUUGGUUUAUAAAAUAAAAAAUAAAUAAAAUUCUCUCAAACAAAGAAGGAAGUCAGCCGGUCGCCAGUCGUCACACAAGUCGCCAUUGGCCUCACCAUCAAUCAUUGUUUCUGGUGGCCAAAAAAUAAAGAAAACAUCAAAAGACUCCCAUUUACCCCUUAAGCUCAGAUUUGGUCUCCCUUUUGCCAAGAACAACCUUGAUCGGCAUAGAAUGGGCUUCAAAGCUUCAGUUUCCUCUUUUUUUAUUUUCAUUAAUUUUGAUUUAUUAUUUUUUUUAUUUUUUGAUGAUACUGACUUUUUUCUUUUCCUUUAGGCACAUCACACAGAGCUAGGUUCCCUAAUAGGGGAUUGUUAGGGGCAUGUUGCAUAGGUUUAAGGGGAUUUGGGCAUGGAAGGCAGUGGGCUGCACAAAGGCAUAGGGAUGGGUGGCUAGUGGUGCCGUGCAUGGUACCUACUAGCAUCAACCUCCUGCCUUUUGUUCUUUUGCUUUUUUUUUUAAAUAUUUUUGUAUUAAUGUUUAAUUAAUUAUUAUUUAUUAUAUUGUGAUAUAAAUAAUAAAAUUAAAAUUAAAAAUUAAACAAUGGGCCCAGGCUCAGAAAAAAUUGGGUUUUGGCCCAUUAACUCAUUAGAAUCGAGAAAUUUAAAUUGAAACCCAAAUAAAUUUGAUGUUUACAAUUGCCUUUCUUUACACAUUGCUAAGAAUCAGGAAUGGGGUAAAAAUAAAGACAAUAAUCUUGUUUGGAGUCCAAAGAGAUUUUUUUUUCUAAUUGAUCCAAAUUGGUUGAAAAACUUAUCUCAUUAAAGACCAAAAAACUUUAAAGAUCAAAUCGAAAUGCUCCUCUUACUCAAGGCUUGACAACUUUUGAAAACUUAAAACGGCACCUCUAAGAAGAGACUUAACAACUUUAAAAUUGGCAUAUGAAAAAAGCCUUCUUUAGGUAGAGGCUCAACAACUUAAAAGGAAUUUUCAUCUUUUCUCGAAACCAAGUUCUUAUCUUUAAGCAAGUAAAUUUUUUUCUUUUAAAAUAUCUUUUUUAAUUAUUAUCUUUGCUUGAUCAUCAAAAUCUUAUUUUCCAUUAUGGAAUUGAAAGUCCUUGUCCUUGUUAUAACUGCUCAUGGAUGCAUGUACUGAGUGCUCUAGAUGCAAUGUAUGUAAUGCUAUCAAAAUCAUUCAUUUUUAAUUGUGGUAAAAAGCUCUCGAAAUCUUUCUCCUAUUUAUUUAUUUUAUCAGAAUUCUCAAUAAUUGCCAUAAGAUCAAUUUGUUCUUAACAUCUGACCAUUGUAUUCUUUCUUAACAAUAUAUUUUUUUUAAAACUCUACAGCAUCAAUGUCUUGUCAUGCUUUUCUUCUCAUUUUUCAUAUACCUUUAUUGACCUUUAAAAAGUAAUGCCAAGAUAUUCUAUGUUAUUUUUUUAUUAUUUUAAGUUCAAGAUAAAUAAAAUACAAUCACACAUUCCCCUAAUUCAUUUGUAAGGUGAACAAAUAUGACGAAUUGAGAUAAAAGAAUGGAUAGGCAUUAUUCCCAAAGGAAAUAAGCAUAUUUCAUUAAACUGAUAAUAAGUGCAUGGCAACAAAAGUGUUUAGGUAGAAACAAAUGCACCCAAGUAAUGAUUACAAGAUAAUCAUGAACAAAAUAUUCCUAGUUUCUUUCUCCAAAACUUACCAUAUGACUUCCUUGAUUCUUUAGAAUUUGUCACACUAUAUUUUCCCUUGUGUUGUGAGGUCAUCUCUUAAUGAUACUUCUCAUUUACAUUUAAGUCACUUUUUUAGGUUUUUAAUUUAGAUAUGUCAUUUUUUUCUUACUUUUUUUUCUUUUUUUCUUUUUUUCUUUUUCAAAUGAAGUAUCUUUUCAUAGUAUUUGAGUUUAUCGGAGUAGGCAAACCAUUUCCAUCCACUUUUACCAAAAUUAAUGCCCCAUCAAAAAAGACUUUUUUCACCACAUACAGAUCUUCUUAAUUUGGUGUCUAUUUUUUUUUACUAUCAUGUUGAUUUGGAAGUAUCUUUUUCAACACUAAGUUUCUUUCUCGAAAGCUAUGAAGGUGAAUUUUCUUAUUAUGUGCUUUCAUUAUCCUUUUUUGAUAUAAUUGACCAUGGUAAAGUGCUGUAACCUUUUUUCUUCAAUGAGGUUUAAUUGUUUAUAGCGAUUUCGGACCCAUUUUACUUUUUCUAACUUGACUUCCAUCAGAACUCUCAAUGAGAAAAUUUUUACUUCAAUUGAUGAUAUAGCUUCUAUCCCAUAAACCAAAGAGAACGAGGUGGUCCUAGUAAAUGUUCAAAAUAAUGUUCUACGAGUAUGCAAGGCAAAAUGCAACUUCACAUGCUAGUCUUUAUAAGUAUCAGUCAUUUUCUCUAAGAUCUUUUUGAUAUUCUUGUUUAUGGCUUCUACUGUCCCAUGACGAUAUGGUGUCAAAUUAAGUUAAUGGAUCUUGAACUAAAUGCAUUCUUCAUUCAUUAUUUUAUUAUUCAAGUUUUUAGCAUUAUUAAAAAUAAUCAUCUCUAAAAGCCCAUAUCUGCAUAUUAUCUCUUUUUUUAUGAAAUUGGAUACCAUCGAUUGUGUCACACUAGCAUACAAUACAACUUUUACCUAUUUCAUAAAAUAAUCAAUCAUUAUAAAGAUGAAUCUAUGUUUAUUUGAAGCUUUUGGAGUAAUGGGAUCGAUGACAUCCCUGCCCUACAUAGAGAUUGUCCAUAGAAGAGCCAAAACAUGCAAUGCUAUUUAAGGAGCAUGAAUUUUAUCAGCAAAAAUUUGACACUUUUGACAUUUUCUUGCAUAAUCUAUAUAGUCACUAUCCAUUGUCAACCAAUAAUAGGCAGCCCUCAUAAUUUGUCUAGCCAUUAAAUGACCACCAUUAUAUGCCUCACAAGCCCCGUCAUGUAUUUUUUAAUAAUUCUUUUUGCUUUAGCUAUAUUCACACACCUUAAAAGCACCUGAUCUUGGCUUUUCCUAUAAAAGAUAUCUCCAUCAAAGAAGAAACCCAUAGCCAGCCUUUUGAUAGUCUUUUUAUCAUUUUUUGUUGCAUGUUCCAAAUAUUACUGACUUUUAAUGUAUUGCAUAAUGUCAUGAUACCAUGGCUUCCUAUCAAAUUUUUUUUGACACUUGAGUAAUAUGCUAGUGCAACCUUCACAUCCAAUUUGAUGGGUUGAAUCUUGGUAUUUAUAUAUAUUUUGAUUAUUGCAUCCAAAGUAGCCAUUGUAUCAGUAAUCUGGUUUUCCUCUCUAGGCAGAUGUUCAAAUUAAACUUCUUCAAAUUUUUUGAUCAACAUAGAAAUGUAUCUAUGGUACCUGAUUAAUUUGAAAUCUCUUAUUUCUUAUUCACCUCAUAACUAAUAGAUGACCAGAGCUGAAUCUCCAAACACAUCCAAUACUUUUAUUUUUUUUUAAUUGUUGCUAUAGACUAUAUCACAAGCCUCGUAUUCAACCACAAUGUUUAUGCAAUUGAAAUUCAAUAUGGCCGUGAUGGGAUAAUGUGUCUAUCAAAAGAUAUUAAAAUUGCACUAAUAUUAUGACCUAAAGCAUUAGUAGCUCCAUCAAAAUACAUUUUUCAAUACUUUUCAAUAAGUUCAUUUUUUUUAAUGGCUAUCACAUCUUCAUCAGAAAAAUCUAGUUUUAUUGGCCCAUAAUCUUCGAUCGUAUGAUCGACAAAGAACUUAGCUAUUGCAUUCCUUUUAAUAGCCUUUUGAGUUACAUAAACAAUAUCAUAUUUUGAAAGCAUAACUUGCCAUCACACUAUUUUUCUUAUAAAUGAAGGCUUCUCGAAAAUAUACUUAAUGAGAUCCAAUUUUGCUAUAACCUAAAUAAUGUGAUAAAGCAUGUAUUGUCUAAGCCACGCAUGUAAGCUUUUCAUCAACAAUGAAUUUAACUUUUUAGUGCAAAGAGGAUAGAAUAACACCUAUCAUAUAAAUCUAUGGCUUACCCAAUAAGCAACUAUAUGAGAAAAAGAUAUCCAUAACUUGAAAUUUUACAUUGAAAGUGUAAAGGUCAAUCUAUAACGACAUUUUUAUAUCUCCUAACACCUCUUUUUGAGUCCCAUUGAAAGCUUAAACUACCAUAUAACUAGGCUUCAUGUAAGAUCCACCAAUAGGUAGUUUUAUCAAUGUAAUCAUAGGUAUAAUAUUGAUUGAUGAGCCAUUAUUGAUCAAAACCUUAGUCAUUAUAUGACUUUUAUAUUUUACAAUAAUGUGAAGAUUCUUGGUACUUUUUUUACCCUUAGGAAUAAUCUUUUCAUCACUAAAAGAGAUGUUGUUUGAAAUUGCUAAAUUGCCAAUAAGUUGUUCCACGUAUUCAACAAAGAAAUUGUGAGACACAUAUGUUAGAUGUAGUACCUUUAGUAAAGUAUUAUGAUAUGAUUAUGAGCUUAGCAAUAAUGACAACAAUAAAAUUCUAGUUGACAUCUUGUUCAACUAUUUUAUCAUGCUAUACUCGUUAUGUUUUAUUACUUUAAAAAAUUUACAAUCUUUAUUCUCAGAGAUCGACUACUGACUUUUUUAUUAGGGAUUGUCACAAGAUUACUCUAACUUUUUUCUUCUUCUUUGACCUUUGCUUUUUUUCCUAACGUUAUCUAGUGUUUCUAGAGUGUAACAUCUCUCAUUUUGGGUCAUACCUCCGAUGCUUGCUAUGUUUACAAUAUCUGAAUUGACUACAACAUCACAAUUAUACUUUUAUAGUAUUACUUUGUCAUUUUUGUAUGAAAAAGGGCUAGGGACUUUAAUCAUCACUAUUGGUCGAAAGAUGGGCUUUUCUGACCUCGGGGUUGGCUUAUCAUCAUAAUAGAUAGUUACUGAUUUAUGCAUAAACUUAUUCUUCGAAUCAAUGGUAAACAUUUUAGCUUUCAUCAAAAUUUUUCUUUCUUCGCAAUACUCUAUCCAAUCCAUAUCCAUCAACUUCUGCACCUCUUGACGAAAUUGAUCACAACUCUCGAUAGAAUGCCUUAAAGUAUCUUUGUGAUAGUUGUAACUCUCGAUUGAGUUAAUCACUCUUUAGCAAUUCUGAGGCUCUAUGGACUUUAACAUAUCAGCCUUGACUAAGGUUUCAAACAUCUUAGCCAUUGAAGUUUUGACUUCAUCUAUCCUCCUCUUGACAUAGCUUGCUUGUACAUCAAUCAAAGCAUUUAUUAAUGGUCUAGUAUGGAUUGGUAAAAGGUUUUCAUUAAUAUUUUUAGUCUCUUAUUGUUUGGUAUCAAAGUUUAACACCUUUUUAUUAAUUAAUCAUUGCAUUUUAUGUUUCAAAGUAGUAUAGUUUUUCAUAAAAUAGCCCGAGUUUCCAUAAUUAUAAUCAUAAUACGUAUUAGGAUCAUACCAUUUGGGAAAUAGAGGUUUCAAAAGUUUAACAAUAACAUGGGCUAGUAAAUAUUUUUCAACUAGUUGAAGGUACAAAUAUGUGGAUAUCAUAGGGAUAGGGUCAAAAAUGGUUUUUUCUGAGGGCUCUCAAACUACUACUUAGAUUGGAUCUCCAUUCUGGUUUGGUAGGUACAGCAGGAUGGUUGCAUGAAUAUGUAGGUAUCCAAAAGGAUUAUUGAAAAUAAAGUAAAUAAGCUGGUUAUUAUAGCUGUUGAUAUGACUGAUAUGGAUAAGGGAUGGAUGUAACAUUAUUUAUGGGAAGAUAAUGGGUUUCGUAUACUAGUGUGAGGUAUAGAGUGAAGCCUCUGAACUGUUACCCUACAUAGUUCACUGUUUGGGGUUUAUUUUUUUUCUUCUUGAAAGCUUCACCUUUCUUUGCUUCGCUUGUCUUUCCUGUAUCGAGCUUGCCAUUUUUUAUAGCAUUUUUAAUAAUCUCACCUGAUAUCACCAUAUCUGUGAAAUUUUUUAUUGCAUUACCUAUCAGUCUUUUAUAGUCAGGUACUUUUAGAGUGUUCAUAAAUAGAAUAGUUGUCUCUUUUUAGUGAGGGAAUGUUGCACUUGUAUGAUCACAUCUUUCCAUCUUUAUGUGUACUCUUUAAAGUUUUUUGUUGUUUUUUUCUAUACUCUGCAAAGACAGAUGAUUUGAAACUAGAUCUAUAACAUGCUGAUAUUAUGUAAAGAAUGCACUCAUAAGCUCCUUCCAAGAAUGAAUACAAGUUAUGUCUAGUUGAACAUACCAUUUGGCUACAGAACUCAUAAGGUUAUCCUAAAAUACGUGCAUAAAUAAUUUUUUGUUAUGAGCAUGUGUCACUAUCUUAUGAUAAUACAAGGUGAUAGAGUUAUUGGGCAUUUUAUGAUUUUUUUAAAAAAUAUGGUUAAAAAUAGUGCAUAUGAUGCAUAAAUCCAAGUAAGAGAUAUUUUCUCUUGGACGAAUUUCAACACUAAAAAUUUUCAUUGAUUUCAUACAACUUUUAUUAUAUAAGAUUUGUCAUCCUAUAAUAAUAUCCAUAAAAAUGUUUGACUUGCUCAUAAUGAUCUUUGGUCUCGUUCAGAAAGUUCACUUGACGCUGUCUAUAUUCUUUUAUGGGAUUGACUUCUCUUCUUAAUGCCUCUAUCUUUUUAACCAUCUUUCAUGCCUUCUUUACUACCUUGCAAACUUGACUGGUUAGGUGCUUUAUGUACUAUUGCCUUCUUAAGUUUUCUGCUAUUUAUUUCAUAUGAGCAUCACUUUUUGAAUUACAUGUGAAGAUCCAAUCAUUUUUUCUUUUCUAUCACUCAUCCAUUAUUGUUGAAAUAUGGUUCUUGUAAUUUUAUAGUUAUAGCUCUAACUUUUGGAUCACCUAGUGAAAUGAUUCUUUUUCGUUUAGUACUUCAAGGUGCUUUAUUCUCUUUUUUACGAGCAUAGCCUUCAAUUUUUCCUUUUUUUUCUAGCAUUCAACCAAUUUUGCCAAAGCUGUAAGGUAUAAUCCCUCAUAAUUCUAGCAUUCUUGAGAAAUUUUGAUGACAUCUUUUUUUUUUCUUGAGCUUUGCCUUUUCAUUAGUUCAUUUCCUCUCAGAGCUCAUUCAUUUCAUGUUGUCGACUAAUGUUAGACUUAGUAACUUUUUUAGUCUUAAAUUGGACUCAUAACCUUUUGUUUUUUUGGUAUAAAUCUUUCAAAUCAAUGUUGGCCACCUCUCGUUCUUUUAUAACCUUCUUCAAUCUGCUCUAUUGUACUUUUACUUUAUAUUUUAAGUAUCUUAUCUUUUCAUAAAGUUUUAGAUUUUUUUUCUUAUUUUUUUUUUUUUAGCUUUCAAUUUCUUCCUAACAAGCUCAACUUUUGAUAAUUACACUUUCGUCAAAAAGUUAGUUGAUUGAUAUGAGUCAUCAUCACGAGGGAACACCAUGUCUUUGAGUCACUUCACUUUUCAAAUCUAGUAAUUGGGAGUGAUUUUGUUGAGAAGAGGCCCUAAUCUCAUCUUUCAUAUUUUCUUCUAUGCUUGGAUUCCCCACAAGUGAAUUCUACUUAAACUAGGCCAUGAGUGGCAUGAAUAAACUACUUUGCAUUGAAUUGUCAUAGUACCAUCAAUAGAGCGUAACUUACCAUACGCCUUAGUACUAACAGCGGUAUCCAUGGUUCAUUUUCUUUUUGAUACAACAUGGGCACGCAAGGCAUCCAUGGCGUCAUCCAUUUUAUUUCAUCCCUAGUGAGUCUUUGCAAAAAUAGAACCCAUUCUUCAAUGUUGGCCAUUAGCUUUUGCAAAACUAUUCUAUUGGUGCCUUAUUUCAAAGAUCGGCUCUGAGAAUGCACUCUUUCCAUACUUGAAAUGUCUCCAAACCCACAUAUAUAAUAGCAGUGCACACCCUAUGAAUGUCUUUUUUCAUUUCGUUGAUAGAAAUUCAAUGACUUAAUUGGUUCGACUAAGACUGUUUGUGCAAGAUUAAUUGCUUGGGUUUCAAUUUGCUUAAAAAAGUCCACCACUAUUAUUUUGAUGUAACACAAAGUCUUCGAGAAGAUCACCAUUCCAUACAAUGCCAAAGCAAACAUAACUAAGCCUUGAUCAUCAUUUAAAUGCCCUGGAAUAAAAUUUCAGAUAAAGUCCCAACGGAUAUUGAGAUGUUCACCUUUAGGCUUUGUGAAUGAAUCUAUGGUUUUCACUUUAACCCCCAUAAGCUUUGCCAACUUUUUACAAUAACCUGAUUUCAACUUUCGAAUAAACACUUUAUCCAAACACUAUAGUUUUAUCAUGAGCAAAACUAAAUACUCCUCAACAGUUGGCAUCAAAUAUUCUUGAUUAAAAGUGAAACAUCUAUAGGAUGGGUCCCAAAAUUGUAUGGUUGCCCUGACAACUGCUCCUCAAUAACUAUUGGAAUGAGAGAUAUAAUAUGUAUAUGCUUCUUGCAAAAGUUUUCUUUUCUUUUUUCACUUAACUGACCCUAAAUGAUAGCUAAAUUUUUUAAAUUAUUUUAUGUAAGAUCUAAUUGGCUUAUCUUUACGUUCUAUUACUUUUAACAAAUCAGAAGGUAAUGUGUAAUUAUCAAAGUCUUCUUCAUUAUCAAGUUCGUCAACAUGAAUUAGGUUUUCAAAUUGAAGAUGAGAUUAUUGUCAUAAUUAUCUUCGUGUUCAUUAUUUAGGAACCUACAAAUGGGUAAGAUAAAGAGAAUACUGACACCCAAAAAUGGAAUGGUAAGAAAAUGAAAAGAGAAAUGGAUCAAACGAAUGAAGGUGAAAACAAAUAAAAGAAAUGCAAACAUAUUUUUUAAAACUUUUAUUAAAAUGAAAAACAUAAACACUUUACAAAAAAUCUUUUAAUGCUCAUAAAGAGUAAUUAGAGAUUUAUAGUUUCAUAGUACAUUACUUUUUAGAAGUUUUAAAAACAACAAGUAACUCUAUGACAUUUCAAUUAUUUAGCUCAAAGUUCGAAAAACAAGGAUGCAUGAAUAAUUUUUCAUCUUAGCUCUUUUUUUCUUCCUCAUCUACCACCUGAAUGGUUAGCUCAAAAAAAUCUUCCACCAAAUUUGCAUUUAGGGCUUCAAACGAAUCUGGAUAAAUAUAUCCUCCCAAACAGAAAGAAUCAUAAAGGGAUGGAAUGACCAUUGGCUCCAACUCUGGCUUAUAUCUCUCAAAAUUAGCCAUUCUCUUUUCUUUCUUCUCGUUCACCAUUUCAUUUUGUCUUCUCUUAUUGGUUUAUAACCUAAGCCAAAUUUGUCAUUCUUAUCAUAUAUUACCGACGACUUUGUGAUUCCUUAUAGAUUUUUUUCUAGUUCAGUUUGAAGUUGCCAUCUCAUCUUGGUAAGCUACUUGAUGACCAUUUUAAUAGUCAUAAAUAGAUGCUAUGAAUAUAGUUUAGAUCCUUUAGCCACAUGUGUUGUGUUGAUAAUUUCAAAAGAUCUAUAAAAGCACUCUAGGACUUUAUCUACCAUUUCUACAUAAAAAGUAUUUUAUCGAUUGGGUUACAAGUAAAUUUUCUUCUCUUGUCACACAUGUAAGCUUUCCAUCAAUAAUGAAUUUGACUUUCAGGUGUAAUGAGGAUGGAACAACACUUUCCAUAUAAAUCUAUGGCCUACCUAAUAAGUAACUGUAUAAGAAAGAGAUAUCCAUAACUUGAAAUUUACAUUGAAAGCGUAAGGGUCAAACUAUAAUAGCAUUUUUAUAUCUCCUAACACCUUUCUUUGGGUCUCAUCGGAGGCUCAAACUAUCAUAUGACUAAACUUCAUGUAAAAUCCAUUAAUAGGUAGUUUUGCUAAAGUAGUUAUAGGUAUAACAUUGAUUGAUGAGCCAUUGUCAAUCAAAACCUUAGCCAUUAUAUGAAUUUUGUAAUUUAUAGUAAUGUAAAGGGCCUUGGUACUUUCUUGACCCUCAGGAGAAAUCUCUUCAUCACUGAAAGAAAUGUAAUUUGAGAUUGUUAAAUUGCCAAUGAGUUGUUCCAUAUAUUUGAUAAAGACAUCGUAAAACAUAUAUGCUUGAUUUAGUACCUUUAGUAAAGUAUUAUAAUGUGACUUUAAGCUUAGCAAUAAUGACAACAACAAAAUUCUAACUGACAUCUUAUUCAACUAUUCUAUCAUGUUAUACUCGCUAUGUUUUAUUAGUUUUCAAAAAUUCACAAGCUUCAUUCUCAAAGAUCGACUUCUAAUAUUCUUUAUUAGGGAUUACCACAUGAUUACUAUGACUUUUUUUUCUUUUUUGACCUUUGUUUUUUUUUUUCCUAGCUUUUUUUAGUGUUUUUAAAGUGUAACACCUCCCACUCCAACUCAUACUGCCCAUUAUGUUUACAGUAUCUGCAUUGACUAUAAUAAAACAAUCAUACUUUUAUGGUACUGUUUUAUCAUUCUAGUAUGAAAAAAGGUCAAGGACUUUAAUUGUCACUAUUAGUUAGGAGAUAGGCUUUUUUAGCCUCGGGGAUAGCUUCUCGUCAUAAAAGUAUUUACUAAUUUAUGCACAAACUUAUUCCUUAAAUCAAUGAUAGACACUUUAGCCUUCAUUAAAUCUUAUCUUUCUUUGUAAAAUUCUAUCUGACCCAUAUCUAUCAAUUUUUGCAUCUCUUGAUGAAAUUGGUUACAACUCUCGACUAAAUGGCCCAAAAAAUCUUUGUGAUAGUCUUAGCUCUCAGUUGAGUUAAUCACUCCAGAGCAAUUUUGAGGCUCUAUUGACUUCAAUAUAUCAGUUUUGACUAAGGCUUUAAACACCUUAGCCAUUAGAGUUUUAACUUUAUCUAUUUUUUUUCAUGUAGCUAGCUUACCUAUCAAUCAAAGUAUUUAUUAAUGGUCUAGUAUGGUUUGGUAGAGGGUUUCAUUAACAUUUUAAGUCCUUCGUUGGCUGGUAUCAAAGUUUAACACCCUUUCAUUGAUUAACUAUUGCACUUUAUGCUUUAAAGUAGUGUAAAUUUUUGUAAAAUGGCUCGAGUUUCCAUAACGAUAAUCACAAUAUGCAUUAGGAUCAUAACAUAUGGGAAAUAAAGGUUUCAAAGGUUCAAUAAUAAUAAGGGCUAGUAAACUCAAUGAGUUGAAGGUACAAAUCUAUGUAUGUCAUGGGAAUAAGGUCAAAAAUGGUUUUUUCUUGGAUAUUUUUUAAGUCUCUCAAAUCAUUACUUAGAUUGGGUCUCUAUUUUGGUCUGGUAGGUGCAGUAAAACGGUUGUAUAAAUAUGUGGGUAUCCAAAAAGAUGGCUGAAAAUGGGGUAAAUAAGUUGGUUAUUGUAACAACUGAUUUGGUUGAUAUGGAUGAGGGAUGAAUGUAACAUUGUUUAUGGAAGGAUAAUAGGUUUGGUAUACUGGUGUAGGGUAUGAAAUGAAGUCUCUGAACUGUUGCCCCAUAUAGUUCACUGCUUGGGCUUCAUUUUCUUUUUUCUUGAAAGCUUUACCUUUCUUUGCUUCGCUUAUCUCUCUUGCAUCAAGCUUGUCAUUCUUUAUGGUAUUUUCAAUAAUCUCACCUGAUAUCAUCACAUUUGCAAAGUUUUUAGUUGCAUUUACCUAUUAAUCUUUCAUAGUAAGGUAUUUUUAGAGUAUUCAUAAAUAGUACAAUUAUCUCUUUCUCAAAGAGGGAAAGUUAUACUUGUAUGACCACAUCUCUUCAUAUCUAUGCGUACUCUUUAAAAUUUUAUGUUGUUUUUUUUUUUCAUGCCUUGCAAAAAUGGAAGAUUUAGAGCUAGAUCUAUAACACGUUGAUAUUGUUUUAAAAAUAUUCUUGUAAGCUCUUUCUAAGAAUGAAUAUGAGUUAUGUCUAGUUGAACAUAUCAUCUAGUUACAGAACCCAUAAAGCUAUCUUGAAAUAUGCGCAUCAGUAGCUUCCAUCAUAAGCAUACUCUACUAUUUUACAGUAAUACAUGGUAACACAAGUCAUUGGACAUUUUGUGUCAUCAUAUUUUUCAAAUUUAAAGAUUUUGAAUUUAGGUGGAAUGACCACGUAUACGACUAAACAAAGCUCAGCUGCGCCUAUGGAGCCAUAAAAAUCCAUUUCCUCUAUGGCCCUAAGUCUUUCUUUUACUAAUUUCAUCUUCUGCUGAGCAUUGUUAUCUUUCACUUUCUUAGAUAUCUUUAUUCCUAGCUUUUUUCUCUCUCUUUAGGAUCAUCCAAGUAGAGAAUCAAGAUUGGCUUGAAUGACUUUUCUACUGUGAUGGGAUUAGUAAAAUUUUGAAAUUAUCUCGAAGCAGGUGUGAAUGCCAUUCUUGGAUAAGGAUAGGAAUAUCUUUCAGAACUAAAAAUUUACAUUUUAGUUCUUUGAAAAGGUUGGGUUAGUCGUGGCUCAAACACUGGAAGGUAUAUAGGAUCUACCAUGUUUAGUGCUUGCUCUUAAAAAUUAGGGUUUCCUUCUAUUGCUUUUCCUUUGUCAAGAUCUUAAGCAUGUUCAUUAUCUUAUUAAGAUCCCCUUGUAGUUCCUCUAGAGCCUUCUUAAUCCUUUCAAAUUGAUUGGCCUAUUCUUGUUCCAUGAUUCUUAUUUGAGUUCUGGAGUUGUAUGAUUGGCGAGUAAGUUGUGUCAAGGUUGAGUCAAACUUUUUAGUGGACAAGCUAUUUUUGAACCUUUAUUACCAUAAAAUUUUUAAAAAAAAAAUUCAGAAUGCUAUGCGUUGGAAAUUUUAUUUUCUAAAACUUUUUUUAUGAUUUUUUAAAAAAGAAUAUGAUUAAAAAUGGUGUACAUGAUGCAUGAAUGCAAGUGAGAGAUAUUUACUAUUGGAUGAAUUUCAACACUAAAAAUUUUUAUUGAUUUCAUACAACUUUUGUAACAUGAGAUUUAUCAUCCUAGAAUUAUAUCCAUAGAGACAUUUGACUUACUUAUAAUAAUCCUUGGCCUUAUCCAGAAAGUUUACCAAACACUGUCCAUAUUUUCCUACAAAAUUGACUUCUCUUAUUAAUGCCUUUACCUUUUCAACCAUCUUCCAUGCCUUCUUGACUACCUUGCAAACUUGACUGGUUAGGUGCUCUAUGUAUUGUUGCCUCCCAAAGCUUUUUGCUCUUUAUUUUAUGAAGGCAUCUCUUUUCGAAUCACAUGUGAAGAUCCAAUCCUUUUCCUUUCUCUACUAGUCAUAUAUUAUUGCUGAAAUAUGGUUCUUAUGGUCUUGCAGUUGUAGCUCUAAACCUUGGAUCACCUAAUAAAGUGAUUCUUUUUUGUUUAGUACUUUAAGGUACUUUCUUCUCUAUUUUACGAGCAUAGCCUUCAACUUUUCCUUUUUUUUCUAGCAUUCAACCAAAUUUGUUGAAGCUGUAGAGUAUAAUCCCUCUCAAUUCUAGCAUUCUUGAAAAAUUCUAAUGACCUCUUCUUUUUUUUUAUUGAGCUUUGCCUUUUCAUUAGUUUAUUUCUGCUUGGAGCUCGUCCAUAUCUCAUUCUUUUAUAACCAUCUCCAAUCUAUUCCUUUAUCCUUUUGCUUCGUAUUUCAACUAUCCUAUCUUUUUGUAAAGUCUUAAAAUUUUUCUUUUUAUUUCUUCCUUUUCAGCUUUCAAUUCUUUCUUAACAAAUUUGACUCCUAAUAAUUAUACUUUUGUCAAAAGGUCAAUUGAUUGAUAUGAAUUAUCAUCAGGAGGGAGCACCAUGUCUUUGAGUCACUUCACUUUCCAAAUCUAAUAAUUACGAGUGACUUUAACAAUGAAAGGCUCUAAUCUUAUCCUUCACAUUUUCUUCUAUGCUUGGAUUAACUGUUCUAAUAUUUUUGGUGGAUUAGAUUCCCCAUAAGUGAAUUAUACUUAAACUAGGCCAUGAGUGGCAUGAACAAACUGAUUUGCAUUGAAUUGCCUAAGUACCAUCAACUACGCAUAACUUACCAUACCUUAUAGUCCUAACAGCAGUAUCCACGGUUCAUUUUCUUUUUGAUACAACAUGGGCAUGUAGGGCAUCUAUGGUGCCAUCCAUUCUAUUUCUUCCUCGAUGAGCCUUCCUAAGAAUAGAACCGAUUCUUCCUUAGUCUUUAAUGUCAACCAUUAGCUUUUGCAAAACUAUUCAAUUGGUGCAUUAUUUCAAAGAUACAGCUUUAAGAAUGCACUCUUCCCAACUUAAAAUGACUUUUGACCUACAUAUAUAAUAGCAGUGCACACCCUAUGAACGUAUUUUUCCAUUCAUUGAUAGAAACUCAAUGACUUGAUGUUUUUAGCUAGAAUUACUGGUCUACGAUUAAUUACCUGGGUUUUAAUUUGUUUAAAAAAGUUUACCACAAUUAUCUUGAUGUAACCUAAAGUCUUCAAGAAGAUCACCAUGCCAUAUAAUGCCAAAGCAAAUAUAGUCAUGUCUUAAUCAUCAUUUAAAUGCCCUUAAAUAAAAUUUCAAAAAAAGUUCUAAUAGAUAUUGAGAUGUUCACCUUUAGGCUUUGUGCAGGAAUUUAUGAUUUCUACUAUAACCCCUAUAAGCUUGGCCAAAUUUUUAUGAUAAAUUGAUUUUGGCUUUCGGGUAAAUACUUUAUCUGGACACUAUAGUUCUAUCCUGAACAAAACUGAAUACUCAAUAGUUGACACCAAUUUUUCUUGAUUAAAAUUGAAGCAUCUAUAGAACGGCUCACUACCGAAAUGAAGGAUACAAUCUGUCCGUACUUCUUACAAAAGUGUUCUUUUCUUUCUUCACUUAACUGACUCUAGAUGACAGUUAAAUCUUUUAAAUUAUUUUGUGUAAGAUCCAAAUAAUUCUUUUGCUGAGCUUUCUUUGAUCAAACAUGUACUUCAUUAUAUGAUUCACAUGGGACAUUGAUAGAGAAUAAGCAAAUAUGUAGUUCUAUAAGAUCCAUGAAGAACUUCUUGAAAGAAAAAUGUCCUAGUAAAUACCUUGAUGCAGAACUAUAUGAUAUGAUUUAUAUAAAAAGAAAAAAGAAUAAAACAAAAUUGAGUUAGUGUGAAGAUGUGAUUUGAGAUUAAGAAAAAAAAAUUUUUGAUUAAAUUUUUUAAUUUUUUUAUUGUUUUGUUUUUGUUUUAUUUGUUUAUUACACACGACUUUUAUUCCUACACGUUUUUUAUUUAGGCAUUUUCUACAAUAGGACGGAUAAGGCUCAACCUAAGGUUAGCUUCUUAGGCUUAUUAUAUGCUUGGUUCGAAUUGACAAAUGUCUAGAGGUUCCUAAAUUGUUCCUCACUGUUGUCCACGCUGGACUAGUAAGAUACCCUGAUCCUUAUCCAUUAUAAGCUACGAAUGGAAAAAGGUUCAAUUUGAGUGAAAAUAUUUUGCUUGCCAUUACAGAGGUUAUCACUUCACGAAGGCAUAGGUACUCUAUUUCCUUUUAUAAGGGAUAGAGCUCGGGUAUAAAACUCAUGCAUGUAAUGGAAUGUAUCAUCAUGUGUGCAAAUGUCUCUUAAUUUAUUGAGAAAAAUAAAAUAAGAAAUGAACAGAAAGCAUAUAAAAUGUGCAUAAAAUCCUAUUUUUUUGUUUUUGAUUUUUUAAUUGGUUUUUGAUUGGUUUUUUUUUUUAUUGAAAAAGAAUCAAAAUCUAGGAAUUUAAAAUUAAAUACAGAUUAAAACUGUUUAAAGCAAAAGUGAGGAUAACACAGUUAAUUUUAGCUUGACUCUCGAAAAAAUUGACUUCCCUAGUAGAGUCGUAAAAUUGUCAUAACGAUUUUGGAACCACUUAACGAAUUUGAAAACGAAAUGAAAAAAAAUAAAAAAUAAAAUCACCACCAAUCUUUUUUGGUUAGGUGCGAUUGGUCACCUAUUAAAACAUAUCAUUUUAAUAAAAUUUUAAAAUUAAUUAAAAUUUAUUAAAAAGAUAAUUUUAAGGUCUGCAAAAUAGGUUGGAUUCAAGAGUUGAUUAUUUAUGGGGAAGGAUUAGCACUCUUACAGUAUCUAUUUAAAAUGGUAUUAAUUAAUUACAUCUUUUAAUUCCAACAAAAAAUUAUUUUAGUUUUAGUAUUUGAAACAUAAUUUCCUUGACUUCUUUUGUUUAGUAAAAUUUUAUUAUUAUUAUUAUUAUUUAUUAUUAUUAUUAUUAUCUUUGUUCCGUUUUGUUUAAAAAAAAUACAUUAGAACCCUUUUAUUGAAAUAAUUCUUAAAAUGUUUCAGUAUAUUAGUAAUAUUAGAAGAACACUUUCUCACCUAAGAAUUUCUUAGGCAUUGCUUCAUGAAAUAUCUUAAAAUCCCAUCCUCGGAUGCCCGAAUUUAUUUUUCAAAAAAACUAUGUCAUGCACGCAAUGUAAAUGAUAAUAUAUUGAUGCAAACAUUUUAUUUUCCUUUUAAAAAUUUUAUUUAUUAUUAUUAUUGUUAUUGUUUUGAAGAAAAGAGAAAUUUUUAAUAAUACUUCAAUACACUUUUAGUAUUUAAAAAAAAAUUUUCACUUAGAUAUUUUUAAGGCAUCACUAUUUGAAAUACCUUAAAAUCCCAUCAUCGGGUAAAGAUUUCUUUUCCCUUAUUUUUAUUAUUUCAUUUUUAACAAAUUAGUUAAUUUUUAUAUACUAUUUUAUAGCAAAAGAAAAUGAAACUUUUUUAUUAUGUUAAAAACUUUUUAUAAAUACUCCAAUACGUUGGUAGUAUUUAAAAAAAUCUUCUCACUCAGAGAUUUCAUAUGUAUUACUAUUAGGAAUACCUUUUAAUCUUAUCAUUGGAUAAAAAUUUUCUUUUCUUACAUUUUUACUAAUUUUUUAUUGAUUUUAUUAAUUAAUUUUUUGGUUAUUUUUCUUAUUUUUUAAUCUUAAAAAAAUUAUCAAAAGUUAAAAACCAUUUUUUUAUUAUUAUUGGUAUCAUAAUCAUUAAUUAUUAAUUAUUAUUAUUUUUUAUAAUAUUUAUCCUAAAUUUUAAUAAAAGUUAUAAACAAUUUUAACUAUAUUUUUCAUUAUUUAAUUUUAUUUAUCUAUUUUCUUUUGUUUUCAUUUUUACUAAUUAAAAAAAAAACAAAAUUUUAGUCUAAAAAAAUUUAAACAUUUUAACAUGCCUAAAUAUUAAUGACAAAAUUUGAAAUAAAAAAGUAAUAAACAAAAAAAAAUAAAUUCAAAAAAAUUGAACCAGAUUGGUCAACAAUUCAGUCAACACUGGUUUGAAUCGAUUAACAUCGACGUAUGUUGAUUCAGCUAGACCGUUCAACGAUCAAAAUAGGAAGUCAAAUUGUGGGUUGGGGGCACAGAUCUUGAGUCGACCCACUGGUGCGCAUGUGGAUCCUGGACGAAACAGCAUCGUUUUGAGGCUUAGUCUUCUAUAUAAAAAUCAAAAUUUUUUUUGUUUCAGCUCAUUUCUCCUUGGUUUCUAAAAAAAAAUUCAAAAUUCUCUCAAAUAAACAUUGGAAUCGCUAGUCGUCGGUCGCUGGUCAUUGGUCGUCACACAGGUCGCUGUCGACUACCGCUUUCGAUGGCCGAAAAAUUAAGAAAAUGUCAAAAAACACCAUUUUGCCUCUUAAGCUCAAAUUUGGUCUCUCUUUCAUUAUGAACAACCUCGAUCGGUGUAGAUCGAGCUUCAAAGCUUUAAAUUUUUUUUAUAUAUUUUUGCUGAUUUUGAUUUAUUAGUUUUUUUAUUUUUUUAUGAUACCGACUUCUUUAUUUUUCUUUAGGCACACUGCACAAAGCCAUGUUCGCAACUAAGGGACUAUUUGUUUUUAAGGGUUCUGAUUUGAUUUUUUUUUUUGGGUUUGUGAUGGUGGCCGGUUGGAAGCAAAAGGGCUUUGGGGAAGUUGGCUUUUGGUUUCUAGGUGUUAUGAGGGUUUAGAGGUGCUCUUGUAAAGUGCAUGUGCUGGUAGGAUGCCUGGUGGUGGUUUGGGGUUUAGUUUCAGAGGCUCGGGGUAAUGGCUGAAUGGAGUCAUCAUUGGGGCUCUUAGACCAUUGCUAGUGUGAAAGGGCUUUAAGCUCAUGAAAAGGGAAAGUUCUGGUGAUGUUUGAUAUUGGGUGUGUGUGGAUGAAGGUUAAGGUCUAAGGCUCUAGGAGAAAAAAAAAAGGUGCUAGGGUUAAGGGCUAAGGUUAUGUGGCAUGGGUAAGGGUCUAUAUAGAGUUUGGUUGGAGCGGUCUAGUGGGUGGCUUGUACGAGUUUUGGUGAAAGGGGUAGUUUUUUGGUAGGUGUCCAAAGGUGUAGUAUGGGUGAUAGUGCCUAAAGGCCACUGGGUCAUUUUUUUUUUAGGUGUCUUUCACUAGCCUGGGCAAUUUCUUGGUUGGUGUUUUUAUAGAACGGCCUGAAAGAGUAGGUGGUGAAUAGGUGGUUAGGUUGCAAGGUAUCGGUAGGGGAUUGUUAGGGCAUUGUGCACGAGUCUCAGGGGAUUUGGCUGUGGGAAGCAGUGGGUUGCACAAGGGCAUAAGGAUGGGUGGCUAGUAGUGCCGUGAAUAAGGGUGUAAUCGAGCCGAGUCGAGCCGAAUAGUGAGAAGCUUGAGCUCGAGCUCGACUCACAACUCGGGGCUCGAUACUCGGCUCGAGCUCGAUUGAGUUUUAUUUUUUAAGCUCGAGCUCGAUUCAUGAUCGAAUUCGAACUACUCAAGCUUGCUCGAUUAAGCUCAAUUAAUAUGUAAAAAUAAGCUCGAUUCAUAUACUCGACAAGAGUUUGAUUAUUCAUGCUCGAACUCGAACUCGAACUCGGACUCGAAAUAUUUUAUUAAUUAAAAUAAUAAAAAUAUAUUUAAAUAUAAAAGCUCGAUUAGGCUCACGAGCUACUCAAGUCGGAUAUAAGAAUACUCAAAUUUGGCUCGAUCGACAAGUCGAGCUACUCGAGCUCAAGCUCGACUCAAUAAUAAUCGAAUCGAAUUCAAGUUUUCUUCGAAUCGAACCCGAGUAGCUUACGAGUACUAAUGCAUCAUUUACACCCCUAGCCGUGCACAACACUCACUGGCACUAGCACCUUGACUUUUUUUUUUGUAUUAUUAACGUUUAAUUGACUAUUAUUUAUUGUUUUAUGAUAUAAAUAAUAAAAUUAAAAUUAAAAAUUAAAUAGUGAACCUUGGUCCAAAAAAAGAAAUCAAGCUUUGACUCGCGAACUCAUUAGAACCAAAAAAUUUAAAUCAAAACUUGAACAAAUUUCAUAUCUACAAUAAUAAAAAAAAUUGUCAAUCCAAUAUUAUUACACCUGAACUUGAUUUUUUAUGAGAAACAAAAAAUCCCAUACAUUAUAAAUCUCCCUAAAGCAAAGUGUAAGGAAUACUUGAGAAAAUCCCUUUUCACCACCAUCUUAUAUCACAGAACUUAGAUAUAAAACCAUCAAUCUUAACUUAAAAUUUUGUCAAACCCGUAAUUAAUAUUUGCAAAUUUCAAGAAAAAACACAAAUUUAACAUCAAUCAUAUCUAUCAUCUCACAAUCAACCAUGAAAUAAUAUACAAAAGAAUUUCAGUAAAAUAUCUGAAAAACAAAAUUUCACUACAAUCAUAAUUUCUCUAUACUUCAAAAUUUUUAAAUUACAUGACUCAAAUAGAAUGAUUGGAACCUACUGAUAAAGGGGUGGUAUUGUUACCCUUGAUAACCUAUCUCUUGUAUAAAGAGAGAGAGAGAGAGAGAGAAAUUUUUUUGAUAAGAUAAAAAAGAAGUCAAAGCUAAUAUAAGGUUAAAUAAUGUCAUUCACCAAAAUGUAUAUUCAUCAUGGCCAUAUUUUUAAUAUCUUUUACAUCUUGAUUUUAAUUGAGUUUGUCUAUUAGAAUGCAUUUGCUUGAUCUUUAAAAUGUGUAAAUCAAGAAAUGGUGAUAAAUUCCAGACAAUGGUGGCUAAUUAACAUAAUAAAGACGAAUAAUAGCAUAAGUAAAAUUUGCUUUGAGAAUUCACAUUAGCAUGAGGAUAACUUUUAUAAAAUACAAUAUAAAACUUGUCAAAGCAUAUAUCUUGAGUUAUGAAUGCAAACAUAACAACACAGAACUUGAAAUAUUCAAGCAUAGAAACAUAUAUAACAUAUAUGAAACCAACAAUUUUGAAAUAGUCAAAUUUAACGGCCACCAUUCUUGCAAUUAAAAGAACUAAAUUAGAAGUGACUAGCAAAAAAAUUGAUACAUCAAAAUGAAACUUAUACUUACGUCAAACAGCAAUGCAAUGCUUUUCAAAAUCAAAUAUUGAUUCUGCCAUUCAUUAAGAAAAAGAUUGAAGAAUAAAAAAAAAACUCAUAAUUUUGUUUUUGACAAAUCUCAUAUUUUUCUUAUUUUCAUAUGAACCAUAAAAUAAAAACUAAAGAAAUGACAAAACCCAUAAUAGUUGAAUAAAAAAAUAUCAUCAUUGUUAUUACCUUACAAUUUUCCUCUUUUCCCUUUCUCUCUAGCGUUUCCAAUAAUGAAUUGUUGAUCUCUAUGAAACCAUGAAGGCCAACAUAAGACCACCACAUGGCAUUCCAUUUGUUCAUGUAUGAAAGUCAAUUAAUAUGUCAUUACAAUGAAUCAUAAGUGAUUUGUUUAACAUGUGUUGAUGUGUAGAUAUCUUAAUGCUACAUUGUCCAAUUGCUUCAUUUCAGCUUUCGAUGGCUUGCGAUAUGCUGAUUCCCUUGAAGAUGUGAAAGGUUUGUAUGAAAACUUUUUAAAACUUUUUUAUUUGGUUGUUGUUAAAAUAUGGAAUUUCUUUUCCUUUACUUUCAUUUUUAUUAAGUUAAAAAAAUUCAUUUUUACUUUAAAUUAAAUUAAAAAAUUCAAACCAAUUGAUAAAGCAAAUUAUAAAUUAAACAAUCUCUCAUAGUAUUAUUUUCAAUAUAUUAUAAACAAAAAUCUUAUCUCUUUAUAAUCUUAUUUACCAAUAAAAAAAAACACAUGUCAUUAUUUAUCUCUUAACAAAUUUAAUUUAAAAAUAAAAAACAAUAAAACUUAUCUCUAACAAUUUAUUUGGCUUAAUCAUGCAAAACUAAUUUAAAAAUUAAAAAAAUUAUCAAUUGAAAAAAUCUCCAUCUAAAAUAUCCAAAUUCUGCAUUUAUCUUUUUUCUUUUUCCUUGAUUUUUUUUCUUUUCACAAUUGUUUGUUCUGUACCUUUAUCCAGUGAGAAAAACCAUUUCUUUCAUGUUUGUGUUUUUUUUUUUUUUUCUUCUUCUCUCAUUUUCUUGUGUUGCAUCCUCUCAAUCCUUUUUUCUCUCAUCUCUCUUUCUUGUAAAUUUUUCUUUCCAUAUUUUUUCCUAUUAUGCCAUCCUCACCUAAUUCUUUUGGCUGUCAUCUCUCUUUCUUAUAAAAGAAAAAGUUGCUCUCAUAUCUUUUUCUUGCAAAAGAAAAGGAGAAGUAACCUAAAAUAUAACCCAAAACAUACCACUUAAAUAUAAAGAAAAAGUCCACAUGUCACAUUAAGAAGAGUCUGGAGGGAAAAUUAUAUAUAUGUUAGAUUUUGUGGCAGACAAACUUCAUUACUAUAAGAAAUUGGCACUAUAAACUCAGCCAUUGUCAUAAGUAACAUGCCUGCACUCUAUGCAAGUGGGGCGGCUUUGUAUUUGUAACUUGAAGCUUAAUGGCAGAUGUUAGCUAACCUAUCAGACAAUGAAAUGCAUGAUUGUGUUUGUUGCAAAAUUGAUAUAUAUAUAUAUAUAAAACUUUGAGUUCAAUAGUGGACAUAAAAGGCCAUCAAAAUGUGCAAAAGGACACGAUAAAUAAAAUUAACUAUUGAACCUAACUAAAUUUAUACAAAUAAAAUGAGCAAUCAAUUACAUAUACAAUCCAAAUAUAUCAUUCAAAACCUAUGAUAGAAUACCAAUUGAGAACAUAGUAGUAACUCCAUCUCUAGCACCAAAUUGCAUAAUGGGAAACACUUAGGCAAGAUUUAUGGGUUAUGUCCUUUUUCUUAGGUACCGGAAUGAUAUAAACCAUGUUUUUAAAAUUGUUGACUUGAAAAACUAAAAUUGACAUGAGUUUUAGGUGCAAGUAAUUUUAAUCUUUAGACUUAUUCAUUGUGAAACUUUAGGAAAAGAAAACUUGUAACUAAGUUUUGUCCAUAACACAUAUCGUAGUUAGAUUAUGAUUUAAAUUGCAAGCUUUUCUUUCUCUAUUUUCAAAACAUAUUGCAGUUGGAGUUCGAAAAAUUUAUUAAAAAAAUGAAUUGCAAUGAAAAAGAAUUUUUUUUCUCUAUCUUUUACCUUUCAUAAUCCCAAACGAUGAUGGGCAAUGCUGACUUAAGGGCAUACAACUCUUGUCCUCCAUAUAGCUUCCCUUUUUGUCAAUUAUCUUGCAAAAAAAAAAAAUCAAGAAAAAAAUUCAUCUAACAACCUACAAAAUAAUACUAAUCAAAAUUUUUUCUUCUCUUUUUUCAUUUUGUUUUUUCUUCUAUUUCCAUUCACUUUCUUUCAUCGUUAACUAGCCAGGAAUUUACCUGAUCCUUGUGAUCCUAUCUCCAGACAGAAAAGUCGAUUAUUGCUAUUAAGGUCAAACGAACCAAGAGGGCAAAUCAAAUCUUGAUGGAGAGGGUGACAUGUUGACCUAUGCCCUCUCAUAAUUUUACCUUAUGAAACCUUUCCAUUCUACUAUUAUUGUACGGACUUAUGAUCUCAGAUCUAUGUUUUCUAAAAAUUAUCAUAGAAUCUUGAAGUAACUUUUAAUAAUUACAAAUGAAUAUCAAGUUUGUAAUAUCAAAACAUUAUUAAUGUUAAAUGUUGUUAAUUAAUUUAAUCUUUACACAUGGCCAUUAAAAUAAUUGAUUUUCUUCUAAGCACAAUAAAAUUAAAAAAUUACUAUAUAAUGACAACUCAACUACAAAAAUAAGAUGAAGUAAAUAUUGCUCAAGAAACAAACUUCAUUAAAAAAAAGGACAACUUGGGAUAAAUAGAGUGGGCAAAAAAAAAAGCAGUCAAUUGAUAUAUUCAUAUUUUAACCAUCAUCAAGAUAAAAGUAACGGCCUUAUUAUAUGUAAGAACGGACUUGGACAAACAUUGACUCUCUUAUUAUAUGUAAGAACGGACUUGGGCAAAAAAUGAGAUUCGAAAAAUCAGGUCAGGCUAGGCCUAGACUUGUUUAUAAUCUUUUCAUAUACUAUUUAAGUCUAGCCCGAAUUCGUUUUGACCCAACCCAUGAAUAGGUCUACUCACAUGUACACUUUUUGCAUGAGGUUUAGUAAUAUCUUGCUUUUCAACACUUAUAAGAUUUACCAAAUUAAUUUUUAUACUUGUUUUAAACUUUAUAUUUGAUACAAAAUUAUGUUAUUGUAAAAUCUGAAAUAAAAUAGUUUUAAAUUUUAAGUACAAGUAUUAAAAUUUAAACAAUUAUUUUAAAUUUAUUGAAAAAAGGUUUCAAUUAGAAUAAGUCAAUUCCCAUUCAUAGGAUUUUAUAAUAAAUUUAAAAGGUAAAAAAAAUUGCUUUUUAUUUUUACUAUUUAAGUUUCGCUUCCAAUAAUAAUAAUAUUAUUAUAAAAAUUAAAUUAUAAAAACUUAAUUUUAAAUAAAUAAACAUGAUUUUACUUUUAUAUAAAACAAUUAUAUUAUAGUUAGUAUUGAAUUUUAGUCAUUUGCUUUUAUUUAUAAAUUAAAAAAAAAAAAGAAAAGUAUAACAAAUCAACAAUUAAAAAUAAGCCUAUACAAUCUUUUCUAAAUAAAAAAAAAAAAACCAACAAACAAUGUCUAAACAAUUAAAUUAAUAUUUUUUACCUUAAUUGUCAGAAUAUCUUAGAAAAUUCAUUAUUGUACUAAAUCGAUCUUCUUUCUCCACUCCAAUAUUCAUGAAUUGUCAAAGAAUUUUUAUAAGAUCCAUGCAUACACUUUGAAACAAAUAAAAUAUUUAAAGUUUUUAUAAAAAUUUCAAAAACAAAAAAAAAAAACACUGAUUUUAAUUUUUUUAAUAUGUGGAUGAACAAAUUAUAAAAAUAUAAUAAAAAUUUUGUACAUCUCACAAGUUAAAAAACCAUUUCUUAGCAAGCAUAAAGGUUAGAAAAUACAGAAAUAGAAGUAACAUUGAGAAUAUCGUUAAAGAAUAAAUUAUCUUCUAAUGUAUGUAAUAUUUUGUCUUUUUGAAUUUAAAAAUUAUCAAAUAAUAAAAUAUUAUUAUGAAAUCUCUAAAAAUAAAAAUUAUAUUUUAAUUAAAAUUUCAAAAUUAAAAUGACAUAUUUAAAUUACUAAGAAAUCUAUUUUAUAGUAUCACUACAUUUGAGAUUUUUGGAUUUAAAAAGAUAUAUAUUUAUAUUAUUAGAAAACCUAUUUUAAAAGAUAGUAUAUCACUAUAUUUGAAAGUUUUAAAUGGAAAAAGAUAUAUAUAUCUAUAUAUAUAUGUAUAGAUUAUUUAGAAAUGCAUUUUUGAAAAAAAUAUAUAUUUAAAUUAGAUUUUGUUGUUAGCAACUUAAAAAUAAUUGAAUUGGUUUUCUACUUAAAUUUGAAAGUUUUAGAUAAUUAAGUAAUUUUUAAAUAUAUAUAUAUUGAUAUAUAGCUUAAAAUUAGGAAAUAUCUUACAAGUUAUUAUAAAGAGAAAUUUUAAAAAUUUUUCUAUGUGUCAAAAAAACAAACUAUCUUUCACAUAAAUAAAUUUUAUCAAAUCUUUAUUUAUGUUAUAAUAUAAUAUUAUAUAUGAUAAUUAAGGAGUUAAUUAUGACACUUGCAAUUAAUACAAAAAGAUAACAACAAAAAUUUGAUUGUAAUAUAUUAAAUAUAAAUUUAUUUAAUUUUUUAUAUCUUAAUAUAUUUGUAAUAUUUUGUAUGCAAAUUAAUAUUUUUAUUAUUUUUAUAUUAAAAUAAUUAUAAAUAUGUGUAAUAAAAUAUUAAUGAAAAGCAAAAUUAUUUCAAAUAAAUAUAAAAAUAAUUAUAACUCUAUUCACAGAUUCUAAUAUUUUAACAUCAAUUAAUAAAUAAAUUAACUUAAUUAAUAUUCGAGAUGUCAAUUGAUAUGAGAUGAAUAAAACAUUCUUUAUUUUCAUUCUUAGUUUUUUAUCUUAUAAUUACUUUUUAACUCAUAACCAACGAAUAUUUUAAAUUUAUUCACACCUUUAUCUCUCUAGGGAUAUUUUAAUGGGUAACACUGAUCCUCUAUCCAAGCCAUCGCAUUCACGCAUGCGCUCAAAAGCCCGAGCCAUCACAUUCACGUAUGCGCUGACGCUAUCGAUCAGAUCACUAGCCAGUGGUUGAGAAAAAGACGUACAACCAUUCCUGAAUUGGAAAAUGUCAAACUCCUAAAUUAGUUCUCCCCCGAGAAGAAUAACCCAUCUUUUAUUUUUUUCGUAAAAAAUGAAAAGAAUUAGUAUUGGAUUCAAGUUUUUUUUAAAAAAUGUAUAUUUAUAAUAUAUAUUUUUGAUAAAUUUAAUAAUUUUAUUAAUAAAAAUAUAUUCAAAAUAAUUUGGAAGUAUCCAAAAUUUUCUUAUUUUUUUAUUUGUCAAUAUUCAAGAUAUUUAAAAACAUCUUGUCAAUCCAUUGCAUCCGCCAAAAAGGAACAUCUUAUAAUUUUCAUAUCAAAACAAAGAUAAGGGUCAGUGGAAAAGGACCAUUCAACGGAUUAAGAAGUUUUGUCAAAUAGGUCCUCCUAAAAUACUGACAAGAUAAAUUGAUGAUCAAAUUGAAAUAAUUGAUUUAGCCUUUUUAAAAUAAUUAUUUAUAUUUGAUAUUUUAUUAAUAUAUAAAAUUUAUAUAUUAUUAAUGAAUUAAUAAUAUUUAUUAAUAAAAAUUUAACAAAAAAAUAAGUUUUUUUGUAUUUAUCUUUAAGGUUUAAUAAAAUUUUUUAUUUGAUCAUUGAUAAAGUAAUAUCAUUUGAUUUAUUAUCUAUAUAUAAAAUUUAUAUAUUAAUAAUAUAUUAAAUAUAGACUCUAUUUAUUAUGAAGGUAAUCAAACAUGAUAGCUUGUUUCAUUUUCUUUUGAUGAUUGUCAUUAAAAUUUUGUUUUUGAAUAAAUUUCUUUUUUAAAACAUUUCGAUUUAAUUAGUUAAUUUGUAGAUAAAGUUUUCUUUUACAAAAAAGUUUAAAAACAAUCAAUUUUAAAAACUGUUAGAAAGUUAUUUUGCAAUUGUUUAAUUUUACUUUCGGUAAUUAAAAAAAAAUUUUGAUUAGUUAUAUUUAGAUCUACUAAUGGGUAGGGUCGAGUCGAGUUUGACCCAAAUUUAGUAUGAUAUUCCAACAUUUUAAGUUCGAGGUCGAUAUGAUUUUUUGAACUUGAGUUUAAGUCUAAUUUAAUUUUGUUAAAUAUAAUUUAAAAUUUAAUUAUUGUUUUAUACAAAGAAUAAAUAGGUUUUAUCAUAUUAUAAGUAAUAAAAAAAAUGUAUCUUGUCCAUUAUAAAAAAUAAAAUAACCAGAUCUUAUCUCAUUAUGAUAAAACUAUUUUUUAAUUUUCGAGCUUGACUGGACCAAACCUGAGCCUUAAAUGGUGAAACAUAAUUUUAGUCUCAUUUUUUUAUUUAACUUCAUUUAUUUAUUUAGGUCUAUUUAACGGACUUAAUAUUCAUAUUUAAUUCCUUCAAAAUUUCGAGUCGAGCUUUCAAGUUUGGACAAAUUGCCUGGCCUAUAAUUAGGUCUAGUUAUAUUACAUUUGUACAUAGUGUGAGGCUACUUAUUUGUCACCAUGUCACCCUAUCACCCUAAGUUAUUCUUAGAAAUAAUUUCAUUUUUUACCAUUAUAUUGUACAUGAAAAAUGUAUCUGAUAUAUGAGAUUGUGAUAGAAUAAGAUAAAAUAAUAUUAUAAAUAUGAUUAAAUUAAAUAGUAUUAUCCUAUCUUAUAUUUGAUAUGUGUAAAAAUUAAGAUAGAAUAAUUUAUUUAUUAAUCAAAAUUAUCCUUUCUCAAAAUUUAUAUAAUUUAAAUUAUUAAUAUAAUUUUUAAAGAUAUAAUAAGAUAUGUAAGUUUAAUUUUAUAGAUUAAAAUAAUCAAUUUUACUUUGGAAGGAUAAAAGUAUCUUAUAUCAAGAGAAUGAUAAAUAUUCUUUGUAAUCAUAUUCUUUUUUUAAAUACAAAUUAAAAAUAUUAUAAAAUAAUUAUUGUUCUAUUCUAUCUAUUGUCUUGUACACUAAAUAUGAACAAAAAAUAUUUUAUAAUAUAAAUAUAAAGAUAAUAUUUAUUAUUUUAAUAAUAAAAUAACAAUUAAAUUAGACAAUCAAAAUGAAUUCAACUUUUUCCUUUAUAAUUUAAUGUUAGGAAAAUGGGGUCCAGUCCCACAUAAGUGGUUUUGGACCAAGUAAAGGCCAUGGGCCUUGAUCUUUUAUUUUACAUAGAGCCCUAACUACUUAAUAAAAAAGAGGUGGGGUUGUUUAAGGUAUGUGUCGACAACCAAGCAGAGAAAGAAAAAAAGCCAGGAAAAGCAGAGAGAGAAAAAAGAGAAGGGAGAGUUGGUUAAACGGAAGUCGAUCCGUGGUCCGAUUGAGUUGAAACCUUGUCAGGAGGUUUAUGAUUCAGAGUUAUACAUUCUGAACGGUGAAGAUCGAGUUUGAAGCUCUCUAGGAACAAAUCCAGGGUAUAUUUGUUGAGGCACUUAUUUGGUGAGAUUUCUCCAAUUGUUUCUCUAGUUGUUGAUUAGCUCUAGUUUUAGCUAGAGAAGAACUUUGUAUAACUAUUAUUUGAUAGUGAAGAUUUUUCUGGUGGCCUGUGAUUUUUUCCUCUACACUGGAGGGUUUUCCACGUAAAUCUUGGUGUGCUUUAUUUUUCCUGCGCAUUUGAUUAUUGAUUGUUGUCUAUUACUUCUGUAUUGUUGUGAUUAUUGCUUCAGGAGCAACAAGUGGUAUCAGAGCGAGAGUUAUUUUGAGACAUCGAUACAGAAGCAACCCAGGAUAGAAGUAAAUUCUGUUUGAGAUCAUAGAGGGUGAUACAGGUUCCAUGAUAAAAUUGACAGUAUCAAAUUAUUCAAUUUGGAAGCCUAUGAUGGAGGAUCAUCUAUACUGCAAAGAUUUGUAUGAGUUAGUAUUGGGUGAUUCGGCUAAACCAGCAGAUAUGAAAGAUGAAAGCUGAAAGAAGCUAGGUAGAAAGACGCUGGCUACAAUCAAAAAAUGGGUUGAUAUCAGCGUGUUCCAUCAUGUAGCGCAGGAAUCAGAUGCUCACAUUAUUUGGGAAAAAUUGGCAGCAUUGUAUGAGAGAAAAACAGGUAUGAAUAAAGUUAUGCUUGUUAAAAAGAUUGCAACUUUACAGUAUAGGGAUGGACGAUCUGUUACAGAGCACUUGAGUGAUUUUCAAGAUAUAUUUAAUCGGAUGACUACUAUGGAACUUAAGAUGGAUGAUGAAAUGAAGGCAUUAUUUCUUUUGGGUUCAUUGUCAGACAGUUGGAAUACUCUAGUUGUGACUGUUCUUAAUUCAACUCCUGAUUAUAAGGUGACAUCAGAGAUGGUAAAGGACAAUAUGCUUAAUGAAGAAGCGAGGCGAAAAGAUGUAAACCCUGGGAAUCAAGCUCUGGUCACAGAGAACAGAGGUAGAAACAUCGACAAAGGUCAAAACUCAAAAGGCCGUGGUAAGUCUAAACAUAGAUCCAAGUCUAGAGGUAAAGUGAAGUGUUUCCAUUGUGGUAAGGCGGGUCAUAUAAAAUGAAACUGUAGAAUCUUGAAGCAAGAGCGAAAAGAUGAGAAAGGUAAGAGUUCAGAUGAUGGCAAUGUUGCAGCAGUAAAUUCAGAUAGUGAUUCAGUUACUUUGAUUUGUACACAUGGUGAUUGUAAUCAUGUUAGUGAUCCCGGUAUUGAGUGGAUAGUUGACACAGGAGCGGCAUAUCAUUGUGUUCCUAAGAGAGAGUUGUUUACAACUUAUAAAGCAGGAGACUUUGGUUGUAUCAAGAUGGGAAACAAGAGUGUAUCGUAGAUUGUUGGGAUUAGUGAUAUUAUUGUACAAACUAGUACAGGCUGCAUAUUGACUUUAAGGGAUGUCAGACACAUUCCAGAUAUGAGAAUGAACUUGCUUGCUAUUAAUGUCUUUGAUAAGGAGGGAUAUGAAAGCCGACAAAAGAAUGGACAGUGAAAGCUUUUCAAAUGAUCUAUGGUAGUUGCAAGGGGAAAACUAUGCUGCACAAUGUAUAAGACAUGGAUGCAAUUGAACGGUAACCAGGUAAAUACCGUUGAAAAUGAUGCUUCAGUAAACUUGUGGCACAGGAGGCUGGCACACAUGAGUGAAAAAAGGUUACAGGUUUUGGCAAGGCACUCUCUCAUUCCCUUGACCAAAGGUAUGUCUUUCGAUUCAUGUGAUUAUUGUUUGUUUGGUAAGCAUCAUAGAGUUUCUUUUCGUAAAAGUUUUCAGAGAAAAGAAAAUAGAUUGGAAUUAAUUUAUUCUGACGUAUGUGGUCCCAUUGAGGUUGAGUCAUUAGGUGGUAGCAGAUAUUUUGUUACUUUUAUUGAUGAUGCUUCACGUAAGACUUGGGUGUAUAUGUUGAAAUACAAAAGUCAGGUACUGCAGUAUUUUUAAAAAUUUUAUGCCAUGGUUGAAAGGAUGACAGGGUUACCCUUGAAGUGUAUUCGAACUGAUAAUGGUGGGGAAUACACAUCUAAAGGCUUUGAAGAGUAUUGCUCAAAGUAUGGGAUCAGGCAUGAGAGGACAGAACCUAAAACACCGCAGCAUAAUGGUAUAGCUGAAAGAAUGAAUCUCACCAUUGUGGAAAAAGUCAGAUGUAUGUUGAGGAUGGCAAAAUUACCAAAGCCAUUCUGGGGUGAAGCAGUCAACACAGCUUGUUAUUUACUUAACAAGUCACCAUCAGUUUCUUUAGGCUUUGACAUUCCAGAAAGAGUGUGGACAGGGAAAGAUGCUUCAUACUCUCACUUGAAAGUUUUUGGGUGUAAAGCAUUCAUGCAUGUACCAAAAGAGCAGAGGUCAAAGCUUGAUAGUAAAGCUACAUAGUGUGUGUUUGUAGGAUAUGGUGAUGAGGAAUUUGGCUACAGGGUAUGGGAUCCAGUAAAGAGAAAGACAGUCAGAAGCAGAGAUGUGGUCUUUCAUGAAAAAGAAACCAUAGCAGACCUUGAGAAAAAUGAGAAGACUACACGAGUUACUGUUGAAUGUGAUGUUUUAACACCGACAGAGAUUUCACAAGAAAGAGCCACAGAUGGUGAAAAUGAGCCAGAAACAGAACUUGAGGAUAUGAAUGAGCCAACCAUAGUUGGUGAUGAGCCAGAUGCUAUUAGUUUUGAGCAGGGGGAGCAAUCCUUUUUACCUGAGAGUGUUGAGCAGGGGGAGCUACCUUCAGCAUCAAGUGAUGUAGAGUCUCAGCUCAGGAGAUCUACUAGAGAGCGCAGGCUAUCUACCAGGUAUCCAAGUUCAGAUUUUAUUUUAGUUACCAGUGAAAGGGAGCCAAAAAACUUUCAAGAUGUGCAGGCUACUCCGGAUAGAGAGCACUGGUUAAAAGCAAUGAAAGAAGAGAUGGAGUCAUUACGAAAGAAUGGUACUUAUGAUCUUGUUAAACUUUCAACAAGGAAGAGGCCAUUAAAGAAUAAAUGGGUGUUCAAGUUGAAAAAUGAUGGUGACAAACUAGUGAGGUACAAAGCUCGAUUGGUAGUAAAAGGUUUUUCUUAGAAACCAGGCAUCGAUUUUGAUGAGAUUUUUGCUCCAGUUGUAAAAAUGAGUUCUAUUCGAGUGGUACUGGGAUUGGCAGCUAGUUUGAAUUUUGAGCUUGAGCAACUUGAUGUUAAAACUGCAUUUUUGCAUGGUGAUUUACAGGAGAACAUUUAUAUGAAUCAGCCUGAGGGUUUUAAAGUGAAAGGGAAAGAGCACUUAGUUUGCAAAUUGAAGAAAAGCUUGUAUGGCUUGAAACAAGCUCCGCGAUAGUGGUACAAAAAGUUUGAUUCUUUUAUGGUGAGUCAUAGCUAUAAAAGAACAGCAGUGGAUUCUUGUGUGUAUAUUAAACAAUUCCCUAAUGGUAACUUCAUUAUCCUAUUAUUAUAUGUUGAUGAUAUGUUGAUUGCAGGAUAAGAUGCUAGUAUGGUUUACAGGUUGAAAGAACAAUUGUCUAAGUCUUUUGAUAUGAAGGAUUUAGGUCCAGCAAAGCAGAUUCUUGGUAUGGACAUUAUCCGAGAUAGGAGAGCUGGAAAGCUGUGGUUGUCACAGGAAAAGAAUGUUGAACGAGUGCUUGGUAGAUUCAACAUGCAACAUGCUAAAUCAGUUAGCAGUUCAUUUGCCAACCAUUUUCAUCUAAGUAAGAAAUCUUGUCCAGUGUCUAAGAAAGAGCAACUAGCUAUGUCUAGUAUUCCUUAUUCUUCUGCAGUCGGUUCUUUAAUAUAUCUUAUGGUUUGUACAAGGCCUGACAUUGCUCAUGCAGUUGGUAUAGUGAGCAGAUUUCUUUCUAAUCCAGGGAAGGUUCAUUGGGAAGCAGUAAAAUAGAUUUUUAGAUAUUUGAGGGGUACCUCAAAAAUGUGUUUGACUUAUGGAGUUUCACAACCAAUUCUAGAAGGGUUUACUGAUGCUGACAUGGCAGGCGAUCUUGAUGGUAGGAAAUCUACUUCAGGGUAUUUGUUCACUUUUGCAGGAGGAGCUGUAUCUUGGCAGUCUAAGUUGCAGAAGUGUGUUGCUUUGUCAACUACAGAAGCUGAGUAUAUUGCAGCAACUGAAGCAUGUAAAGAAAUGCUUUGGAUGAAACGUUUUCUUUUUGAAUUAGGGUUGAAUCAGAAAGAGUAUGUGGUAUUUUGUGAUAGCCAGAGUGCUUUAGAUUUGAGUAAGAAUACCAUGUACCAUGCUAGAACAAAGCACAUUGAUGUUAGAUAUCAUUGGUUACGUUCAGUGAUUGAAGAACAGCAUAUGCUAUUGAAGAAAGUCCAUACUGAUAAAAAUGUGGUAGAUAUGUUGACUAAGAUACUUCCUAGGGAAAAGCUUGAGCUUUGCAGUAACUUGGCCGGAAUGAGUUCCCUGGCCAAGGUAAGUUCCAAAUGAAAUUGCUAUGGUGAUGAAUCUCCUUCUAAUGGGACUGGAGGGGGAGAUUGUUAGAAAAAUGGGGUCCAGUCCCAUGUAGUGGUUUUGGACCAAGUAAAGGCCAUGGGCCUUGAUCUUUUAUUUUACACAGAGCCCUAGCUACUUAAUAAAAAAGAGGUGGAGUUGUUUAAGGUGUGUGUCGACAACCAAGCAGAGAAAAAAGAAAAGUCAGAAAAAGCAGAGAGAGAAAAAAGAGAAGGGAGAGUUGGUUAAACGAAAGUCGAUCCGUGGUUCGAUUGAGUUGGAACCUUGUCAGGAGGUUUAUGAUUCAGAGUUAUACAUUCUGAACGGUGAAGAUCGGGUUUGAAGCUCUCUAGGAACAAAUCCAGGGUAUAUUUGUUGAGUCACUUAUUUGGUGAAAUUUCUCCAAUUGUUUCUCUAGUUGUUGAUUAGCUGUAGUUUUAGCUAGAGAAGAACUUUGUAUAACUAUUAUUUAAUAGUGAAGAUUUUUCUGGUGGCCUGUGGUUUUUCCCUUUACAUUGGAGGGUUUUCCACGUAAAUCUUGGUGUGCUUUAUUUUUCCUGCGCAUUUGAUUAUUGAUUGUUGUCUAUUGCUUCUGUAUUAUUGUAAUUAUUGCUUCAGGCGCAACAUUUAAUAAGCCAAUCCAACCCAUAAACUAAGUUUGGUUUAAGAUAUUUUGUAUCAUGCAAUAGCAAAAUCCAGAAUAACAAAACAAAAAGAAACUAAAUUUGUAAUAAUACGGUGAAAAGUCGUAUAAUCUAUUACUAGCAACCCACGUGCAAAAGCCCAACCUUGCUAGAAGAACACGAUAGCUAUGAAUAUGUAAGCGGCCACGUAAGCUAUGGAUGUCAGCAGUCGUCUCUUGAAAAAUGUCAAAACUUCAUUUUUUUUUUUUCCUUGAAUAUCUCAUACGACGGUGUCACAAGAUAUCAAUCAACGUCCCAUCUCCAUUCAACAACAUGACAUAUGAUAUCGUAACGGUAAAUUAAUUUUAAUUAAAUUAAAAAAUAAAAAUAAUAAAAAUAAUUAUUUUAAUCAAUAAAAUUAAAUGUGUAAUUAAAAUUAAUGAUAUAAAAUAUAUAUUUAAGUAUAAAUAUAGUGACGACGAUACAUAAACCUGUAUAAAACUGAUUCAUUAAAAUUAUUAAAUUUCAUUUAAUAUAUAUAAAAUUUAUAGUAAUAUUUGAAAACGUGAAUAAAAUUAUACAAUUAUUAAAGUUAUUUAUAUAAUCAAAUUAAAAUUUUUACCUAAUAAAUUUAUUGUAUAUUUGAUUUUUUUAAAGUUAAUAAAUAAUUAAAAAUUUACUAACAAAAAUGAUAGCUUAUUAUAAUAUUUUUUAAAAUAUUUACUUUAGUACGCAAGCGAUAAGAAUAUUAAAAGCUUUUUCUAAACAUUGAUCAAAGAAAAAUAAUAAUAAUAAAAAUUAAAAAUAAAAUAAAAAUAAUAUAAAUAAAGAUUGGACGCAAAAUAAAAUACGUGGACUCUCACAUACUCUUUAUAAGGUUUCUUGAAUUUAAGGCUUUUAAAAUUGAAUUGAAAAAUGUUGAAUUGAGUUAUAUGUAAGGUUAUUUUAAGGGUUUUUGUCUUCAAUCGCAGAUUACAAAUUUUCACUGAUCUCUUUAGCUCCAGUGACGAUUGAGGGGUGUGGUGCAGUUGAAAGAUUCCAAUCGUGCAUCCAAACAUGUUUCUAUGGUGCAAAAUAAUCCUUAAGUGCAUCCAAAUGGGCCCUAAGUUUCCAAGAUGACAAUAUCUCCUACGCAAGAAGUCUCUAAGAUGACACUAUCUCCUACGCAAAUAUACAAAAAGACAGUUGAUCUGAGUGGGAAAUUAAAAUAUGCUCUGAAAGCACAUGAUUGUGAUUCAUGUUAAAAGUACUCUAACUUGGAAAUUUCUAUGGGCGGGUCCAAAUUUUUUAGCAAUACUACGCCCCUCUAUAAAAGCAAAUACAUUUUAAUUCUAUACAUCACAAAAUAAAAAUCAAAUCAAAUCAAACAAACACAGAGCUACCAGUAGCAAAUCAAACAAUGGAAGAAGCAACAAUUCUUUACUCAUUUCUUUCUUUUAUCUUUCUCAUCGUUUGUUUAAACUUGUUCUUUCAAUCAAGAAAACAACCCAAAAACCUCCCUCCAAGCCCACCAUCACUACCCAUAAUUGGCCACCUUCACCUCCUAAAACCCCCAUCCAUCGUUUGUACCAUAGCCUUUCACAAAAAUAUGGUCCAAUCUUCUCCCUUCGCCUCGGUUCUCGGCUUCUUGUUGUAGUAUCAUCUUCAACCGCAGCCGAGGAAUGCUUCAGCAAGAACGAUAUAGUUUUUGCCAAUCGCCCCAAGUUUAUCAUAGGGAAACACUUAGGCUACAACUAUACCACAGUUUCAACAUCGUCUUAUGGUGAUCAUUGGCGCAACUUACGUAGAAUUGGUGCCAUUGAAAUCUUCUCAUCAAGUCGUCUAAACGCCUCCGUGACUGUUCGAAAAGACGAAAUCAGGCGCUUGUUAUUAAAACUGUCGUGUGAUUCGCGUCAAGAGUUUGCGAAAGUGGAGCUGAAAUCUAUCCUUAAUGACAUGACCUUUAAUAACAUAAUGAGGAUGGUGGCAGGGAAGCGGUACUAUGGAGAUGAAGUGACGAAUGAAGAAGAAGCAAGAGAAUUUAAGGAACUUAUGGCAGAGGCAUUCAAGAAUGGUGGAACAGCAAAUCAAGAAGAUUACUUUUCUGUAUUGAACUGGUUUGGUGAAGGGUAUGAAAAGAAGGUGAAGAAGCUUGGAAAAAGGAUGGACAGGUUCUUGCAAACUUUGAUUGACAAUCACCGAAGUAAGAGGCAGGAAAAUAAUAGUAUGAUUGAUCACCUUCUUUCCUUGCAAGAAUCUGAGCCUCGUUACUAUACUGACGAAAUUAUCAAAGGGUUCAUAUUGGUAAUUAGUUGAAUCUUUUCUUUUUUCUUUUUACUUUUCAAUAUUUUAUUGUUGAAAGAUUUUCGGUUUUAAAUUUUGAGCUUAACUUAAUUGAUUCAUGCACUUAUUUUUAGAAGAUGACAUUCAAAUCUGAAAUGUCCUAAACUAACAAAUUAACAUUGUUCUGUAGGUGAUAAUACUUGCAGGAACAGAUACAUCAGCAGUCACAAUAGAAUGGGCAAUGUCCAAUUUGCUAAAUCACCCAGAAGUAUUGAAGAAGGCUAGAGCUGAACUAGACAAUCAAAUUGGUCAAGACAACCUGAUUGAUGAACAAGAUGUUUCCAAGCUACAUUACCUUCAAAGUAUUAUAUUGGAGACACUUCGAUUAUACCCUGCAGCUCCUCUUCUGCUUCCGCACAUGCCAUCGAAUGAUUGUACCUUAGGUGGAUACAACGUGCCACGUGGUGCCAUCGUACUGGUGAACGCUUGGGCCAUUCAUAGGGAUUCAAACCUAUGGGAUGAUCCAACAAGUUUUAAGCCAGAGAGAUUUGAAAAUGGUGGGAAAUUAGGAGAAUAUUCUCACAAGCUAAUGCCAUUUGGGUUAGGAAGGAGAGCAUGUCCAGGAGCAAGCCUGGCUCAGCGAAUAGUGGGAUUAACUUUAGGAUCUUUGAUUCAGUGCUUUGAGUGGGAAAGGAUUGAUGACAAGGAAAUUGACAUGACUGAAGGAAAGGGAAUCACCAUGCCUAAAGUUCAGCCAUUAGUUGCUUUGUGCCAAGCUCGUCCCAUCGUGAAUAAGGUUUUUUAUAAAUAAAUUUGAUUAAUAUCAUAAGUUGGGUGAUUAUAGUGGAAAAAUAGGUUUUGAUUGCCUAUCUGGUCAAGAUUUUAUUGGAGUAGGACACAGUUAGUGUGUUCUAUUUUUUUUUCUUUUGUUUUAAUGAUUGGAUUAGUCCAUAUCAAAAAAAGGAGGUCAAAUUAUGUAAUAAAUAUCUGUAUUUUAAUUAAAUAAUAAAAUUAAUCCUUUUAUCUUAAUGUGUUUAAAUUGGAUCUUUAUACUUUCUUUAAUUAUCGAAAUUUUGUUAACGGUUCAAACUUUUUCAAUUAAAAUUGAUGACAUGGUAUUUUGACUUUUCUAACGUGACAUUUUUGUUUAUAUGAUCGUUGACUUUAUUGACUUUUGAGGUCAAAAUGAUCAAAGAUAAUAACAUGACAAAAUUUUUUAAUACAUCAUUAUUUUUUCACUUCAGCUUUUCUCAAAUUGUACAGAUAAUCCUUAUACUUUUAUUAAAUGAUAGAAUUAAUCCUUCUAUCUUAAUGUGUGUUCAAUCUUAUCUUUUUAUAUCAAUUAAUUAUUAAAUUUAAGAUUUGACACUCAUUGCAUUCAAAUUUUAUUCUUAAAUUAUUUAUAAUCAAUGCUUUACAAGAUGGAACAUUGAUAAUAGAAAAUCUAAGUUCAACUUGAUUCUAAUGAAUUUUGAAACUUCAAAGACAUAAUUAAAAGAGCUUAAUACUCAAAACAUAUCUUUUAAUGAAGACAAGAAUAUCUUACUUAGAAUAAGACUAGCCAAAAGCUCCCUCCAUAAGUUAAAAGACUUAACAAAGUCUAGGUGAAAGACAACACAUAAAGGACCCCAUGAAUAUAAAUCAUGCUUGACUAAAACAAACCAUCCGAUGCAUUGAGAGCCUUCAAUCUAAUCUAGACUCCCAAAUGAACUCAAAGUUCUUUACUUCCUAAGAUGUCAACAUCUUUGAAAGUGACUUGUUUUUUGGAACAACUUAACUUAUAAAUCUCAAUUUUUAUAUGACACCAUUUGAGAAUAAGGAUGGUUAAAAGAAUCAAUUUUAAGCUUUUUGUAUGGUUGACUAUUAUUAUUAUAUACAUCAACAUUAGAGUUUUUAAAUUCUAUAAAAUGAAUCCUCUUGUUUAUUUAUUAAUUUUUAAGAAAAAUUAUCAAAUAUAUUAAGAAAAUGAAAAUUUUUAAUAUUACAAAUUAAAUAUAUAUUUAGAAUAUAUUUUAAAAAAUUAAAAAAUUAAUUUUAAAAAAAGUGAGACAUGCACGAUCUUAUUAACUUCAUUUAUAAAAUUAAAAAAUUUCCUUAACAAUAGAUUAAACAAUUUUUUUAAAAAAUACAAUUUAACUAGAUAUCAAUCCAUGUUUCACUUUGAAUAUCUAUUUUUGUGUAUGUAAUUAAGAAAAUCAGCAUAAAUUGGUGUUUUGAAUAGUUAUCAUAACGAUUUUGGAGUAGCUUGAUGAAUUUGAAAAUGAAAUAAAAAAAAAAAAGAGUCACCACCAAUAUUUUUUGGCUAGGUGAAAUUGACUACCUAUUAAAACAUAUUCUUUUAAUAAAAUUUUAAAAUUAAUUAAAAUUUAUUAAAAAAAUAAUUUUAAUGUAUGCAAAACAGGUUGGGUCAAGGAGUUAGUUACUUGUAGGAAAAAAUUAGCACCCCUACAGCUCCCGUUUAAAACGGUACCAAUUAAUUAAAUAUUAUCCUUUAAUUCUGACAAAAACAAUUUUAUAUUUAUUUAUUUAUUAUUAUUAUUAUCAUUGUUCUGUUUUAUUUGAGAAAAAUAAAUUAAAACUUUUUUAUUGAAAUAAUUUUUAAAAUGUUUCAGUACAUUGAAAAUAUUAGAAGAACUUUCUCACCUAAAGAUUUCUUAAGUAUCGUUCUCAAAAUACCUUAAAAUCUCAUCUUUAGAGGUCCAGAUUUAUUUUUCAAAAACACUAUUAUACAUGCAAUACAAAUGAUAAUACAUUGAUUUACACAUUUUAUUUUCCUUUUAGAAAAUUUAUUUUUUAUAUUAUAAUUGUUAUUGUUUGAAGAAAUUUUUAUCACAUUAAAAAAUUUUUAUAAAUACUUCAAUAUACUAGCAAUAUUUCAAAAAAAUUUCCUCACCUAUAGAGUUUUAAAGCAUCACUACUUGGAAUAUCUUAAAAUCCUAUCAUCAGGUAAAGAUUUCUUUUCCCUUAUUUUUUAUUAUUUUAUUUUUAACAAAUUAGUUAAUUUUUAUUUACUAUUUUAUAGCAAAAAAAAAAGAGAAAAUUUUUUAUUGUUUGGAAACUUUUUAUAAAUACUUCAAUGUUGGUAUAUUAAAGAAAAUUCCUCUAGGGAUCUAGUACUGGACUUUGAUUAUGUUGUAUUUCAAUUUUUUCAUUUUCUAUUUUUAUUAUUUUUAUUAUUUUUUCAGUAAUUUUUUGGUUAUUUUUUCCUAUUUUUGGUUAUUUUUCCUAUUUUUUUAAUCUUAAAAAUUAUCAAAGUUUAGAAACCUUUUUUAUUAUAUUGGUAUCAUACUAUCAAUUAUUAAUUAUUAUUUUUUAUUAAGAUUAUUCUACAGUUUAAUAAAAAUUAUAAAAAUUUUAAACUAUAUUUUCCAUUUUUUAUUUAAUUUAUCUAUUUUAUUUUGUUUUCAUUUUUCCUAGUUAAAAAAAAUUAGUUAACAAAUUUAAACAUUUUCACAUGCAUAAAUAUUAAUGCUAAAAUUUAUAUAAACAAAAAUAAUAUAAAAAAUAAAUCAAAAAAUGAAAAAAAUUAAACCGGACCGAUCAACGGUUUGGUCUGUAUCAGUUUAGCUAGACUGAUUGGUAGUCAAAAAGGGAAAACUGGGUCACGAGUCAAGCACGCAGAUCUCUGAUCAACCCAUUGGUAUGCACAUAGAUCUUGGAUGAAACGAUGUUGUUUUAAGGCUUAGUCUUCUAUAUAAAAACCAAAAUUUUUUUGUUUUGCCAUCGAUCACCAUUUUCGGUGGUCGAAAAACAAAGGAAAUAUCAAAAGACUCCCCUUUACCCUUUAAGCUCAGAUUUGGUCUCCUUUUUGCCAAGAACAACCUUGAUCAACAUUGAAUAGGCUUUAAAGCUUUAGUUUCCCUCUUUUUUAUAUUUUCAUUAAUUUUAAUUUAUUAUUAUUUUUUAUUUUUUAAUGAUACUAACUUUUCUCUUUUCCUUUAGGCACAUCGCACAGAGCUAAGUUCCCCAAUAGGGGAUUUUUAGAGGCAUGUUGUAUAGGUCCAAAGGGAUUUGGGCAUGGAAGGCAGUGGGUUGCACAAGGGCGUAGGAAUAAGUGGCUAGUGGUGCCGUGCACGGCACCUACUAGCAUUAGCCUCCAGUCUUUUGUUCUUUUGCCUUUUUUUAAUAUUUUUGUAUUAAUGUUUAAUUAAUUAUUAUUUAUUAUAUUUUGAUAUAAAUAAUAAAAUUAAAAUUAAAAAUUAAACAGUGGGCCAAGGCUUAGAAAAAAUUGGGUUUUAGCCUAUUAACUCGUUAGAAUUAAGAAAUUUAAAUUGAAACCUAGAUAAAUUUGAUGUUUACAAUUGCAUCUCUUUAUGCAUUGCUGAGAAUCAGAAAUAGGGUAAAAACAAAGACAACAAUUUUGUCUGGAGUCCAAAGUGAUUUUUUUUUCUAAUUGAUCUAAACUAAUUAAAAAGUUUAUCUCAUUAAAGACCAAAACGCUUUAAAGAUCAAAUCGAAAUACUCCUCUUACUCGAGGCUCGACAACUUUUGAAAACUUAAAAUGGCACCUCUAAGUAAAGACUCAAUAACUUUAAAAUUGACAUCUGAAAAAAAGUUCCUCUGAAUAGAGGCUUAACAACUUAAAAAAGUUCAUCAUCUUUUCUCAAAAUCGAGUUCUUAUCUUUGAGCAAGUAAAUUUUUUUCUUUUAAAAUCUCUUCUUUAAUUAUUAUCUUUGCCUAAUGAUCAAAAUCUUGUUUUCCAUUAUGAAAUUGAAAGUCCUUGUCCUUGUUAUAACUACUCAUUGAUGCAUGUGUUGAAUGCUCUAAAUGCAAUGCAUGUAAUGCAAUCAAAAUCAUUCAUUUGUGGUAAAAGGCUCUCGAAAUCUCUUACCUUUUUAUUUAUUUUAUCAAAAUUCUAAAACAAUUGCCAUAGGACCAAUUUGUUCUUAAUGUCUGACCAUUAUAUUCUUUCUUAACAAUAUUUUUCUUUUUCAAAACUCUACAACAUCAAUGUCUUGUCAUGCUUUUCUUGUCAUUUUUCAUCUGUUUUUAUUGACUUCUAAAAGUAAUGCCCGAGACAUUCCAUGUUAUUUUUUUUUAUCAUUUCAAGUUCAAGAUAAAUAAAAUACAAUCACACAUUCCUCUAAUUCAUUUGUAAGGUGAACAAAUAUGACGAAUUGAGAUAAAAGGAUGGAUAGGCAUUAUUCCCAAAGAAAAGAAAACAUAUUUCAUUAAACUGAUAAUAAGUGCAUGGCAACAAAAGUGUUUAGGUAGAAACAAAUGUACCUAAGUAAUGAUUACAAGAUAAUCAUGAAUAAAAUAUUCCUAGUUUCUUUCUCCAAAACUUAACCAAAUGACUUCCUUAAUUCUUUAGAAUUCGUUAAACUAUAUUUGCUUUUGUGUUGUGAGGUCAUUUCUUAAUGAUACUUCUCUUUUACAUCCAAGUCACAUUUUCAAGUUUUUAACUUAAAUGCCAUUCUUUUUCUUGCUUUUUUCUUCUUUUUUUCUUUUUCAAACGAAGUAUCUUUUCAUAGUAUCUGAGUUUAUCAGAGUAGGCAAACCAUUUUUGUCCAUUUCUACCAAAAUUAAUGCCCUAUCGAAAAAGACUUUUUUCACCACAUACAGAUCUUCUUAAUUUGGUGUCUAUUUUUUUUUACUAUCAUGUUGAUUUAGAAGGAUCCUUUUCAACACUAAGUCUCCUUCUUAAAAGCUACGAAGGUGAAUUUUCUUAUUAUGUGCUCUCAUUAUCCUCAUUUGAUACAAUUGACCAUGGUAAAGUAUUGUAAGCCUUUUUUCAUCAAUGAAGUUCAACUGCUCAUAGCGAUUUUGGACCCAUUUUACUUUUUUUAACUUGACUUCCAUCAGAACUCUCAAUGAUAGAAUUUUUACUUCAACUGACAACACAACUUCUAUCUCAUAAACCAAAGAGAAUGAUGUGGUCCCAGUAAAUGCUCAAACUAAUGUUCUACAAGUAUGCAAGGCAAAAGGUAACUUCUCAUACUAGUCUUUAUAAGUAUCAGUCAUUUUUUCCAAGAUCUUUUUUAUAUUCUUGUUUAUAGCUUCUACUGUCCUAUUCAUUUUUAGACGAUACGGUGUCAAAUUAUAAUAAUGGAUCUUGAACUAAGUGCAUACUUCAUUUAUUAUUUUACUGUUCAAGUUUUUAGCAUUAUUAAAAAUAAUCAUCUCUAAAAGCCUAUAUUUGCAUAUUAUUUUUUUUUUAUGAAAUUAGAUACCACCGAUUGUGUCACACUAGCAUACGAUACAACUUUUACCUAUUUCGUAAAAUAAUCAAUCAUCACAAAGAUGAAUCUAUGUUUAUUUGAAGCUUUUAGAGUGAUAGGAUCGAUGACAUCCAUGCCUCACAUAGAUAUUGGCCAUGGAAGAGCCAAAACAUGCAAUGUUAUUGAAGAAGUAUGAAUUUUAUCAGCAACAAUCUGACACUUCUGACAUUUUUUUGCAUAAUCAAUAUAGUCACUCUCUAUUGUCAACCAAUAAUAGCUAGUCCUCAUAAUUUGUCUAGCCAUCAUAUGACCACCAUUAUAUGCCUCACAAACCCCGUCAUGUACUUUUUAAUAAUCUUUUUUGCUUCAAUUGUAUUCACAUACCUUAAGAGCACUUGAUCUCAAUUUCUUUUAUAAAAGAUAUCUCUAUCAAGGAAGAACCCAUAGCCAGCCUUUUGAUAGUCUUUUUAUCAUUUUCUGUUGCAUGUUCUAAAUAUUGUUGACUUUUAAUGUAUUGCAUAAUGUCAUGAUACCAUGGCUUCCCAUUAAUUUUUUUCGACACCUGAGCAAUGUGCUAGUGUAUCCUUCACAUCCAAUUUGAUGGGUUGAAUCUUGGUAUUUGUAUCUAUUCUGAUCAUUGUAUCCAAAGUAGCCAUUGUAUUAGUAAUCUGGUUCUCCUCUCUAGGCACAUGCUCAAAAUAAACUUCUUCAAAUUUUUGGACAAACUUAGAAACGUAUCAAUGGUACCUGAUUAAUUUGAAAUCUUUUAUUUCUUAUUCACCUCAUAACUAAUAGAUGACUAAAGUUGAAUCUCCAAACACACCCAAUACUUUGAUCUUCUUUUCAAUUACUACUUAUAGACCUCUAUCACAAGCCUCGUAUUCAACCACAAUGUAUGUGCAAUUGAAAUUCAAUCUGGCCAUGAUGGGAUAAUAGUGUCUAUUGAGAGAUAUUAAAAUUGCCCUAAUAUUAUGGCCUAAAGCAUUAGUAGCUCCAUCAAAAUAUAUUUUCCAAGACUUUUCAAUAAGUUCAUUCAUUUCAAUGGCUAUCACAUCUUCAUUAGAAAAAUCCAGUUUCAUUGGCUCAUAAUCUUCGAUCGCAUGAUCGGCUAAGAACUUAGCUGUUGCAUUCACUUUAAUAGCCUUUUGAGUUACAUAAACAAUAUCAUAUUCUGAAAGCAUAACUUGUCACCACACUAUUCUUCUUGUUAAUAAACCCUUUUCGAAGAUAUACUUAAUGUGAUUCAAAUAUGCUAUGAGCUAAGUAAUGUGAUAAAGCUUGUAUUGUCUAAGCCACGUAUGUAAGCUUUUCAUCAAAAUGAAUUUGACUUUUUGAUGCAAAGAGGAUAGAACAACACUUUUCAUAUGAAUCUAUAGCUUACCCAAUACGUAACUAUAUGAGAGAGAGAUAUCUAUAACUUAAAAUUUUACAUUAAAAAUGCAAGGGUCAAUUUGUAACGACAUUUUUAUAUCUCCUAACACCUUUUUUCGAGUCUCAUUGAAGGUUCAAACUACAAUAUAACUAGGCUUCCUAUAAAAUUCAUCAAUAGAUAGUUUUAUCAAAGUAAUCAUAGGCAUAACAUUGAUUGAUGAGCCAUUAUUGAUUAAAACUUUAGUCAUUAUAUGACUCUUGUAUUUUACAGUAAUGUGAAGAGUCCUGGUACUUCUUUGACACUCAAGAAAAAUCUUUUCAUCAUAAAAAAAGAUGUAGUUUGAAAUUGCUAGAUUGCCAAUAAGCUGUUUCACGUAUUCAACAAAGAUAUUGUGAGACACAUAUGCUAGAUUUAUUACAUUUAGUAAAGUAUUACAAUAUGACUUUGAGCUUAGCAAUAAUGACAAUAGCAAAAUUUUAGCUGGCAUUUUAUUCAACUAUUCUAUCACGCUACACUUGUUAUGUUUUAUUAGUUUUAAAAAUUUACAAGCUUUAUUCUUAGAGAUCGACUACUGACAUUCUUUAUUAAGGAUUGUCACAAGAUUACUUUGACUUUUUUCUUUUUCUUUGACCUUUGCUUUUUUUUUCUAACGUUAUCUAGUGUUUUCAGAGUGUAACAUCUAUCAUUUUGGGUCAUACCUCAUACGCUUGCUAUGUUUACAAUAUCUGAAUUGACUAUAACAUCAUAAUCAUACUUUUACAAUAUUGUUUUGUCAUUCUUAUAUGAAAAAGGGCUAAGGACUUUAAUCAUCACUAUUGGUCAGGAGAUAAGCUUUUUUGACCUCAGGGUUGGCUUAUCAUCAUAAUAAAUAGUUACUAAUUUACACAUAAACUUAUUCUUUGAAUCAAUGGUAGACAACUUAGCUUUCAUCAAAUCUUUUUUUUCUUUGUAAAACUCUAUCCGAUCCAUAUCCAUCAACUUCUUCACCUCUUGACGAAAUUGGUCACAACUCUCGAUAGAAUGCCUCAAAGUAUCUUUGUGAUAGUUGUAGCUCUCGAUUGAGUUAAUCAUUCCUUAGCAAUUUUGAAACUCUAUGGACUUCAACAUAUCAGCUUUGACUAAGGCUUCAAACAUAUUAGCCGUUAAAGUUUUGACUUCAUCUAUCCCCUUCUUGACAUAACUUGCUUGUCCAUCAAUCAAAGCAUUUAUUAAUGGUAUAGUAUGGUUUGGUAAAAGGUUCUCAUUAACAUUUCUAGUCCCUCAUUGGCUAGUAUCAAAGUUUAACACCUUUUUAUUGAUUAAUCAUUGCACUUUAUGAUUUUAAAGUAGUAUAGUUUUUCAUAGAAUAGCCCAAGUUUCCAUAAUUAUAAUCAUAAUGCGCAUUGGGAUCAUACCAUUUAAAAAAUAAAGGUUUCAAAAGUUCAACAAUAACAAAGGCUAGUAAAUAUUUUUCAAUGAUUUGAGGGUGCAAAUUUGUGUAUGUCAUAGGGAUAAGGUCGAAAAUGGCUUUUUUUUAGGCAUUUUUUAGGGCUUUCAAACCACUACUUAGAUUGGAUCUCCAUUUUGGUUUGGUAGGUGUAGCAAGACAAUUAUAUGAAUAGGUAGGUAUCCGAAAGGAUUAUUGAAAAUAAAGUAAAUAAACUGGUUAUUAUAGGGAUUGAUACAACUGAUAUGGAUAAGGGAUGGAUGUAACAUUAUUUAUUGGUGGAUAAUGGGUUUCGUACACUAGUAUGAGAUAUGAGUGAAGCAUCUGAAUUGUUGCUCCACAUAGUUAACUGUUUGGGCUUUAUUUUUUUUCUUCAUAAAAGCUUCACCUUUCUUACUUUACAUGUUUUUUCUGUAUCAAGCUUACCAUUUUUAUGGCAUUUUCAAUAAUCUCACCAGAUAUCACCAUAUUUGUAAAGUUUUCAAUUGCAUUGCCCAUCAGUCUUUUAUAGUAAGGUAUUUUUAAAGUGUUCAGAAAUAGAAUAGUUAUCUCAUUUUUAGUGAGGGGAGGUUGUACUUGUAUGAUCACAUCUUUUCAUCUCUAUGCAUACUCUUUAAAAUUUUUUGUUGUUUUCUUUUCUAUGCUCUACAGAAACAGAUAAUUUGGAGCUAGAUCUAUAACAUGCUGAUAUUAUGCAAAGAAUGCCCUCAUGAGCUCCUUUCAAGAAUGAAUAGGAGUUCUGUCUAGUUGAACAUACUAUUUAACUGCAGAACCCAUAAGGUUAUCCUAAAAUACGUGUAUCAGUAGCUUCUCAUCAUAAGUAUACGUCACUAUCUUACGAUAAUAUAGGGUGACAGAGUUAUUGGGCAUUUUGUGUCAUCAUAUUUUUUAAAUUCAAAGACCUUGAAUUUAGGUGGAAUGAUCACAUCUGGAACUAAACAAAGCUUAGUUGCGUCCAUAGAGCCAUAAAAAUCUAUUAUCUCUAUGGUCCUAAGUUUUUCUUCUAAUAAUUUCAUCUUCUGUUGAGCAUUGGUAUCUUUCACUUUUUAAAAUGUUUUCAUCCCUAGCUUUUUUCUCUCAUUAGGAUCAUCCAAGUCAGGAAUCAAGAUUAGCUUUGAUGGUUUUUCUACUAUGAUAGGAUUACCAAAAUUUUAGAACUAUCUUGGAGUAGGUGUGGAUGUCAUUCCUAGAUAAGGAUAAAAAUAUCCUCUGGGAGUAAAAAUUUGCAUUUUGGCUCCUUGAGAAGGUUGGAUUGGUUGUGGCUUAAAUCGUAAAAGGUAUAUAGGAUCCACUAUGUUUGGCACUUGCUUUUGGAAACUGAGGUUUCUUUCUACUAUUUUUUCUUUGUCAAAAUUCUUAAGCAUGUCUAUUAUCUUAUUAAAAUCCCCUUUUAAUUUCUUUUAAGCCUUCUUAAUCCUUUAAAAUCGACUAGUGUAUUCUUGUUUCAUGAUUUUUGUUUGAGCUCUGGAGUUGUAUGAAUGGUUAGUAAGUUGAAUUAAAAUUUUUGGUGGAUGAGCUAUUCUUGAACCUUUAUUACCACAAAAAAAAAAAAUUUAAAUCAAAAUGCUAUGUGUUAGAAAUUUUAUUUUUUAACCUUCUUUUUGUGAUUUUUUAAAAAAAUAUAUGGUUAAAAAUAAUGCACAUGAUGCAUAAAUACAAGUGAGAGAUAUUUACUCUUUGACAAAUUUCAACACUAGAAAAUUUCAUUGAUUUCAACUUUUGUUAUAUAAGAUUUGUCAUCCUAGAAUUAUAUUCAUAGAAACAUUUGACUUGCUCAUAACGAUCUUUGGUCUCAUCUAAAAAGUUUACUUGAUGCUGGCUAUAUUCUUUUAUAAGAUUGACUUAUCUUCUUAAUGCCUUUACCUUUUUAACCAUCUUUCAUACCUUCUUUACUGCUUUGCAAACUUGACUGGUUAGGUGCUUUAUGUACUAUUGCCUUCUUAAGUUUUUUGCUUUUUAUUUCAUACAAGCAUCACUUUUCGAAUUACAUGUAAAGAUCCAAUCCUUUUUCCUUCUCUACCACUCAUCUAUUAUUAUUGAAAUAUGGUUCUUGUAAUUUUACAGUUACAGCUCUAACCUGUGGAUCACCUAGUGAAAUGAUUCUUUUUCGUUUAGUACUUUAAGGUGCUCUAUUCUCUUUUUUGUGAGCAUAGCCUUCAACUUUUCCUUUUCUUUCUAGCAUUCAACCAAUUUUGCCAAAGCUGUAAGGUAUAAUCCCUCAUAAUUUUGGCAUUAUUGAGAAAUUUUGAUGACCUCUUUUUCUAUUUUUUGAGCUUUGCUUUUUCAUUAGUUCAUUUCCUCUCAGAGCUCGUUCAUUUCAUGUUGCCAACUAAGGUUAGACUUAGUAACUUUUUUAGUCAUGAAUUGGACUCAUAACCUUUUGUUUUCUUGGUGUAGAUCUUUCAAAUCAAUGUUGGCCACUUGUCGUUCUUUUAUGACCUUCUUCAAUCUGCUUUUUUGUACUUUUACUUCUUAUUUUAACUAUCCUAUCUUUUCACUAAGUUUCAAAUUUUCUCUUUUUAUUUCUUUUUUUUUAGCUUCCAAUUUCUUCUUAACAAGCUCAACUUUUAAUAAUUGCACUUUUGUCAAAAUGUUAGCUAAUUGAUAUGAGUCAUCAUUAGGAAUGAACACCAUGUAUUUGAGUCACUUCACUUUUCAAAUCUGGUAAUUAUGAGUGAUUUUGUCAAGAAAAGGCCUUAAUCUCAUCUUUUGUGUUUUUUUCUAUGCUUGGAUUAACUGCUCCAAGAUUUUUAAUGGAUUAGAUUCUUCGUAAGUGAAUUCUACUUGAACUAGGCCAUGAGUGGCAUGAACAAACUACUUUGCAUCGAAUUGUCACAGUACCAUUAAUAGAGCGUAACUUACCAUACUCUUUAGUAUUAACAGCGGUAUCUAUGGUUCAUCAUGAGCACGCAAGGCAUCCAUGGCGCCAUCCAUUUUAUUUCAUCCUUGGUGAGUCUUCGCAAAAAUAAAACCCAUUUUUCUUUAGUCUUCAAUGUUGGCCAUUAGCUUUUGCAAAACUCUUCGAUUAGUGCUUAUUUAAAAAAUACAGCUCUGAGAAUGCACUCUUUCCACACUUGAAAUGAGUUGUGACCUACAUAUAAAAUAGCAGUGCACACCCUAUAAAUGUCUUUUUUCAUUUCAUUGAUAGAAAUUCAAUAACCUGAUUGGUUCGACUAAGACUGCUAGUGCAAGAUUAAUUGCUUAAGUUUUAAUUUACUCAAAAAAGUCCACCACAAUUAUUUCGAUGUAACACGAAAUCUUCAAGAAGAUCACCAUGACGUACACUGCCAAAGCAAACAUAACCAUGCCUUGAUCAUCAUUUAAAUGCCCUUGAAUAAAAUUUUGGAUAAAGUCCCAAUAGAUAUUGAGAUGUUCACCUUUAGGCUUUACGAAUGAAUCUAUGGUUUCUAUUUUAACCUCUAUAAGCUUUGCCAACCUUUUAUGAUAACUUGAUUUCAACUUUCGAGUAAACACUUUAUUUGGACAUUGUAGUUCUAUCAUGAGCAAAACUAAGUACUCCUUAAUAGUUGGCAUCAAAUAUUCCUAAUUAAAAGUGAAACAUCUAUAGGAUGGGUCCCAAAACUGUAUGGUUGCCUUGACUAACUGCUCCUCAAUCACUAUUGGAAUGAGAGAUACAAUCUGCCUAUACUUUUUGUAAAAGUUUUCUUUUCUUUUUUCACUUAAAUGACCCCAGAUGAUAGCUAAAUUUUUUAAAUUAUUUUGUGUAAGAUCCGAUUGGCUUAUCUUUAUGUUCUAUUAUUUUUAACAAAUCAGAAGGUAGUGUGUAAUUAUCAAAAUCUUUUUCAUUAUCAAGUUCGUCAACAUGAAUUAGGUUUUCAAAAUUGAAUAUGAGAUUAUUGUCAUAAUUAUCUUCGUGUUCAUUAUUUAGGAACCUAUAAAUGGGUGAGAUGAAAAGAAUAUUGGCACCCAAAAAUGGAAUGAUAAGAAAAUGAAAAAAGAAGUGGAUCGAAUGAAUGAAAGUGAAAACAAAUAAAAGAAAUGCAAACGUAUUUUUUAAAACUUUUAUUAAAACGAAACAUAAACACUCCAUAAAAGAUCUUUUAAUGCUUAUAAAGAGCAAUUAGAGAUUUAUAGUUUCAUAGUACAUUACUUUUUAGAAAUUUUAAAAACAACAAGUAACUCUAUGACAUUCCAAUUAUUUAGCUCGAAGUUCGAAUGGCAAGGAUGCAUAAACAAUUUUUCAUCUUAGCUCUUUUUUCCUUCUUCAUCCACCACCUGAAUGGUCAGCUCAGAAAAAUCUUCCACCAAUUUUGCAUUUAGGGCUUCAAACGAAUCUGGAUAAAUAUAUCCUCCCAAACAAAAACAAUCAUAAAGGGAUGGAAUAACCAUUAAUAUCUCUUGAGAUUAGCCAUUCUCUUUUCUUUCUUCUCAUUCACCAUUUUCAUUAUGUCUCCUCUUGUUGGUUUAUAACAUAAGCCAAAUCUGUCAUUCUUAUCAUAUAUUACCGACAACUUUAUGAUUCCUUGUAGAUUUUUCUCUAGUUUAGCUUCAAGUUGCCAUUCCAUCUUGGUAAGCUACUUGAUAACCAUUUUAAUUAUCAUAGACAGAUGCUGUGAAUAUAGUUUAGAUUCUUCUGCCACAUUUGUUAUGUUGGCAAUCUCAAAAGAUCUAUAAAAGCACUUUAGGGCUUUAUCUACCAUUUUUACAUAAGAAGUAUUUUAUCGAUUGGGUUAGAAGUAAAUUUUCUUCUUUUGUCACACAUGUAGGCUUUUCAUCAACAAUGAAUUUGACUUUCAAGUGUAAUGAGGAUGGAACAACACUUGCCAUAUAAAUGUAUGGCUUACCCAAUAAGCAACUAUAUAAGGGAGAGAUAUCUAUAACUUGAAAUUUUACAUUAAAAGUAUAAAGGUCAAACUGUAAUAGCAUUUUUAUAUUUCCUAACACCUCGUUUUGGGUCCCAUCAGAGGCCUGAACUAUCAUAUGAUUAGACUUCAUGUAAGAUCCAUCAAUAGGUAGUUUUACUAAAGUAGUCAUAGGCAUAACAUUGAUUGAUGGGCCAUUGUCGAUCAAAACCUUAGCCAUUAUAUGACUUUUAUAAUUUAUAGUAAUGUAAAAAGCCUUGGUAACCCUCAAGAGGAAUCUCUUCAUCAUUAAAAGAAAUGUAAUUUGAGAUUGCUAGAUUGCCAACAAGCUAUUCCACAUAUUCAAUAAAGAUAUCGUAAGACAUAUAUGCUUGAUUUAGUACCUUUAGUAAAGUAUUAUAAUGUGACUCUGAGCUUAGCAAUAAUGACAAUAACGAAAUUCUAGCUGGCAUCUUGUUUAACUAUUCUAUCAUGUUAUAGUCGUUAUGUUUUAUUAGUUUUCAAAAAUUCACAAGCUUCAUUCUCAAAUAUUGGCUUCUGACAUUCUUUAUUAGGGAUUACCAUAGGAUUACUAUGACUUUCUUUUCUUCUUCAACCUUUGCUUUUUUUUUUUUCUAACUUUUUCUAGUGUUUUUAAAGUGUAACAUCUCCCACUUUGACUCAUACCGCCCAUUAUGUUUAUAGUAUCUACAUUGACUAUAACAUCAUAAUCAUACUUUUAUGGUACUGUUUUAUCAUUCUUGUAUGAAAAAGGGCUAGAGACUUUAAUUGUCACUAUUGGUUAAGAGAACUAUUAAGGAACUAGUUGAUUAUCCAUGUAAUAUAUUUAUUUAAAUGUGUUUAGAUAUAUAAAUUAAUAUUAUUUAAUCAUUUAGAUGUUCAAUAUAUAUAUAUACUACAAAUAAUAUAAUUAAAAUAUCAAAAUAUAAUAAAAUUAAAUUUUUAAUUAAAAAUUUAAAAUAUAUAACAAUAAUAAUAUUUGAGGAAAAAUAAAAUAUCCAAAAAAUUUAUAUAUAAAUAGUAUAUGUGUGCCAUUUCCAUUUUGUGCAAUUAUUUUUAUACACCUGUAAGUUUAUAUAAUUUUAAAAUAAGUUUUAUUCAUUGAAAAAAAUAAUGAUUUUAAAUAUUUAAAUAAUAUAUAUGAUAGCUUACUCACAUGUAAACCUAUUUAAGAGCUGGGUUACCUAUUCGAACUUGAAAGCACACUCAAAAUUUUAAAGGGCUUAAAUAUGAAUAUUAGGUCCGUUAAAUGGGCAUGGACAAGUAAAUAAAGCCUAACAAAAAAUCAAAUCGGGCUUUGGUUUCACUAUUUUAGGUUGGGGCUCAACUCGACCAGUCUCGACAAUUAAAUAAAUCUAAUUACUUUUCUCAUAAUGGGACAAAGCAUUUAUUUUUUUUAUUAUGGACAAAACUCAUUUAUUUUAUUGUUUACAAUAAAAAAAGCUAUUUACUUUCUUUUUUAUAAUAGACAAGACCCAUAUUAUAAUUUAUAAUAAAAAAAAACCUAACCACCAACAUCUUUGCUUUCUUUUUCCCCUUUCUAAAUUUUACCCUUAUUUUUGUUCUAGGAUUAGCCGCUCAUUUCACUAAAAAUUUCUCCUUCAUUUCAUUUUAAAAUUAGCUUGUCUCCUUUAAAUCUCAAUAAUUUCAAACUCCUUUAAGAUUGUCUCCUCCAAAUUGGCUUGCCUUUUUUAGAUUGGCGUUAUCCCCUCUGUCACUAUAAGAAAAUUGCUCUAUGCUAAUGCUAAAAAAACAGUCAGUAAAACUUAAAAAUCCAUUGGUAUAGCACAAUAAACCUUAUAUUGACAGUCAAAAUAUCUAUUCUGAUAAAUUUAUAACCGUCAGUAUAUUCCUUAACAAUAUAGACUUAUAGUUUUUAAGCUGUUGGAAUAUAUAAUAGAGAUAUACUGACAGUUUUAGUCCGUCACAAUAUGUAUAGCUAUUGAUAUAGCAAAUAUUGUGUGCUCCACAUUAUAUCUUUUACCGACAGUUAUUCUCAUCAGUAUAGAUUUGUAUGUUUUAAUUUUUUAACUUAUACCAACAUGUCUCUAUCAGUAUAUUUUUUACCAAUGAUCAAUGCCCGUCAAUAUAGCCUAUGUGUUUUAAUUUUUACCAACGAUCCAUGAUGACUAUCAGUAUAGCUUAAAAUAUUUUAAUAGUAAAACGUGUCAGUAUAAAUUUUAAGAUGUCGCUAAAAACUUUUUUUUGAAUUAUAUUUUCAAUUAUUAAUAUUAAUUUAUCUACAAUCAUAAUAUGAUAUGGAUUCAUAUAAAGUAAAAAUACAUAAAAAAGUAAAAAUAUUUAAUAACAUUUGAAAUAAAACAACAACCAAAUUGUUUUAUAAUCCACAAAUUCAAAAUAAGUCAAGAACUAAUGUCAUUGUAGCAAAUCUAGAGAAAGAAAGAACAUUUAUAUCUAUGAAUGGUAUAGCCCUAGUUGAUAGUGUGUCUAAUGAGUGAUUCAGCAUUACUAGAAUUCCAAGCUCCCAUGGCAGAACCGUCUGGACCUAUAGUCCUUCCAUUUAGAGCAUUUAAGCUAAAAACAACCGUAGCCCUAUGUCGAAAAUAAAAGUAAUUGGAUCCAGGUAAAAGGAAACUUCAUCUAACUGUUUAAAUGUUAAGAAAUAGAUAAAUUACAUUCAGAAAGAAGAUAAUAAAGUUUACUUACUCAGAUUUUUUGAAUAAAAUGUUGAGUUCAUCCCAUCUAGACAUAGGUAAGCAACCUUAGGAGAAACCAAACAUCUCUGCCAUCCUUUACAAAUUUUGACCAAAUAGAGAAAAUUUUGUCAACCAAUUAUGAGAAAACAUUAAAAUGAAAAUGCAUUACCAAUAUUACCAAGGAAAUGGAGAUUAUGUUUUGUUUAAAGUGCACCCUAAACAUUCAAUCAUCCUAAGCUAUUACUUUUUCACUAAACAUUCAAUCAUCAAAGCCAAUGCCAGUAGAAGGAUAAAAAAAUAGGCAUGCUCAAUGACACAAAAUUGAAAUGCAAAAAAUGCAAAAUACCUUUGAUAAAUGAUGAAAGUCUUGAAGCUUCAACUUUGAUUCAGCUCUAAAACAAAAUGGGUGCCGAUGAGUUUAAGUUUGUUGAGUCAGUGAGAGGUAAAGAAAGUUGGUGGAAGGUAGAGAUUAAGCUAUAAGUACUGACGAGUGGAAAGAGUUGGUGGGAGAUGAAAAUUAAGUAUGUAGAGUCAGUGAGAAGGGGAGGUAAAAAAAAUUUUGAAUGGGGUUAUUCAAGAUACUUUUGGCCAAAAACGCCUUCAAUAAUCUCCAAAAUUUUUUAUGACCGCCAAAAACGCCUUCUCCCAAAAUUUUUUAAAUGGAUUAUUAAAGGUGCUUUUUACCAAAAACGUCCUCAAUAAUCUCUUAUAAAAAUUUGUUGAAGAGAUUACUGAAAGCGUUUUUUACCUAAAAUGCCUUCAAUAUUUCUCUCGUAAAAAGUUAUGAGAGCUUGAGAGUGUUUUUGACCAAAAACGUUUUCAAUAAUCCCAUCAUAACUUUUUACAAGGGGAUUAUUAAAGGUAUUUUAUGUCAAGAAUACAUUUAAUAUUCCCCUCAAUAAAUUUUUAUGAGGGAUUAUUAAAGGUAUUUUUGGUCAAAAACACCUUCAAUAAUCCCUUCAUAACUUUUUAUGAGGGAAAUAUUAAAUGCAUUUUAGGCAAAAAAUACCUUCAAUAAUCCUUUCAAUAUAUUUUUAUAAAAGAUUAUUUAAGAUGUUUUUAGAUAAAAAAAAUGCCUUCAAUAAUCCAUUCAAAAAAUUUUGAAAAGGGAUUAUUGAAGGUGUUUUCAGCUAAAAACGCCUUCAAAAACACCUUCAAUAAUCUAUACAAAAAAUUUUAAAGGGAUUAUUGAAGGUAUUUUUGGCCAAAAAUAUCUUUAACAAUCCUCUCAUAACUUUUUAUGAGGGGAUUAUUAAAGGUGUUUUAGCCGAAAAUACCUUUAAUAAUUUUCUCAAUAAAUUUUUAUAAGAGAUUAUUAAAUGUAUUUUUGGUUAAAAACGUCUUCAAUAAUCCACUCAAUAAAUUUUUAUAAAGGAUUAUUGAAUGUAUUUUUUGUCAAAAACAUCUUCAAUAAUCCCAUUCAAUUUUUGGAUAGCCAAUAGUUUUUUUUUUUUUAUUUUGAGCCUAUACUAAUAGUUACAUUAAUAACUGUCAGUAUAUAAUAUAUUUAUAUUUACGGAUAGUCAUAUACCAUCAGAAAAAGUUUAUUUAUACUGACGGUUAAACAAAGUGUUGGUAUAAGUAUGGUAUAUUCUGAUGGUAUUAAAACUUUAUCAGUAAAAUUCUUAUUUAUUGAUAGAAUUUGACCGUCAGUAAAUAAUCCAUACAAAAAAAUUUUUGUAUGGAUUAUUGAAUGCAUUUUUGGUCGAAAAUGUCUUUAAUAAUCCCAUUCAAAAUUUUGGUAACUAAUAGUUUUUUUGUUUUGAGCCUAUACUGAUGGUUACAUUAAUAACCAUCAGUAUAUAACAUAUUUAUAUUGAUGAAGUCAUAUACCAUUAAAAAAAUUUAUUUAUACCAACGAUUAAAUAAAGUAUUGGUAUAAGUAUAGUAUAUUCUGACAGUAUUAAAAAUCUGUCAGUAAAAAUCUCUUUUAUUGAUAAAAUUUAACUAUCAAUAUAACCAAGCAUCUGUAUAUGAAAAAGUUCUCUAACUCGCAAGUUAAUCACUUUAUGGUAAUUUUUUUUCACUCUUGUCUUUAUAAUUUUUAGUUUAUUUUCUUUAUUUUCCAUAUUUUUAGAUAUCAAAUUAAGUUUUUAAACUAAAACUAUUUUUUUAUUUUGAAUAAUCAGGGGUAUUGGUUCAUAAAAGCUAGUAUUUAUUAUGUACUUCUUGAUAGCUUGUGGGACUAAUUAAACUAUAUGACAAUGUCUUUGGCAAACCUUAGCUCUCUUAUUUUAUGUAAGAAUCGAUUUGGGCAAAAAAUAAGAUCCGAAGAGUCAGGCCAGGUCGAGCCUAGACUUGUUUAUAAUAUUUUCAUAUCCUACUUUAGCCUAGCCCGGAUUCGGUUUGACCCAACCCAUGAACAUGUCUACUCACAUGUAUAUUUUUUGAAAGAGUUUUAGUAAUAUCUUGAUUUUCAACAAUUAUAAGAUUUGCCAAAUUAAUUUUUAUACUUGUUUUAAACUUUAUAUUUGAUGCAAAAUUAUGUUACUGUAAAAUUAGAAACAAAAUAGCUUUAAAUUUUAAGUAAUAGUAUUAAAUUUUAAACAAUUAUUUUAAAAAUUUUAUUGAAAAAAGGUUUCAAUUAAAAUGAGUCAAUUCUCAUUCACAGGAUUUUAUAAUAAAUUUAAAAGGUAAAAAGCUUUGCUUUUUAUUUUUACAAUUUAAGUUUUGCUUCCAAAAAAAACCAAUAAUAUUAUAAAAAUUAAAUUAUAAAAACUUAAUUUUAAAUAAAUAAACACAAUUUUACUUUUAUAUAAAAUAAUUAUCUUAAAAUUAAUACUGUAUUUUAGUCAUUUGCUUUUAUUUAUAAAUUUAAAAAAAAGUGCAUAACAAAAUCAACAAUUAAAAGUAAGCCUGUGUAAUCUUUUCUAAAUAAAUAAAAAAAAAUAAAACCAACAAACAAUAUCUAAACAAUUAAAUCAAUAUUUUUUUACCUUAAAUUGUCAAAAUAUUUGAGAAACAUCACUACAUGGGUUUUGAUUUUUAGUGGCAUUUUUUUACGUUUAGUGGCGUUUAAAAACACCACUAAAAGAUUUACGCAAUUUGCAAAAAACAUCAGUCAAAGUGUUGGCUAUACAUGCCUGGUGAAAAAUAGCGGUGUUUUCUAAAAAAUACCGCUACAUUAGCAGUGUUUGUAUCUAAAAAAUAUCGCUAUAUUAGUAGUAUUUUGUAUAUAGAAAAUACCGUUAUAUUAGCAACGUUUAUACCUUUGACAUACCGUUAAUUUAGUAGUAUUUUAUAAGAAAAAUACCGUUACUUUGGUGGCAUUUGUAUCACAAAAAUGUUGCUAAUUUAGCUCGUUUACUAGCAAGACCGCUGCUACUUUUAGUAGCAUUUUAUGGUACAAAUGCCACUAAAUUAUUCAUUUAGCUACAUUUUCAAACACAAAUACCGCAAAAUUGAGAAAUGUAUUUUUUUUAAAUAAAAAAUUUAUGUUAAUAUUUAUUAUUUUCAUAAAUGAGCUUAAAUUCAUAUACUAAAAUUAAUAUAAACUUAAUUCACGUUCAAAUAUGUAUCUAAUUAAUACAAAAUUUAAUAAUUAGUAUAAUAACAUUCAAAUUUUUUAAUACAUUAACAAAAUAAAAAUUAAAAUGUAUAAAAUUGAUGACUGGAUAUAUUUUGAAGGCUGUCAAUUGAUGACGAAAUUUUUCCACCUUGGUCAAUAGCGUGCUUAAGAACCUACUGAAUAAUAGCAUAUAAUUUUUAACACUUCAUUGUAAGCUUUUUUUAUAUUAAAAAAUAUAAAUAUUUACUAAAUAUAAUACAUGAGUUGAAAGACCACCGAGAUCAGUUCCUGAAAAUUGUUGUUGCACAAAAUUAAUAAAAUGAUCGAAUCGAUCAUGCAACUGCUGAAAUUUUGUACGUUCUUGCUCCAUUCUAGCAAGUUCUUCCUCAAUUUUGGCACGCUUUUGUUCUCUUUCUGCUUUCAUUUGCUGGAAAACAUUGUUGCAUAGUUUGCAACUCUCUCAAUAUCGAAAUGUCUAGUGAAGAUUGACUUGCUGAGAAUGUAAAUUACUAAAAGCUAUGUCCAUAGUAGGUAGAUGGUGUUGGACCCAAUCCAAAGCCUCAGACCUGUCCAUGCCUUUUUUUUCUAGCAACUUCUAUGAGUAUCCGAUUUUUCAAUUCUUACAUAUUGAGAGAACCAUCAGAUAUUACUUCAAUCUCAACAGUCAUUUUUUCUUUCAUUUUUUCCUAUAAAUUAGUCAUAUACAACUAUCAAGUUUAAUGAUUAAUUGAUAAUAUGUUAAAAAGAGUAAAUAUUUACUUUCUGUUAAAAUAAAUAUUACAAAUUAUCACAAUUUCUUGUGUUUCGACAUUCAUGUAAGAUUUUUUUUUUGUGUUAAGUGAAAAAGUUUCACACGUCCAAUUUGACCACCCAUCUCAAUCUCAUAUACAAAAACAUAUGUUAUUUGAUAGGAUACAUAUCAACUGUAACUUAUUCAUGCAUAUCAUAUCUGUCAAUCAAGUUCACAAAUUUUAAAUAAUUUUAAUAUCAUGUAUUUAUAUUUUGGCCCCUUUACAAUAUAAUAAUCUUAACCAGAUGCAAACAAUAAAAGCACUUUGGCCUUUAACACAUAUCGAUCAUGGCAAUCAAAUUCAAUUAUUUAGACAAGUUUAAUAUUAUGGAUUGAUGCCAUUCAAACUAUUGAAAGCCAUCCACAAGUUUAAUUUGUAUUUUUACCUUUUAAAGGUAAAAAUAGUCCCAAAUAAACAUAAACAAUAACUUUUUCACCAUAUCAAUCGUAGAAAACAAGUUCAAUCAAUCAGGCAAGUUUAAUAUCAAAUAUUGAAGCUAUCCAAACUAUUUAAAUUGAACAAUAACAAAAAAUUUGUAAUUUUACUUAAAUAGACGUAAACAAUAACUUUUUCAUACAUAUCGUCCGUCUCAACUAAGUUUAAAACUUUUAAUAAGUUUAAUAUCAUGUAUUGAAACUAUCAAAACUAUUAAAAUAGUACAAUAACUGUUAAUUUGCAUAUUUACCUUUUACCGACAUAAAAAGUUCAUUAAUUGAAAUACGUUUAAAAUCAUAAACUUACUAUUUCUUUUUGCUUUCUUGCAAAACUUUUUGAUCCACUUGUGUGGCUAUUUUUUUGUUGCUUUCUGCUACUAAUCCCAAUUUGUUCUCUUUCCUAUCAUAAAAAAUAAUUUGGUAUAUCAUAGAAAUACAAAUAUUGCCAACUUAAAGCAUAAAACACUUUCAUUAUUUCAUUAUACUAUAUAAAGUUAUAAAUUAGUACCUUUCCUUUUCUUGAGAACUAAAAUCUAACUAAUUGUUCAUAUUGCCAGCUAAUCACAUUAUGGGGUAGAUUUUUCAUCGUCGCCUCUACAGUUGUAUUUUUAUCAACAUACUUAUUCUUCAAAUUAUGCUUAUAAUCUCUCCAUUUCUUUCCCAAUAACUUAAACACAAAUGAAAUUGAUAUUUUAAGUACAAAUCUUGACUGUAAUAAUAUAAAAAAAAUAAUCAAUAAACUAAAUUUAAAAUGAUUAAUUUUUUAUAUGUAAUUAAUUAUACUAAUACCUCAAUAAAGUUUAAAGCAUUAGCCUUUACUUCUGCUGGAACUUUACGUCAUGUUUCAUAAUGAAUAGGCAACUUCAUUCAAUUACGGGCAAACAUACCUAGAAAUCUAGCCAACAAUUGAGCCUCUUCACCAAUUGGUUGUCUAUUAGAGUUUGCAAACACUACAUUACGCUCAUUCGAAGGUAGUGCAAAUAAUUUCUUCAAAGUUGUUCAGCCUCUGGUCAUCCAUUGACCAUUGUUAUCAACUGUAAAAAUUAAAAAAUAAAUUUAUAAAAUGGCAAUACUUUUAUCAUUAUAAUCAAUUUGUAAAUAUGGGGUAUAUGAUACCUGCAUUCAAAUUUAAAGCAUAAUCAAUUAACGGGAUACUAUCUAAACUGAGACCUCUCGUAUUGCCAAAUCUAAUAUCAGUUGAAGGGUUAGAAGUGACUAAGUUAGAUCCGACAGUAUGUUCAAUCCCCUCCAAAGGAUUUAGUCCAUUGCCAAUAUCAACAGGUGUCACAGAUGAUUCUGAACUAAUAUUUCUUAUAUGUAUUCCUUUCAAUUUACUCAUUCACAUUGUAGCUUAUCUACAUCAUAAAAGUGAAUAUAUAAAAGAUAUUAGUUUAGAACAAAUAUAAAGACAUUGAGAAGUUAAGAAAUCAUAACCUACGAUACAAAAAGAACAUAUCGAUUUAAUUAAAUUAAAAGAUAAUGUAUGAUUUAUAAUACAAUAAAUAUACAAUAGCGAAUGCGACAUUAAUUACAUACAAUCAUUUAUUAUAUUAUGUCUUAAAUACUCGAAUUACAAAAUAUAGAUGAUCUAUCAUGGUUCAUAAAUGUCUUUCUUAAUAUCUUCACGAAACUACUGAGCAUAAGUACUAGAGAUAUUUUUGUCCAAGUUUUGUUCAGCAAAAGGAUAACAUUCAGUUUCAUUUUUAACAUCAUGUCUUGUAUCUAACCUCAUAUCAAAUAAGUCUCUAGGUGUGUUUCGAAGAACAACAAACUAACCCAAUUCUAUGGGAUCUUCAAAAUAAAAAACUUGUUUGAGUUGAGAUGAAAAAACAUAAGGUUUAUUAAUGAGUUGUUGUCCAGUGUGAAUUAAUCGAGAAAAAUUCUCAAGUGUAAAUCCAUAAUGAUCUUUCUUAAUAUCCUUCGUACUAUUCACAUCAGCCCAAUUAUACCAAAAUAAUAAUUUUUCACUUGCCAUAAUAAUCCAACUCAAUGAUGUCAAUAAUCAUGCCAUAAUAGUUAACAUUUUCUUUGAAAGGGUUUGUGUCCUUAGCACUAGCAUAGCUAGUAGUUGAUAAAGUAACAACUUUUGAAUUUUUUGUACUGCUAAAUCUCUCAUGAGAUUUUGUGUUAAAUUUAAAUUCAUUGAUGAUAAAACUUUUUUAUCGUUUCACAAUCCUAUUCAGACCUUGUGAAAGACACUUCACCUCUUCACUAACAAGCCUUUCACUCUAAACCUAUAAAAGUGAAAUAAAUAUAUAUGUUAUUAAUGUUAAUUAUACCAUAAGAUUUCUUAUAAAAGGAAGUAUGGCAUUACUUACAGUUGCUCCUAACCAUUCAUGAAAGUUUUUGGCAAACAAUUUAUCAAGCUCUCAAGAGUUUGAUUGUCAAUAAUGUGUAGGAGCUCUCAAAUUAUUUUUAUACUCACUAUAAAGCAACAUAAUAAAGUAUUAACAAUAAAAAAUACAAUAAAUUAUGGUUAAUGUAAUGACUAAUUUCUUUGCUAAAAAACUUAUGUACGAAAUGAUUCAACAGAGUCAUGAUGAAAAAGACCAUAUCGAUGUGCUUGUGCCUAAGAUUUAUCAUCUAACUCUACCAUUUCAGCUUUGCCUAUUGGUUAUCCAAAACUUUGAAAAAGAUAUCUGUAGGUAGAGUCAUGUUGCUACAUACCAACAUUUCUUAAUGGUCUAUUAAAUCUCGUUUCAACAUCUUUCAAAUAACGAGAACAAAAUGUCAUAAACUCUUUUGCUAAAUAUCUUUCAGCAAUAGAACCUUCUGGAUAGCAUUCGUUAUGAUAAUAAGACUUUAACCUCCCUAAAAACCUAUCACAUAAAACAUUAGUCAUAUAUCUUUUUAAUUAGAGUGGCAUGAUCAUCAAUAAGACCUUAAUCAAUCUAUUAAAUAAUAACAUCUUUCGAUAUACAUCCAUUGAUAAUAAAUUGACCCACCUACUUUUGUUUCAUAUGGAAGAUGGAUAAUCAAAUACAUCAUAAUAGUGAAGAAGUUUGAAGGAAAAAUCUUUUCUAAAUGGCAUAAAGUAAUUACAGCUCGAUCUUAAAGUUUAACAAGCUCAUCCAUAUUCAUACAUUUCUCACAUAGAGAUUUAAAUAUGUUACUUAAUUCGCUUACCACAUAAGUGACUUGUUUUGACAUUGAUGAACAUAAAGCAAUUGAAAGUAAGUCUUGCAUCAAAAUGUGAUAAUCAUGUGACUUCAAUGAAAAAAUUUUUCGCUCCUUCAGAUUCACACAUCUCGAUAUAUUUAACGUAUAGCCAUUCAAAACUUUGACAUUUUUCAAAACCUUGCAAAACAUAUCUUUUUCAGAUUUAGAAAUCCUAAAACAAGUAGCAGGAAUCGAUAUUUGUCGUUAGAAAACAAUUUUGGAUGAAGGUCAGGGUGAAUCUUCAUAUUAACUAGGUCAAGCUGACUCUUUAAGUCAUCUUUUGAUCUUUUAUUCAUAUUAAGAAUUAUCGCAAUAAAAUUUUUACAAACAUUCUUUUUUUUGUGCAUCAAAUUAAGGUUAUGAUGUAAUAAAUUAUAUUCUCAAUAAGGUAACUCAAAAAAGAUACUUCUUUUUUUUAAUAACUCAAACUCAUUGGGGUUAUUUUCUUCAUCAUCCUCUUCAUCACUUUGAACAUCAAAAUCACCAACUUCAGUAAUAGUAUCACCAACUUACAUAAUAUGAGGUCGUACACCUUCAAAGAUACUCUUCACUCUUUUUCUUGAUAGAGUUAUUUUUUUAUAAGUGAAAUUGAUAUCUUUUAACUUUGACAAGAUAUUAAACCCACUAAUGGGUAAAAGAGAUUUUCUCAACUCUUCAGUUCUAUCAAAGAGAUGUUUAUGAAAUCUAAAUCGAUGAUUAUCAUCUAACCAUCGAUGAUAUCCCAUAUAACAAAACUUCUUACCAUUAGGUAACCACUUCAAACAUGUCUAUGUAGCACAACAUAGACAACCAUAAUGACCUUUUGUACUUCAACUAGAUAAAUUGGCAUAAGAAAAAAAAUCAUUGAUAGUCCAUAAUAAAGUAGUACAUAUAUUGAAGUUAUCUUUUUUUAUGCAUCAUAGGUCUCAACUCCUUCCCAUAAUUACUUUAAGUCUUUAAUAAGAGGUUGUCAAUAGAUGUCUAUAUCAUUAUUCAAACUUUUUUUCUUGAAAAUUAUCAUAGACAAUAUAAAUGACUAUUGCUUCAUAGUAAUCCAUGGUGGUAAAUUGUAAGGAAUCAAUAUAACUGGUUAAGUACUAUAAGAAGUACUCAUCAUUUUAAACUGAUUAAAUCCAUCGGAUAGUAGUCUAAGCAUAACAUUUUAAGGAUCAUAUGCAAAGUCUGAAAACCUAGAUUGAAAUUUCAUGCCAAAGAAUAUGUAGGAUGCCUAAAUGAUCCAUCAUCUAUCCAUUUUUUAUGAUGCCACCUCAUUGAAUCUAUAAUUUUGAAAGACAUGAAGAGUCAUUGAAGUCUUGGUAUUAAUGAAAAAUAGUGUAAAACCUUAACAAACUUCUUUUUGAUACUAACCUCAUCACCAUCCUCAUUCAACCUUUCAUUGAGGUUUUUAUUCACCCAAUUAGAAAUAUCACACACAUGAAAAAAUUCUUGACUUUUUCUAUCACCCUAAUACAACAUGCAAUCAUUGGGACAACUAUGAAUUUUCUCACAUCCGAGACCUAAAUCCUUGAUCAUCUUCUUUGAUUCAUUAUAAGAUUCAGGAAUUUUUGUAAAAGAAAAUAUUUCUUUCAUAAACUCUAAUAAUAAAGUCAGAGAGUUUUCCGUCCAUCCACAUAAGCAUUUCAAGUGAAAAAAAUAAACAUAAAAAGACAACCUUGAAUGCUUUGAGCCCUCAUAAAGUUCUUUAUUCAUAUCCUCAAGCAACUUAUAAAACUUUGAUGUUUCUCUUAUAGGUUAUUGGUCAUAUAUACCUAUCCCAGGUUUAUCAAAUUCAUUCAUUUCAAUAUUAGACUGAUUAAAUCCAUCAUUUUAGGGAAAAUGAUUAUGAAAAUGUUAGUUAUGAAUGUUAAAAACAUCUCACAACAUGCUUUCAAUGUCAUCUGCUAUAAAAAGAUCAUGUUGGUGUUGAAAAGCCCUUGAAGUUGAAGGAACUUUAAUGAAAAACUUUGAUGGUACAGACUCUCCAUAAAAAUACCAAUUAAUAUAUUUCGAGAAAAUUUUAAUACAAAUUAAAUAUUCAAAAAUAACUUGACGCUUUUGUCAAUCUAUAUUAGCACACUUCACACAUGGGCAUAAUAUCAUAUUAUUUUCACUUGUAUUCUCAAAUGCAAAAUUAAGAAAAUUUUUCACUUCAUCUCUGUACUCUUAACUUAAUUUUAACUUUUGCAUCUAACUCUUAUCCAUUUAGUACUUACUACAGUAUCAAACUAAAUGUAUAUAAAUAAUUUAUAUGAAAACGAACAUGCCAAAUACUUAAGUUUACUAUGUUUUAAACAAAAGAUAAUAACAAGAUCAGUACUUACAAAAAAUGAAAACUCCUUGUUGUAAAAUAUUUUAUCAGGUAUCUAAUAUUAUGAAUGUUAAAAUCUGCUGCUAACAUAGACAAUACCCAAGAGUUUUUAUAAUUGAGGUUGAAAUAAGGUAAAACAGGUACAGAAGAAACCCAAAAAAAGAAAAAAGAAAAUGAAAGAGAAAAGGAAGUUAAUAAUGGGUUAUAAAUGGGUAUUUCAAGAAGGUGGGCUUUAAAGAAAAUUGUUUAAACUAAAAAAAAAAUCACCAAUUGCAAAAGCUGAAGGAAUAGUCGAAUUACGUAAAAAUAUUAGUAAAUAACUAAUGAAUAGUUGAAAUCGGGUUCUAAAAUAUAACGUUCGAAUAGUAAAAGCUGAAGGAAAAGGAAAGUAAAUUGUAAUUGGUCUGAAAAAAGAAAUAGUAAAAUAAUAAAUAUGAAGCUUUAAGUUGGUGAUUGGAUGCGCUAAGUUUGGAGACAAUUUUAUUGGAUCGGAUUAUUAAAGGCAUUUACGAAGAAAAAUGCAUUCAAUAAUUUUCUCUUAUACAUUUUUUAAAUAUAUUAUAGGUGCCAUCAACAAAGUCGUAAUAGAAUUGUUUGCAAUUAUUAAAGGCAUUUACGCACCAAAAAUGCCUUCAAAAAUUUCAUCUAAUUUUUAUGAUAUAUUUAUUGAAGGUGUUUUUUGCAUAAUACACCUUCAAUAAUUCCUUCUUUUUUUUCUAUGAAUAUCAGUCAAUGUGUUUUCUACUAAAAAUGCCUUUAAUAAUUUUCUUUUAAAAAUUGUUUGAGAUUAUUAAAGACAUCUUCUAUAAAAAAAUGCCUUUAAUAUUACACUUCUAAAAUUUUAAGGGGUUAUUAAAGGUGUUUAUUCCAGAAAAAUACCUUGACUAAUUUUUUUUUAUUGAAAAAAUUUAUUGAAGGCGUUUUCUAAUGAAAAACGCAUUCAAUGUUUCACUACUCAAACUUUAAGACGGUUAGUGAAGGCAUUUUUUUAGAACAAACGAGUUCAAUAAAUUUUUUUUAAAAUUUUUGAGAUUAUUAAAAGCGUUUUUCAGUGAAAAAUACAUUCAAUUUUUCAUAACACAAAUUUUAAGACGUUUAGUAAAGGUGUUUAUUCUAGAAAAAUGCCUUCACUAAUUUUUUCUAAUUUACGUACAUAAUAAUUGAAGGUAUUUUUUUAGAACAAACAUCUUCAAUAAUUUUUUCUUAAAAUUUUUUAGAUUAUUAAAGGUGCCUUCAAGUGAAAAAUGCCUUUAAUUUUUCAUAACUCAAAUUUUAAGACAGUUAGUGAAGAUGUUUCUUUUAGAAAAAUGUCUUCACUAAUUUCUCCUAAUUUACAUACAUAAUUAUUAAAUGUAUUUUUUUAAGAAAAAAUGCCUUUAAUAAUUUUUUCUUAAAAUUUUUGGGAUUAUUAAAGGCGUCUUUCAGUGAAAAACGCCUUCAAUUUUUCACAAUUCAAAUUUUAAGACGUUUAAUGAAGACGUUUAUUCUAGAAAAAUGCCUUCAUUAAUUGCUUUUAAUUUACGUACAUAAUAAUUGAAAGUAUUUUUUAAGAACAAAGGCCUUUAAUAAUUUUCUCUUAAAAUUUUUGAGAUUAUUAAAGACGUCUUUUAGUGAAAAAUGCCUUCAAUUUUUUACAACUCAAAUUUUAAGACAGUUAGUGAACGCAUUUAUUCUAGAAAAAUACCUUCACUAAUUCCUUCUAAUUUACAUACAUAAUUAUUGAAGGUAUUUUUUGAAAACAAAUGCCUUCAAUAAUUUUCUCUUAAAAUUUUUAGAAUUAUUAAAGGCAUUUUUCAGUGAAAAACGCCUUUAAUUUCUCACAACUCAAAUUUUAAGACAUUUAGUGAAGGCGUUUAUUCUAGAAAAAUGCCUUCACUAAUUCCUUCUAAUUUACAUACAUAAUUAUUGAAUAUAUUUUUUUAGAACAAACGCCUCCAAUAAUUUUUUUUUUUUUAAUUUUGAGACCAUUAAAGGCAUUUUUUAGUGAAAAACGCUUUUAAUUUUUCACAAUUCAAAUUUUAAGAUAGUUAGUAAAGGUGUUUAUUCUAGAAAAAUACCUAAUAAACACCUUCAUUAAUUCCUUCUAAUUUACGUACAUAAUUAUUGAAGGUAUUUUUUGAAAACAAACGCCUUCACUAAUUUCUUUUAAUUUUUGUACAUAAUUAUUAAAAGCAGUUUUCUACUAAAAAUGCCUUCAAUAAUUUUUGUUCAUAAUUAUCAAAGGUAUUUUUUGAGAAAAAACACCUUUAAUAAUAAAUUUUAUAUUCAUUCCCUAUCUUGGACAUCGGAAUCAAAAUUUGUUAGUAUACAGAAUAAUUAAAAGUUGUAUUAAUCAAUCAAACCAAACCCACAAAUACAUUUCUAUCACACUUUUGGUUUCUUUAUCCCUAUCGUCGCUACCAACCUUUAAUAAAUCAAUGACGCUCACCUCUCUAUUUACCGGUAUGUUUUUAUAAUUUUUGUUUACUGUAUUAUUUAUAUUAUUCGAUAGAGCUAUUUUUUUCGAUUCCUUACUAUUUACAUAUGGAUAUAUAUUUUUAUUAAUUUUAUCGUAAGCGUAGUCCUCCAAGUACCUAUCAUUGCAUGUAUGCUAUUUCUGUGUAGGCUUUUGUUAAUAAUGUGGUUUGCUGAACCUUGUUAUGUGAUAGUGUUUUGCUGAAUAGUAUUGUAUGAUAUUGGUAUGCUAAAUUGUAUACUAAAUGGUUUGCUGAAUGAUGUUUCUGAAUGGUUUGCUGAAUGGUGUUUCUGAGUGGUUUGCUGAAUGGUGUGUCUGAGUACAUUGCUGAUUGAUUUAUUGAAUGGUGUUUCUAUAUGUAGUAUGGUAUUGGUGGUAUUUAAUUACGUACAAUAUUAAAUUUAGACAGUCAUUUUAUGUAAUUCGUAUAAUUAUAAUCAAAAUUAUAGGUAUUUUGACUCUGAACAACAUCAUUUUUCUUCUAUUAAACAUGCAAAAAACACACAUGUAGGUCAAAAAAGAAAGGAAAAGGGCCCAAAUAAAUAAAUUAAAGUGAGUAACAUAAAAAUUCACGUUGAUUUUAAUCAAAGUGGGUAGCCUGUGUCUGAAAGAGCUUCCAAGAUGGCUACUCAUAUUAGAGCCAUCGUCCAUCGUAAGAUUUCAAUUAUGUACACCGCUUGGCGACGAGUUUCUAAUGAUCUAAAAGAUUAUAUUUGGCAGUUGGUAGUGGUAUGUUUAUUCAACUAUUUCAUAAAAUUUGUUAAUGAUCAUUUAAUUGAAAUUCAAUGUGUUCUCACAAAUUAUGUUAAAUAAUUUAGGAACGGUUUGACAUCCUAAUUUAUUGUAAAAAGAUUGUGUUGCAAUAUGCUGAAAAAGCAUUUAGAGAUUUUAAAAGCAGAUUGAUAACCUAAUAUAUUUUAUCACUGGCUAAUCAAGGUGAUGUGUUGGUUAUUCCACCUACGGUAUAUACAGAUAUGAUAAAUGUUGAAGAUUGGAUAAAUUUUGUUUGAUAUCAACUUUCAGAAGAUUUCUCAGUACGUAAAUCCAUUACCAAAAAUAUUGUUUAUAAGUCUUUAUGCAAUAUAGCCUUUGAUCUUCAUAUGUGAUUGACGUAAUUUCUUUCUUUUAUAGAAAAUCAAAGAAAACCAACGGAACAUUUGGGUCAAACAAUAAUAUCACCAUCGAACAGCGAGAAAAGGAUAUGAAAAUGUGAAGUAUAAGCUUGUAUGUAUUCACACACUUGUUUUAUACUCAUUAAUGAAUAUUUAUGAACAUUCAUUUCAUACAUUCUAAUUCUUUUAUUGUGUUAAUUUAAUAGGAAUCAGUAAGCUCUGGCAUCGAUGUUUCUAAAUGGGAUGUCUAGAAACAAAAACAUCUAUAGAAUGAUAGAUCCUUUGUAGAUAAAGUAAUCGAAAAAAUGACAAAAAAGAUUGUAUGUAUAACUACUUUUUUAAUAUAAUAUAUGAUUGACAUUGUGAUUGUAUGCAUGACUGUAUACUAGCUUGUAUAGAUUUAUUGUCACAACCUAUCUUAUUAUUGUCUUUCAGGAUGAUUAUGUUGUCAAAGUCUAAUCAGGUGAAUUGGUAACCCAGUAUGGUGAAGAUCCUUUGUCUUUAGCAUUAGGCGCUAAAGAAAAGCUUGGUGGGGUUAGUAUGGCUGGUAAAUUUGUCUUGCCAUCAAAGUUUUUUAGUAAUCAACAUAAAACCCUGCAAUUGAAAAAUGCACAAUAUGAAGCAAUCAUUGAGCAACAAUAGCAACAAAUUGAUGACUAGGAACAAUGCCUCAAUGAGCAACAAUAAAAACUCGCUGCUUUGGAGUUCAUGUUGGUAGCAAUGUAACAUAACAUGCUAGUAGGCCGAUCGAUAGCAUUAUCCAUGUAGGAUAAGCUGCCAUUGCAAGUAAGAAAGUGAACCCAUCUUCCGCUACCACCUAAGAAGUAUGAUUUUAUUUAUAAUGUUAAUAUUCAUUUGUUUAUUUUAUUUAUUGAUUUAGUUUUAAUACUUAUAUUUUAUUAAAUAUUGUGGCAGGAUGUUGCAACUCACAGUAUGACCCUUGUUCAGCUUACUAUAGAUGAGUUAUCCAAAUAUUCGUUAGAGUAUUUAUCCAGAGAAAACUUCAUAGCCAUUGAGUCUGAAAAAGGAUUAUUUGAUAAACUAUCAUUUUCUUUCAUUGGUGUGGAAGAGGUUAAAGAAUUUUGUGAACUGAAUGAAUUAUCAACUAUUGAUAUUAUUGUUUAUAUGAGGUUAGCUUAUAAAUACAAAUAUGAACAUUCAAUAUGUAGUAAUCUAUAUUAGGAUGUAAUAUUAACUAUCAAUGUUGAUUGUUAUUAUGCAGCUUACUAUAUAGAGAGCUCAAGGGGAGAUAGUUGACCAACAAAUUUAGAUUCAUUGACCCUAACUUCAUUAGUGAGCAGAGUGACACAGUUGCUUAUCGUGCUAAUCAUGUGAUCCAAUGCAUGAAAAGAUUGGCUUAUUAUUAUUUGCUCUCGUAUAAUGUGCAGUAAGUUAUAUUACAACCUUACUCAAAUCUGAUCUGAUGCAUAAUCUGAGUAUAUCAUCGUUAUUAUUUUACAGUCGUCAUUGGUUGCUUAUUGUGAUUGACAUCAAAUCUUUAACGCCAUACUUACUUAAUUUAGUUAAUCUAACAACGAUGCCUAAUCUCGAUAUUCAAACUUUUAUAAAGAGGUAUUACACUUUAUUAUAUUAUAUAUCUUCUAUUUUUUUAUAAGUAAUUUUAUUUAUGUAUUAAGUAAUUUUUUUCUUUUCAAUUUAGGGUAGUAUUUGCAUUCGAUAAGAAGAUAAAGAAACUAAAAUGGGUGUCAUUAUCGAUAAAUAUGAAAUUUAUUCUUUUAUGCUGAGUUUGUGUAGAUAAAGAUUUCCUAAACCCACUCAAUUUAUUUUUUAGGUACCUUGUCAACCCGAUAAUACUAAAUAUGGAUAUUAUGUCCUUCGUUUUAUGCGAAAGAUAGUAUUAGAUGAUUUUAUGACCACACCAUUCAAGAUUAGUAUAAAUUUCAUAAACUCGUUAUAUCUUCAAAAAAAUAAAAAGGUACAUUAUGUUCUCAUUUAUUAACAUUUACUUCUGAUAUAUAUUUUUUAAUAAGAGAGUAAAGAAAUCUUCACGGAAAAAGAAUUGGAUGAAGUUCGUAAAAAAUGGUGUGAGUAUGUAUUAUCAUUUAUCAAUGUUGAUAAACCUUAGGUUAGACAUUAUUGGUUGAAUGUAAAUAUAUGAGGAACAAAUUGUUAUAAUGUUUUAAACAUGCCAUGUUGAAUGGAAACUUUAAGUUUGUACAUUGAGGUAUUGGUUUAAUAUUAUUGGUAUACUUAAUAUGAAUAUACUAUGUGUACUUAAUAUAUUAUUGAGUAUGAUUAUUUCAUAAAAGUAUAUUAAUAUGGCAACGUUAUCAAUUUUAAUUCCGGAUGUGUGGUCAAUUUAUUGAAAUACAACAAUAUUCAUUAUGUAAAUUCCAAAAUGUAAUUCAUAGUAUCACAUAUAUAAAUUAAAUAUUUUUUUAGCAUAAAUAUACAACUGACUUCAAAUAUUUUCUGGGCAUAAACCUACAACUGACUUGACAUAUACAAUAUCAAAUAUAUUUUUUUGAUGGGAUUAAUGAAUGCGUUUUUAGCAAAAAAAAAUGCCUUGAAUCAUCUCUAAUAAAUGUUAUUGAAGACAUUUUUAACUAAAAUCGCUUUCAAUAAUCCCACCUAAAAAUAUAUUAUGUGAAAUAUUAAAGGCAUUUUGAAAAAAAAAAUACUUUCAAGAAUCGUACCAAAUAUUGUGCAUGGAUUAUUGAAUGCAUUUUUGAAAAAAACUGCCUUUAAUAAUUUCUAUUAAAAAUUUAUUUAUUGGAUUAUUGAAAACACUUUCACCCAAAAAUGCCUUCAAGAAUUCGUUUCAUAUUUUUUUUAUGGAUUAUUAAGAGCAUAUUUAGUAAGAAAAUGCCUUGAAUAAUCUUUAACAAAAUGUUAUUGAAGGCGUUUUUUACCAAAACCACCGUCAAUAAUCUCACCUAAAAUUUUAUUGUGUGGAAUAUUAAAGGCGUUUUGGACAAAAAAUGCCUUCAAGAAUUCGUUCCAACUUUUUUCUAUGGAUUAUUGAAGGCGUUUUUUAAAAAAUUACCUUCAAUAAUACCAACUAAAAAUUAAUUGAAUGGAUUUUUAAAGGUAUUUUUUUACCAAUAACACCUUGAAUAAUCCCCAACAAAAUAUUAUUGAAGGCAUUUUUAGAAAAAAUCACCUUCAAUAAUCCGACCAUUCAAAUUUAUCGUCUAAAAUAUUAAAGGCGUUUUGAGCCAACAAUGCCUUCAAGAAUUUAUUUCAACUUUUGUCUAUGGAUUAUUGAAGGCGUUUUUUACAAAAAUUGCCUUUAAUAAUCCUAACUAAAAAUUUAUUGAUUAGAUUAUAGAAAGCGAGUUGGGCCAAAAAUGCCUUCAAAAAUCGAUUCCAUAUAUUUUCCUAUGGAUUAUUAAAAGCGUUUCUCUACGAAAAAAUGCCUUUAAUAUUUUCUCCAAAAUUUUUUAAAGCAAAUGGUGAAGGCAUUUUUACCAAGAAAAUGCCUAGAAUAAUCAAUUACAAAUAAUCUCUACAAAAACCCAAAAAAGGCUAAAGAGAGGGAUCAAACAUAUCACCUUAUGGUUAACAUCCAUACGAUCUUAAAAUUUUGAUAUGAUAUUUAUUGAAGGUGUUUUUAACCAAAAACACCUUCAAUAAGCCUGUGAAAUUUUUUGGUGAAAUUAUUAAAGGUGUUUCUUAUAGAAAACGCCUUCAAUAAUUGUAUACAUUUUUGUUAUGAGGGGAUUAUUGAAUGUGUUGUCUGCUAAAAAUACCUUCAGUAAUUCCCUAUCAAUUUUUUUAAUGGGAUUAUUCAAAGCGUUUCUGACAAAAACGCCUUUAGUAUUCACUCAAAUUUUUAAGACAAGAUUAUUUAAGGUUUUUAGUUGAGAAACAUCGUUAAUAUAAAGUCUUGGGUGAUGUUUAUAAGUAACAACGUCACUAUUUGAAUAUUUAGUGACGUUUUGAUAAUAAACGUCUUAAGUUUUAUGAAAACAUGAAAAUUAGCGACGUUUGUAAGUAAAACGCCGCUACAAAAUUGUCACUAAUAUUUCAUUUUCUUGUAGUGAAUUAUUAUUAUACUAAACCAAUCUUUUUUCUCCACUCCAAUAUCCAAGAAUUGUCAAAGAAUUUCUAUAACAUCCAUGCAUACACUUUGAAACAAAUAUAAUAUUUAAAGUUUUUAUAAAAAUUUCAAAAACAAAGAAAAAGAAACAUUGAUUUUAAUGUUUUUAAUAUGUGGAUGAACAAAUUAUAAAAAGAAAAAAAAUGGUGCAUCUCACGAGUUAAAAACCCAUUUCUUUGCAAGCAUAAAUGUUAAAAAAAUAUAGAAAUAGAAGUAACAUUGAGAAUAUCAUUAAAGAAUAAAUUAUCUUCUAAUAUAUGUGAUAUUUUAUCUUUUUAAAUUUAAAAAUAAUCAAAUAAUAAAAUAUUAUUAUGAAAUCUCUAAAAAUAAAAAUUAUAUUUUAAAUUUUGAAAAUUAAAAUGACAUAUUUAAAUUACUAAGAAAUCUAUUUUAUAAUAUCACUACAUUUAAGAUUUUUAGAUUUAAAAGGAUAUAUAUUUAUAUUAUUAGGAAACCUAUUUUAAAAGAUAAUAUAUCACUAUAUUUGAAAAUUUUAAAUGGAAAAAGAUAUAUAUAUAUAUAUCUAUAUAUAUAUAUGUAUGUAUAGAUUAUUUAGAAAUGCAUUUUUGAAAAAAAAAUAUUUUAAAUUAGAUUUUGUUGUUAGCAACUUAAAAAUAUCCGAAUUGGUCUUCUACUUAAAUUUAAAAAUUUUAGAUAAUUAAGUAAUUUUUAAAUAUAUAUUUUUGAUAAAUAGCUUAAAAUUAGGAAAUAUCUUAUAAGUUAUUAUAAAGAGAAAUUUUAAAAAUUUUUCUAUGUGUCGAAAAAACAAAUUAUCCACUUAAAUAUCCACAUAAGUAAAUUUUAUCAAUUUUCUAUUUAUGUUAUAAUAUAAUAUUAUAUAUGAUAAUUAAGGAGUUAAUUAUGACACUUGCAACCAAUACAAAAAGAUAAUAACAAAAAUUUGAUCGUAAUAUAUUAAACAUAAAUUUAUUUUCUUUUUUAUAUCUUAAUAUAUUUAUAAUAUUUUGUAUGCAAAUUAAUAUUUUAUUAUUUUUAUAUUAAAAUAAUUAUAAAUAUGUGUAACAAAAUAUUAAUGAAAAGCAAAAUUAUUUCAAAUAAAUACAAAAAUAAUUGUAACUCUAUUCACACAUUCUAAUAUUUUAGCAUCAAUUAUUUAAUAAAUAAAUCAACUUAAUUAACACUAGGGAUGUCAAUUGAUAACGUAUGAGAUGGGUAAAGCAUUCCCUCUCCUUAUUCUUAAUUUCUUAUAUUAUAAUUAUUUUUUUACUCAUAUCUAAUGAAUAUUUUAAAUUUAUUCACAUCUUUAUUUCUAUGGGUAUUUAAUGGGUAUUACUAAUUCUUGUAUCCAUGACUUUUUAAAAAAAAUAAAAAAUAAGAUUUAUUUUUAAAAUAUUUUUAUCUUGCAUAUUUAAGUAAUUUUUUUAUAAAUAUAUAUUUUUUAAAUACAAAUAUAUUUGAUGUAAUACAUCUAAAAUAAAAUUAUAUUAUUAAAUAAAAAUUAAUUUAUUAAAUAUAGAAAAAAAUAUAUAGGAUAUGGGUAUGAAAUGAAUACUAUAUUACUUAUUAGCAUACCCAUACUCUAUAAAACAUAUAAAAUCAUCUUUAUUCUCAUUUUCAUCAUCAAAAUUUAAUAUCCAUUUUUAUCUUAAUUAAAAUAAAAAUUAAAUUCUUCAUUAAAUUUGAAUAAAAUUAACAUCCUAAUUAACAUAAAAAAUAGCGGGGAUGAAUACUAGUAUCCUUUUGAAAAAGGGUGACCUGAUGUAAAAGAUGGUGGCAACAUACUCUUGUGUAUUUGAUAUACUAAAAUCGUGGAAUUAUUUGUGCUGAAAAGUGAUCACCCAAACCGAUUAGGCCAAGUUCAAGGGCAUUUGGUGAAGUUCGAGCCUUCAUUUUUCUAUAUAUUUAUUGUAAAUAAAAAGUGCUCAAGGGCUAGCCUACAUGCUAGGCCCGCGAGAAUGACUCACUUGGACUGAAUUAUAAUUUAAGUUUGAUCUGCCCUGUUUUAAAGAUAUUAGAUUAUAUUGUAUAAAUAAUUUAUUUUGUAUAAUUUUUAUUACAAAAUAUAUUUUUAAACAUUAAUAUAAAAAAUUUCAUGUAUAAUAAUAAAUAUAAAAUAAAUGAAUGGGUCAAUUUAAAUUAAAUUAUGCUCAAACUUCUAUUUUUAAAGUAUCAAUACCAUUUCUAAUUGUGAACAAGUUAAAAUUUUUUUUCUUUAUUUUUGUAUCUAUUAAUUUUAAUAUGUUUAUAAUUAUUAUUCAUAUGUAUCCAAUUGGAUUAUUGAUUAUGGAUCCCAUAAACAUAAAUCAAAAUAACAAAAAACAUUGAAAACAAAUCAAAAUGAUAUUUGUUGUGAACCAUAUAAUUUGAUGUAGGUUAGACAUGGCAAAAAAUCUCAUCUUCCCCUCCAUUCCCCUCCAUUCCCCUCCAUUCAAUUUGAUGUGAACCAUGCAUUAAUAAUAUAAGUAGCAAUCAUAGAGGCGUGGAGGGGUCCCUCGUCCAACAGCCCAAGCCAUGUUAGUGUCACAUUCACGUAUGCGCUGACGCUAUUGAUCAGAUUACUAGCCGAGUGGUUAGAGAAAAAGACGUACAAGCAUUUCUGAAUUGGAUUCUCUCCCAACAAGACUAACCCAGACAAGUGUCACGGGAAAAGGACAAUUCAACGUAUUAAGAAGUCUUGUCAAAUAGGGCCUCCUAAAAUACCGACAAGAUAAAUUGAUGAUCAAAGGAGAAAAACUGAAACAAUUGAUUUAGCCUUUUUAAAAUAAUCAUUAUAUUUGAUAUAUUAUUAAUAUAUAAAUUUUAUAUAUUAUUAAUGAAUAAAAUAAUAUUUAUUUAUUAAUAAAAAUUUAAUAAAAAAUAAAUUUUUUUAUUUAUCUUUAAAGAUUAAUAAAAUUUUUUUUAAUUAUUAAUAAAAUGAUAUCAUUUAAUUUAUUAAUAAUAUAUAAAAUUUAUAUAUUGAUAAUAUAUCAAAUAUAAACUCUAUAUUUAUUAUGAAGAUAAUCAAACACGAUAGCUUGUUUCAUUUUCUUUUGAUGCUUGUCAUUAAAUUUUUAUUUUUGGAUAAAUUUCUUUGUUUGAAACAUUUCAAAUUAAUUAGUUAAUUUGUAGAUAAAGUUAGUAUUAAUUAUUUUAUAAAAAAGUUUUAAAACAAUCAAUUUUAAAAACUAUUAGAAAGUUAUUUUGUAAUUGUUUAAUUUUACUUUUGGUAAUUAAAAAAAAUUUUUGAUUGGUUAUAUUUAGAUUUAUUAAUCGGACUGAGUCGAGUUUAGCCCCAAGUUUAGUAUGAUAUUUUAAUAUUUUAAGUAAAUUUAAAGCCAGUUGAUUUUUUGAAUUUAGGUUUGAGUCUAAUUUAAUUUUGUUAAAUAUAAUUUAAAAUUAUAUUAUUAUUUUAUACAAAGAAUAAAUAAGUUUUAUCUUAUUAUAAGUAAUAAAGUAAAUAUGUAUUGUCCAUUAUAAAAAAAUAAAACAAAUGGGUCUUAUUUCAUUAUGAUAAAAAUAUUUUUUUUAAUUUUUGAGUUUGACAAGAUCAAACUCAAGCAUGAAAUGGUGAAACACAAGUCCAACCUCAUUUUUUUUAUUCGAUAUCAUUUGUUUAUCUAGGUCCAUUUAAUGAGCUUAAUAUUUACAUCUAAAUCUUUCAAAAAUUCAAAACAGGAUUUCAAGUUCGGAUAAACUAUCUAACCUAUGAUCAAGUCUAAUUAUAUUACAUUUGUACAUAAUGUGGGGUUACUUAUUUGUCACCCUAUCACCCUUAGUUAUUCUUAGAAAUAAUUUCAUUUUUUACCAUUAUAUUGUGCAUGAAAAAUGUAUUUGGUAUUAGAUUAUUAUAGGAUAAGAUAAAAUGAUAUAAUGAAUAGAAUUAAAUUAAAUAGUAUUAUCUUAUCUUAUAUUUGAUAUAUGUAAAAAUUAAGAUAAAAUAAUUUAUUUAUUAGUCAAAAUUAUUCUUUCUUAAAAUUUAUAUAAUUUAAAUUAUUAAUAUAAUUUUUAAGGGUAUAAUAAGACAUGUAAAUUCAAUUUCAUGAAUUAAAAUAAUUAUUUUUACUUUGAGAAUAUUAAAGUAUCUUAUACCAAAAGAAUGAUUAAUCCUUAUUGUAAUAAUAUAUCUUUCUUUAAAUAUAAAUUAAAUAUAAUAUAAAAUAAUUAUUAUCUUAUCUUAUCUAUCAUUUUAUACAUUAAAUAUGAAUAAAAAAUAUUUUAUAAUACAAAUAUAAAGAUAAUAUUUAUUAUUUUAAUAAUAAAAAAUAAUUAAAUUAGAUAAUCAAAAUGAAUUUAACUUUUUUCCUUUAUAAUUUAAUAAGCCAAUCCAACCCGUAAACUAAGUUUGGUUUAAGAUAUUUUGUAUCAUGCAAUAGCAAAAUCCAGAAUAACAAAACAAAGAGAAACUAAAUUUGUAAUGAUGUGGUGAAAAGUCGUAUGAUCUAUUACUAUCACCCCACGUGCAAAAGCCCAACGUACACGAUAGCUAUUAAUAUGUAAGCGAUGACAGCAGCCAUUUCUUGGACAAUGUCAAACUCUAUUUUUUUUUCCUUAAAUAUCUCAUACAACGGUGUUACAAGAUACCAAUCAACAUCUCCAUUCAGACAACGUGAAUAUGAUAUUGUAGCGUUAAAAUUAAUUUUAAUAAAAUUAAAAAUAAUAAUAAUGAUGAUAUUAAUUAUUAUAAUAAUAAAAUUAAAUAUGUAAUUAAAAUUAAUGAUAAAAUAUAUAUUUAAAUAAAAAUAUAGUGACAUCGAUAAAAUAAAAUAUAAUGAAAAAAUUGAUUAUUAAAAAUAUUAAAUUAAAUUUUAUAUAUAAUAAACUUUAUAAUAUAUAUUUGAAAAGUUAUUAAAUAAUUAUAAAUUAUUAAAAUUAUUUGUAUAUAUCAAAUUAAAAUUUUUACAUAAUAAAAUUUAAUGUAUAUUUGAUUUUUUUAAAGUCAAUAAAUAAUUAAAAAUUACUAACAAAAAUGAUAGCUUUAUAUAAUUUAUUUUUUAAAUAAUUUACUUCAGCACUCAAGUGAUAAAAAUAUUAAAAGCUUUUUCUAAACAUUGAUCAAAGAAAAAUAAAUAAAUAAUAAAAAAGGAAUACAAAAUAAUAUACAUAAAGAUUGGACACAAAAUAAAAUACGUGGACUAUCAUAUACUCUUUAUUAGGUUUCUUGAUUUAAGGCUUUUAAAAUUGAAUUGAAAAAUGUUAAAUUGAGUUAUAUGUAAGGGUAUUUAAGGGUUUUUGUCUUCAAUCGCAGAUUACAAAUUUUCACUGAUCUCUUUAGCUCCAAUGACGAUUGAGGGGUGUGGUGCAGUUGAAAGAUUCCAAUCGUGCAUCCAAACAUGCUUCUAUGGUGCAAAAUUAUGCUUUAUUGCACCGCAAUGGUGCGGUGAUAAAAGCGAAACCAAAUGGCCCUAAUUCUCCAAGAUGACAAUAUCUCCUACGCAAGAAGUAUCUAAGAUGACAAUAUCUCCCACGCGAGUAAACAAAAAGACAGUUGAUCUGAGUGGGAAAUUAAAAUAAGCUAUGAAAGCAACAUGAUUGUGAUGCAUAUUAAAAGUAAUCAAACUUGGAAAUUUCGGCCCAUUGAAAGAUGGGUGGGUCCAAACUUUUUAGCAAUACUCCUGUUACGCCCCUCUAUAAAAGCAAAUACAUUUUAAUUCUAUACACCACCAAAAAAAAAAAAAAUCAAAUCAAAUAAAACAAACACAGAGUUACCAGAAGCAAAUCGAACAAUGGAAGAAGCAGCAAUUCUUUACUCAUUUCUUUCUUUUAUCUUUCUUAUCAUUUGUUUAAACUUGUUCUUUCAAUCAAGAAAGCACCCCAAAAACCUCCCUCCAAGCCCACCAUCACUACCCAUAAUUGGCCACCUUCACCUCCUAAAACCCCCCAUCCAUCGUUUGUACCAUAGCCUUUCACAAAAAUAUGGUCCAAUCUUCUCCCUUCGCCUUGGUUCUCGGCUUCUUGUUGUAGUAUCAUCUUCAACCGCAGCCGAGGAAUGCUUCAGCAAGAACGAUAUAGUUUUUGCCAAUCGCCCCAAGUAUAUCAUAUGGAAACACUUAGGCUACAACUAUACGACACUUGUAGCAUCGUCUUAUGGUGAUCAUUGGCGCAACUUACGUAGAAUUGGUGCCAUUGAAAUCUUCUCAUCAAGUCGUCUAAACGCCUCUGUGACUGUUCGAAAAGACGAAAUCAGGCGCUUGUUAUUAAAACUGUCGUGUGAUUCGCGUCAAGAGUUUGCGAAAGUGGAGCUGAAAUCUAUGCUUAAUGACAUGACCUUUAAUAACAUAAUGAGGAUGGUGGCAGGGAAGAGGUACUAUGGAGAUGAAGUGACGAAUGAAGAAGAAGCAAGAGAAUUUAGGGAACUUAUAGCAGAGGCAUUCAAGAAUAGUGGAACGGCAAAUCAAGCAGAUUACUUUCCUAUAUUGAACUGGUUUGGUGAAGGGUUUGAAAAGAAGGUGAAGAAGGUUGGAAAAACGAUAGACAGGUUCUUGCAAACUUUGAUUGAGAAUCACCGAAGCAAGAGGCAGGACAAUAAUAGUAUGAUUGAUCACCUUCUUUCCUUGCAAGAAUCUGAGCCUCAUUACUAUACUGACGAAAUUAUAAAAGGGUUCAUAUUGGUAAUUAGUUGAAUCUUUGUCUUUUUUUCUUUUUACUUUUCAAUAUUUUAUUAUUGAAAGAUAUUCGGUUUUGAAUUCGGAGCUUAGCUUAAUUGGUUCAUGUUCUUAAUUUUAGAAGAUGACAUUCAAAUCUGAAAUGUCCUAAACUAACAAAUUAACGUUGUUGUGUAGGUGAUAAUACUUGCAGGAACUGAUACAUCAGCAGUCACAAUAGAGUGGGCAAUGUCCAAUUUGCUAAAUCACCCAGAAUUAUUGAAGAAGGCUAGAGCUGAACUAGACAAUCAAAUUGGUCAAGAAAACCUGAUUGAUGAACAAGAUGUUUCCAAGCUACAUUACCUUCAAAGCAUUAUAUUGGAGACACUUCGAUUAUACCCUGCAGCUCCUCUUCUGCUUCCACACAUGCCAUCUAGCGAUUGUACCUUAGGUGGAUACAACGUGCCACGUGGUGCGAUCGUAUUGGUGAAUGCAUGGGCCAUUCAUAGGGAUCCAAAACUAUGGGAUGAUCCAACAAGUUUUAAGCCAGAGAGAUUUGAAAAUGGUGAGAAAUUAGGAGAAUAUUCUCACAAGCUAAUGCCAUUUGGGUUAGGAAGGAGGGCAUGUCCAGGAGCAGGCCUGGCUCAGCGAAUGGUGGGAUUAGCUUUAGGAUCUUUGAUUCAAUGCUUUGAGUGGGAAAGGAUUGAUGGCAAGGAAAUUGACAUGACUGAAGGAAAGGGAACCACCAUGCCUAAAGUUCAGCCAUUAGUUGCCAUGUGCAAAGCCCGUCCCAUCGUGAAUAAUGUUUUUUAUAAACAAAUUUGAUUAAAACUGUUUCAUUAUUUAUCAUAAGUUGGGUGAUUAUAUUACAAAAGUAGCUUUGAUUACCUAUCUAGUAAAGAUUUUAUUGUAGUAAUAUACAGUUAGUGUGUUCUAUUUUUUUCUCUCUCUCUUUUUUUGGUAUGAUUGGAUUAGUCCAAAUAAAAAAAAGUAGGUCAAAUUAUGUAACCAAUAUUUGUAUUUUAAUUAAAUGAUAAAAUUAAUCCUUCUAUUUUAAUAUGUUUAAAUUGGAUCUUUAUACUUCCUUUAAUUAUCGAAUUUAAUAAAAUUAUUAACGGUUCAAAUAUUUUUCAUUAAAAUUGAUGACUUAAUAUUUUGACUUUUUUAAGGUAGCAUUUUUUUUACGUAACUGUUGACUAUAUUGAUGUUUAAGGUCCACAUGAUCAAAGAUAAUAACAUGGCAAAUUUUUUUUAUUUAUCAUCACUUUUUCACGUCAACUUUUUCAAAUUGCACAGACCGUCUUUAUACUUUCGAUUAAAUAAUAGAAUUAAUCUUUUUAUCUUAAUGUGUAUUAUAAUUUUGAUCCUUAUAUAUUAAUUAAUUAUUGAAUUUAGAAUUUGAUACUCAUUGCAUUCAAAUUUUAUUUUUAAAUUAUUCAUAAUCAAUGUUUUACUAAAUGGAACACUGAUAAUAGAAAAUCUAACCUCAACUUGAUUCUAAUGAAUUUUGAAACUUCAAAGACAUAAUUGAAAGAGCUCAGAACUCAAAAACAGAUCUUUUAAUGAAAACAUGAAAAUCUUACUUAGAAUAAGACUAGCCAAAAGCUCCCUAAAUAAGUUAAGAGACUUAACAAAGUCUUGGUGAAAGACAACACAUAAGAGGACCCCAUGCUCGACUAAAACAAACCAUUCGAUGCAUUGAGAGCCCUCUAAGCUAAUCUAGCCUCCCAAAUGAACUCUAAGUUUUUUACCUCCUAGGAUGUCAACAUCCUUGAAAGUGACUUUUUUUUCGGAACAACUUAACUUAGAAAUCUCAAUUUAUGACACCUUUUGAGAAUAAAGAGGGUUAAAGGAUUCAAUUUUAAGCUUUUUUUUUUUUUUUUUUAUGGUUGUCUAUUAUUAUAAUAUACACCAACAUUGGAGUUUUUUAAAUUCUAUAAAAGGAAUCCUCUUAUUUAUUUAUUAAUUUUUUAAGAGAUAUUAUCAAAUAUAUUAAAACAAUAAAAUUUUUUAAUUUUACAAAUAAAAUAUAUUUUAUUAUAUAUUUUUAAAAAUUAAAAAAUUAAUUUUAAAAAAACUGAAACAUAUAUCAUUAUAUUAACUUCACUUAUAAAAUUAAAAAAUUUCAUUAAUAAUAUAUCAAAUAAUUUUUAAAAAUAUAAUUUAAUAGAGAAUGUAUCUAUCAUAACGUUUAGAUCCGGAGACCUAUCACUAGACAUUGACUUGAAGAGUCACCACAAUCUUUUUUGUUUAUGUGCGAUUGGCCACCUGACUGAAUCUGUCCUUUUUUAGAAAGAAAUCCUAAGUUUGACUUAGGUAUCUUUGCAAGGUAGAUUCAAUAUCCACGAAACCAGAACUAGAUCAAGGAAUGUGGUUACGUGUGAGGAAAGUUAUAGCACUCUCACAACGCCUAUCAAAAGAUGGUACCAGCUUGAUUUCAUUUUAUCCAUUAGCCUUAAAAAUUUUACUAAGUAAUUAAUUAUUGAAAAUUAUUCUUAAUUGACUCCAAUACUUUUGGCAAAAAAUUAAGAAAAUCUCAUCACCUCAAAAGUAUACAAGAAAAUUAUUUUUUUUUUACAGAGGCUCCAUCGUCGGAUUAUUUAUCAUUAAAAAUUUUCAAAGAAAGAAAAGGAAAAGAAUAAUGAUUCGAACUCUUGAUAUAGAUCUUUUGUAGUUUUAUAAGAAACAACUCAUGUUUUUAUACAAGGAAAAUUGAUACUUUAACUUUUCCUUAAAGCAUUUUAAAGUUUUUUAUUUUUAAAGAAAAAUUGAUACUUUCAACUUUUCCUUAAAAAUCCCUUUUUGAAAUCUUUAUUUUUUAAUUUUAAGAAAAAUUGAUACUUUCAACUUUUCCUCAAAAGAUGUUUUCUUGAAAAUUUUAAUUUCAAGGAAAAUUGGUACUUUCAACUUUUCCUCAAAAAUGCUUUUUGAAAAAUUUUAUUUUUAGGAAAAUGUAUACUUUCAACUUUUCCUCAAAAUAUGUUUUCUUGAAAAUUUUAUUUUCAAGGAAAAUUGAUGCUUUCAACUUUUUCCAAAAAAAAAAAUGUUUUCUUGAAAAUUUUAUUUUUAAGAAAAAUUGGUACUUUCAACUUUUUCCUCAAAAAUGUUUUUUUGAAAAAUUUAUUUUCAAGGAAAAUUGGUACUUCCAACUUUUUCCUCAAAAAUGUUUUUUUGAAAAUUUUAUUUUCAAGGAAAAUUGAUACUUUCAAUUUUUUUCUCAAAAAUAUUUGAUUUUAAAAUUUUUAUUUUAAAAAAAAUUGAUACUUCCAACUUUUUCUCAAAAAUAUUUGAUUUUAAGUAAUCAUUGAAAAUUAAAGAAUGUUUAAUUAAAUAAAUUAUUUCAAUUUAAUAAAAAAAACACAUAAGCAAAAAAAAUAGUAAAUAAAUAAAUAAUAACGAUAAUAAAUGAAAAAAAAACUUGGCUCGGCUUCGGCUAGGCUUGGACAGUAUACAGCUCUAGAGACAGACUCAGCUUGAGCGGCUCAGUGCACGACUCGGCUCACUCAACUCAACAGGGGCUGGGUGAUACGGGUAGGCGGGUCGAAGCGCUACGAGUCAGGUUAGACUGUAAGGAAACGCGCGGAUCCUAUCGGGUUCUUAGCUCAAAAUGACGUGAUUUUUGGACUAUAUAAAAGGCAAAAAAAAAAUCUUCUGGUCUUCAGACGCUCCUUCCCUUUUCUCUCUCUUCUCUUCUGUUUCUCACUUUAUGUGAUUUUUUAUUGUCGUCUUUCGUUGAAUGCCAUCGAAAAAAUAAUCGAUUUUUGGGUUUUAUCAUCAAAAACUGAGUUUUUCAUCGAAACUUGCCGAAAAACUUGAAUACUCGUCGAAAAAUUCGUCAAAUUUUGAAAAUUUCCUAAAAAAUUCCAGAAACUUGAGAAAAGCUAAAAAAAACAAAUUAAAAACCACAAAUUCCCCAAGAAAUCUUUUGAAACAAAAAAUUUCCUCGGAUCACUCCUAUUUUCCCCUCCUUUCUUUUUUGUGUUCUUACUCUUGUGAUUGAUGGGGUUUAUAUGGGGUUGGGUACACGGUUGAAUAGGAUUUCAAAAUCAAACUUUCCCCCUCAUCCAAUCUGUUUAUCCCCAUUCAAAAACCAAAUCCUUGAUCCUGUUUUUAAAAAUUAAAGUCUUAAUCUUAGAGUUUUACUAUGACUAAAAUUUUACUUUUAUUUAUUUAUUAUUUUAAAUAUAUUAAACUUAUCUGAAAAGUGGGUGUUUAUAGUUGCCCCUUUUUGCAUAUUUUUUAUGAAAUAGAGAUUAUGCAAAGACAUAAACACCUAUCAUGACUUUGUUUAAGAAAGAAAAUACUUUGGUGUAACUGAAUCAAGUCAAAAAAUGGAAUAACUCUAAGAAAGAUCUAGCAUAAGCUAAAAUCCAAAACACAAUAACUUAGAUUGAACUGAAGUCUAAAAUAAAUAGCUUGGACUAAGCUAAAAAAGGAUCUAACAUAGGCUAAAAUCCAAAAGCAAAAUGACUUGGAUUGAACUGAAGUCUGAAACGCAAGCUAAAAAAGGAUCCAACAUAAGUCAAAAUCCACAACGAAAUGAUCGAGACUGAAUCAAAGUCUAGAAUGAAUGGCCUGGACUAAACCAAAAAAAGAUCUGGUAUAGGUCAAAAUCCAAAAACAGAAUGACUUGGAUUGAAUCGAAUUCUAAAACGAAUGACUUAGACUGAGUCGAAGAAAGAUCUGGCAUAGGCUGAAAUCUAAAAAUAAAAUGAUCUGGAUUGAACCAAGAUUUGAAACGAAUGACUUGGACUGAGUCGAAGAGGAUCUAGUAUAGGCCAAAAUCUAAAUAAAUAAAUAAAUAAAAUGACCUAGAUUGAACCGAAGUCUGAAACGAAUGACUUAGACUUAGCCGAAUAAAAAUUUGAUAUAAGUCAAAAUCUAAAAAUAGAAUGACCUGGAUUGAAUCGAAGUCUGAAAUGAAUAACUUAGGCUAAGCUGAAGAAGGAUCUGGCAUAUAUCGAAUUCAAAAAUCGGAUGAUCUGAAUUGAACCGAAAUCUUAAACGAAUGACUUAGACUAAGAAUGAUUUGAAAAAAGUCAAAAUUUGAAACAGAAAGACUUGGACUGAAUCGAAACCUGAAAUGAAUAACUUAGACUAAGAAGGAUUUGACAAAAGUCAGAAUCCAAAACUGAAAGACUUGGACUGAACCGAAGCCUGAAAUGAAUAAUCUGGACUAAAUCAUAAUACGUUAGUGCAGGUUGUAUUUGAAACAACUGCCGCUUCAUUCUUGGCAACUUUAAUCAUCUGUGGGGUCUGAAUACCUUCUUCUAAAAGCAAAUGACAUGCGUACCUAAAGUGUUAUGAAAUGCCAAUUUUCUUGGAAUGCCUACAUGAAAUGUUAUGAGACAUUAGGCUUAUCUAAUUAUGAUAAAAAGAUUCUAAAGCUCUUUGUCGUUUUCAUUUUCGCUUCAGUGAUGGAUCCUUUAACUUCUAAAGAUAUUUGGUUAAGGAAUCAAAUUAUCAUUAUCUUUUAGCUUCAACCAAACCGAGAUCACCAUUUCACUAAGUUUCCAUUGUUCUCAUUUCACUUACCUAUGCCACUCUUGGCUUUCCAAAGUAAUAAAGAGAAUUUUCAUAUCAUUAUUUGUUCAUUCAUUAUCAUUUCAAUAUAAUGACAGAUGUAAAGCAAAUGCACAUUUCUUUUUACCUGGGUAAAAGGGUAAACAAAAAAAAAUAAUAAAAGAGGUUAAUGUUGACGUCAAAAAAGAAAUGGAUUUUAUUGAUUGAAUGGGACUGAGUUACAAAGGUGGGCUAAAGUGGGCUGUCACAUAAUCAUGAUCAAAGUAACCUAGAGUUUUCUUCCCAAAAUCAUCCACCUAGAAUUCUUGAUCUUGUCGAGUUCAUCAAAUCACACUUGCUCCUUGUGCCAUGAAACUAAUAUCUUAAACCUCUAACUGCCUUUUUGGGCCUUCAACUUAAAUAUCCUCAAACUACUUUUUGUGGGGUUUUUAAUUCGAGCCUUCCCUUUUUUGGAACUCUAACCGCCCUUUACGAGUUUUCAAUUUGAGCUCUUUUUUCUUUUCUCUUUUUUGCUUUUUGUUUUUUGUUUUUUGUUUUUUAUUUUUAUUUUUUUAUUUUUUGUUUUAAACUCAAACUGCCCUUUACGGGUUUUCAAUUUGAGCAUUUUUUUUCUUUUUUUUUUUAACUCAAAUUGCCCUUUACGAGUUUUCAAUUUGAGCAUUUUUUUUGUUAAGAAAAAUACUUCUUCACAGCAUCUGAAUUUAUUGGAUUGGGCAAAUCUUCUCCAUUUAUUUCUAUCAAGAUUAAAGCUCCUUCUGAGAAUGCCUUCUUGACAAUAUACGAACCUUUCCAAUUUGGAGUUCAUUUUUCUCUAUUGUCAUAUUGACUUGGGAGAAUCCUUUUCAAAACCAACUCCCCUUCAUGAAAACAUCGAGAUCGAAUUUUCUAUCAUAUGCCUGCAUCAUUCUCUUUUGGUACAACUACCCAUGACAUAGCGUUGUCAAUCUUUUUUUCUCAAUAAAAUUCAAUUGCUUGUAACAUUCCUAAAUCAAUUCAGCUUAUUCUAAAUCAACUUCCCUUAAAAUUCUCAAAGAGGAAAUUUUUACUUCUACAGGUAGCACUGCUUUCAUUUCAUAGACCAAAAAAAUGGGGUUGUCCUAGUAGAAGUAUGUACUGAUAUUCGAUAAGCGUGCAAAGCAAAAGAUUACUUCUCAUGCCAAUCUUUAUAGGUCUCAGUCAUUUUUUCAAGAAUCUUUUUAAUAUUCUUGUUUGCUGCUUCACUACUCCAUUCAUUUUUAGAUGGUAAAGUGUCGAGUUGUGAUGCUUGAUCUUAAAUUGGGCACAUAUCUCUUUCAUCAUCUUACUAUUAAGAUUUUUGGUAUUAUCUGAGAUAAUUCUUUUUGGGAACCUAUAUCUACAUAUUACCUCUGUCUUAAUGAACUUACACACCAUCGAUCGGGUCACACUAGCAUAUGAUGCAGCUUCAACCCAUUUUGUGAAAUAAUCAAUCAUUACAAAAAUGAACCUAUGUCCAUUUGAAGCAUUCGGUGCGAUGGGUCCGAUAACAUCCAUACCCCACAUUGAAAAUGGCCAUAGAGGCACUAUGACAUGUAAAGCAUUUGAAGGGGCAUGUAUUUUAUUUGCGUAGAUUUGACACUUAUGACAUUUUUUAGCAUAAUCUAUACAGUCACUUUUCAUGGUCGACCAGUAAUACCUUACCCUCAUAAUUUGUCUUGCCAUUAUGUGACCACUUACAUGAGCUUUACAACUCCCAUCAUGAACUUCUUUUAUGAUCUUUUGUACCUCUGUUGCAUUCACACAUCUUAAGAGAACUAGAUCUCGAUUCUUCUUAUACAAGAUAUUUUCGUCAAAGAAGAAACCCAUGACUACUUUCUUAAUAAUCCUCUUGUCAUUUUCAGAAGCAUGCUCUAGGUAUUGUUGAUUCUUUAUAUACUAUAAAAUGUCAUAAUACCAAGGCUUCCUAUCAACCUCCUCUUCAACAUUUGAAUAAUGUGCUGGAAAUUCUCUCACAUCAAGCUUUAUGGACUGAAUUUUAAUAUUUGUCUUCACUUUGAUCAUAACUACUAAUGUGGCUAGGGCAUCAGCAAUUUAAUUAUCUUCUCUAGGUAGAUGUUCAAAUUGAAUCUUCUCAAAUUGUUUAACCAAAACAGCGACAUACUUGUGAUAUUUUAUUAGCUUUGCAUCUUUUGUCUCACAUUCUCAUUUUAACUGGUAAAUAACCAAGGUUGAGUCUCCAUAGACUUCUAAUACUUUGAUUUUUCUUUCAAUUGUAGCUUGUAAGCCCAUAACACAGGCUUCGUGUUCAACUAUAUUAUUAGUGCAAUUGAAGUUCAACCUUAUUGUGAUAGGGAUAUAAUUCCCUUCUAGAGAUAUCAAGAUUGCCCUAAUUUCAUGUCCUAAAGCAUUUACAACUUCAUUAAAAUACAUCUUCUAGGACUGCUCAGUAGACUCUUCCUUAUCAACUUAGGAAACGACCAUCAGGUCUUUAUCCGAAAAAUCAAGCCUUAUUGGCUCAUAAUCAUUAGCUGUAUGUUCUGCUAGAAAUUCAGCUAUGGCACUUCCUUUAAUUACUUUUUGAGUUAUAUAGACGAUAUCAUAUUCGAAAAGCAUUACCUACCAUCGAGCAAUUCUUUCAAAUAGUGAAGAAUUUUUUAAAAUAUAUUUGAGAGGAUCCAAUUUUGCUAUGAGCCAUACGAUAUGGUAUAGCAUAUAUUGCCUAAGCCUACGAGUCAUCCAAGCUAAGGCACAAUACAUCUUUUCCAAUAAGGAAUACUUUAACUCAUAGUCAAUAAAUUUCUUACUUAAAUAGUAGAUGGCUCACUCUUUCCUGCUUGUUUCAUCUUGUUAUCCUAGCAUGCAUCCCAUUGAGCUUUCGUUCACAGUUAAAUAAAGAAUCAAUGAUUUUUCUAGAAUAAGUGGUACUAGUAUAGGUGGAUUUGACAGGUACUCUUUGACAUUAUCGAAAGCUUUCUAACAUUCAUCAUCUCAUUUACCUGAGCUAUGUUUACGAAGGAGUUUGAAAAUAGGAUCACAUUUAAGAGUGAGCUGAGAAAUGAAUUGAAAUAUAUAAUUCAACCUUCCCAAAAAACCUCAUACCUCUUUUGGUGUGCAUGGAGGUGACAAGUUUUGGAUGGCUCGGAUCUUGUCAGGAUCUACCUUUAUUCCUCUUUCACUGACUACAAAACCCAAUAGCUUCCCUGACUUAGCCCCAAAUAUGCAUUUUGAUGGGUUUAAUUUCAGCUAAAAUCUUCUCAACCUCUUGAAUAAUCUUCUAAGGUUGGCAACAUGAUCUUUUUUUUCUUUAGACUUUGCGAUCAUGUCAUCCAUGUAUACUUUUAUUUCUUUAUGCAUCAUGUCGUGAAAGAGAGUUACCAUAGCUCUUUGGUAAGUGGCCCUUAUAUUUUUCAACCCGAAAGGAAUUACUUUGUAACAAAAAUUUCCUCACAUAGUGAUGGAUGUAGUUUUCUCCAUGUCAUCUUUAGCCAUCCUAAUUUGAUUAUACCUUGAGAAUCCAUCCAUAAAAGAAAAUAUAGAGUGUUUGGCUGUAUUGUCUACUAGGGUAUCAAUGUGAGGUAAGAAAAAGUUAUCCUUUAGGCUUACCUUAUUCAAAUCUUGAUAAUCGACACACAUCUAGACUUUUUCAUCUUUCUUCGGUACUGGGACUAUGUUCGCUACUCAAUCUGGAUACUUAGUCACCUCUAAGAAACCUGCAUCAAACUAUUUUUUCACUUCUUCUUUGAUCUUUAAUAAUAUUUCAGGCUUCAUUCAUCUCAAUUUCUAUUACACUGAUUUACACUCUGGCUUUAAAGGAAGCUUAUGCUCCACUAUUUCAGUACUAAGUCCAAACAUGUCUUGGUAGAACCAUGCAAAGACAUUCAUAUAUUCACAAAGUAAUUCUUUUAAUCUUUGCUUAUCAUUCAGGGGUGACAUGCCUAUUUUAACUUCUUUUUUAUUAAUAUCAUCUCUCAGAUUUAUUAAUUCAGUACUUUUCUAGUGAGGUUCAAUUGGUUUCUUCUCUUGUUCUACCAAUUUCACUAAGCCAAGAAGUAAAGUAUCACCAUCCUAGUUCUCUUCAUGAUCAAGUUCAUCAAUAUAUAUUGAAUUUUCAAAAUCAAACCCUAGGUUACUAUCAUGAUUAUCUUUAUAUUUAUUAUCUGGGUACCUAAGAGUAAGUAAAAAAAGAGAAAUAUUGACAAGAUGUAUGGAAUGAAAAUUAAAAAAUAGACAGAAAAAUACAAAUGCAUCACAUCGAUCUUUUUAUUGAAAUGAAUGAAUGAACCAUACACAAGAAAAUAAUCUUAGUACUUUUAGGUAGAAGUAUAGGAAUUUUAUUCACUACAUUACUUUUUGAAAGACUCAAGGAUAAUAAGUAGCUCAAUGAUCUCCCAAUUAUUCAGCUUUGAACCUUGUGGGGUUGGAUACACCAGCGACUCUUUAUCUUGACUUUUAAUCGCCUCCCCUUCCACAAUUUGAAUGGUAAGUUCAGAAAAGGGUUCUUUCAACCCCAUAUCCCGAUUAUUAUCUCUAGGAUAGAUACAUCUUCCUGAUCGAAAGAUGUAAUAAAAAUAGGAAAUAAUCAUUUUUUUUACUCUAGCUCUUGUUCUUUAAGCUUAUCCAUCCUUUUCUCUUUCUUACUUUCACUCAACUUUUCCUUAUCCUCUUUUGUAGGCUUAUACCCUAAGCCAAACCUCUCUUGAUUGUUGAUCACCGCUAGUAGCUUCUGAAUUACUUACUUACUUCUUUCUUAAUCCUCUUUCGAGACACCACCUUUUUCCAAUAUCUAUUUAACAACCAUAUUGGUAGUGGCCGACAAUUGUGGUGUAUACAGCCUAGAUCCUUCACUAACAUAAGUUACAUUAACCACUCAAAAGAUCUAUAAGAAUACUCUACAGCCUCAUCUGUAGUUUUUACAUAUGGGGUUUUUGUUGGUUGGGUCACUAGCAGAUCUUUUUCUCUUAAUACACUCACUAGCUUCCCCUCGACAAUAAACUUUAUCUUCUGAUACAACAAGGAUGGGAUAGAGCCCGUCAUGUGGAUCCAUGGCCUUCCUAAUAAAUAGCUAUAUGAUGGUGAAAUAUCCAUCACUUGAAACUUCAUGUUAAAAUUACAUAGCCUGAUCUAUAGUUAUAGUUCAAUUUCACCUACCACCUCCCGUCUAGCUUCAUUGAAAGCUCUGAUGACUAUGUGGCUAGUUUUCAUGUGAGACAUCUCAAUAAACAACUUAGCCAGGGUGAACAUAGGCAUCACAUUAAUUACAGAGAUGUUGUCAAUAAGAACCUUUGUCAUUGUAUGACUUUUACAUCUAAUCAUAAUAUGCAGAACUUUAGUACUCCCUUUUCCUUUUAGGAGAAUCUCAUCGUCAUUAAAGGAAAUGUAAUUUGAGGCCACCAGAUUUUUCACAAGGUUAUCUAUGUACUCUACAGAUACAUUAUGGGAUACAUGUGCUUGAUUUAAAACCUUUAAUAAGGCAUUACGAUGAGGCUCUAAAUUCAACAAUAAUGAUAGAAGUGAGAUCCUAACUGGCAUUUUGUUUAGCUGUUCCAUCACACUGUACUCAUUAUGUUUGAUUAGUUUCAGAAACUCACAAGCUUUCUUUUCAAAAAUGGGUUUCUAGUACUCCUAUCUUGGCACUGCCAUAGAUCUUUUCUAUUCCCUUCUUCUUUUCUAAUUUUUUUUCUCUUUCUCAUUUUUUCUACCAUUUUUGAAAAGUAACAUCUUUCACUCCUAGUCAUGCUACCCACUCUAGUUAUAUUUGUCAUAUCAUAAUUGCUUGAUAUAUCUCUUUCAUUUGACCCCGUCGUUACAACCUCACAAUUGUAUUUUCAUGGUACUAUCUUAUUAUUUUGGUAUGGGAAAAGACUAGAGAUUUUGAAAGUUAUAACUGAUUUAGAAGUGGGUUGACUCUCUAUUAGCUUUGGCCUCUUGUAAUAUACUGUCACUAGUUUCGGGGUAGGCUUUGAAACCUGCUCGGUGGUGGAUACCUCUACAUUUCUUGAGCUUCUUUCAUCUUUGUAAAACUUAAUUUGGAAUGAAUCCAUCAAUUGUUGUAGAAUUUGAUGAAACUAAUCAUAGUUUUUAAUCGAAUGCCUUAUAGCUCCCUUAUGGUAUUUACACUUUAAGGAUGGGUUGUACUCUCCACGGUAAGUAUAUUGGUCCACUGGAUACAGUAUCUUUACUCUCAACAAGGCAUUAAACACCUUAUCUAGAGGGGUCUUAAUCUUAUCUACCCUUCUUUUGAUCUUGCUGGUUUGAUCCUUAUGUAUGACAUUAAUUGUUGCCCCAGUAUGGGUUGACAGAGGGUUACCAUUGACAUUAGGUGCCCCUUCUUUUUCAAAGCUUAUCAAACUCUUUUUUAUCAAGUUUUACACCUUGUGCUUUAAAGAGAUGCAGUUUUCUAUAGAAUGGCUUAUAACCCCAUAGUGAUAAUCACAAUGAGCAUUUGGGUCAUACCAUUUAGGGAAAGGUGAUUGCAUAGAAUCUACAAAGACAUGAGCUACUAAAUUUUUCUCCACGAGCUGUGAGAGUAAGUCUGUAUAAGGUAUAGAGAUUGGGUCAAAUGUGACAUUCUCUUGGUUGUUUCAUGACACUCUUAAAUUACUUGGCUGGGUAUUCUAUUUAGGGGUAAAUCUUGCUUGAGGUAUGGUGGAUGAAUUAUAUAUGUGUACGGGUGGUUGUGAUUGAAGGGUUGGUCGAUAAACUUGCUGGUAUGAUGGUUGAUAUGGGUAGUGGGUAGCGGUAAUUGGGCUAGAUACAUAGGGUGGUUAUAAAAAUGAACAUAACCUCUAAAUUGUUGGCCCUCACAACUCACAACAUGAGUUUUUCUUUUUUUUUCUUAAAUGGGCCAUUCUUCUUUGCAUCGAUUGUCUUUCUUCCAUCUAACUUACCGUUCUUAAUAACAUUUUCAAUCAUCUCACCUAAUAUAACCAUAUCAAUAAAAUUUUUCGUAGCAUUUCCUAUUAAUCUUUCAUAAUAGGGAGACUUAAGAGAACUGACAAAAAGCACUGUUACCCUUUUUUCUGUGAGAGGUGGUAGGACUUAAGAAGUAACAUCUCUUCAUCAUUAAACAUAUUACUUGAAACUUUCUGUGAUUUUUUUCUUCAUACUUUGUAAAGAGAGUCGGUCAGGUAAUAAGUCCAUAAUGUGUCUAUAUUAGGUUACAAAUGCUUUUGCCAAGUCAUUUCAGGAUUGGAUACGGGCUCAAUCCAAUUAAAUGUACCACCUUAUCGCAGAGCCUAUAAGGCUAUCUUGAAAGACAUGCAUCAAUAAUUUCUCAUCAUGAACAUGGGUGACAAUUUUUCGAUAAUACAUGGUAACGUGGGUUAACGGGCAUUUAGUCCCAUCGAACUUUUCAAAUUCAAAGAUUUUAAACUUUGAUUGGAUGAUCACAUCUAGAACUAAACAUAAUUAGGCUGCAUCCAUAAUGCCAAAAUAAUCCAUACCCUCAAUGGCUCGAACUCUAUCCUUUAAAAUAUUCAUUUUCAAUUAAGAGCUUGACUCUUCAAUUACCUUAGAGGUUUUUACUUUCAAUCUAUUUUUCUUUUUAAGGUCAUCAAAAUCAGAGACUUCAACUGGGUCUGUUGUCUUUACCCUAAAAGUGGGGUUAGUGUAACUACGAUAUGGUACUUCAGGAUAGGUGUAAGCAUAUGCCCUAGAAAAUGGCAUGUAUGGGACCUGUGUCUCUUGAGAAGAUUGACCUUGGUUUGGAUCAAACUUGGAAGGGUAUAAUGGAUCCACAAUAUCUUACCUUUCAUUCGGAUUAGGGGUUUCUUCUACUAUCUUACCGUUGUCCAGUUUUUUAAACAUUUCAUCAACUUCGUCAACUUCCUAUUUAUCUCCUCUUAAGCUUUCUCGAACUUAUCCAUACAGGUAUUUUGUUUCUGUUCCAUUUGUCUGGCUUGCAAUAGAGUAUUAUAUGGGUGACGUAUAGGUUGGCUCAAAUUUAUCAACUGUCGAGCUAUCCUUGAACAUUUAAUACCAUAUCUCAGAAUUAGCAAGUUUAUAUGACUAUCUCAUGACAACCUAAGAUGAUUAUUUUGUUAAAUGAAAUGAAUGAGAAUGCAAUGAAUGAAAAUGCAUGCAUGCAAAAAACAUUUACCUUAAGAUAGUGUUUAACCAAAAGAUUUUAUUUAUUCCAAAAAAACUUUAUUUACAUAGAAUUUAUCAUUCUAGAGUUAUAACCAUAGAAUCAUUUGAUCUGCUCAACUAGUCUUUUGCUUCCUUAAUGAAAUUCAAUAGGCAUUGUCCAUGUUUCCCUACUGGGGCCACCACUUGCUUCAACGCUUCUACCUCUUCGACCAUUUCUCUUAUCUUACCUACCUCUUUACAAAUUUUGAGUUGUCAAAUGCUCGAUAUACCUCCGUCUUCCUAGGUUUUUCCUUUUACCACACCACACUUGGUAUGAUAAUUUUCUAUGCUCUCUAACCAAUGCAGUGAUAUAGUCUUUUUGUUCAUUUAACCUUUGUUUUAACCUGCUUAGGUAGUUAUUUAACAUGUCAUUUUUUGUCUGUACUUAGGUACUUUCUUCUUCUAAUUUAGCAUAUUCCUGUUUCAAUGGCUCAUUCUCAUCAGUCAGCUCAAGGAUUGUUAUCUCCUUGGCUUUAACCCUUACACAUAACCUUUUAUGUUCUUGGUGUAGCUCCGGUAGAUUUUUAACAGCUGUAUCAUGUUCUUUAGCAAUCUUAUAAACUUUGACUUCAUGUUUUUUAGCUCUAUCUUUUCAUUGAUCUUUCUUCUCUUGAAGCUUUUUGAUUUCUUACUUUAGCUUAUCUUUUUUUAUCUCGAAUUAUUUUUUCGUAAGCUCCAAUUCUGAUGGUAUUUCUUCAAGCUUUUCUCUUAUUGGUUGUUGAAAACCUUCAUGAGUGAGUGCCAUUUCUUGUACUCGUCUUGUUCUCCAAGCUAAGUACCCAUGAGUAACCUUAUCAAUGAACGAUCUAGGACUCACUCUAUGGGAGUUUUUCAUGCUUUAAUCACAUCAUUCAUCCUCUGAAAUGCUUUUGGCUUACUGUAAAAAAAAUUUGAUUGAUGAAGCUUAUGUGUCAUGAGAAUGAACUGUUCGACCUCAAACUAUCUUCUCACUAGAAGUGACGCAUAACUUGUUGUUCCCCAUAGACCCAGAAGUGGGACCACAGUGUUAUCUUCACACUGAUAUAGCAUGGGUUCACGAUUCAUCCACGAGACUAACCAUCUCAUCUCGGUGUUUGUCAGCUUUUGUAAAAAAGCUAUCCAUUCUCUUUUAGACUUUUACUCUGGCCACUCACUUUCACAGAAUUUCUUGAUUGAAACUCGAUUACGAAAAUAAAGCUUUGAGAAUGCACUUUUUUUACACUCAAAAUGGCUUUUCAUCCAUAAAUACAAUAGUUAUAUACAGCCCGUGAAACGUCUUCCAUUCUGACGACAGUAACUCAAAGAUCUAAUAGUCUCUGCCAAUGUCACUGUUGAAGGGUUACAGCCAUUGAUCACGCUUUUGAAGAAGUCAACCACUACUAUUUCAAUAUACCCCAAAACCUUUGAAAAGAUCACCAUUCCAUAUAUGGCCAAGGCAAACACGUCUAACCCCCGCUCUUCGUUGGCAUGUUAUACUAAGAAAUUGUAAAAAAACUUUCAAGAUAAAUAAACCUGUUCUUAUUUCUUCUUUGUAUGAAAAUCACAAUCUCCUUGUUUAUCCCCAUCAUAUAGGCCAAAUUCUUAAGGAAUCCUGAUUUGUGUUUCUUAACAUAUAUCUUGUCAUGGGCCUUGAGGUGUAGACCCAACAGAGUUGAAUAUUCUUUGAUAGUUGAUGCCAUAUCAACUUCAUUAAAAAUGAAACACUUUUAUGAAGGAUACCAAAAUUGUACUGUAGCUCUAAUUACUUUAUUCUUGACAUUUAUUGCAAGAUGGUGUGUUAUAUGCCCAUGUCUCUGGCAAAACUCAUCUUGUUUUGAUGGACUCAUCUGCUUCCAUAUAUCAACUAAAUCCUCUAGAUUGUUUUGUUUGAAAAGGAUAGAUAUUUCUUGAGACAAAAUGGAAGCAUAGCCAAUUGGUAGACAAUCCGCUUCCUUUUGUUGGAUCUUUUUUGAAUGAACCUUUACUUCGUUUGGUGACUCACACGGAGCUAAUACGGAUGAAGAGCAAACUAGUCGUUCUAUGGAGUCCAUGAAAAACUCUUUGUUGAAGACUGUCUUUUUAGGUAAAUAUUCUUUAUGCCACUUCAUGAUAUGAGUAUGAAUCAUACAAAGAUGAAAAAGAAAGACAGUUAGUACACUAGAUAAGAAAAAACAUAUAAAUAACUAAAGUAGAACAUCACACAAUAAAAGAAUGAAUCCUAAGCUUUUGGUCAAUUCUAAAGGGAAAGAGAGGGCUUUAUCUAUAGGUUAGUCAUUCCUAAGGUUCAUUAUAUGUAGUUUAAAGAUUGAAAAUCUAAAGAUUUUCAAAUUGUAUUUUACAUCAUCGUUCGUCACAGACUAGUAAGGCAUCCCAAUCCUCACCCAUUACAGGCUGCAAGCGAAAAAGGUUUAAUUUGAGUGAGAGAAUUUUGCUAGCCACUGCGGAGGCAUUAAAAUCUCUCGAAAGCAUAGGUACUUUACUACCUCCUAAAGGGAUGAAACUCGGGUAUAGAACUCAUGUUAUGCAUAUGCAUAUGAAUGACAAAGUGAACAAAGUAAAUAAAUAGAAUGAAUGAAUAAAAAUUUAUACAAAAAGUUUAAUUUUAUUAAGCUUUUGGAUAACACAAAUUUAUUUGCUGGCCUGACUCUCGACUUUCCCCAGUGGAGUCGCCAAACUAUCAUAACAUCUAGAUCCGGAGACUUAUCGCUAAAUAUUGACUUAAGGAGUCACCACAAAUAUUUUUUGUUUAGGUACAAUUGGUCACUUAACUAAAUCUGUCCCUUUUUAGAGAGAAAUCAUAAGUUUGACUUAGGUAUCUUUGCAAGGUAGAUUCCAUAUCCGCGAAACCAGAACUAGAUUUGAGAGUGGGGUUACGUGUGAGGAAGGUUAUAGCACCCCCACAACAUCUAUCAAAAGAUGGUACCAGCUUGAUUUCAUGUUAUCCAUUAGCCUUAAAAACUUUACUAAGUAAUUAAUUAUUAAAAAUUAUUCUUAAUUGACUCCAAUACUUUUGAUAAAAAAAUUAAGAAAAUUCCCUCAUUUCAAAAGUAUGCAAGAAAACUAUUAUUUCUCUCACAGAGGCUCUGUCGUCGAAUUAUUUAUUAUUAAAAAUUUUCAAAAAAAAGAAGAAAAAGAAUAAUGAUUCGACUCUUGAUAUAGAUCUUUUGUAGUUUUAUAAGAAAAAAAACUCAUGUUUUUAUACAAAAAUUUUGAUACUUUCAACUUUUCUUUAAAGUAUUUUAAGGUUUUUUAUUUUCAAAAAAAUUGAUACUUUUAACUUUUCCUCAAAAGAUGUUUUCUUGAAAAUUUUAUUUUCAAAGAAAAUUGGUAUUUUCAACUUUUCCUCAAAAAUGCUUUUUGAAAAAUUUUAUUUUCAAGGAAAAUUUAUACUUUCAACUUUUCCUUAACUUUUUCUCAAAAAAUAUUUUCUUGAAAAUUUUAUUUUUAAGGAAAAUUGAUACUUCAAACUUUUUUCUCAAAAAUGUUUUUUGAAAAAAUUUAUUUUCAAGAAAAAUUGAUACUUUUAACUUUUUCUCAAAAAAUAUUUUCUUGAAAAUUUUAUUUUCAAGAAAAAUUAAUACUUUCAACUUUUCCCAAAAAAAAUAUUUUCUUGAAAAUUUUAUUUUUAAGGAAAAUUGAUACUUCAAACUUUUUUCUCAAAAAUGUUUUUUGAAAAAAUUUAUUUUCAAGAAAAAUUGAUACUUUUAACUUUUUCUCAAAAAAUAUUUUCUUGAAAAUUUUAUUUUCAAGAAAAAUUAAUACUUUCAACUUUUCCCAAAAAAAAUAUUUUCUUGAAAAUUUUAUUUUUAAAAAAAAUUGAUACUUCCAACUUUUUUCUCAAAAAUAUUUUUUUGAAAAUUUUAUUUUCAAGAAAAAUUGAUACUUUCAAUUUUUCUAAAAAAAAAAAAAACGUUUUCUUGAAAAUUUUAUUUUUAGGAAAAAUUGGUACUUUCAACUUUUUCCUUAAAAAUGUUUUUUUAGAAAAUUUUAUUUUCAAGAAAAAUUGAUAUUUUCAAUUUUUCCUCAAAAAUAUUUGAUUUUAAAAUUUUUAUUUUUAAAAAGAAUUGGUACUUCCAACUUUUUCUCAAAAAUAUUUGAUUUUAAGUAAUUAUUGAAAAUUAAAGAAUGUUUAAUAAAAUAAAUUAUUUCAAUUUAAUAAAAAAAACACAUAAGCAAAAAAAAUAGUAAAUAAAUAAAUAAUGAUAAUAAAUAAAUAAAAACCUUAGCUCGGCUUUGGCUAGGCUUGGAUAGUAUGCGGCUCCAAAGACAAACUCGGUUGGAGUGGCUCAGUGCGCAACUUGGCUCACUCCACUCAACAGGAGCUAGGUGAUACGGGUAGGCGGGUCGAGGCGUUACAGGUCGGGUUGGACCAUAAGGAAACGCAUGGAUCCUAUCGGGUUCUUAGCUCAAAAUGACUUCAUUUUUGGACUAUAUAAAAGGCAAAAAAAAGUCUUCUGGUCCUCAGACACUCAUUCCCCUUUCUCUUUUUUCUCUUCUAUUUCUUGCUUUAGGUGAUUUUCAAUUAUCGUCUUUCGCUGAAUGCCGUCGAAAAAAUCAUUGAUUUUUUAGUUUUAUCAUCAGAAAUUGAAUUUUUCACUGAAACUUACCGAAAAACUUGAAUAUUUGCCAAAAAAUUCACCAGAUUCUAAAAAUUUUCAAAAAAUUUUCAAAAACUCAAAAAAAGCUAAAAAAAAAAUUAAAAACCACAAAUUCUCCAAAAAAUCUUUUGAAACAAAAAAUUUCCUCGAAUCAUUUCUAUUUUCUCCCUCUUUUCUUUUUUGUGUUCUUACUCUUGUGAUUGAUGAGGUUUAUAUAAGAUUGGGUAAAUGGUUUAAUGGGAUUUCAAAAUCAAACUUUUCCUUUCAUCCAAUCUGUUUAUUCUCGUUCAAAAAUCAAAUCUUUGAUCUUAUUUUUAAAAAUUAAACUCUUAAUCCUAAAAUUUUACUAAAACUGAAAUUUUAUUUUUAUUUAUUUAUUAUUUUAAAUAUAUUAAACUUAUAUGAAAAGUGGGUGUCUACAGUAUCAAUCCUUCUCAUUUCGCUUACACAAUUUUAAAAGCAGCCAAAUGAUGACUAAGUCUAUAAGACGACAAUAUCUCCUACGCAAGAAGUCUCCAGGAUGGCAAUAUCUCUUACGCAAGUAAACCGGACCCACAUUUAAGAAAAGGAAAAAUCAAACAAAAAGGCUGCUGAUGUGAGUGACAAAUUAAAAUAAGCAAAGAACGCACAUGAUUGUGAUGCAUGUUAAAGAAGUCUAACUUGGAAAAUUCCACCCAUUGAAAGAUUGGUCCAAAUUUUUUAGCAAUGCUCAUAUUACGCCGCCCCUCUAUCAAAGCAAAUACAUUUUAUUUCUCUACACCACAAAAUAAUAAAAAAAAAAUCAAAUCAGAUAAGAUCAAACAAACACAGAGCUACCAGAAGCAAAUCAAACAAUGGAAGAAGCAACAAUUCUUUACUCAUUUCUUUCUUUUAUCUUUCUCAUCAUUUGUUUAAACUUGUUCUUUCAUCAAGAAAACACCCCAAAAACCUCCCUCCAAGCCCACCAUCACUACCCAUAAUUGGCCACCUUCACUUCCUGAAACCCCCCAUCCAUCGUUUGUACCAGUCUUUCACAAAAAUAUGGUCCAAUCUUCUCCCUCCGCCUCGGUUCUCAGCUUCUUGUUGUAGUAUCAUCCUCAACCGCAGCCG